rnacentral:lncRNA from 1 species
ACAUGGACUUGUUUCAGGACAUGGAGCACCAAAAUUACCAUCCUUUCUUGAUAAUUCCGAGGGAGCACAGCAACAUAUCAGAAAGCCCUGAUGAAUGGCCACAGUCUCUAUUUAAUAGACCUCGCAAAAGCUCACAAGGGCCUCUUCCCAAAAAGCCUAAACUGGAUGCUGCCUAAAGUAGCACAUGCCCAGGGCUGAUGAUACUCUGGUUAUUAUGAUGUUGGACGACCUUGCUUAUGUUCCGAUCUUGCUUGCUUCACAAGACUUUAUUGAUAGUUAAAGUUUAAAAAGCCAAUGACUAGUUCCGUUUAUAUGGAAGAAUGAGUUUUGUGAAGGCUAUAUACCAUGUCUCCUUACCACUUGACAAUCAACUGUGCUAAUAAUAUGGGUUCUAAAGUGUACAGUUCCAAUGAAUCGGGCUUUUGCAGGUGGUUUUGUCACUUUUUUUUCUCGAGGUUUUAGUAUGGUUCUUUCUUUGUAUUCUAUACAUCAGCCAGUCAAACCAGAAUAUCAGAAUCAGAUUUCAAUUUUCGUCAGAUGCAUCGGUUUAUCUUUUAUGGUGAAUUUAUCUUAUGCAAACCCUCUUCCAGGUUGCUUGUGUGACACUUCUGAUGAACAAGCAUGUCCGAACUGGUUUGAAAGACCAAUUUACGAGAACAGUCCUUCUAAGAAAUUAAGAUGAUCAGACAUAUAGAGGGGGUUCACGUUUGGUAUAGACAAUAGAAUUUCUUGGGUUACUUAUUUAUUUACGUAAUUAGACAGGGAUUUCAAAACUUUUUAGGGUUUCCCCAAAAAAAAGGAAAAGAAUGCACAGAUCCGUUCCGUUGAAAUUUUGUCAAUACCCUUGAUAUUUUCCUUUUUUAAAAAAAAAAUUUGAGAUCCAAGAGGGCUAUAAAAACAUAUGCCCUCAUAGAUAUCUCAGCUUGAAAGCAAGGUCUAACCCUAGCUAGAAGGAAGGUCUCUCCAAUUCUCAUCGUCAUCUCCGCAGAACCAUGGGCGAAGACGAUACCAUCGGUUUUGAGUCCUGUACGAUCUCUCUCCAUCUAAAUUUGUUUUGUUAGAUUUCAUCUGAUUCGAUUAUAGCGGAAGUAAUGGUUUAUUUUUUCUAAUUUUUUCGUAAAUUCGUUUGUGCGUAGUGAAGCAGACGCUCGUGUACUGGAACAUGGAUGACUACCCAAUCCCUGUAGAUACUACCGAUGAUCUUGAUCCUGUUUUUCGUGAUAUCUUAAAAGCUCUUCAUGUAAUGGGCUUUCGUGAGGGGUCUAUGCCUAGAUUUUUCUAUUUUUGAAAAUUUAUUAUAAAUGGUAUUUUAUUUAACCUCUCUUUAUUGCAUGUAUGUAUGGCUCAGAGCGUAUCCCAACCGUCAGAGGGCCUAGGACAGCCGUCUUCUGGGACGCCGUGGAUUGCCCUUUCCCUCCUUCUUCCACCCCUGAUGAGAUCUACCACUCUAUCUCAUCAGCUCUUGUUGAAAGGUAUCUUAGUGAUAAUAUUACUAUCUGGGCCUAUCUUGAUGAUGAUGAUGAUGACAAGAAAGGGUCUGCCUUACUGGGUGGUGACAAGACGUGGGCUUCCAGAAUCUACUUUCUUCCCGGAGGUGUGAUCAUUUCCCCCUCUCUUUUUUUUUUCCUCGUCUUUAUAUGUCUACUCUCACUUGCAUUUGUUAAUAUUUAUUUAUUUGAUUUUUUUUUUUCCUUUUUCCAGGGGAUAAAGCCUCGAGACGUAUCAGAAUGUUAAAUGACAUGUUUUUAUUGGCAAGGGACUCUCCUCAGUGCAGUAGUUAUGACGCUAGUUUGGUCCUGUUCGCAGAUCAGUUCAUAGGUGCCGCCUACUACAUCAAUAUGCUUCAAAGAUUGGAUGACAUUCGUUACCAUAUUCUCUUAGUCACUCCGACUCUGGACAUCAACAAACCCGAAACCCCUCAAUGGCCCGGAUUGCUUAUGGAUAGAGGCGCAGCCAGUUUUGCUCUUGAAACUAGCAAAAUCUCUGAAGCCCAUGCCGCCGCAGAAGAAGAAGAAACACCUAAGAAGCUGGACACGCAUGGCAAACUUCUCUCGGAAACUGAGGACAUGAAGAAACCAGAAAGCUCUGAAUGUCCAGGACGGCAAAUAGAUGGAGGAUCAGGCUGGGGAAGCUCUGAAGAACCUUGUCCCAGAAAGCAUAAAGCCGGUGCGGCCGAAGAAACAUCUGAUGCGGCCGUAGGGGUUGGGACUAGCUAGCUUCUGUUGUCGUAGCCCGGUGGAUGUUUAUUUAAGUUUUUAUUUAUCAAAAUUUAAGUUCUUAUUUAUCAAAAUGUCUGCUAUAUUUAAGUUUGUACUUGUAUUUUGAACUUCAAACUCCGUUGUAGUAAUUUUAUGACUUCUCUUUUUAUUCUUGCAAUCUUUGGUUUUUCUUGUUGUUGUCUUCCUUCUGUUUAACCGCCAACAAACUCGGGCAUUGUUGUUUUUCUUCAAAUUCAUUUGCUACACCAUAAUCCCAGCAUCUUGUAAUCGGGGAAAGGAUUAUUCCCUUCUAAACCAUUUCCAACCUGAAUCCAAACAAGUGAUAUGCACUAAUACGACUGAAAUGUUAUAAAUUAAUUAAUUUAACCAAACAAAAUCGUUUAAGUUGAACUUAUGUUAGAGUCAAUGUAGAUUUAUGCACAUUCCAUAAAGUUCAGAUAGUUUAUUUGAAUUAUAAUCAUAUUAGAGUCGUAUUUAGCACAAACAUUAAGCAGGAUGGAAGUUGUUCGGUCAAAAUAAAUAUUUUCACUCUUGUAAGUUUAUAGUUGUUCUGAGAAGGUGCUAAUGUUGAAAUGGCUUGUCACAAAGCAUAACCAAACAUCCAUUCCUCAGAGACUUCCUCUUCCCUCCAACCUUAAAUCAUAAUCAGAUUCUACUUCUCUUACCAUGUGUUUAAUUGAUAAGCUUCCACAUUCUCAAAUCUUUCUUUUUCUGGGCAACAAUUCUAUGUUUGAUAUUUCUGAUUGGAAGAGAUAAAAUUUAUAGAUUUCCUCAGGAGUAGAAUAAACCUCGUUUGCUCCUUUCAAGUCCUUUUGAUGCAUCUGAAAUCUUGAAAAGACAUUUGCAAGCAUCUUUGUUGUCUUCACAAUCUUUCUUUGCUCUCAGUAAUAUUAGGAAAGGAUCAACCAGCUCUUCUUUUUUCAUGUCCUUUUUUAUGUACCUGGAAAUCUUGAAAAGACAUUUUUCGAUCAUGUUGUAUGUUGGUGCUCUUGGCUAAGUUGUUUCAGAACAUCAAAGGAGGAGGAGAUCUUGGAUUGGAAAAGGCAAGAAAGAAGUUCAUCAAGCACCCUAAGCCUCAAGAUUCGUCAACAGGAGGGGAGAUUGUGAAGUUUGAAGCUGAUGACUGGGAGAUAUUGUUAAUGUCUGGGGAAGAGAGUGAGAGCAAAAAGAACUUGAUGGCACAAAACACUGAGUUUUAGUCUAACAUUUUUAAUAUCAAAUCUUUGAAACUUUGUGAAUCCCCUAUACAUUAUUUGAUAAGUGGUUUUGACAAGUGUCUUUUUUACAUUCAUUAUCACUAAAAAAUAAUGACAUGGAUUUCAAAAAAAGAUGGCAUGACAUCAAUUUAAUUAUAUGUAAAAUAUCCUUAUAAAACAUUAUAAUUUUUGGAAAGACUUUUUAAAUAUGGUAUUAGCUAAUAAAUUUUACAUAAAAUAAACUUUAUGUAUAAAUAUUAUUUUAGUAAGAAUUUUGGAAUAUAUUAGUAACUAAUAUAUCAUAUAUCUCCAUUACAAUAAUAUAUAUACAUAUAUAUAUAUAUAACAUUAAUAAACAAAUAAACUAAAUAUAAGUACAUUGUAAAAAAAUUCACGUUAACUUAUAUAUCCAUUUUUUAUAAAUAAAUAAAUAUAUAUAUAUACAUAUAUUAAAAUUAAUUGUAAAUGUGCUUUAAAAUACAAAACUAAAGCAAUAUUAAUCAAAUAAAAAUUUAUUGAUAAUUAAUGUUUAAAUUUUUUUUUAGCAUUUAUUGGUUUAUUUAGGGUUUCCCCAAAAAAAAGGAAAAGAAUGCACACAGAUCCGUUCCGUUGAAAAUAUGUCAGCACCCUUGAUAUUUUCCUUUUUUAAAAAACAAAAAAUUGAGAUCCAAGAGAGAUAUAAAAACAUGCCCUCAUAGAUAUCUCAGCAAGCUGCAGCCUAGCUCUCUCAUCCGUCCGUGGAGAAAAGCAUUCAAAGCAAGAUCUAACCCCUAGCUAGAAGGAAGGUCUCUCCAAUUCUCAUCGUCAUCUCCGCAGAACCAUGGGCGAAGACGAUACCAUCGGUUUUGAGUCCUGUAAGAUCUCUCUCCAUCUAAAAUUGUUUUGUUAGAUUUCAUCUGAUUCGAUUAUAGGGGAAGUAAUGGUUUAUUUUUUCUAAUUUUUUCGUAAAUUCGUUUGUGUGUAGUGAAGCAGACGCUCGUGUACUGGAACAUGGAUGACUACCCAAUCCCUGUAGAUACUACCGAUGAGCUUGAUCCUGUUUUUGGUGAUAUCUUAAAAGCUCUUGAUGUAAUGGGCUUUCGUAAUGGGCAUAUAGACGUGUAUCUGUAUUCUGAGCAAAUCAACAGGGAGGAGGCUGUAGUCGACUGGACUUUACCCGAAAGUAAAUUCCUCACUCUCCUUUGCUCGUCAUCGUUUCUAUUUUAAAUUAUAUAUAUAUAUAUAUUGUAAUCGGACUUGUUUCUCUGUUGUUGUUUGUAGGCGAAUCUUACGGCGCUUGUGUUUACAAAGUGCCGGAUAUCACUUUGUAUAUGAUUCGUCACGCAUCGUGUAUUGGACCAGGACCAGUGAAUUUUUUUGUAAUUGCAAAACCAAAAAGGGAGUUACAUAGGGUUCUGCACUGUUUGCAAUCAAGGCGUCACAAUGUUCUUCUAGUAAAGCCGCCGCCUCCUGAUGAAGAAUUUCUCUUUAGUGUAGCCUCUCUACUUGAGAAUGCUCGAUUUUUAGGUGGAGGAAAGCCUAGAUUCAAAGAAUUAUAUGCUUCUUAUGCGCUUGAGUAUGAUAUGUGCUUUGAAGAGUAUGUAGACAUCCCAGAAGAUCUCUCCAGGACGGUAGAUUUCUCCGGUAAGACCCCAAAUUGUUUCUAGAUUUUUCUAUUUUUGAAAAUUUAUUAUAAAUGGUAUUUUAUUUAACCUCUCUUUAUUGCAUGUAUGUAUGGCUCAGAGCGUAUCCCAACCGUCAGAGGGCCUAGGACAGCCGUCUUCUGGGACGCCGUGGAUUGCCCUUUCCCUCCUUCUUCCACCCCUGAUGAGAUCUACCACUCUAUCUCAUCAGCUCUUGUUGAAAGGUAUCUUAGUGAUAAUAUUACUAUCUGGGCCUAUCUUGAUGAUGAUGACAAGAAAGGGUCUGCCUUACUGGGUGGUGACAAGACGUGGGCUUCCAGAAUCUACUUUCUUCCCGGAGGUGUGAUCAUUUCCCCCUCUCUUUUUCUUCUCUCACUUGCAUUUGUUAAUAUUUAUUUAUUUGAUUUUUUUUUUUCCUUUUUCCAGGGGAUAAAGCCUCGAGACGUAUCAGAAUGUUAAAUGACAUGUUUUUAUUGGCAAGGGACUCUCCUCAGUGCAGUAAUUAUGAAGCUAGUUUGGUCCUGUUCGCAAAUCAGUUCAUAGGUGCCGGCUACUACAUCGAUAUGCUUCAAAGAUUGGAUGCCAUUCGUUACCAUAUUCUCUUAGUCACUCCGACUCUGGACAUCAACAAACCCGAAACCCCUCAAUGGCCCGGAUUGCUUUUAGAUAGAGGCGCAGCCAGUUUUGCUCUUGAAACUAGCAAAAUCUCUGAAGAACCUCCUAGCCCCAAAAAGCAUGAAGCCCUUGCCGCCGCUGAAGAAGAAGAAACACCUAAGAAGCUGGACACGCAUGGCAAACUUCUCUUGGAAACUGAGGACAUGAAGAAACAACAAAGCCAUGAAUGUCCAGGACGGCAAAUAGAUGGAGGAUCAGGCUGGGGAAGCUCUGAAGAACCUUAUCUCAAAAAGCAUAAAGCCGGUGUGGCCGAAUAAACAUCUGAUGCGGCCGACGAAACACCGUAGGGGUUGGGACUAGCUAGCUUCUGUUGUCGUAGCCCCGUGGAUGUUUAUUUAAGCUUUUAUUUAUCAGUAUUUAAAUUUUUAUUUAUCAAAAACUCUGCUAUAUUUAAGUUUGUACUUGUAUUUUGAACUUCAAACUCUGUUGUAGUAAUUUUAUGACUUCUCUUUUUAUUCAUGCAAUCUUUGGUUUUUCUUAUUGUUGUCUUCCUUCUGUUUAACCGCCAACAAACUCGGGCAUUGCUGUUUUUCUUCAAAAUCAUGUGCUACACCAUAAUCCCAGCAUCUUGUAAUCGGGGAAAGGAUUAUUCCCUUCUAAACCAUUUCCAACCUGAAUCCAAACAAGUGAUAUGCACUUUUUUUUUGUCACAAAUUUCAUUAAUUUAAAUCUAAAAGGUCUCAACGAUUACAAACCGGAGUAGUUUCGACGGUACAAUGAACAAAAGAAGAAGCAGUAAAGCAAUAACACAUGAGAUAGAAGUGUUUAAAGGAGAGGCUUGCUCAAAGUAGAGAGAUCGGCAAAAAAAUCUUCACUUGAAUCCUUGAAACCACAGCCCGGAAGAGCUUCAAAUAGUCUGAGACGACGUUGAAAUACCCUAGUGAAAGGGAUUUGGAGGAGUUCAAUACUGGCUUGAACACCAAAAAAGAUUCACCUCUCGUGGAGAGGGAUGCAGGAGAGUCUAUCUCAACCGCAAUAGUAUCAAAAGGCCUUAAUUGCCUGGAUUUAUCAUUGAAACGCACACGAACAGCUCUAAAAACUGCAAGACUUACCCAAGAGACUAGGUGAAUCUCUAACUCUAGCUUCACUUUCGAAGAGCUUAGGACAAUGGAGUUUGGUGACGAAGUAUACGGUUUAAUCGGGUCAGAAGCUCGGACCUUGACAUUACCGUGUCUAGGCCAACUUAUUGUAACCGGAAGAAACUUGAGCAAACUGUCAUCGUACUCGUUUCCGUUGAGCGUGAGUGAGUAAGCAUCGGAUAAGAGGCAGUGAGAUUUGGAAUAGUCGGGUUGAAGCCUUAACUGCUUGGAUAUUGAAAUAAGGUUUCGAUGAGAUGCAGUAAGAGGAGACUCAAAGGAUAUGCGAUCCUUCACAAAAGAGCUCCCGAUUAGGGUUUCACCAGAGUCGGAGUGGAAGCUAAGGCCGCCGUGAGAGGAAGAUGAACCAUCGACUGAUGGGGCAUUGCGUUCACCGGAGCAUACCAGAACCAUAGCGGUGCUUGACGAAGGAGAUACAUGUACGAUGGAGAGGAAAGCUCCUCCUCCGGUGAGACAGAUCUGAAUUGUCUCUGUUCUUGACCCACGGUAGUAGAUCUCGUGGAAGAAACAUGAUGCCCUAAAUCCGGAGGUGGAGAUGGAGGGAAGUGAAAUAGGUGGGGAGGAGUGAGGCGGCGUCUGGUGAAGAUCUCGAAGAGAGGAUGAAGACGGUGGCUUUGAUUGGGAUGUAACCAUUGGGUCCGGUGGGUCAGGUGGAUCUGGAGGAUCUCGUGGGUGAAGAGGAUUUAACAGCACCGAAGCAAACAUCCACCGACGGCAAGCGAGAGAGAAGACCAGAUCCUGGUUCAUCGGCGCGGAGGGAGGUAGCGGGAGCAGAGCCAUCGGAAAAACUCAAACGAACUCGACGUCGGUGAAAGGAGCACAAUCGUUGGCCAGAGACAAGGACGAGGAGGAGCUUCAACUAGGAAGAGAACGCACCAACCGUGCCGGAGAAACAACGGUAGAACGAGCUCAUUUUUGUCGUUGCGGCUUCCUUGGUUUCCGUGUCUGAGAGAGAAGCUUCUCACAUCACAUGAUUCUCUAUAACAAGUGAUAUGCACUAAUACGACUGAAAUGUUAUAAAUUAAUUACUUUAACCAAACAACAUCGUUUAAGUUGAACUUAUGUUAGAGUCAUUGUAGAUUUAAUUCCAUGAAGUUCAGAUAGUUUAUUUGAAUUAUAAUCAUAUUAGAGUCGUAUUUAGCACAAACAUUUAGCAGGAUGGAAGUUGUUCGGUCAAAUAAAUAUUUUCACUCUUGUAAGUUUAUAGUUGUUCUGAGAAGGUGCUAAUGUUGAAAUGGCUUGUCACAAAGCAUAAACAAACAUCCAUUCCUCAGAGACUUCCUCUUCCCUCCAACCUUAAAUCAUAAUCAGAUUCUACUUCUCUUACCAUGUGUUUAAUAGAUAAGCUUCCACAUUCUCAAAUCUUUCUUUUUCUGGGCAACAAUUCUAUGUUUGAUAUUUCUGAUUGGAAGAGAUAAAAUUUAUGGAUUUCCUUAGGAGUAGAAUAUACCUCGUUUGCUCCUUUCAAGUCCUUUUGAUGCAUCUGAAAUCUUGAAAAGACAUUUGCAAGCAUCUUUGUUGUCUUCGCAAUCUUUCUUUGCUCUCAGUAAUAUUAGGAAAGGAUCAACCAGCUCUUCUUUUUUCAUGUCCUUUUUUAUGUACCUGGAAAUCUUGAAAAGACAUUUUUCGAUCAUGUUGUAUGUUGGUGCUCUUGGCUAAGUUGUUUCAGAACAUCAAAGGAGGAGGAGAUCUUGGAUUGGAAAAGGCAAGAAAGAAGUUCAUCAAGCACCCUAAGCCUCAAGAUUCGUCAACAGGAGGGGAGAUUGUGAAGUUUGAAGCUGAUGACUGGGAGAUAUUGUUAAUGUCUGGGGAAGAGAGUGAGAGCAAAAAGAACUUGAUGGCACAAAACACUGAGUUUUAGUCUAACAUUUUUAAUAUCAAAUCUUUGAAGCUUUGUGAAUCCCCUAUACACUAUUUGAUAAGUGGUUUGACAAGUGUCUUUUUUACAUUCAUUAUCACUAAAAAAUAAUGACAUGGAUUUAAAAAAAAAUGGCAUGACAUCAAUUUAAUUAUAUGUAAAAUUUCCUUAUAAAACAUUAUAAUUUUUGGAAAGACUUUUUAAAUAUGGUAUGCUAAUAAAUUUUACAUAAAAUAAAUUUUAUGUAUAAAUAUUAUUUUAGUAAGAAUUUUAAUAUAUUAGUAACUAAUAUAUCAUAUAUCACCAUUACAAUAAUAUAUAUAUAUAUAUAACAUUAAUAAACAAAUAAACUAAAUAUAAGUACAUUGUAAAAAAAAUCACGUUAACUUAUAUAUCCAUUUUUUAUAAAUAAAUAAAUAUAUAUAUAUACAUAUAUUAAAAUUAAUUGUAAAUGUGCUUUAAAAUACAAAACUAAAGCAAUAUUAAUCAAAUAAAAAUUUAUUGAUAAUUAAUGUUUAAAUUUUUUUUUAGCAUUUAUUGGUUUAUUUAGGGUUUCCCCAAAAAAAACGAAAAGAAUGCACACAGAUCCGUUCCGUUGAAAAUAUGUCAGCACCCUUGAUAUUUUCCUUUUUUAAAAAACAAAAAAUUGAGAUCCAAGAGAGAUAUAAAAACAUGCCCUCAUAGAUAUCUCAGCAAGCUGCAGCCUAGCUCUCUCAUCCGUCCGUGGAGAAAAGCAUUCAAAGCAAGAUCUAACCCCUAGCUAGAAGGAAGGUCUCUCCAAUUCUCAUCGUCAUCUCCGCAGAACCAUGGGCGAAGACGAUACCAUCGGUUUUGAGUCCUGUAAGAUCUCUCUCCAUCUAAAAUUGUUUUGUUAGAUUUCAUCUGAUUCGAUUAUAGGGGAAGUAAUGGUUUAUUUUUUCUAAUUUUUUCGUAAAUUCGUUUGUGUGUAGUGAAGCAGACGCUCGUGUACUGGAACAUGGAUGACUACCCAAUCCCUGUAGAUACUACAGAUGAGCUUGAUCCUGUUUUCGGUGAUAUCUUAAAAGCUCUUGAUGUAAUGGGCUUUCGUGAUGGGCAUAUAGACGUGUUUCUGUAUGAUGAGCAAAUCAACAGGGAGGGGGCUCUAGUCGACUGGACUUUACCCGAAAGUAAAUUCCUCACUCUCCUUUGCUCGUCAUCGUUUCUAUUUUAAAUUAUAUUUAUAAUGUAAUCGGACUUGUUUCUCUGUUGUUGUUUGUAGGCGAAACUUACGGCGCUUGUUUUUACAAAGUGCCGGAUAUCACUUGGUAUAUGAUUCGUGACUCAUCAUUUUACAGAGCAGGACCAGUAAAUUAUUUUGUAAUUGCAAAACCAAAAAGGGAGUUACAUAGGGUUCUGCACUGUUUGCAAUCAAGGCGUCACAAUGUUCUUCUAGUAAAGCCGCCGCCCCCUGAUGAAGAAUUUCUCUUUAGUGUAGCCUCUCUACUUGAGAAUGCUCGAUUUUUAGGUGGAGGAAAGCCUAGAUUCAAAGAAUUAUAUGUUUCUUAUGCGUCUGAGUAUGAUAUGUGCUUUGAAGAGUAUGUAGACAUCCCAGAAGAUCUCUCCAAGACGGUAGAUUUCUCCGGUAAGACCCCAAAUUGUUUCUAGAUUUUUCUAUUUUUUGAAAAUUUAUUAUAAAAUGGUAUUUUAUUUAACCUCUCUUUAUUGCAUGUAUGUAUGGCUCAGAGCGUAUCCCAACCGUCAGAGGGCCUAGGACAGCCGUCUUCUGGGACGCCGUCGAUUGCCCUUUCCCUCCUUCUUCCUCUCCUGAUGAGAUCUACCACUCUAUCUCAUCAGCUCUUGUUGAAAGGUAUCUUAGUGAUAAUAUUACUAUCUGGGCCUAUCUUGAUGAUGAUGAUGAUGACAAGAAAGGGUCUGCCUUACUGGGUGGUGACAAGACGUGGACUUCCAGAAUCUACUUUCUUCCCGGAGGUGUGAUCAUUUCCCCCUCUCUUUUUUUUUUCCCGUCUUUAUAUGUUACUCUCACUUGCAUUUUAUUUGAUUUUUUUUUUUUUCCUUUUUCCAGGGGAUAAAGCCUCGAGACGUAUCAGAAUGUUAAAUGACAUGUUUUUAUUGGCAAGGGACUCUCCUCAGUGCAGUAGUUAUGACGCUAGUUUGGUCCUGUUCGCAGAUCAGUUCAUAGGUGCCGCCUACUACAUCAAUAUGCUUCAAAGAUUGGAUGACAUUCGUUACCAUAUUCUCUUAGUCACUCCGACUCUGGACAUCAACAAACCCGAAACCCCUCAAUGGCCUGGAUUGCUUAUAGAUAGAGGCGCAGCCACUUUUGCUCUUGAAACUUGCAAAAUCUCUGAAGAACCUCCUAGCCCCAAAAAGCAUGAAGCCCUUGCCGCCGCUGAAGAAGAAGAAACACGUAAGACGCUUCAAAUGAUAUGAGUGCCAUGAGUGACUUCUUUGAUCCACUUCGUUUUUACAAGUGUGUUUUUGCUUAACUUUUAGUUAAUUGGCAUAUAUUCAAUUGUGUAAGUUUUUGUGUAGAAUCUCAGCUUGAUAAUGCACAACUUUUAGGUGGAGGCAUGAGGAGGAUUACGAAUGCAUGUUUGGACAGGGAUUUCAAAUCUUUUUAGGGUUUCCCGAGAAAAAAAAGGAAAAGCAUGCUACUUCGGUUGAAAAUAUGUCAACACCCUUGAUAUUUUCCUUUCUAAAAACAUGCCCUCUCUCAUCCGUAAUGAAUUAAGGAUAUUUUCUUAAAUAGAAAAGGAAAUCCAAGUUUUGAAAUUUUUAUAAAUAUGGAUGUAAUGGAUUGUAAAUUGUUCGUUCACAUAAUCCAUAUACAAAUUCUAAACAGAUAUUUGUUUCAAUAGCUUUUUGCUUUAUUAAGUUUCUUUUGAUUUUUUUUCAAAGUUAAUAUAACUUUGUUGUUCAUUCACAAAAAAAACCUAACUCCUAACUUAGCUAGAACACCAUGGGCGAAGACGAGGCCAUCGAUUUUGAGUCCUGUAAGAUCUCUUUCCAUCUCUUACCCCCUAAAUUGUUUGUUAGAUUUCAUCUGAUCGAUUAUAGCGAAAUGAUGUUCUUUUUUUUUUAAUUUUCCGUAGUGAAGCAGACACUGGUGUUCUGGAACAUAGAUGACUACCCAAUCCCUGUAGAUGCUACCAAUAAUCUUGGUCCUAUUUUUGGUGAUAUCUCAAAAGCUCUUCAUCUAAUGGGCUUUCGUGAUGGGCAUAUGACUGUGUGGCUGUAUUCUGAGCAACUGAACUACGACAGAAAAGAGGUGGGCGAGGCAGAAGUAAUCUACCACUACUUACCCCAAAGUGAGUUUCCUCACAACAACACUCUCUUUUGCUCGUCAUUUCUUUUUUUAAUUACAUAUGUAAUGAUCUGAGUUCUUUUCUCUGUUUGAUAUAUAUAGGUAUGUCUUAUUCAGCUGCACUUUACAAAGUGCCGGCCAUGACUUUGUAUAUGAUUCAGUACGCAUCAAAUAUUGGACCAGGACCUGUAAAUCUUUUGGUAAUCGCAAAACCAAAAAGGGAGUUACAUAGGGUUCUGCAGUGUUUGAAAUCGAGGCGUCACAAUGUUCUUAUAGUCGAGCCACCGCCGCCUGAUGAAAAAUUUCUCUUUAGUGUAGACUCUCUACUUGAGAAUGCACGAUUUUUAGGUGGAGGAAAGCCUAGAUUCAAAGCUUUAUUAAGUCAUUAUGCGCUUGAGUAUGAUACCUCCCAAGACUAUUAUGUAAAGAUCAAAGAAGAUGUCUCCAAGACGGUAGAUUUCUCUGGUAAGUCAUUGUUUGUUUUAGAUUUCAUCCAUUCAUAAUAAUAUUAUUACAAAUGGUAUUUAUUUAACCUCUCUCUCUCUCUAUCUAUUGCAUGGAUGGCUCAGAGCGUAUCCCAACCGUCAAAGGGGUUAGGACAGCCGUCUUCUGGGAUGCCGUGGAUUGCCCAUUCCCUCUUUCUUCCACCCCUGAUGAGAUCUACCACUCUAUCGCAUCAGCUCUUGUGGCAAAGGGUUUUAGUGCUAGGAUUAAAAUCUGGGCCUAUCUUGAUGACGACAAGAAAGGGUCUUGGAGGGAUGUGUUACUGGGUGACAAGACGUGGGCUUCCAGAAUCUACUUCCUUCCCGGAGGUGAAAUUUCCCCUCUUUUUCUUUAUAUAUCUACUUUGUAAUCUUUACCUCUCACUUCCGUUUGAUAAUAGUAUUUAUUUAUUUAUUUUUCCUUUUCUAGGGGAUAAAGCCUCGAGACGUAUCAGAAUGCUAAAUGACAUGUAUUUAUGGGAAAGGGACUCUUCUAGGUCGACCAGGUCUUAUGAAGCAAGUUUGGUCCUGUUCGCAGAUCAGUUCAAAGAUGACGCCUACUACGUCCACAUGCUUCAAAAAUUGUUGAAUGACAGACGUUGCGAUCUUGUCUUAGUCAAUCCGACUCUGGACAUCAACAAACCAGAAACCCCCGAAUGGCCGGGAUUGCUAUUAGAUAAAGGAGCAUCCUGGUUUGCUGACGAAACAAGCGAAAUCUCUGAAGAACCUAGCCCCCAAAAGCAUGAAGCCGAAGAAGAAAUACCUGAGAAGCUUCCAGUUAUGAGUGACAUGGAUUAUUGUCGUUUUGGGGAUUAAACAAGCGAAAGCUCUGAAGAUGAGGACAUGAACAAACCAGAAAGCCGUGAAUGGCCACCAGGAUUGCUAAUAGAGGGAGGAUCAGGCGUGGAAAGCUCUGAGGAACCUUGUCCCGAAAAGCAUAAAGCCGAUGCCGCCGAAGAAGAAGAAACACCUGAGAAGCUUCCCGUGUAUCGCUGGGAUCCUAUUACUCUGAUGUACAAACUAAAAAGCCUUGGAUGAACAGGCUGUGAAAGCUCUGAAGAACCUUGUCCCAAAAAGCGUGAAGCCGAUGCGGCGGCCGAAGUAGAAACACCAGAAGCUUCAAAUUAUAUGACAAUGAGUGACUUCUUUGAUCCACUUUAUUUUUCCAAGCGUCUUUUUUUACUUCACUUUUAGUUAAUUGGCAUAUAUUCAAUUGUGUAAGGUUAGCUAUUUUACUCAACUGCCUAUGUGCUGUUGGCUAUAAUAUUGUUGAAUGGAAUAUAGCUCUGUUUCUAAAUCUAUCGGACUAAGAAUAGGAUUUGAUUGUUUUUUCUUAUGAUUCAUGAAAUUAGGGUAAAUAAGAUGUGAUUCUUAGUUGUUUUCUGGUUUCAACAACUCAUUAUUCUUUGCUAAAUCCAUCUUCAGAAACUAGGAUGUACGAGCUUUCUAGUGUGUGAGGAAUUCUUUAACGUUAGGUUUCUGUACUAAUUGUAUUUCGUCAUAAUCCUCUUGUGUUUCAUCAGGGAUUCCCUUCUUGGGAAAAGGAAGCUAAAACUUUUUCAGCAUAUGAGUAACAAACUUGAUUUAAAAUUGUUGUCAACUCAGCCUUGUUUAUUUUUUGCCUUGGCUGACUUGACCUAGUUUUACCCUUUUGUAGUUUACAAAUUCAUCUCAUAAUAUAUGAAAUUCACAUUUUGGUAAAAAUAAUAAUAAUAAUAAUAAUAAUCAACAUUAUAAUGAGCCAGUUUCAAGGCUCCUCAGCGCGCUACGUCAACAUUAUAAUGAGCCAGUUUCAAGGCUCCUCAGCGCGCCACGUCAGCAUUUUGUGGGUCCCACCUUUAAAAAAAGUGAAAAAAUGUCAAGCCCAUAACUCGAACCCGGGUUAUUAACAUAUAAACACCAACAUUUAUACCACUAAACUAAAGGAUACUUUGUAUGUUGAUGGUUGAAACUAAUAUAUAUUUAUGAAGGUCAGUUUAAUAAUGUCCCACAAAUAAAUAAAAUGAUUUACAAAUCAAAUCACGUUCUCUAUUAUUUGUUGAUUGAUUUGUGAGCUUAUUUUUUAAACUCGCUAGCCCAUCUAUUACAUCAGCUUAUACAUUUGAUUAAAGCGUCUAUCUUAAUAAACCAUAAAACUGGUCCUAAAAAGCCUGCAAGUCGUCAGCUCUUCGUCUUCGACUGAGACCUAUGGUUUUCCCAAUCAUGCGCCUCCCCUCCAAUACACAGACGCUACUGUCUAAACUUCUCCAAUCAAAUCCAUGGAACUCUUAGUCUCUUUCUAUCUCUUCAUCUCCCCCUCUUUACGCACACCAUCAAAAACGCUAGCGUCUCAUAACUGAUACGAACGGCUUCGCUAUAUAUAGGUCAUGUUAGAUCCAGGAGUCCAACCUCUCAUAUCUACGAACACUUUUUGUUUCAAUUGUUGAGCAUGUCUGUCUCUGAUGCUAUUGCCGUCCUCCCCACCACCUUCAACGCUCUCCGCAUUUGUCGGUCUUCUCAAGUUUGUUGUUGGCCGUCUCCUCAGCUACUGGGAUCCCCGUAACAUCAAUAAAAAUUGUGAAUUUAAAAUUGUUGUCAACUCAGCCUUGUUUAUUUUUUGCCUUGGCUGACUUGACCUAGUCUUACCCUUUUGUAGUUUACAAACUCUUCUCAUAAUAUAUGAAAUUCACAUUUUGGUAAAAAAAAUAAUAAAUAAUAAUAAUAAUAAUAGUAAUAAUAAUGUUCUUGUGUCCUGAACGAUAUUAGGUGGAAAGGGUUUAAAAGUCGGUACAAACCAGUGGAUUGGAUUCGGAUCGGAGCUUGUGUCCUCGACGAUAUUAGGUGGAAAGGAUUCAAAAGGGUUUAAAACAAGGUAAUAAUCUUGUUCAUUCAGUUUGCCAUUUUCUCUUGAGCAAGUGACAACUUUUGAUUUCUGUAUUCUAAUGUACACAGGAAAGGAUAUUGGAAGAGCAUAGGAAAAUGUUGCACAACAGCACAAGGUAUAGUGAAACGGGACCAGAAAAGGAGAAAGAGAAUCUCGAAGCUGCUGGAAUAGAAUCUAAACAAUUUACAUAACUUUACAUGUAUUUGACCACAUUGGAAAAAAAUAUAUUUAAUUGUAGAAAAUAGCUUUUGGUAUAAUGUUAAACGAAGGAUUUUUGAAUUAUAAUUAGUUUAAUUUUUUUUGUUAUUUUAUAUUGAGGUUAUAAUAGGUAUUAUUUAAUCAUAUUAAAAAACAAGAACAAUACUUAAGUCUAAAACUGAAACAGAUGGAGUAAUUAUUAACGUGAUUAAUUUGUAUUAAAUUCUUUUAUAAAUAAAUUAAAUAAUUGUAUUUUUUUGAAAACACAGGUUAAUUUCCAAAUUUAAUAUUAUUAUGCCCUUUCAGUUUCAACUAAUGUUCGUAUUUUUAUAUAAAUAUAUUCUUGUCUUCUUGUUAUAUAGUCGUAUUCAUGUUUGGAAUGAAGACAUUAUUAAGAUUAGCUAAUACAAAAUGCAUAUUAAAAACGAGGAAAGUGAUUUGAAUCCUUAAAAUUGGAAUCAAAGAGUAUGUGUCUUUUUCUCCCCGUGUUUCGUUUCUGACAUUGCCACAUUUGUUGGAAUCUCUGGCAACUUAAUUAUUUUUAUUUUAUUCUGAUUCCACAUGACCUGUAAUCAAAUUAAUUCAGUUGUUUUGCUAGAUCGGGAAAUUAAUAUUUUUGAUCAUGAUAACCAACCGUUCUCCUGCAGUGAACUCCAGCAUUUUUUGGGGGUCAGUUACCGUUUCUGGACUCCGUAUAUUAAUAAGCUAACAGAGUUUGACUACAUUUGAUUUUGUGAACCAAAAUAUUAUUGCGGUUUCUUACGCUUUUUAUUUUCGCUCGUAAAUAUUAGUUUUAAAACAUCUUAUACAUCUUAAAAAAACAUCUUAUUCAUCUUAAACUUUUUUCUCAUUCAUCUUAAACUAAUUAUCUAAUAAAAUGUAGUUCACUAAAAUAUUAAAUAUUUAUGGCUUCAUAUCAAAAAAAUUCAAGUUGUCUUGGAAAUUAGAGAACAUAAAAUAUGCGGACUCAGAUGUGAAAUACGAAUCAUUACUCUGGAUAUGACUUAUUAUAUGCUUGUUUUCGCAGCAAAUUCUGGACUAGGACGUGUAAAUGUAGCGGUAAUCACAAAACCAAAAAAAGGAGUUACAUAAGGUUCUGCAGUAGUGUUUGAAAUCGAGGAAUCACAAAGUUAUCGUAAUAGAGCCGCCUUAUGAAGAAUGAAUCUUAUGUGUACAAUCUUUGCUUGAUAAUGCACAACCUUUAGGUGGAGAAAGGCCUAGAAGCAAUGAUAUAGAUUCUGAUUAUGAGGAGGAUUACGAAUAUGCAUGUUUGGACAGGGGAUUUCAAAACAUUUUUAGGGUUUCCAAAAAAAAGGAAAAUAAUGCACAGAUCCGUUGGUUGAAUAUGUGUGCAACACCCUUGAUAUUUUCCUUUUUAUUUGAGAUCCAAAGGGCUAAAAACAUGCCCUCUCUCAUCAGUAAUGAAUUAAGGACAUUUUCUUAAAUAAAAAAGGAAAUCAGAGUUUUGAAACUAUUAUAAAUAUGGGUGCAAUGGAUUGUAAAUUACUCAUUCACAUAAUCCAUAUACAAAUUCUAAACAGAUAUUUGUUUAUUUUAUUCAGAGUUUUGAAACAGCGUUUUGCAUUCUGAAGUUUUUUUUUUAAUUUUUUCAAAGUUAAUUCGACUUUGUUGUUCAUUCACAACAAACCCUAACUUAGCGAGAAAAAGUCUUCAAUUCUCAUACCCAUCUCUCCGUAGAACCGAACCAUGGGCGAAGACGAGACCAUCGAUUUUGAGUCGUGUAAGAUCUCUCUCCAUCUCUUACCCCUAAAUUAUUUUGUUGGAUUUCAAUUGAUCGAUUAUAGCAAAAUAAUGGUUUUUAUUUUAAUUUUCCGUAGUGAAGCAUACACUGGUGUUCUGGAACAUGGAUGAUUACCCAAUCCCUGUUGAUACUACGGAUGAUCUUGGUCCUGUUUUUGGUGAUAUCUCAAAAGCUCUUGAUCUAAUGGGUUUUCGUCUCGGUUUUAUGGACGUGAGAUUGUACUCUGAGCAACACAACUACGACAAAAAAUUGGCCGAUAUAAUCCGCCCAUCCUUACCCAAAUGUAAGCUCCUCACAACAACACUCUUGUCUUUUGCUUGUCUUUUCUAUUUUAAUCAUUAUUAUGUAAUCGGAGUUGUUUCUCUCUUGUUUAUUAGGUGGUGGUACUUAUUCGGGUUGUGUUUACAAAGUGCCGGAUAUCACUUUGCAUAUGAUUCGUCACGCAUUAUACAUGGGACCAGGACCAGUGAAUUUUUUUGUAAUCGCAAAACCACAAAGGGAGUUAUUCAGGGUUCUGCAGUGUUUGAAAUUGAGGCGUCACAAUGUUCUUCUAGUAAAGCCACCGCCGCCUGAUGAAGAAUGUCUCUUUAGUGUUGACUCUCUGCUUAAUACUGCACGACUUUUAGGUGGAGGAAAGCCUAGAUACAACCCUUUACAACGUUAUACGGAUGAGUUUGAUAGCUCUCUAGAAAAGUAUAUAGAGAUCAAAGAAGAUCUCUCCAAGACGGUAGAUUUCUCCGGUAAGACCCCAAAUUGUUUUUAGAUUUUUCUAUCUUUGAAAAUUUAUUAUAAAAUGGUAUUUUAUUUAACCUCUCUUUAUUGCAUGUAUGUAUGGCUCAGAGCGUAUCCCAACCGUGAAAGGGCCUAGGACAGCCGUCUUCUGGGACGCCGUGGAUUGCCCUUUCCCUCCUUCUUCCACCCCUGAUGAGAUCUACCACUCUAUCUCAUCAGCUCUUGUGGAAAGGGAGUUUAGUGAUAACAUUACAAUCUGGGCCUAUCUUGAUGAUGACGACAAGAAAGGGUCUGCCUUACUGGGUGAUAGGACGUGGGCUUCCAGAAUCUACUUUCUUCCCGGAGGUGAUCAUUUCCCCCUCUUUUUUCUUUAUAUCUAUCUAUCUAUCUAUCUCACUUCCAUUGAUAAAUAUUUAUAUUAUUUUCCAGGGGAUAAAGCCUCUAGACGUAUCAGAAUGUUAAAUGACAUUAAUUUAUGGAUGAGGGACUCUCCGCAGAUGUCCACGAGUUAUGAAGCCAGUUUGGUCCUAUUCUCAGACCAGUUCAAAGAUGACGACGUCUACUACAGAGAUAUGCUUCAACGAUUGGGUAACAUGCGUUACUAUGUUCUCUUAGUCACUCCCGCGCUGGACAUCAACAAACCAGAAACCCCUGAAUGGCCUGGAUUGCUUAUAGAUAGAGGCGCAUACUUUUUUGAUGAAGUAAAAAUCCAAAUCUAUCAAGGACCCGAUGCUGCGGCGGCCGAAGAAGAAACACCUCCGAUUAUGAGUGACAUGGAUUACAGUCUUCUCUCCCCUUUUGGUGAUCAAACAAGCGACAGCUCUGAAGAUGAAGGCAGUCCAUUCUGGCCACCUCGGACUGAUGACAUGCUAGAUGGAGGACAAAGCUCUGCCGAAAAAGAAACACCCGUCUAUCGCUGGGAUCCUUUUACUCUCAUGUACAAACUUGAAAGCCUAUUUCCCAAAGAGCAUGAAGCCGUUACUGCGGCCGAAGAAGAAACACCCAAGAAACUUGCCACGCAUGGCAUUUGUCGCUUGGAUCCUACAAGCUUUGAAUGGCCAGGACGGCAAAUAGAUGGAGGAUUAGGCUGUGAAAGCUAUGAAGAACCUUGUCCCAAAAAGCAUAAGGCUGAAGAAAACGCCUGAGAAGCUUGCCAUGUAUCGAAAUUUUCUCUUGGAACCUAUGAUUCCCGACAUGAACAAACUAGAAAGCCCUGAAUGGCCAGGAUGGUGGCAAAUAGAUGGAGGAGUAUGUUCUGCCCAUUUGAUGAUAAAAACAAUGUCAUGUUUUUUCUUAGAGCAGAAGAGAAACAAAAGAAGUUAGCAUGUCCUUGCUUAGGUCUUAGUCUCCUUGUUAUAUGUCAUGUCCCUGUAAUAAUGUGGUUUUAAGAGACAAUUCAUUUUCACCCUUAUGGUAAGAUGAAUUUUUUUUUUCAUUGUGGUUAAAGUGAUCGGAUGAUUGUUAUGGUAAUGGAGGAACAAAAUGAGUGUUUUUAGGUGAUACUAUACUUUAUCCUUGGGUCACGUUGUGGUCACAAUUUGACUGUAUAAGAAUCAUUUGGUUAAUGGAAAAGUUGACUUUGAACUAAGAAAAAAAAAAGUUAGCAAAUGCUGUAGGAAGAUUUUUUUAAGUUCUUUUAGCAAAUCACUUGGUUAAUGGAAAUUUUGAUUUUGGGUCAAAUUUGAAGCUUAUUUAGGGCCAAAGAGUUAUUAGUAUGUUUUAACAAAUAUGUCAAAUGAAUUCUCGUUGAACUUCUUUAUUAUGACAAAAACACAACAAACACUUGGACAUAAUUUUCUACAAAUAGGUUUCAAAUUUACAGUUUGAAGUGCAAGGGAAAAAAAGUUUAGAAUGCUCCUGUGCGUAGAGACUGGCUAGUAAAAAGGGACAAGGUACGACUACGACAUUUUACUGCUGUCGUCUGAUUGGGUACUCCAUAUACUACAUAUUAAAUUAUAAUUUAAAAUAAAAGUUACUACAUAUUAAAUUAUAAUUUAAAAUAAAUAAACUUUUAUGUAACUUUUUGAAAAGAAGUAAUUAAGAUUGUGCUUCUGAGAAUGAUAGUUUUAAUAAAGUUGAUUCUAAUUAUUUCAUUUUGUUAAAAAACAUGAACAUCUGCAAUAAAAAUGAAAAUUAACAAAAAUAAAUAUUUGUUACGGUAUAUUACUAAAGAAACCAUUUUAAAAAAUUUAAAUUAAUAAGUGAUUUAAAUGACUUAUUGUAUAAAUGUUUUUAUACUAGAAAAUAACAAAACAAAAAAUAUUUAGUAGUAUAUUAUUCUAAGCUGAUCAAACCAUCCAUUACAUUAUUUUGAUUUGGAACUAGAAGUCCAUGUGAGUGUUUAAUAGUCCAUAUGGAUGAAUGUUAUAUAUAGAACAAAUUUUUAUCUAUUAUUAUUUAUUUGUAUUCAUUUACGUAUUAUGUAUAUAAUUAAAUUAGAAUACAUCCAUAAAUAAAAAAAAAUACAUUUUGUUUAUUUACGAUACUUUUUUGGUAAAUAAAUCAAAACAAUCAUUUUAUUUAUUUUAUAUGGUAUAUAACUAAAUUUCAAUGACAUGGAUAUAUAUAUAUAUAUAUAUAUAAUAUUUUAAUAUAGAUAUUUAUUAUUGAGAAUUCAUAUUCAUAUGAUAAACACAAAAUUUCUAGGGAGAAUUUGGUGUAUAUACAAAAGAAAGAAGGAAAUGAAGAAUAUACCGUUGAUUUUGACAUAAUGAAAUCGAUGACAAUUAGCCCAAUAAAGGCCCGGUUUUGCCCCUUUCCAGUACAAGUUCCCGGUUACCGCGAGCGAAGGGAGAGGACUGAUAUGUUUCAGAUGGAAUAGUAAUCUCCGCUGUGUUAGAAAUGGUAUAUACAUGUGUAGCUGAUAUUUUACAGAAGACACGUUGCAGUUGUAAAAAUCGCAUACGGUAUCACGGUAUUCAUGAAAAACAUGUGGAAACUAGUUGAUACAAGUAUUCCAUUUUCACCUAACCACAUGCUAAAAUUCGAUGGUAUGGAAAUGAGUGGCCUGUAAACUAUUUACCAUCACAUCAUUACCAGAAGGCAACGUCACCAACGUAUUUACCGCAUACGUUGGCACAGUGAUCAGUAAACACGUGUGGAUAAUAAGUGGUGAUGUUCUCAUAUAUGUGUAUUCUAUUUACUCCAACCUGUUAGUCUACCUCUGUAACAAAAGACACUGAAGAAGGUGAACACAAAGAAAAAAUUAAUGCUUAACUGAAGAAGGUGAACACAAAGAAGAAGUUAAUGCUUAACCGCAUCGAUCAGGUAAUAGUUCUCUAAUCAUAUGAUAAUAAAUGUUGGGGAAUGUAUAUGCUUAUAACUUCAUUCAACAGUAUAACUACUGGUCCACAUAAUGGAAUAGUAUUUGUACAAUCUGCUUGGCAGUUCCGACUCUUCCAUUGCGAACCUAGCACACGAAAUAGCAAAGAAUGUUACAACAUAAUGGAAUAGAACAACACUGAUGUAUUUAUAUAAUGGAAUAGAACAAACCAUGACUGCUAAAAACAUGAUUAAAAUCCGAGAGCAACACAAAAUACAAUUUGGAAAUUGAGUACUAAACACCACGCAUGAACAAAUACGAAGGAUUAACGGGAACAAACGGUUGCGAUACACGUACAUCAGGUAGACAAUAAACCCCCAAAAUCCGAUUUCUUAAAAACAGAUCAUACCAUAUGACAUAGAACAGUGAAUACAUGGAAUAAAACAAAACCAAAAGACAAAAGCAUUUAUAAACAGCGAAACCUACCUUAAAAACAGAUCAUACCAUAUGACAUAGAUCAGUGAAUACAUGGAAUAAAACAAAACCAAAAGACAAAAGCAUUUAUAAACAGCGAAACCUACCUUAAAAACAGAUCAUACCAUAUGACAUAGAACAGUGAAUACAUGGAAUAGAACAAAACCAAAAGACAAAAGCAUUUACAAACAGCGAAACCUACCUUUGACAUGUAAUAGAAACAAAAGAGACUGACGAUUACAUAGUACAAAAUGUAAGGAGUCAGUCAAUUAUACAUAAAGACCAGAAAUAUAUAAACCCCCAGAAUCAGAUCUACAUGUCAACAGAACCGGAUUCAGACAUGCAAUGAGGGGAUAACCAUAAACGAAAGGUGAAGCGCAUGACCACAGAAAGAACUAACCUUUUCGAACUUCAAAUCCUCGACGAUUUUCUGGCUUGACGUUUCGGAAGAAGAAACCUUUUCGAAGUUUUCGAGCUUCAAUCCGCCUUAUACGCAAGCAAUUACCGACGCCCUUCACCGACACCGGAAUGAUUGUCGACGACUUUCCCCGGAGUUGUGAGAGAUGCCGUGAAAUUAAUCUUAGAGGAGAAGAUAAGUGGAAGUUACUUCCCUUGUGUGAAAAAUGAAAGGUCAGGGAAGUUACACGACGUAAAAACCCUAUAAAAUAAAAACAGGUUUAUAUAUUUAUUUAAUUUUAAUGCAGACGGUGGAACCGGUUAAUCAUGGGGGCAGAAUUGCAUUUAUACAUAUUACACACGAUGUAUCCUACCAGAUUAGGUCAAACAGUCAUAAACUGAAUUAUAAUUUUAUUUUGUGAUAUACAAUCCAAUUUCUCAAAUUUCUAAUGUGCGAUUUUUUGAAUGCAAAUUUCAAAAUUAAAAUAUUAAGGUUUUAAUACUUUUCAGAAAUUAUCAUAUUUGAGUAUUUUUCUAGGUUAUAUAGUUUAAUUUUAAACUAUAUUAAUAUAUAAUAUGAAUGUUUAGUAAAUGAGACUUCAUAUUCAUACGAUUUGUGAUCAUUUGUAUCUUGUUAUUAUUAAAAAAAAAUUAAACCAUUGAUCACAAAAUUUUAGUGUGAGACAUUUAACGUUUUUAGUAAUUUAUAGUCGUUUUAAAAUUUUAAAAUAUAACAUAUAAUGUGGUUGUUUAAUAUCUUGUACUAAUAUAAAAUUAAAAAAAUUAUUAUCAAAUAUUUAUAUUGGGCUCUAGCUCUCACACAUUCAAAGCACGAUCUAGCCCUAACUUAGCGAGAGAAAGUUUCCAAUUCUCAUCGUGGAACCAUGGGCGAAGGCAAGAUCAUCGAUUUUCGUUCCUGUAAGAUUUAGACUAUUACCCGAAAUUGUUUGUUAGAUUUCAUCUGAUGGAGUAAAUAUUAAUGGUUAAUGGAUCCGUUUUUGUUAAAGGGGAUAUGACAGACGUCUACUGGAACAUGAUGACUAACCAAUCCCCGUUGGUGCAGAUCUUGAUUCUAUUAGAAGUAAUAUCAACGAAGCUCUUCGUUUAAUGGGAUUUCAUGGGCAUGGGGACUACAUCAAUGUGCAUUGUAACUUGUAAGCAACUCAAGUGCGACGUAAAAGACGAGUUGAGCAAGGCCAGAAUCUUUUAAGAACCUAGCUUUAGAUAAUGAGAGUGCCAUGCAGUGAGUGACUUCUUUAAUCCACUUCAUUUUUUUCAAGUGUGUUUUUUUUUUUACUUCUUAAUUGGCAUAUAUUCAAUUGUGGAAGGUUAGCUAUUUCGCUCAACUGCCUAUUUGUUGAAUGAAUAUAGCUCUGUUUCUAAUUCUACCGGACUAAGAAUAGGAUGUAAAAAUAAAUGUAAGGAAAAGAGUGUAGUGUUUAUCGUUUUCUCGGAUUUGAUUGUUUUUUUCUUUUAUGAUCCAUGAAAUUAGGGUAAAUAAAAUGUGAUUUCUUAGUUGUUAUCUGGUUUCAACAACUCAUUACUCUCUUGCUAAAUCCAUCUUCAGAAACUAGGAUGUGCGAGCUUUCUAGUGUGUGAGGACGUUAGGUUUCUGUACUAAUUGUAUUUGGUCAUAAUGCUCUUGAGUCCUGAAUGACAUUUUACGUGUAAAGGUUCAAGUGUCGGUACAAACCAGUGGACUGGGUUCAGAUCGAGCGUAAACAAGGUAAUAAUCUUGUUCAUUUUCUUGUUCUCAGUUUGCCGUUUUCUCUUGAGCAAGUGAAUUACUGUUCUCUAAUGUCUACAGGAAAGGACAUUGGAAGAGCAUAGGAAAAUGUUGAACAAGGUAAUGAAACGGGAUCAGAAAAGGAGAAAGAGAAUCUCGAAGCGGCUGAGCUUGUAAGACAGUGGAGUAGUCACUCAAAAGCCAGAUAAAGGUCAAAUAGAUGGUAAAGAGAGACAACAAUACACCCCGACAGAACUGUACACUUUUACAACAAGUAUUUUAACUCGUCUUUAACCGAAAGAACGACUUUGAUAAAAUACCUGCGGUAUCACCUCCAACGUCUUACAAAAAUUAAAGAAGAGGUUUAGAUUUCUUCCGUCUGUGGAAUAUGUUGAAAUAAUCAAAUCCAGAGUGGGACGAGAGCUUCUUCAUAUGGUCGUCAUAAACUCAACGUUUCAUUCAAGAACAGUGGCACACACAAAUACUGAAACGACAUCUACGGUAAUGUUCGGUUCUUUGAGCUAGAAAUUUUGAAGGUGAUAUAACUAGGAAAUUUUGGAGGUUUUACUGGACCUAUCGCAAUAAGUUCGUAUAGAUAAAAAAAUAUUUGAAGAAGUGCAAUCGAGCUUUUUUAUCUAUACAAACUCAUAGCCAUCGGACCAACAAAACCUUCAAAUUUUUCUGGUUAUAUCACACUCACUCUUAUUGCUCAUUGCUUUUUAGUAGCUGAAGAAAAUAUACAAUAUAAGACUUGAGAGAUAGAGAGAGAGGAGAAGGAAACUGAUCUCUGUGUUUUUUUUUGCUGUGCGACUCGGUUAUGUAGAGAUGAAGCAUUUAUUUAUAGGCAAAGCUUCCACAUUAUAAAACAAGAGUGUAUUUCAAAAAUGAUGAUAAAUUAAAAGAAUACUGGUGACAAACUUGAGUGAAAGCAGUACUUGUGAAAACUCAUGUGGUGUGUAAGAAGUAAGAACUCAUGUGAUGUGUUUCAGAAAAAAAAGAAAAAAAAAAGAACUCGUGUGAUGUGUAAAUAUGUGUGCAUGUGUGAAAAUUGAUUCAUGGAGCGAUGUUUCUCAUCUCUCAUCCGUUGGAUUAUGUUUCUGUGUGUUAUUAAGAUAUGAAGCGUGUCCGCUGGUGAGAUCGAGGUCCUUGUGGAAAAGUUUUCUAUGUUCGUUUAAUAAAUAAAGCUCUCUUCUAAAGACAAAGUCACUACAAAAUAUGAUGUCUCUGAUAACUUCUAAUGCCCUUUAUCAGAUGAAUAAAUCUCUGAUUAUAUGUCGAGAUGCUGCAGACUGAUACUGGUUGCUGCAUUUUUGAUGAGUUCUUUCCGGGCACCGACCUGAGAUAAAAAAACAGAUCCAAGUUUGUGAAUAUGUCAUCAGUUUUUUUACACAGAAGAAUCAACCAAGUUUGGGACUUCCUAGCCUUACCCGAGCACCCAUAAGAGAGGAGAAUGUCAUGUUAGCUUCUGCUAUGUCAUCGACAACUAGUUGCUUCAGAAUCCUUGUUUCUGGAUUCAUUGUUGUUUCCCAAAGCUGCUCAGGCAUCAUCUCUCCCAGACCUGGAAAAGCAAAAACAUUAUCAUAUCAGCAAGUGAACUCUAGAUCUGGUUAUGUAUGUAUAUCUCAAACUCCUAACGUUUUUUUUUUUUGUUUAAACAUUUAUAUUUACCUUUGAACCUUUGAAUGGUGUAGGAUGCAUUUGCAGGGAAGUUAGAGGUAAUCUUUUUGAGAUCUGCAUCAUCAUAACAAUACUGUGCUUGUUUUCCCCUCUCAACCUGAUCAUUUCCAAGGACAAAACAUUUAUUACAAAAUAUGCUGAAGAUCAUAAAGUAUAUAUUACCUUAAAAAGAGGUGGAACUCCAACAUAGAUGCAACCGGCGUCAAACAAGGCUCUCUGUCCAAACAAACAUUCAGUUUAAGUUGACAACUAGAUUAACUCCACCAACUGUGUCUAAGGGAGAUUGUUUGCUUAAUCAUAAACUGGUUUUACCUGAUAUCUGAAGAAAAAGGUUAAUAGAAGUGUCCUAAUAUGUGCACCAUCAACAUCAGCAUCUGUUAAGAUGAUAAUCUUAUGGUACCGCAGAUUCUCCGUCUUGAAAUCUUCUCCCUGAAACCAAAUUAUUUAUCUCAUUGAGUUUUCCACAAAGAGAGGAGAGUGAAAAAAAUAACAAGAGACAGAAAAGGGAUUAUUAUUAUUAUUAUUAUUAUAUCACCUUUACUCCAAGUCCAAGGCCAAGAAUUAGAUUCUGAAUCUCUUCAUUCUUAUACAUGGCUGCUUCAUCCUUUCUUUCAAUGUUCAGAAUUUUACCUCUCAAUGGAAGUAUUGCCUGCAUAUAUAUCCAAAAUCUAUGUUAUAAACAUCGCUGCCAAAGUUCAUAUAGAGGUAGAAGUGUGGUUACCUGAAAACGUCUGUCACGGCCCUGUUUUGCACUGCCACCAGCAGAAUCUCCUUCAACUAUGAAAAUCUCUGAAGACAUUGCAAAGAUAUGUCACUAAACUGAAUUAGCAUGGCUUACAGAUGUUAUCAUACAGGUUCCUUUUUCACUUCUCAGUUGUAACAUAAGAAAUCAUAUAUUAUCUGUCGUGCUUAGCUUUCAACAAUUAUUCAAACAGCAUUUUUCAUACCGGCCAGUACAUACCAGAUUCUUCAGGAUUUGUUGAUGAGCAAUCAGCCAGUUUCCCAGGAAGUGAUGAUGACUUCAGAACGCUUUUUGAUCUCACCAGCUCCCUUGCCCUCUUGGCAGCCAAAGCAGCCUAGAUAAAGAGCACAUAGCGAGAAUGAGGUAGAUAAUUUAGUUGAAAGUUAGCAAGUAACAGAAGAAGCAUACCUUGUAAGCGUUAAGGGAUUUGGAAACAAUGUUGUCAAGUACAUCUGGAUGCAGUUCCAGAUACUCCGUGAGAUACUCCUGCACUGAUUGGUCCACAAUUUUUCUCACCUCUGGAUUUCCUAAUCUUGUCUGCAAGGGGAAGGAAGGAUUAGGAGAUGAGUUAUAAUUAGUGGGAGUAAAAUUGCACACAUGAGAGAGAAAUAAAUGCUUCCUGUUGACAGAGAUCAGUGCUAAUGAGACAAUCAUUAUGGGUUCAAGUACCUUGGUUUGACCUUCAAACUCAGGAUUAGGAAUCUUGACUGAGACAAUACAGGUCAGUCCCUCUCUAACAUGUUCCCCACUUAAGUUAAUAUCCUUCUCCUGAAAACACAUCCAACAAGAUUAUUUACAUACUAAAUAAAAUAAAAUAAAGAACAAUUAGGAAGUGCUCCCUGAAGCGCUAACAAUAAAUGCUUAAUUCAGUGCAAAAAGCAGGAUCUAUAACGUACACAUUCCUACAGUUCAACCACACAUAACGUCACAAGUACAUUGUUCAAAUUCAGUUCAGUUAACCAGGUCCAAGAAGAGUAUAUAGUUCUCUGACUACAUUAUCUCAGAGGACUCUUUCUAGUUUCAAGCAAGCUAUGAUCAAGAAAAAAUAGUAGUUGAAAAAGCGCAUGAGAUUUUCCGUUAACAUGAGAAAGAUAAUGGCCAAAAAGGGUCUAAACCUAGUAAACAUAGAAAUAGAACUGGUUACUGAUGUAUCACAUUACCUUAACAGUUUUUGACUUUUUUGCAAGGGCAUUAAGGGUCCUUGUUAAUGAAGCCUUCACACCUUCGAUGUGUGUUCCGCCAUCAAUAGUGCGAAUGCUAUUGGCGUAUCCCAGCAUCGUGUCAGAAUACGCAUCUGAGCACCUGGUACAAAAAAAUGUGUAAAUCCAUAAGAUCAUAUCACUUUAUAAUAGCCAUAUAAUAUGUGCUUUCUUAUGUACUAAGAUGGAAUGUUAACUACUUUUAUUGAUCCAAUUUACAGGUAAAUAGUAACCAAAGAAUCAUGCAGCCACUGUGUUCAAUCUUGUAACAGAGUAUGAGAUUAGGGAAAACAACAUACCAUUGAAGGGCAACGUCAAUGGAGGCACCGUUAGUCUCUUUCCUGAAGCCCAGCACGUCAUGAAUCGGACUCUAAACAAAAAUAAUCGUCAGCUAAUCUUUUCAAAGCAAUAUACUAAUUGUAAUAAGGGAAAAAACAAUGUAUAAGAGUUCACUUCUGUAUAACUUGAGUAAAUAAAUAGUCCAUAUUUAUACUAGGAUCCUUAAUAGCAACCAACUAAUCAAAGAAUAGUGUAUAUACCACAUAACCUUUGGCAUAAUUCUAGCCAUGUUAACCUAUGAGUAUGCUUCAUACACCUAUAAAAUGUUAUUUAAAAUGUGUAGAUUCUCACCUUAUCAAUGUUUAGCCAGCUAACAUAUUCCUUCAAUCCUCCAGCGUAAAAAUAUUCAGUAUAUUGGCUCUUCUCAGGAUCAUCCUCCUCUUUUUUAAGCGAUAUGGUAACCUGCAAACACCAAGAUAAAGAGCAAUUUCUUAAGACAAAAGAUUCAUACAACAUCAGCAUCUACAAAAAAAAGUGAGCAACUGUCAUGGUCGACCCUUCACCUUUGGAUUGAGAAAUGCAAGCUCUCUGAUUCGUCCAGCAAUAGUGCUAUGGUCGAAUUCAAUUGCCGUUGUGAACACUGAAAAAAAAAAAACAGUUCAUCCCAUAGAGGAAAAAAUUAAUCAUCAAAUCAAAAACUUGGGGAAAUGGAAAAGUAGUGAAGAGUGGAGAAAACCUUCUUUGUCAGGCCAAAACCUGAUGCUUGUUCCUUUGGUCCCCUUUGACUCUAGCGGCAGCUCACUGCGUGUGAGUAUAGUUAUGGGUUUCCCACGAGAAUAGUUUUGCUUAUGCUCCACACCAUCUCUCCAAACCGUAACCUCCAGUGCCUGCAAAUGAAUAGAUAGAGGAAGCUUCUAAGUUAGCUGACAAAUAUGAUAAAAAACCAUGUGAGUAAAGACUAAAGAGUAGAAGAGACCUCAGACAAAGCAUUGACAACAGAUAACCCCACACCGUGUAACCCACCAGAGACACUGUAACCACUACUUGUGCCACCAAACUUGCCACCUGCGUGUAACACCUGCACAUAUAACAAACAUGGAAAAAAUAAAUGGCUUGAUCAAUAAAGUAUCAUAAUAACUAAGGAAUGAACAAACUGAGAGACAAUUCAAGAGAUGUCGAUGAUAGUAGUAUGGUAAUGAAGCAAUACCGUAAGCACAGUCUCUAGGGAAGAUUUUUUAGUUACCGGAUGCAAAUCAGUGGGUAUCUGCACAAAGACAAAACAUGAUUACUGAUCUUUAUAUUCAAGGUUAAAAAUAAUAGUAUUAGAAGGUGUAACAUAUCACAUACCCCACGCCCAUCGUCCAUGAUACUAACUGAACCAUCCGCAUGUAGAACAACAUCAACCUUUGACGCAUAACCAGCUUGAGCCUCAUCAAUAGCAUUAUCUAGUAUCUCAUAAACCUUUUUAAAAAAAAAGAGAGAUUACAUUUAAACAGAUCACAACAACAGCGAAUAGGAACUAAAAUGGAGAGAACAUUUAACCAGAUGGUGCAGACCACGAGUUCCAGUGCUUCCUAUAUACAUCCCUGGUCGUUUUCUAACAGGGUCUAAACCUUCAAGCACCUAAUGCAUACAAACACUGAAGUUAAAAAUAGAAUAAUUUUGAACAAUUAAAGCAACAAAAUGUGUUCAAACUAUUCAGCUAAGAAAAUAAAUAAAGAGAAGGAUAAUUAUAUAAAGCUUACUUGGAUUUGCUCGGAGCUGUAACCCUUAGACGUGGCGCUCUCUUGGAAAGCCUCGGUGGAUAUGGUUGAUGACAUAAAUGACCUCGUUGAAAUUGCAUUCCUUUGUAUCAGCCCUUGACUCAAAACCUUGGUUAAUUGAACAUUUAUCCUGAAAAUUUUGAAAGAAAAAUUCAAUUAAAAAACAACCAAUUGACUAACAAAGCAUUACUAGAAUCAGACCAAGGUAGAAGAACAUUCACUUAAGCAAUAAUAACACAUUGAUAUUACUCUAAAGCACACUAACCUCAUAGUCUACAAAGACAUAGACUUUACAACACAACAACAAAAAAAAGCCAAUUUCAAUAAAGUUCGUAUUUUUAUCAGUAACACAAACCAAUUUCAAUAAAGUUUGCAUUUUUAUCAAUAACAUAAACCAAUUUCAAUAAAGUUUGCAUUUUUAUCAAUAACACAAAGCCAAAUUCAAUAAAGUUCGUAUUUUUAUCAGCAUUGAGAACAGAGUAUUGAGCAAGCAGCUACUCGGAGAAGCAAAGGGACCUGGGAGUUAGGGAGGAGAGCAGAGGCGAGGAGAGAGAUGAGCUGUGACGGUGGAGAGAUGGAGAGAGUGGAUUAGAGAAGAGACGAGGACGAGAAACCAUGAGACGUGAAUAGAGACGAAGAUAAGGAGCUCUCUGACGAAGAAGAAGCCCCAUCAAGUGAAAACUCUGUUUCUUUCUUUUUUGUCGCCUUUGUGUUUUUUUUUUCUUUCACCCUCGCUCUCGCUGUGUUAAGAUAAGAACCCUAGACGUACUUUUCUUGUCGGAAAGUUAAAUAAAUAUUUACAGAUAUAAGUAAAAUAGUAAUAUUUAGUUACGUGAAAAAAUGAAUUUUGCCGCCGAGAUUCAGAGACUUGGGCUGGCUUAGAUAUGUGGGCUUUAAUUUAAAGCCCAUAAUAAUCAUACAAUGAGCAACGAAUAUGAGGGCCAUGCGGACUUGACGUCAUCCCCACCUUCCUCCAACUCAUGGUACAAAUAUGAUCAAAUCUCUAACGUGUCAAAACUGGUAUACAUGUGCUCAGGAAGGUCUACUAGUAAAACAUGUUUUUUUUCUAUGUAACAUUUUACGUAUUACUUUAUGCAAAACAUAAUACAUUUUAACUUUUUUUUUUGAAUAACUUCAUAGGAGUUUAUGUAACAUUGUGAAAGCAACACUCUUCUGAGAAAUAAUAUCCUCCAUAACCAAGUUGUUAUCCCUCUGGACACGGUUUUCAGGAUUAUUGAUCGAAAGGUGCGAAACAUUCUCUUAGGAAGGAGAGGAAGGAGAAAAUGCAACACUCUCUUGUCUUCUUGGCUUAAGUUUGAGUAAGCUCUGUUCUAGAAAUCUGUAAAACUCUCUGUAAUACUUCUUUGUUUUUCCUUUUUUUGCUUUGGAAGUGUUGUCAUUAGGAUUACAACUUUGUAAGAUCUUUUUUUCAUAUUAUAUGAUAUUAACGUUUUAGCAAAAAAAAAACAUUGUGAAAGCUAACCGACAUUAAUGCCUAACUAAAGAAAACUUGGUAGAUUUAAACAACAACAACAGAGUUUUAUCAAAUUCCCUGUGAUCUUUUGAUCUUUCCAGCAAGUGUAGCCUCAUAUGUGUCUAGAUUGGGGUCUUCUGAUACGCCAACUAACGAUAAGAUGUACGUCUUAUCUUAUCUUAUCAAGAGCGGGAGCUAGGCAACCGGAAUGAUAUAGUAGACUGUAGAUAGGUUAGAGAGAAUGUGGGCUUCAUGCUCAUCGUCCUACCUUUCCUCAUCGCAUGAGCUGUCAUAACCCGUUUACACAUUUUCAGUUUGUUGUUGUAUGUUGGUUCCUUGCUUUUGUUACAACUUAAAAUGUGCAAUGUAAAGAUACUGUGUUAAAAGAUAAAGUGGAGUGUUACAAGGCGAUUUUCCGGUUUAGUUGAAUUCUAUAGUUUGAAACAAAUGUGCAAUAUAAAGAUACUGUGUUGUAAGAAAAUAAUCAAACAACUCAUAGUAUGGUUGAGUAUUACAUCUUGUUUUUUGUAAUACAUACAGUAUAAGAAAAUAAAAUAAUACUAUACAUAUAUAUAAUCAAAAGUAUAUUUAUAUAUUGUAAAAUAAAAUUAGCAGCGGAGCUCAACUUCACGUUCUGAAGAUCCUUGUUUGGAAAUCAAGACUCGGAGUUGUCUUGGCCUGUUAGACUAACUUAGUGCGCUAGCUGAUAGAGCGGCCUGGUCAUUUAGAUAAACCAUACGUUUGUACAGCGGUUGAGCCGGUCUUGCAUUUGCCUCAUAACCCUCAUGAUCAACAAAAAAACAUGUUUAAUUAGUUAAUGUGUAUAUGAAAAAAAAAAAGACAAGGUUCAAAUUUGUAGUAAAUGUUUAUGUGAGAGUGUUUUAUAUUCUUACACCACGACGAGCAUCGACUAAUAUAUCAAUUUGCUGACGUGAAACAGUCCCCACCUGCAUUUAGAUAGCAACUCAAAGUUUGAGUCAAUUAAUUUUAUAGAUUAUUGGAUAUAAUGUUUGCUAGAGUUACUACCUUGUAUCAAACUGUACGUUACUUUUCAAGUAAUGAAAUUCACAUUUUAUCAACAAAAAAAGGAGUUACUACCUUGUUGACGAUGGUCCAGAUGACAUCUUCCGUGCAAGGAGGAGUGGUGAGCGAUCCUCUAUAUUCAUAGAAUUUUGUAAGAUCCCAUCCGAACUCUCUUGGAUCUAUCUUUCCUAUGCUUGCCUCUCCGUGUAGGAUGUCAGCUAUGAAAUUGAUCUUGUCCUUUAUCUGUCGUAAUGUAUUUAACCAACACAUGCAAAAGCCAAUAAUAAGCUUGAGAGUUUUGGGUAAAAAGAAAACAAGGGUUAUCGUAGAUACAUAGUAAAUAAUUUACCCGUGAAAUGAAAGCAUUCGGUUCACCUUCUCUUAAGAGAACUCCAAUAACUGCUAAGUGUCCAUCUGCACUUUUAUGUACCAUGUGAAGUUCCAUGGCCAACCUUAAAACAAAUCAAGGCUUGAUAUUAUUACUUUGAAUUAAUGUAAGUAAAUGUUAGGAACGCUGUCAAUCUUUUCUUUUUCUUUCUCUUACCUUUUUCCAUUGAGGAAAUGCUCUGAAGGUGCGUGCCAAUGGCUUUGAAUCAACUUGUAGUCGGUAUUAUUGAUCACGAGCUUCCCUGCGUCUUCUUGCCAUGACACCUGAUGCACACAACGUAUCGGUCUUGCAUGAGGACUAAUUACUAAAAUAAAAGAAAAACGUAUUCUAGGGUUUCUUUUACAGUUGAAUAAUAAUUACCAUGAUGUCGUAUCCACGAUUCUUAAGAGUGGCUUCUACUGGUUUGUAAUAUGUCUGAAUAAGCGCCGUAGAAUUGUGAACUAGUCGAGCUACUUUUGGAGAAAGAUUGACUGGUGACUGUCUCUUCCCCACCCCACAAAUUUUCCAUUCUUGUUUGACACUGCUCCAUUUGGAGGGAUCAGCGUAUGCGCCUGUUACGUAAUGAAACUCAGUCUCUGUCUCAUCUGCAAAAAAGGAUGAGGCAGAAACAAACGUCAACAUGAUGAUUAAUAUAAAGUCUUGCAUUAAUGAAAUAUUUCAUACAAAAUGCUCCAGAGAUUAACACAACCACUAGAUUGUCAGCUUAUUAUACGGUUUAAAAUCAUCGUUAAAUUUCCUAUCAAUUUGUUGGAUCCAAAAUGGUAACAAUUAUAAGACGUUCAAGGCGAUGAGCAUAUUGCGAAAUUACCAGCCGCUAGAGCUGAAGAAGCAAGAGCAAGACAUGACACAAAAAGGAUAAUGUUGUUCAUCUUUUUUUUUUUUUUUUUUUUUUUAAAGAUUUUUAAUUAAUUUUUUUUUUUUUUUUUUUUUUUUUUUUUUUUUUUUUUUUUUUAACAGAUCUUUAAUUAGAUCUUUUCUUUUUUUUUUGUCAAUUAGAUCUUUUGCUUUAUUCUUCAGUUUUAAAUAUUCUUCCUUUUUUUAAAAAAAAAAAAAAAGGACUUUUGUUUAAAUAUUCUUCCUUCUUACAUCUCUUAUAUAGGAAUUUAUUUCGGCAAAUGAUGGAAGUCGUCUAAAAAAUAUGAAUAAUUCAAAGGUUGAGAAUUGUCAUCGAGGUCAGUUUCUAUUUAAUAUGUGAUAGUCCUCUUUUAAAUGGUUAAAAUUGGGAUAUGACUAAUAAGUAAUACCUCUUGCAAGAGGCCUAUUAUUGGAAAAAUAAUAAAAUUAGGUAUAUAUAAGAAAUUAUACUUGGCCACUUCUUAUAUAGGACAUACACUUUAAUUAGGAGUGUAAAUAAAGUAGCCAAAUAUUGAUAAGAAAACUUUUUUAAUUAGUGUGUAUAUUAUACACUACAAGGUGUGACUGGUAACUAUCGUAGGAACAAUAGGAACAGAUAUAAAAUGAAUGAGUAAGAAUAAAAUUUUAAGAAUGAUGAAGAAUGAAGGUUCUUUGUCAAAAUUAAUGAGGAAUUUAUUUAUUCUAUAAUUCUCUAUAAACAAAAAAAUGAAAAUGAAUGGAAAAGAAAACAUAUUCCUCAUAAAUAGUAAAAAAAUUAAAGAAUAUUAAAGAACAUAAUGUUCCUCCCGGUCACACCCUACAUGAACUAAUACACAUUAGUGAUAUGAAUAUUUAAGAUUUAAAAAAGAAGAAGCAUAUUGCUUUUAAGUGGUUGACAAAAAAAUUGCUUUUAAGUGAUGAAUAAAAAAGAUUCUUGAAUUGUGUAUCUUUACAAGGUUUAAGAGUUAGCUACCGUAGUUAUGUAAUUUCAAAUAAAUGUUAAAGAAUUGUUCAAGUUUUUAAGAUAUUGAUAAAUACAAGAUUUCAGUUAUUCUGCGAUUCAUCAAUCAUAUCUUAGACAGUUUUGCUCUAUUAUAUGAAAACAUUUUUACAUUGAAACCAUGAAGCUAAAGUAGAAAACCCCACACAAUUGACAGCCUAUGAACGCUAAUAAUGUUCGGAGCAUAUGUCAAUCGUAAAAGAAUGGACCCAAUAUUAUUAGUAUUACAAUGAUAAUUCUUAUCCAUCCUCUCUUUUGAUCUGUCCUCUUGUCGAAUAGGAAGUAAUCACCAAUGAGACUUGUCACCUUCUUUAGGCUUAUCUUUGUCGUGUCGCUACCAAGAACAUAAUAAUGGAGAAGCCACAUGGUACGACCAUGGCCUAGGGAAACCAUCACGUUUCAAAACUUGGAGAUAGGGUGCAACAAAACUUUAUGUUUAUACGGAAAGAUAUACGAAAAAGUUUAUGUUUCUUUUCAUCUUGCAUAUUACGACUUUGAUACGGAAACGUCUAUUUUGGGAAAGUUUUUUUUUAAUGUGGAUUUAUUUUAUAGAAAAUGACAAAUAUGAAGCUCCAAAGUAGAUGGUAUAACUAAAUUUUCUUUUUCUAAUUAGAAAGUUUUAUUUUACCAAAAAAAAAGUUUAACCCUAAACCAUAUUAAUAUUUGCUUACGUUUCAUCAGUCAAGUCUCAAGUGUAAUAUAUAUACUCACAUAGCCAGAGAGUUUGAGAGCGACUUCAAACAGAGUGUAUGCACUGAACUAACUCUGAAAAUAAAAUAAAAACAGAGCUACUUCCAAUGGAGGAAACUACAGUAACUGUCGUCGCGACCAAGCGUUACGCUCUUGAUCCUUACGUCAAGGUCAUUCAAAGUCGAUCAAACGACAUUGAUGUCUCCUUCUCCUCAUACCUAAAACCAGAUAACAAUAAUUACGAACAACAAAAGGAGCAAGAAGAUACUGAGCUAAGCAUAUUCGAAGCCCGAAGUUACUUUAGCGAAAGCGGAGGAAACGAUAAUGAUCCAAGAUUUUCUUCUGUUUCAUCUGCGAAAGUGUCUUCUUUUACCGUAAGACACACGGCAUCGUCUGAAGCUAGCUGGAACAGCCAAACCGGUUUGCUUUCCUACAAUAACCGGCAAGGGUCUGACCGAGACGGGCGUGGAAGCAGCAAGAAAGGACCCAGAUGGUUUUUUAGACGCAGGACAUGUCCUUGUUCUAGCUCCAAGUCGGUUCAGGUCCAAGAAACCAAACCUAGAAUCGCGGAAUCAAGAACCGGUUCUGAGCGAACCGUUUCUAACCGAACCGCUCAUCAUAACCACCAGACUAUAUCUUCGAACGUCCCUUCAUUUAGCAGUUUUAGUUUCCCGACUUUGAACGAACCAACACAAACCAUAGAAAAACACAAGAGUCCGGUUCUGAACCGAAUUGAACCGGCUCUGCAUCCGGUUAAACCGGUUCUGAGUCUGACAACACCCAAGGGAGUUAUUACAGACGAAGAAGCAGCGAGCGAUGAUAGCUCAGACCUCUUCGAGAUAGAGAGCUUCUCUACUCAACACGUAGCUCGUCCGUGUGCCCCACAUGCAGCUGAUCUCGUCAGGAACUCGAUAGACGACACUGCGACUGAGUACGGUUACGAGCCGAGCGAAGCAAGUGUUACGUGGAGCGUUACAACCGCCGAGCCUGCCUCCACAAUGGCGACUAACUUCUCAAGAAUCAGUUUGUCACAGUCGCCUCUGGCGUUUAGCGGUUGCGAUAAGAGAAGAACGUGCUUAUUAGGCUGUCGUUGUGAGAAAGCGGUUAUAGUUAGUGGCGAUAAGCGUUUGGUUCAGCCGCUUAAGAGAGUUAGGUUUCAGGAUGAUGUGGGGCAAAAGGUGUUGUGCAACAAUGGCAGUUCUAAACUAAGCUUGACAAGUCGAGAAAUGUUGGCUAAUAAUUCUUCUUUUUUGAAUUAGUUAUGGUAAUAGUGUUUAUCUUAGUUUAAUAGUGUUUAUCUUAGUUUGUGAGCCUCUCGUGUAAUAUUUGCUCUGAAUUUUGUUAACAUGUGGAUUCAUGUUUAUGAAGUAAACACAAGAUGGUCCUUAGCAAAGUAAAAUGAAACAUUCGCCUUUAGCAUCCAAUUUUUUUUUACAAAAGAAUUACAUAGAUAUAGAUUCUCGUAUAAGUUAUGAAUUAAAAAAAAUAUUGAAAUUUUUACUAAAUCGUCUAAGUUCCUCAAUAUCUCAAGUCCGGUUCGAGUAAACAAAGUCAAUGUGAAUAAAAUAAGAAUUAAUGCGUUUAUGCUCGUACGUGAAGUGAAGAAGAUGUUGCUAAAAUCAUACGUGGUUCGUCUCAAGAAGACUUUGCCGUUGCGUGCACGACGCAGUUAUGUGGUAUGGUCGGUCCUUUAGGAUUAAGCCAAGUUAGGUUGGUCAAUUGUCAAUUUAUUUUUCAACUAUUAUCUACGUUAUACAUUAAUCAGAUAACAUACAAUAUAUCUAAAUAUAAAACAUAUCUUGUUUCUUGCCUUGGAUAACUAGAUGGAAUGAGAAAAAGAAAAUGACCUCUCUUUUUCAAGUUCUAUAUAAUUCCAAUAACUAACCUCCUUAGAUUUCACUCAACUUAAACUCCUACCACUUUGUUCAAAAAAAAAUUUGUUCAAAAAAAAAAAAACUCCUACCACUAGUGGAUUACUUAUGACCAUCUCAAAAGUUUGGUUUAUGGUACAGAUUAUUGCUUGAAAACAUUAAUAGUACACCCAAUAAGAAAAAGUGUUCCACACCUUAAAGCAAACAACAAAUUAAUAUACUAUCUAACUUGACCUUCACUUCAAGAAACCUCAAUCAUAAAUACAAAAAUUAGCUCCAACGGAACAACACUUCAAACGAAAAGCUAAUAAACAACAACAAAAUAUUUUGUUUGCCUAUAAAGUUGUUUUAAACCUAAAGAAUCACAUAUAGCUAGAGACUCAUGGAUCCCCAAGGAGCUGUCAAGAGAAGACUAGCCGUUCUCGUCGGCUGCAACUAUCCUAACACAAAGAACGAGCUUCACGGCUGCGUCAACGAUGUUUUAGCCAUGAAAGAAACUCUUUUAACCCGUUUCGGAUUCAAACAAGAAGACAUGGAGGUGCUAACGGACGAGCCUGACUCAAAGAUAAAGCCUACCGGAGCCAACAUCAAGGCUGCUUUACGUAGGAUGGUGGAUAAAGCUCAAACCGGGUCUGAAAACGUCUUGUUUUUCCACUAUAGUGGCCAUGGAACUCGGAUUCCUUCCGUUAAACCUGCUCGUCCUUUUAAAAAGGACGAAGCUAUAGUCCCUUGUGAUUUCAAUCUCAUCACAGAUGUUGACUUCCGAGAACUGGUCAAUCAACUACCUGAGGGAACGAGCUUUACCAUGAUCUCAGAUUCUUGCCAUAGUGGUGGCCUCAUUGACAAGGAGAAAGAACAAAUCGGACCCUUCUCUGGAGUUAGAUCUCCGGCCAUAGAGCCAACGGCGACAACAAUAACAUCACGUGCCUUACCAUACAAGGAAGUUCUCGACCACUUGAGUUCUCUAACCGGAAUCUCAACUUCCGACGUCGGUACACACCUACUCGAGCUCUUUGGUGGCGACGCUGGUCUAAAGUUCCGGCUACCAGCUAUGGAUUUGAUGGAUCUUUUGGAGAACAUGAAGGCCCGUGAAAAACAUGUUGACUCCGGGAUACUGUUGAGCGGGUGUCAGGCGGAUGAAACGUCCACGGCAGGUCCUGACAUUUCCGAGGCCCAAUACAAAAAUUAUAAAUAAAUUUAAUAUUUUUAAAAUACUAUUAAAAAUGUUAAAUAGCAAAGAAACUAGUUCUAGAAAAAAUUUUAUGCUAUAAUGUUGAUAAGGUUAUUAAAAAAAAUUACCAGAAAAUUGCAUAUGAUAAUGUUUAUACAUAUUAUAUUUCUUUAAUUAGUUUAUUAUAUAAUAAUAUAUUAGUUUGAUAUAUGUUUGCCAUAAUAAUUUGUUAAAUAUAUAUAACAGUAGUUAUUUUAUUUGGGAGAAAAACAAAAGAGUUUAACCCCACAAAAAUAGGCCCCAUGCAAAUGUUUCUUGGGUGUGUGCCCAGGACCGGCACUGGAAACGUCUGCUGACGUCGUAAGUGGCGGUGGGAAGGCGUAUGGAGCGUUUAGCAACGCGAUUCAGACGGUGCUGAAGGAAAACGGAGGUGCCUUGAGGAACAAGGAACUAGUGAUCAUGGCUAGAGAAGUGCUUGAGAGACUAGGGUUUCAGCAACACCCUUGUCUUUACUGCAGCGACCAGAACGCGGACGCAACGUUCCUGUCUCAACCUUGAUGCGAUUAUGUUUAAUGAAUUAAAGCGUUGUCGUUGUGUUUCUUUUAUUUGUUCUUUCGCGUUUGGAUGUGUAUUUCCACUCUUUCAUGGUGUGUGUUCCAUAAUUAAAAGAAAGAAUAAAUUGUUAUGAUUAUAGAGUGACCAACGCAUGUAUAGUAUUGGUGGAUUUCUUUAUUUACAAACACAUGUUUUCUUUUUGACGAACACAUGUUCUUAUUGAUAUUAACAAGACCUGAGCUAGAAAAAGUAUAAUUAUAGUCAUGCUUUAUUAAAAAAGCUCUUGUUGUUAUAAUUUAUGAGUAUAGUAUAUACCAAAAAAAAUUAAAUAAUCUGAUCUAGUAAGAAAAGAAACACAUUUAGACCUUUUUUACUAACUAAAAUCGAAAAAGCACAUAAAGCCGGGACUGACAUUGAUACAGUAUCAUUUACAUAUGCUUACCUUCAUUUCAAUUAAUCCCAUUGCCCCCCCCCUAUAUAUACGAUGAUUAUUGGUAAUUGAAUUCUCGUGAAUUUUGAAAAUUUUAAAAUUNNNNNNNNNNNNNNNNNNNNNNNNNNNNNNNNNNNNNNNNNNNNNNNGUGUAUAUAUGAGGAUUAUUGGUAAGUUAAUUUUCAUGAAUUUUGAAAAUUUUGAGAUUCCAUUGUUAUUGGUUAUUGGUUUAAGAAUUUUCGAAAUCCAUUCAAAUCCAUUGUUAUUCAAAAAGUUUAGUUAUUGUUGAUUCUCUAAUUCUAACAAAAUCUAGUGUUAAUGGGAGAUGAAUUUUAUUCAUCUUUACUCAUAAGACUCAACUUUCAAAAUAUCACUAGGAUAAGACAUGCGCAUUGCGCAUAGUAAAUUUGUAAAUUUAUAUGAAAAUUAUUUAAGAAAUACCGUAUGGAAAAAAAUUGAAUUAAUAUGUUUGGCUCUUAAACAAUUUUUUAAAACUUUUUUUGUUAAUUACAUAAUUUGUUUACUAAUGAACUGAUCCCAUUUUUAAAAAUAUUUUAGGUCAAAAAAUUAUUUAUCGCAUAAAAACGUAAUGUUUAGGCCGAAGAAUCUCAUGUCUACUAUUUGGUUACAAUGAAACUAUGUCAGCUCGAUUUUAUAUCAUGAUUUAGCAAUUUAAAAAUUAAUUAUGGUUAUGAGAAGUUUACGUUCACGUGUCAAUCCUAUCUAUCUUCGAUAUUUUUCUCCUUUUUGUGUCAUUUUGGUUAUUAUUUGAUAUAAAUAUUGAUUUUUGAGUUUAUUCUCAUUUGUUUCUUUUAUUUUGGUCUGAGAUUUAGAUUAUGUUUAAGAUUCAAAUUAUUAAAGAGAUACAUAAUUAGGUUAAGAUCUGCGCCUUGUGCAGAAUACAUACUUAUUUUAUAUUUUUCUGCAUAUUAUGAAAUAAUACAAUAAUAAUUAUAUAUUAAAUAACUAAGAAAUCAAUUACUUUUUUUUUGCAACAAGAAAUCAGUUACUAUUAUAUAAUAAAUUGACUUGCAUAUAUAAAUCAAAUGACCGCUCUUGUUUAUUCGCAAUCAUUUUAGAAUAAAUAAAUUAAAAUAAUCAAUCUAAGCUAUCGUAUAUGAUAUAUAAUUAAAUUUGACGAUAUGAAGUGUAUAUAUAUAUAUAUAUUAACAUAAACACCUAUUAAAAUAAAAUUAUUUAUUAAUAUGAUUUUAUUAUCAUUGUAUCUUAUUAUAGAAAAAAAUUUAAACAUUGAUCACAAAAGUUUAUGUGAGACUUUUAACAGUUUUAGUAAUUUAUACUCGUUUUGAAAAAUUCAAAAUACAACAUAAACAAAAAAAUCUAAAAUUUUAAUAUAUGAUUAAUGUAAUUGUGUGAUUUAUUUUAAUAAUAAAGAAUUAAACGAAAAUAAUAGAAAACAUACUGAUUAUUAGCAAAUCUUCAUUGUUUAAAAUCAUUAAUUACUAUAUAUAUCAUAAUCACAUUAGGUAAUUUCGUAAAUUUUAUUUAAGGAAAUAAUAUAUAAUAAAUAGCUACCUUGUUUUAGUUAAUAUCAUAUGAUAUCAUAUAGUUGGUAUUAAAUGUUUCUAGUGAGAUAUAAAAAUCGAAUUGGACCAACAUGUUUUUUAAUUUCAAUGUGAGGCUUACAUGUAGGACUAAUUAACUACAUAAUUGAUUGACACAUAAGCAAUGAGUAUUUUUUAAUUAUUACAAAAUUAAGGUUACAUCUUUUGAGAUGUUCCUCAAUUAAUAUAUAGAGGAUAUGUAACCUUGUGAUUUUCAAAAUCCAUGUGAUAAGAAACUAGAAAACAAAAUAAUUAUCCUUACCAAAUAUCUAUUGCAUCUUAAAUCCAAAUUAUAUGUCCAAAACUAUAAUUCAUUACAUUUAUAUGCUUUUACAUUUUUCGAUAUAUAAUUAUUUUUAUAAAUAAUUAUUAUUUUGGAUAUAAAUAUUAAUAAUUACAUUUAUAAAUAUUAACAAUUUUAAAAUAAUUUUUUAAAAAUAGUUUCCAAGAAAAAUUUUGAAUUUCAAGAAAACAAGGGGUAAAAUCGUCUUUUGCUUUUUUCAUGAAAUUUUUUUUUUUGGUCAUUUUUCUCUUUGAAUGCCCUUUUUGUGAUAAAAACUUUAAACUGACUAUUUAAGAAAAAUUAUCCAAUUUUGUAUGUAUCACUAUUAUUUUCUUUUUUAUUUGAAAGAAAAAAUAAAUAAUAAUGCUAUAUGAUGUAGAAAAUAAAUAAAUUAUAUAUUUACUUUACAAAAAAAUGAUAGAAAAUAAUUAAUACAAAUUCAAGAAAAUUUAUACUAAUCCAAAAAGUUAUGAUCAAAUUUCAUAAGUCAAUGUAUAUAAUUUUUUACAAUCCACAUAACUUUUAAAAUCUAUCAACUCUGAAAAUUUAUAAACUCUAGGCAAAUUCAUUUGCCAAUAACCCCUCUAUAAUAUUUAUCCCACCUACCCCCGUCACGCACUCGCAUUUUAAAACACAAUUUUGUAUUAAAUUAUACAAAAAUCUCGUGUUAGCUAGCCAGCUCGAUCUAUAAGACUGCAACUACAAGUAAAUGCAUACACACACUUGUCUAGUAGCUUUCCUGGCAUCGUGAAAUCAACAUUUACAAGGCCAGAGUCGGGUAUAAUUUCUUGGCUACCCAAAACAUCAUGGAGUUUUGUCAACCAAACAAACACACCGCAACCACAACAACAAUAGGGCUGUUCUUUUGGUGAACGCGGGUAGUUGCGGCAGCGACUGAAAAUUUAAGCUAUCACCACUGCAAAACACAGCACCCAUGAAACACCGCCAGCCUGCUUUUUUUGACGCUGCGGCUGAUCGCGAGGAGUAAAUGGAACGCUGAAUAUUUCAGCGUCAGCUGCUUCCCCAUAUUUUGUACUUUCGGCAGUUUAUCAGCGUUCAUUUUAAUUUCCGUGCCGUUAAAUUUGCUUUCCCUCUAACUAUAAUUUCAGUCGCUGCCGCAACUAGCGGCGUUCACCAAAAGAACAGCCCUAAUCACAACAGCUUCAAGCGACCCGCUUAACUGGAACACAGCAGCGGAGUUUUGAAAGGGAGUCACCUGGAGGAGGUGAAGAAGAUGGUGAAUGACUUUAGAAAAGGAAGGGUACUGCUCGGUGGAGAGACGCUGACUAUCGGUCAGGUUAUGGGCCGGGGGGUGGCGGCUGGAGGAACAACGGUGGAGCUUUCAGAGGAGGCUAGGGCCGGUGUGAAUGCAAGUAGUGAGUGGGUGAUGGAGAGCAUGAACCGUGGUACGGACACUUAUGGGAUCACCACUGGAUUUGGUUCCUCUUCUGCUAGGAGGACUACUAAUCAAGGUGCUGCUUGUCAAAAAGAGCUUAUUUGGUACGUAUAAUCAUAGUAUAUAAAUUUUACGAAUAUAAUAAUUUUCCAGUUAUCUAUUAUUUUAGUUGACAUUUUUUAAUUAAUUGGUUGUGUCCGUAAAAAACUAUAUUAUGUGUAAAUGUGUAAAAAAAAGUACACAUGAAAAAACCUAAACUACACAUGAAAAUAAGUACUUGAACGCCGGAAUAUUCGCUACCGACGCUGGAGAUGCCGACACGUCAAACACACUUCCCCUCCCGGCUACAUAAGCGGCGAUGCUCAUCCGUGUCAACACUCUCCUCCAAGGCUACUCCGGGAUACGCUUCGAAAUCCUCGAAGCCAUCACAAAAUUCCUCAACCACAAACAACAUCACACCUCGAUCGCCUUCCUCUCCGCGGCACCAUCACCGCCUCAGGUGACCUCGAAUAUGUCUUCUCUUAUGUUGAUGACCCAAGUAGCCUCGCUAAACCUUUAAUGCAAAAGCUUAGAAACUUCCUUGUUGAAUACGGUUUAGCUGAACCGGGGCUGAGAUGAAAUCUCUCCUCCCUGAAGUAGUGGAACGAGUCCGGAUAGAGUACGAGAAGGGUGCGUCAUGAUAAGAUAUAGAAACAUAUAUAUUCCCUCUUUGUAAUUACGCUACAUUAAGUCCUGUAUAUUUGUUUACCAUGUAUGUAGGUAGAGCUCUCUGUAUAAAGCCAGACAUGUAACGAUACUAUUAUUUAUCUAAUAAUACAAACUCAAUAUGGUAUCAGAGCAAUACCUAGGUUAACACCUCUUUUUUUUUUUCUUUUUCUGUAGCCGUCAUCUCUUCUUCUAUCUUCUUCUUCUUCUUUUUCUUUUUCUUCUUCUUCUUCUUCUUCUCACGAUCUAUUUCUUAUCACCAUAAACAAUGAGUUCUGCAGCUACAGCUGAGAGAACAUCAGUUUUUAAUGCUCAAAACCCAGAAAAUACUCUGCUAUGACGAGUGUUACAAAACUUUCCAAUGAGAAUUAUCUCAUGUGGAGCCGCCAAGUCCGUGCUUUGCUUGAAGGCCAUGAACUUCACCAGUUCAUCGACUCCACCAGUGAUGCCCCACCCGCAACAGUCAUGAAUGAAGGUGUCGCAGUCCCAAAUCCAGCCUUCGCUCCUUGGCGUAGACAAGAUCGCCUGCUGUAUUCUGCUCUCAUCGGUUCGAUCUCUCUCAACGUUCAACCGGUUGUUACCAGUGCCACCACCUCUAAAGAAGUUUGGGAUCUCCUUGCUGCAACAUUCGGUAAUCCAACACGAGGUCAUCUUCGUCAACUCCGGCUGAAGAUUCGAGCAUGUGUUAAAGGCACACAAACAAUCAGUGAGUAUCUUCGUGGCAUCAAGACCAAAUCAGAUGAACUUGCGCAACUUGGAGCACCAAUAGAUCAGGAAGACCUUACUGAACAGAUCCUAGCUGGACUUGGUGAAGAUUAUAAACCUGAAGUUGAUGCUGUCAAUGAUAGAGAUCGCCCCAUCUCCUUUCAAGAACUUCAUGAACGGCUGUUGAAUCGGGAAGCCAUCAUACUCACCACUCAGUCUACUACUCCUCUUCCCAUCCUCUUCCCAUCGUAGCCAAUGCCACAGACACCCGUCCACGAUCUCAACACCAGAAUCAUAACCGCAAUCAGCCACAACGCAACACCACCAACAAUAACCGUCAGCAGCAGCGCUUCUCAAAGCCUUACUUGGGUCGUUGCCAAGCAUGUGGGGUACAAGGGCACAAUGCUAGGUACUGCCCUGAAUUUCGUAUUGUCAAAGGAAGUGCUCCAGCACCACAGUGGUCACAAUCAUCUACGCCACAAUCACAGUGGUUAGCAGCACCAACAAACUCCCACUGGCAGCCUCGUGCAAACCCAGCAAUGAUGUCCGACAACUCUACUUGGCUCUUGGACUCUGGCGCAUCACAUCACAUGACAUCCGACCUAGCCAAUCUCUCUCUGCACAAUCCAUACAGUGGAGGUGAUGAUGUCCUUUUAGGCGAUGGUUCAGGCCUUCACAUAUCUCAUUCUGGUUCUUCUUCUCUACCAUCUUAUACUAAACCUUUCUUCCUUAAUCAAGUUUUAUGUGUUCCAUCGCUAGAUAAGAAUUUGAUAUCUGUUUUUCAAUUGUGCAAAACUAAUGGUGUUGCUGUUACAUUUAAUCCUACAUACUUCCAGGUGAGAGAUUUGCAAACGGGGGCUCUUCGUCUGGAAGGCAAGCCUAAAGCUGGCACUUACGAAUGGCCAAAACUUCAUACUUUGCAGUCUCCUUCUCUUUCAUUUGCUUCAGUUCUUAAAACUACUAUGACGGAUUGGCACUCACGUUUGGGUCAUCCUGCGUUUUCUAUUCUUCAAAAAGUUGUUUCUCAAUUCGAUUUACCAAUUUCUUCAAAUGUUUUGCUUGCUCACCCUUGCAAUGCUUGCUCUAUUAAUAAAAUGCACAAGUUAUCUUUUGCAAAUUCUACUUUACAAACCUCUCAUCUUCUCCAUGUUGUUUUCUCGGAUGUCUGGACUUCUCCGAUGCUUUCUCUAGACGGUUUUAAAUACUACGUUAUUUUUGUUGAUCAUUUCACUCGAUACACUUGGUUGUACCCUUUAAAAAGAAAAUCUGAUGUUUUUGAAGUUUUUAGAAGGUUCAAAGUUUUGGUCGAAAAUCAAUUUCGUCAAAAGCUUCGAACUCUUUAUACGGACAAUGGGGGCGAGUACAUUGGUCUUGCUUCCUUCUUAUCGUCCAAUGGCAUUUCUCAUAUGACCAGUCCGCCUCAUACGCCCGAGCAUAAUGGUGUUGCCGAACGUAAACAUCGACAUAUUGUCGAAAUGGGCCUCGCCCUAUUAUCUCAUGCAUCUAUGCCUCGGACGUACUGGCCAUUUGCCUUUGCGGCUGCUGUCUAUCUAAUAAAUAGGAUGCCCUCUCAACCAUUGCAUUUUCAAAACCCCUAUCAGUCUUUACACGGUCAACCACCGAAUUUUCAAAAGCUUCGUAUCUUUGGAUGUUUGUGUUUUCCGUGGCUCAAGCCUUAUACAUCUCACAAAUUAGAUGCUCGAUCAAAACCAUGUGUAUUCUUAGGCUAUUUCAUUACUCAAAGUGCUUAUUUCUGCCUAGAUAGAGAAACAUCUCGAGUCUACACAUCAAGGCAUGUAGUUUUUCAUGAAUCUGUUUUCCCAUUUGCAACACCAACUUCUGCUAUGUCUCACAAAACCACUAAUGAACUGGAUCCUCCAGUGUCUACUUUUCCUGUUGUCUCUGUUGUUCCUCUUGCAGGUACCACGCCUCCAGCACCACCAGCACCACCAGCACCAUCUGAUUCAUCGCUACAACAUCAGACAGCUCCAGAACCACCACAUCAGCCAGUUCUGCAACAACAGCAAGCACCACCACCAAACGUUGCUGGAAUGCCCACUGCCACGACUUCAACAGAGACCACAAUACCUCCUGCUGCCACAAACCUUCCUUCUCUGGAGCGAUCAAAUAAGACAGCCUGCACCACCACCGGCAACUUAAGUGCUCCCACCACGGCGCACAAGCAAUAGAACUCCCAAGCCGAUUCAAAAACUCAAUCUCCAUACUGAAGUGUCUCCAUCACCACCUACAACAAUUCCCACUUCAGUAGCAGAAGCUCUCAAAAACCCAUAUUGGCGCAAAGCCAUGAUCGAUGAAAUUAAUUCUCAGCUUCAAAACCGUACUUGGGAUCUUGUUAACUGUCCUGAUAUUACAAAUGUUGUUGGUUGCAGAUGGGUGUUUACAAUAAAAAGACGGGCUGAUGGUACGAUAGAACGCUACAAGGCCCGACUAGUUGCGAAAGGAUAUAAUCAACGUCCCGGCAUUGACUAUAAUGACACAUUCAGUCCGGUGGUUAAGCCAGCAACUAUUCAUCUUGUUCUCAGCACAGCAGUAACCCGUAACUGGUCUUUAAAACAGCUCGAUGUCACCACAGCCUUUCUUCAAGGACGUCUCGAUGAUGAAGUAUAUAUGAUGCAGCCAACUAGGUUCCAGGAUAAAGACAAUCCAACAGCUGUCUGCAAGUUACGCAAGGCCAUCUAUGGUCUUAAACAAGCACCUCGUGCCUGGUACAAUGAGCUACACACAUUCCUCCUUCAAUCUGGUUUUAAGAACUCUUUGGCAGAUGCAUCUCUCUUCAUCUUCAACAACGGUGGCAUCCUCCUAUACAUGCUCGUAUACGUCGAUGAUAUCAUCAUCACUGGCAACAGCCAACAACACAUAACACGGUUUAUCGCUUCUUUAUCUCAUCGCUUUUCAUUAAAAGACUUGGGUGAUCUUACAUAUUUUCUUGGUAUUGAAUGCACUCGUACUGCUUCUGGACUCCAUCUUACUCAAGAACGUUAUAUUGCAGAUCUCCUUCAUCGCACAAACAUGAAGAAUGCGAAAUCAGUAGCAACGCCACUCUGCUCCACGUCUAAUCUGACACUUCUCACAGGCACUCCUCUAGAUGACGCCAGCGAAUAUAGAUCAGUCGUGGGCAGUUUGCAAUAUCUUUCCUUAACGAGGCCGGACAUCUCAUUCUCGGUGAACAAAAUGUCUCAGUUCAUGCACCGGCCUACAAAUGAACAUUGGACGGCAGUGAAACAGAUCCUGUGCUAUCUCUCUGGCACACAAAACCGAGGUGUCUUCUUCCACGCCAACAACACUCCAACUCUUCAUGCCUUCACUGAUGCGGAUUGGGCUGGAAAUAAGGACGACUACACCUCCACAGGAGCUUACAUUGUUUACAUGGGACGACAUCCAGUGGCAUGGUCUUCAAAGAAACAAACGGGGGUGGCUCGCUCUUCCACUGAAGCUGAAUAUCGGUCUCUCGCAAACACCGCAGCUGAAGUUUCCUGGACCAUAGCCUUACUCAUGGAGCUCGGGAUCACAGUUCCCACAACACCAACCAUCUACUGCGAUAAUAUAGGUGCCAACUACCUUGCUGCAAAUCCGGUAUUCCAUUCUCGUAUGAAACAUAUCGCACUUGAUUAUCAUUUUGUUCGCGGAUACAUUCAAAGUGGCACACUGCGCGUCUCUCAUAUCAACACAGCUGAUCAACUAGCUGAUGCCCUUACUAAGCCACUACCUCGUGCUCGCUUUGACAGUCUCUCUAUCAAGAUCGGCCUCAACUGACGCCCGUCCGUCUUGAGGGGGCGUGAUAAGAUAUAGAAACAUAUAUAUUCCCUCUUUGCUUACCAUGUAUGUAGGUAGAGCUCUCUGUAUAUAGCCAGACAUGUAACGAUACUAUUAUUUAUCUAAUAAUACAAACUCAAUACGUCAGAUGUGGCUAAUAGAGUCAAGGAGUGUCGGUCCUAUCCGUUGUACAGGUUCGUGCGAGACGAGCUGGAGACAGGAUUGCUAACCGGAGAGAAUGUCCGGUCACCGGGAGAAGAUUUCGACAAAGUUUUCACGGCGAUCUCUCAAGGCAAACUUAUAGAUCCUUCGUUUGAAUGUCUCAAAGAAUGGAACGGAGCUCCGAUCCCAAUCAGCUAAAACGUUCCGUCAAGUCUCUAAUCUAUCAACAAAAAUGUCAUACUAAUGUGUUAAUCCUACUGUGUUGAUAUGUCUGACGUCCUUAUAAAAUCGAUGCAUGUUAGCUUAUUUUUGAUAUCCAGUCCAAAAUACGUCUGAUGUCCUUAUAAAAUCGAUGCAUGUUUUCUAUAAUCAUGUCAACCAUAAACUCACAUAUAUAUACAAUCACAGUUCGUUUUAUUUCCAGGCAACCAUUUAUUAUGUGGUUAUAUCCAGUUAACAUGUCCCUUAUUAUAAUUCAAGGGAACUUUAUUCAACAAACUUAUUUAUAAACAAACUAAAACUAUGGCAACCAUAACAUUUCUUUUUAUCAAAUCCAUACAAUUAUAUUUGAAAGGGAAACAUUUCUCUCCCACUUAACAACAAAUCUGUCGUCUUCUUUACAGAUUUAUGUAUUUUUUAAUUUGGAAUCAUAACUUGUAAAGUUUCUAUUUGGGGUAACGCCGUCGUCAGAAAUUUGUAAAUAGUCACAAUCAAUUAACACGUCACAAAUUUUCAAAAUAGUUAUAGCCAUUGUAUAUAUGACAUAUAGGUCAUGAUUGUUUUAGGUUUCUAGAUUAAUUUUUGGUUUUUGUUUUUUUCAAAAACCAUUUUUUAUCCAAUCAAAAACUGUUUUUGAUUCCCUAAAAAUUAGAAAAACUAAUUUUGCAAAACUAGUUUUAAACCAAUCAAGAUUUUGACAAAAAACUUUCCUAUAAAAUAAGAAACUGGUUUUUAGAUGUUUUGACCAAAUUUCAAAGAAAAACCAAAAGCCAUGUUUUGAUGGUUUUGCAAAGUAUACGGUUACUUUUCAUAUAUAUUUUUUCUUAUUUUUGUAAAUAUCAAUAUAAAAUACAUGACCAUAAUAUGUAUAUACUUUCUAUCUUUUUGUUUAAGUAAUUUUGUUUUAAUAAUGUGAAAUCAUUUAUUUUUAUUUCAUAUCUGUAAAAUAAAUUUAGAUAUUUAUUUAUAAUAUUAACUAAUUGUAAAUUAAUUGUAAAAAUUAGUUAUUAAAUUCUAUAAAUAGAAUUAUUGAAUAAUUUUAAUAAUUAUUAGACAUUCAAAAAUAACUAAAAAGUAUAAAAACAUAAAAUAUUUUUUAAUAAUAUAUUAAUUUUUAAAAUAAAAAAGUUUCCAUUCAAUUUUUAAAAAAUAAAAAUAAUUUAGAUAUAUUUAUAAUUUAUAUUUUAGUAUAAUGUAAGUUAAAAUAUAGUAAUUAAAAACAUGUUAAUGUAUUUUUAUGUUUUGAAUAAGAAUCACAAUAUUUUGAUCAAUUUUAAUAGUAACUUCUAAAUGUUUUAUUUGUAUUUUUGUUGUAUUAUUUUAAAAUAACAUAUUACUUUCUUUUUUGAAAAACUUAAAAACUACAGCAAAACUAAAAACCAAAAUCAAAAUCUAAAAACCAAAAACCAAAACAAAAAGUUGAAAAUCAAAAAUAAAAAAGUAAAAACCAAAAACCAAAAACUAAAAACUAAAACCAAAAUCUAAAAAUCAAAAACAAAAACUAAAAACUACUCCAAACAAUCAUCACCAUAGUACAAUAACUUGAUGAAGAUUGUACUAUGAUUUGAUAGCUACCAUGAGUUUAUUGUCCACCAUGUGAUCGUGUCCUUACAUUUAUUGGUACAAUAUGCUUCUACGUGUUUUAUUCUGUUUCACUUUCAUCAUUUUGGCAUAGUUAAACUUUACAAUUAACCAACUAUUUAUAAUAAAACAAUAAUCCAAAACAAGUUUAUACUAUGUUAUUCAGCUUGUAUUAGUAAAAAUAUUUGUAAUGCAGCAAAAAAAAAACGAAAAACCGUAGACAUCAUUCAUUUAAUCGACGUAAAACAUACAAAAGACUAUAUAAGUGAAUGUUAUGUGUUGUGAAAUCGCAAGUGAAACUAGAUGAAAUCUUUAAGGCGUAAGAAUAAAAGAAGGCGAUUGUAGCAAAACACUAUUUUGUUGUGAGUUUCUGAUCAUUGUGUGAAUAAUAAUCUUAAUAAAUCGUAAAGAUUGCUUUAUAUAGGUAAUAAAGAUUAGAGACUAUAUAAUUCAUUGACCAAAAAAAAAAAGACUAUAAUUCCUGGUGUGCAGAGAUGUUAUGCUCUUACUAACUCUCGUGUUGAUGACUUUACCAAUUUGAUGUACUUAACACUCGAAUCCUUUUGGUCCUGACCUUCUUUCACAGAAACCUAAACGAAAAUGUAUUCACAUCACAUGUUCUCUUCUUAGAAAAAAUAAAUAAAUCAAAAGCAAAGAGACAAAUCUUUCCCAAGUUGAGCCACUUGAAAACAAAGUUCUGGUACAAUGUAUAACACACCAUAAUGUUUGAUUUGAUUUGGCAUAAAAACCAUAUUUAGAACAUUACAAAAAUAGAACAAUAACAGAGAAUUAAUAACAAGUGAUAGACCAGAAAAACAAGUUGCUACAAGAUAAUCGUGGAACUGAGAUUAUGACUGUACAUAUUUAUAACAAAUGGUAAAAACAUUUAAAAUCACGAAGGGUUCGAUUUGUGUUCAAUAUCUUGUAGUUCUUGAUCUAUCAUAUUACUUAUAAGGACCCGAUUUAAAUAGGAACUAAAGAAUACCAGAUGAUCAUGGAAAGUACAGUUCAACUAUUGCAUAAUUUUAUACAUCCAUUCAUCAAUACACAAGUUAAGAUCAAAGACAAAAUAGUUACAAAUUCACUAUAAUUAAGGCCCUAAUCCGUCAAAGAAAAUACGUAUAACACACAAAAUGAAUGUGAUAUGUAUAGGUAACACACACACACACACACACAGAUAUAUAACAUUAAUAAAGCUGUAAACAUGUUCAUACACAGAACAAAGAUUCUUAAAAGUAACCAAGAGAGAAAUUUAGUUUCUUGAGUUUCUUACCGAAGAUCCAGACUUCAUUCUAUAGCUUUAGGUAUUGUGUAUAGCCGUCGGUUGUUGAUGCAGCAUCAUCAAGAUUCUCAUAUACAUAUCAAAACCCUAAUUAAAAAUUAGGAGAAUUUUCAAUUUCCAUGUGAAUCUUGAUGGUGCUGCGCCUACAAAAAACGACUGAUGAGCUUUCUUCAACGGAUCCGCCGAUAACUUAUAUCAGGUUUAUACACACACGCACACAAACACACUCAAAGAGAUCGGUCGAGUAUAUAUUAUUGUUUAAAUUAAUGAAUCAAAAAGGAAUUUGAUUGAAUAGUCAAAACUAAUAAUCGCAAACUAAUAAGUUGAAAAAUAUCUAACUUAUCUUUUCGAAAUCUAUCCAAUUUGAGAAGAAAAAUGAAGAAAAAACAUGAUGCCCUUUUUAAAAAAAAAUGGAGAAAAGCAGUCGAGCUGAGGAAAGUAGAUAUAGUGAUAUUUAGAUAAUAGAGAGAACACAUCCAAGGGCUAACGUGUCUACCUGUAAUUGGUUCUUUUCUUCAUGAGAAAAAUAUGGACUAUAUUCUGUUUUUAAGACCGUAAUUUUUUAGAAAAUCAUUUUUUGAUGCCAAAGAAAAAAAAUUAGGGGAACAAAAGAGCUAAGAGUAAUUGCGUGAAAAAAUAAGCGAUGAUCCUUAAAGAACGUAAUAGCAUAUACUGGUCGAAGAUAUAGUAACUAUAAGCAAUACUGAAUGGCUAGUUAAUUUUCUGAUCUGCCUAUCGAAACUCUCAGGAACAACAAAACCAAUCUUGUAACUCAAUACCAUAAAUGCUUAUCUAAUUUGAAAACUAUAACCAAGUUGCUUUGGUCUAGUGGUAUAGGAGCUCCAGCUGGAGUGCCCGUCCCUGGAUUCGAGCCUUGGCCACUGCAGAAAUUUACAUAUAGGCUGCAGCACCCGAGACCGAAGACCGUUACAUGGUGAGCCAUAUGGUGACGUCCUGACAGCGUCCAUGCUCACUUCGGUCUCUAGUCUGGACCACUUCGGUGGGGCCAAGAUACUCGGUUAGCAAAGAAAAAAAAAAUUGAAAACUAUUUACUUAGGAGAGAAGAGUACUUAUAUACAAUGUUCACAGGUGUGUCUAUACAUAAGCAUAAGAAGACGAGAAAGAGAGGGAGCGAGGUGAAGUAAAAAUUUGGAGUUAUGUAUUUAUAGAGAGGGAAUAGCAUAGAUGAAUUAAACCGAACGAAAUCGAACCAUAUUUUAUGGUUCCUUGUUGGUGUGAUUUAUUUUCUCUAAACCAAGUCCUACAGAUCAUUAAUACUACCAAUACCAAAUUAUAAAAUAUAUACAUAUAUACAUUAGUAUUUAUACUAUUAAAACAGAAGUCAUGUCUUUUUUUUAUGUGUGAUAUUUUAAAAUAGACCAUCCUCUAGAAUGUUUAUCAAAUUUUAUAUAAUUUAAUUAUCAUAUCUUUUAAUAUCUUUAUCUUUUAUUUAAAAUACAAGUAAAUAUUUUUUAAGAAUAAUUUAAAUUAAUUAAUUUUCAGAAAUACAUUUUAUAAAGAUCUUAAGAAGAUUUUGUUAGAAAGAAAUAUUCAUUUCUGUUGAAAUGAAAUUAAAAAAAUCUUAUCCAACUUUAUGUAUUUGAAGCAAUUUUUCAAAUAAGAUUUUUACUACAAAAUUAGUUUGCAUGUACAAUAUAUUAUAGUUUCUUUUUAAAAAAUAUUUUUUGUUGUUCUUAACAAUAUCUCAAAAUAUUUAUUCUCUAUUAUGUAGGUCUAAUUUAAUUUGACUUCCAUAUACAUUUCGAACUUAGAAAUAAAAUUAAAAAUUAUUUAAAAUAGUAUUAUUAUAUAAUAAUGUUCUAAAAACAAAAUUUGUUAUAAAAUUUAUAGUAAUAACAAUAUAAGCCACUUAAAUAUAGGCAUUAUAGAGUUAUUUAAUACAUAUAAAUUACAUUAAUUUAGUAUAAAUUUUGUUAUAUAAACUUAAAUGUUUUAGUAUAUGAAGAUUAAACCCGCAAGAUCUAGUUUUGGUUAAGAUAAAAGUAUUGGUUUUGUUGAAUGAUGAAAUGAUCAGAUCAAAUACGUUCAUUGAAAGGAAUAAUCACCGUGAUAUAUCUAUUUGUACUAAUAUGCAUGUACAAAUAAAUUUAGGACAACUUAUGAUGAUUUUUGCAUCUCCAAUAAAAAUACUUUACAUUUUUGGGGGAUAAAAGUACAAGUUCCAUAUGAUGGUAAGUUUAACUUAUCGUCGACUCUCAGUUAAUCUAGAGCAUUAGUGUAUAAAAAAUUAACUACAUCGACCAAUUCGAUAACAUAAACAUUAGAAAAAGAAAAAUUGUUUAGAUAUAUUAGUUAAUAUAUCCAUUGACUUGGAACUGAGUGUGUAAACACGUAAAGUGCUCAGGGCAAGUUGAUCAUAAACAUAGUACACUACAGAUCAACAAAGAGAGAUUUCUUGUCUCCCACAACUUCACCUGAAGAUCAUCGAAAAGCCACAAGCCUAGAAACCAAAACCACUAUGCAUAUGUAUACCAUUUUCCUUCUUUAUAUUAAUAAACACAUUACUAAAUGUUACUUUGAAAAAAACUAUAUGUAAAUGAAUCCUGCUUUUUCGCUGCCCUCUUUUUGCCACGAAAGUGAUGUCUUUUCUCCAAAAGCUGAUAUAUAUAAUAAUAACAUUAUAUGGCUUUGGUGAUGUGUUUCAAUAUUGAUCAUAAAUGCUAAAUCAGCAUCCAUGAAUUAUGAUCCGUUUUCAAACUCUUACGUAGAUAUUCAAAAUUGUUUGAAAUACUCAUUUUUCUUUUUAUAAAAUCAUUAAAUAGUUUUCAAUACAAAAGAACUUUGCAGACAGCUAUUUGGUUUGAGAAGAUGAGUUAGAUACCCAUGUCAUGGCAGACAACCUGGUACGUUUGCAUCGGUCAGCGUUUUCAUAGUUUAUGGAUCAAUAAUGGUAGCAUGUGGGAUAACUGCGGAACAACUGCUGUACGAUUCUAAUAACAAUAAAAACAUAUAAAUACAUAUGUAGAGAUUUUUUUAUUAUUAACGGCGGUGCGGUUCAUCACCAUUGGAAACUUAUAUUUGGUUUUAUAUUCCAUGACUCCGAAUUUAAUAUUUUAUUUUUAUUAUUUAGAUAUAACGUUUUGACAUAUGAAUUUAUGAUAUUAGGUCAAUUGUUUUGACUCAAUACUGAUCAAGUGAAAUCGCAGUGUGAACGUCGUAUUACAUAUAUACUAUCUUAUUCAGUUUGUUGGAAUCUCUCGGAAUGUACAAAAUAUUUUUGGGUAAGGCUAAACAAAUGUUUAAGCACCACCAAUGGAAUAAUAUUCAAUACAAUAAUCCAAGUGGUACCGAGAUAUUAAUUUACAAUUGUAUUUACUCUUUCAUAUUUAUGUUCUGUAAAGCUUUUCUCGAAUCUUGACAGCCCAUUGUAGUAGUUCUAAACUGUAGAUGUGCGAAUGAUAAUCUCUAUAUAAACCACACUAUAUUCGUUGGAUAAUCAUUACUUUUAUAAAUCAAGAUGAUUUCAGUUAUAAUUUUUUUUUGAAGUUUUAAGUUAUGAAAUGAUCUCUUAUAUAUAAUCUCAAAUUCCUUUUCGAAUUAAUAUAGAUGUUUAUAUCCCAAUAUUUAUGUUUUUAUUGGAACAUGCGAUUUUUGUGUACCACGCCUUGUUUCUAUUCACAUUUUUUUUUUCUAUUUACAUUUUGCUUAACUAAUGAUCGUAAGUCAACUACAUGUGUCUAUAUGGUAACGUGGAUGUUUAUAGCUAAUCCACAUGAUUACUAUUUUACUUCGUAAUUUUUCUGAAAUGGAAUCAUUUUAUAUAUUUACUACUACGCAUGCAAGACCUUAAAAAUUGAAUUACGUUUUUCCUUUUUGCAAAGUCAUGUUUAUUUUUUAAAAUGGACUCGUGGUAUUUCUAAUUUUCUCCAUAAAAUCUGGAGUUCCGAUUUACUGAAUAUCAAAUAUAUGUAAAAGAUGAAUAAUAUUAUAAAAACACUUUGUCUUCCCAUCAUACCAUUGAACGCUUUACACACACCUACACUGCUCUACACUGAGAAGUUAUUUUUGACAAAGAGCAUUUGAGAAGUUUUUGUUUAUAAAACAUCUGAGAAGUUAUAUAUAUCUGCGUAUAUGUUUUUAAUAAAUCUAAGCAUUUAAUUCAAUAAUUUUUUUAUACCUGAUAUAUUUUUACAAGCACCAAAGAAAGCUUUGUAUUUUGGGUAUUUUAAAGAAAACCCUAGAAUACAAAACUUUCUUUCAUGCUUAUAGGGAUAUAUUGAAGCCUUCGAAAAUAUUUCUGACAUUAGAAUUUCUUUAAAAAUCUACCAAAAGCCUUUUUACGACUGAUUUAGGAAAACUGUAACUUUUUUGUUAAUUUAAGAAUUUUAGCAGAAUUUUUUUUUUUUGAGAAAAAUUUUUAGCAGAAUUUUCUUCUUCUACUGUUAACUAGAGAAACAUUUCUGUUAAAAUAACAUGGAUAUGUACUACUAGUAUAGUAGGAAGAAACGAAUACUCUUUUUAAUAAAUGUGGGAAGAAAUGAAUACAGUUCCUCUUAACUUUUUUUGGUCCAAAACUAUGGGCUGGUUAGAGCUAUUUUAUUAAUCAAUGCGUAAUUAGGUCAUCUAAACGUUCUGACUUGGAUCGCACUUGGAAUCAAGCUUCCAGUCUUUUAUUUUAAUUUUGUUCUCAACUAAAAAUAUUCGCACGUAGUUUUAUGCAUGGUCUAAUCAUAAUAAAGUAAAAAUCCCCGACUAAGUACAAAUUGAUUAUCGAUAUAUAUAAUUGUUAUUUUAAAACUUUGGAAUUUUAUCUGUUUGUAAAAAUAACAUUUCUAGUUAAUCAUCCCUAUUAUCCACUACAACGUCAAAACCCUAAACGGCAAUUAAAUGCAAAGAUGUACAUAUGUAAAAUUACAAACGAAAGGUUCGUGUUAUUGAAAAAAACAUGAAAAUGACAAAGUCAGAAUGUAAAGAAACCCCUAAAUCGACCACACAAAAACUAUAAGUAGUUAACAGUAAAUCCACUAGGAUAUUUCUAAAGAAACAUGACUUCAUUAUACAUCGGGUAAGUUUUUUUUCCAACAAAGGCUAUACUAAACUACAAAGAUCCGGAUCUUAGAGCCAAUUCGAAAGAAUCGAAUUAACAUACAUCAUAGCAAAAGACCGAGUCCGAUCAUCUCCUGCAGCCGUUAUGUUUUUUGCCUUCAGAAUAUGUUAAAUGAUUACAACGAUGAAAUUAUUCCAGAUGCAUAGUGAAAACCAGUGAGUAUUCUGGUGUACACACUAUUUUCGCUAAUUGAGAACAUUCACCCACAAACACCAUUGGCUAAGAUAUUUUCUAAAAUGAUUGAGAUUCAAAAUUUUAAUUACUUACGCACAUAUGCUGAUAUAUAUGAGAAGUUUUUGUUAAAAAGUGGGGUUUUCAAUGGCUUAAUUAAUCUGUCUUCUAGAUCUUCCCUCGCCAUCAUAGUCUGCAUGAAAUAUUGUAUCUCUGGUCUAUGAGCUUAACCGAAUAGGCCAAUGUUUCAGGCCCAUUAAAAGAAAUUAGACAUGAGCCUAGACCUCAUAUGAUGAUGGUGACUCACCUAAACUACUACCUUCGAGAGUUUCAUCUUGUCAUCAAUAAUACGAUUCAGAUACAAGCUUCGUUGACAAGUGGAAGAUCGAGGUAAGACGAUUAUCUUCGUAUUCCUCAAGCAUUUUCUCGGGAAGACGAAGUGUUUUGGGGUUUUCGAUUAUUUAGGGUUAGGGGGUUAAACAUGCGAGGCACAGCUUAUAUAUAUAUAUAGAUCUCUCAGCGAGGCGCAGUCAUUAAAAAAAAAUUCUCUACACAAGACAUUCAUAAUUACGGCUCUCUCAUCUAACCCUAAUUUAGCGAGAGAAAGUCUCCAGAUCAUCUCAUCGUGGAACCAUGGGCGAAGAAGGCGAGACCAUCGAGUUUUAUUCCGGUAAGAUCUCUCUCCAUCUCUUCUUACCCGAAAUUGUUUGUUAGAUAUCGAUACGUCAAUAUUAUAAUAAAACAUGGAGAAAUCCAGAUUGAACAAGGCGUUUUUUUUUGUUAGAUAUCUUUAUUUUAGUAAAAUUCUUUUAUGCCUUGUCCUUUUUUUUUUCUUUUUGUCAAAGGGGAUGAAACACUGGUGUUCUGGAACAUGGAUGACUACCCAAUCCCUGUUGGUAUCGAUAAUCUGAGAAGUAAUAUCGAAGAAGCUCUUGAUCAAAUGGGCUUUCGUGGGCAUAAGGAUUCAAUGUGCAUUGUGAACAACUCAACUGCGAAACAAAAGAAGAGUUGGGCAAGGCCGGAUUCUUUUACUUAGGGCAUCCACAAUGGUGGAUUCCAUUAAGGAGUCCUUAGCCAUUAUUUUAUUAUAUUUUUUUUUAAUUGAAUAGUUAAAGAUUUUAAAUCAAAAAGUGAGUCCAAUGGUGGAUUCCUUUGAGGAGUCCUUAUAUUCACAAAUAAAUGAGAUUCAAAAUCGGAAGGGACGACGGAGACCAGAGACCUUGGAGCUUCUCACAUGACGUCUCCCUUUUCUCAUCCCUUAAUGAAGAAGCUCGUGAUCUUCAUCUUAUCUACUCUGUUUCUCACCACCGCGAACUCUGAAACGCAGUGCCGGCGUUUCAAGUCGAUCAUCAGCUUCCGCGACUCCAUUGCCGACACAGGAAACUUGCUCGACCUCUCUGAUCCUAACGAUCUUCCUCAUGUCGCGUUCCGUCCAUACGGAGACACAUUCUUCCACCAUCCCACGGGCCGUUUCUCAAACGGUCGCCUCAUCAUCGUACUUAUCCCCACUCUUCCAAUCGUUGCGCGCCACGUCGAUACGGACCCGGUCCUUAAAACCCUUUAUGUAAGGAUUGAUCCUUACCUUUUCUCCUUUUUUUUUAAUUUCGAAACCAAAAACUCAUAUGUUUUCGUGCUAAGGAUUCACUACGGAUCGCCGUUGUGGAUGGUCUUACCUUCUUGUAAAAUCUUCAGAACACUCUCUCUUUCUUGUUGUCGUUUCUACUUUAUUUUAUGUCUCUUCUUUACUACCUUUGAUAGGUACAAGGACUUGCAUGAAUUCGGCUGCUGUUAACAAAGUGACUACUCUGGAUAUGACUGCUUUUUGAUUCUUUUUGCAACAAGUAAUGCAAAUCCAGUCAAUUUUGCGGUAAUCGCAAAACCAGAACCAGAAGGGGAGUUACAUAGGGUUCUAAAGUGUUUGCAGUCGAGGAGUUACAAAGUUCUCAUAGUAGAUCCAACUGGUUACACCGGAGUAGAUUGUCUACUUGUUAAUUCACAUCUUUUAGGUGGAGGAAUACAAAGGUUCUGAUGCUAGCGAUGGCUUCGAAGAAGAUCUCCCCACUUACGGAUUAGAUCUCUCCGAUCUUCUUGCUCAGGAAGACAAAGAUCUCUCCCAGGGCGUAGAAGAGAAAGAAGACCUGUCCCAGUGCAAAGUCCAGGGCCAAAAGAUCGAAGAAGAAGAUGAUCUCUCCGAGAUCGAAGAAGAUGAUCUCACCAAGAUCCAAGAUUUUCUCGGUAAGACCAUUCCUAGACUAAAUUCUAAUGUAAAUUUUCUACGGUUACAGUCUAACCAAUCACCCCUAAUAUCUCUAUAAAUUAAUAGAAUUUUAAAGUCUCAACAUUAUUAAUUUAUAGAGGUUCUACUGUAUUAUGAAGUUUUACUAAAUUAAUAGGCAAAAAAUUAAAAUGAUGCUCAUGUACCAUGAAAGAGAGUUUAAUAUACAUUAAUACAAAUGUAGAAUGUGUUUAGAAAUUUUAAAACAACACUAAAGAUCAUAGGCUUCAGUAUAUAGAACAUUUGCCGAAAAACUCAAUAUUUUCGUUGGGGGUUUGGAAUCUUUAAUGUUGUCUCCGUUUCUCCAGAAAAUAGCGAUUUUAGUGCAUAGAUUUUGAAAAAAAAAUAAAAAAAUAAAAAUAUUGUUUUAGUGUAUAGUUGCAUCUUUCACUAACAUAUGAUGAAGGUCAAAGAGGCUUGGAACCUUUGUUGUCUCCGUUUCUCCAGAAAAUAGCGAUUUUAUAGUGGUUAGUCCACCAAUUUAGGGAAUAUUAUGAAGUCUUACUAAAUUAAUUGACAAAAAAUUAAAACGAUGUCCAUGUACCAUGAAAGAGAGUUUAAUAUACAUUAAUACAAAUGUAGAAUUUGUUUAGUAAUUUUUAAAAACCACUAAAGAUCAUAGGCUUCAGUAUAUAGAGCAUUUACCGAUAAAAGAACAAAAGUUCAAAAUACAUUAAUACAUAAGUAGAAAGAGUUUAUAAAUUUUAAAACAACACUAAAGAACAUAUGCUUUAGUAUAUACAGCAUUUAGAAAAAUUCAAUAUUUUCGUAGGGGUUAACACAUAGAUUUUGAGAAAUAUUCAAAAAUAUGAAAAUAGUGUUUUAACGCAUAGUUGCAUCCUUCACUAGCAUAUGCUGAAGGUCAAAGAGGUUUGAAACUUUUUUUGUCUCCGUUUCUACGGAAAAUAGCGAUUUUAUAGUGGUUAGUCCACAAAUUUAGAGAAUAUUAUGAAGUUUUACUAAAUUAAUUGACAAAAAAUUAAAAUGAUUCCCAUGUACCAUAAAAAAAGUUUAAUAUACACUAAUACAAAUAUAGAAUGUGUUUAGAAAUUUUAAAACAACAUUAAAGAUCAUAGGCUUCAUUAUAUACAACAUUUACCGAAAAACUUAAUAUUUUCAUAGGGGUUAACACAUAGAUUUUGAGAAAAAUUCAAAAAUAAGAAAAUACUAUUUUAAUGCAUAGUUGCAUCAUUCAUAUGGGUUAAAACAUAGAUUUUGAGAAAAAUUCAAAACUAUGAAAAUACUGUUUUAAUGCAUAGUUGCAUCAUUCACUAAUAUAUGAUGAUGGUCAAAGAGAUUUGAAACUUUUGUUGUCUCCGUUUUUCUAGAAAAUAGAUAUUUUAUAGUGGUUAGUCCACCAAUUUAGGGAGUAUUAUGAAGUUUUACUAAAUUAAUUGACAAAAAUUUAAAAAGAUGUUCAUAUACCAUGAAAGAGAGUUUAAUAUACAUUAAUACAAAUGUAGAAUGUGUUUAGAAAUUUUAAAACAUCACUAAAGAUCAUAAGCUUCAGUAUAAAGAGCAUUUACCGAAAAAUUCAAUAUUUUCGUAAGGGUUAACACAUAGAAUUUGAGAAAAAUUCAAAAAUAUGAAAAUAUUAUUUUAAUGCAUAAUUGCAUCUUUCACUAACAUAGAUGAAGGUCAAAGAAGUUUAAAACUUUUUUGUCUCCGUUUCUCCAGAAAAUAGCGAUUUUAUAGUGGUUAGUCCACCAAUUUAGGGAGUAUUAUGAAGUUUUACUAAAUUAAUUGACAAAAAAUUAAAACGAUGUCCAUGUACCACGAAAGAGAGUUUAAUAUACAUUAAUACAAAUUUUAGAAUGUGUUUAGAAAUUUUAAAACAACACUAAAGAUCAUAGGGUUCAGUAUAUAGAACAUUUACCGAAAAACUCAAUAUUUUCGUAGGGGUUAACACAUAGAUUUUGAGAAAAUUUCAAAAUUUCAAAAUACUAUUUUAAUGCAUAAUUGCAUCAUUCACUAACAUAUGAUGAAUGUCAAAGAAGUUUGGAACCUUUGUUGUCUCCGUUUUUCUAGAUAAUAGCGAUUUUAAAGUGGUUAGUCCACCAAUUUAGGGAGUAUUAUGAAGUUUUACUAUAUUAAUUGAAAAAAAGUUAAAACGAUGCCAAUGUACCAUGAAAAAAGUUUAAUAUACAUUAAUACAAAAGUAGAAUGUGUUUCGAAAUUUUAAAACAACACUAAAGAACAUAUAUAGGCUUCAGUAUAUGGAGCAUUUACCGAAAAAUUCAAUAUUUUCGUAGAGGGGGUUAACACAUAGAUUUUGAGAAAAAAUCAAAAAUAUGAAAAUACUGUUUUAAUGCAUAGUUGCAUCCUUCACUAACAUAUGAUGAAGGUCAAAGAGGUUUGGAACCUUUGUUGUCUCUGUUUCUCUAGAAAAUAGCGAUUUUGUAUUGGUUAGUUGAUACCACUCAAAUUACCCUAAGGAGUGAAUUAUUAUCUCAAAUAAGAGGUUCAGAUGCAAUACUUAGGGAUCGAAUCCACAAGUACUCUAUGAUUACUCAACAGAUCUAAGGGAUUAGAAAUAAAGAUAGACUAAGAGGUUUAUUUGUUUAAAAGCAGUAAAUGAUGAGUCGAACAAGGCAAUUGUUCGGCGCUUUAAGUUGAAGUUGUUUUAAGGAUGGGAAAACAACUAGACUUAGGCAAAUUCUCAGGUAUGAAAAGCAUAUAACUUAGUUUAUACUAAAGGGUUUGACGGUUUUUGAACUCAAACAAUUGUAAAACCAGAUAGGUUUUCAUUACUAGAUCUCGGAUCUCAACUGUCGUCUUUUGAUCUCAAGAAAGAGUCGUUCGAUGUGACUUGAUGCACAUCGUUUGAUACACCUUUCAAACAAUCGAUCGACACAACGAUAGUCGCGUGGAUCGACGGUUCUUCUAGCAAGCUUUGCGAGCGGGUUUGAAGCUGUUCUCUAACCUUCUAGACCAAUUCUCGUUGUUAUCUAGUCAGUUAUAUCACGCUGGCUAUUUCAGGUAUUGAGGGUAACAGUUGGUUAUCUCAAUUAAUCCUAAGAUCUAAAAUGAGGGUGAUCAAUCCUAAUUUUAGCAUUAAGCUCAAUAAGCAUGAAAGAACAAUCAAAACACCUUUUUAACAGUCUUAUUAGCAGCACACAUUUUCAAUCUUUAAACCUAAAUCUAACAAUUGGGUUUACUCGGACAUAUUCAUGAGAGACAAAGUCAUGAUGGUUUAAAUAAAACUCAAUUGAAAUAUUGAACACAGAAAGUAAGAGUAAUAGAAAUAAAAGAGUUCAAGAUCUUCUCUGUUAUGCAGUCUCAGAUCUAUCUCUCCAAUCCUAAGCUCUUCUAAUGGUAGCCAAAAUGCUUCUUCUCCAAACUAGGUCUUUUUGCAAGUCUACCUCUAAAAUGAUACAAAACCCUAGUACAUAUAGCCUCACAGACGGCUAAGGGCUUAUGUUGCAAUUAAGAAACUUUAUGGAAAUGAAGUCUUCUAAUUUCGUGAUUAAUCCUCAAGUAAUCCAAUAUUGAUCGAUGACGCUGAACGGCUGUCGAUCAAUUUUAAUUGGCUCCGGGCGAUCGAUAUUGCUCUUCAAGCGUUGAUCGAUUCUCUACGCGUAAAAGUAGUGCCAAAGUGUCCCAAAAGCAUCAUUUCCUUCUAUCAAGUAACUGAACCUGUAAUUGCUUUGAAAAGACUCUAAAACAUGAUAAAUAUAACUUAAAACACUUAUAUACCAUGACUAAAAAUGGGUGAAAUCCAUGGUAUAUCAUUAAUCCACCAAUUUAGGGAGUAUUAUGAAGUUUUACUAAAUUAAUUGACAAACAAUUAAAACGAUAUCCAUGUACCGUGAAAGAGAGUUUGAUAUAUAUUAAUACACCUGUAGACUGUUUAGAAAUUUUAAAACAACACUAAUGAAAAUAGCGAUUUUAUAGUGGUUAUUACAUCAAUUUACGGUGUAUUAUGAAGUGUUACUAAACUAAUUGACAAAAAGUUAAAACGAUGCUCAUGUAAUAUGAAAGAGAGUUUAAUAUACAUUGAUACAAAUGUAGAAUGUGUUUAGAAAUUUUAAAAGAACACUAAAGAUCAUAAGGUUCAUUAUAUACAACAUUUACCGAAAAACUCAAUAUUUUCGUAGGGGUUAACACAUAGAUUUUGAGAAAAAAUUCAAAAUAUAAAAAUAUUGUUUUAAUGUAUAGUUGCUUCAUUCACUCACAUAUGAUGAAGGUCAAAGAAGUUUGAAACAUUUGUUGUCUCUGUUUUUCUAGAGAAUAGCGAUUUUAUAGUAGUUAGUUCACCAAUUUAGGGAGUAUUAUGAAGUUUUACUGUAUUAAUUGACAAAAAGUUAAAACGAUGCCAAUGUACCAUGAAAAAAGUUUAAUAUACAUUAAUACUAAAGAACACAGACUUCAGUAUAUAGAGCAUUUACCGAAAAAUUCAAUAUUUUCGUAGGAGGGGGUUAACACAUAGAUUUUGAGAAAAAUUCAAAAAUUCAAAAAUAUUGUUUUAAUACAUAGUUGCAUCCUUCACUAACAAAUGAUGAAGGUCAAAGAGGUUUGGAAACUUUGUUGUCUCCAUUUCUCCAGAAAAUAGCGAUUUUAUAGUGGUUAGUCCACCAAUUUAGGGAAUAUUAUGAAGUUUUACUAAAUUAAUUGACAAAAAAUUAAAACGAUGUCCAUGUACCACGAAAGAGAGUUUAAUAUACAUUAAUACAAAUUUUAGAAUGUGUUUAGAAAUUUUAAAACAACACUAAAGAUCAUAGGCUUCAUUAUAUACAACAUUUACCAAAAAACUCAAUAUUUUCUUAGGGGACACAUAGAAUUUGAGAAAAAUUCAAAAAUGUAAAAAUACUGUUUUAGUGCAUAGUUGCAUCCUUCACUAACAUAUGAUGAAGUUCAAAGAAGUUUGAAACUUUUGCUGUCUCUGUUUCUCUUGAAAAUAGCGAUUUUAUAGUGGUUAAUUCACCAAUUUAGGGAGUAUUAUGAAAUUUUACUAAAUUAAUUAACAAAAAAUUAAAACUAUGCCCAUGUACCAUGAAAGAGAGUUUAAUAUACAUUGAUACAAAUGUAAAAUGUGUUUAGAAAUUUUAAAACAACACUAAAUAUCAUAGGCUUCAGUAUAUAGAGUAUUUACCGGAAAAUUCAAUAUUUUCGUAGGGGUGUUAAUACAUAGAUUUUGAGAAAAAUUCAAAAUAUAAAAAUACUGUUUUAAUGCAUAGUUGCAUACUUCUAACAUAUGAUGAAGGUCAAAAAAGUUUGGAACCUUUGUUGUCGCCGUUUUUCUAGAGAAUAGCGAUUUUAUAGUGGUUAGUCCACCAAUUUAGGGAGUAUUAUGAAGUUUUACUAUAUUAAUUGACAAAAAGUUAAAACGAUGCUAAUGUACCAUAAAAAAAGUUUAAUAUACAUUAAUACAAAUAUUGAAUGUGUUUAGAAAUUUUAAAACAACACUAAAGAUCAUAGGCUUCAUUAUAUACAACAUUUACCGAAAAACUCAUUAUUUUCGUAGGGGUUAACACAUAGAUUUUGAAAAGAAUUAAAAAAUAUGAAAAUACUGUUUUAAUGCAUAGUUGCAUCCUUCGCUAACAUAUGAUGAAGUUCAAAGAAGUUUGGAACUUUUUUUGUCACCAUCUCUCUUGAAAAUAGCGAUUUUAUAGUGGUUAAUUCACCAAUUUAGGGAGUAUUAUGAAAUUUUACUAAAUUAAUUAACAAAAAAUUAAAACUAUGCCCAUGUACCAUGAAAGAGAGUUUAAUAUACAUUGAUACAAAUGUAAAAUGUGUUUAGAAAUUUUAAAACAACACUAAAUAUCAUAGGCUUCAGUAUAUAGAGUAUUUACCGGAAAAUUCAAUAUUUUCGUAGGGGUGUUAAUACAUAGAUUUUGAGAAAAAUUCAAAAUAUAAAAAUACUGUUUUAAUGCAUAGUUGCAUACUUCUAACAUAUGAUGAAGGUCAAAAAAGUUUGGAACCUUUGUUGUCGCCGUUUUUCUAGAGAAUAGCGAUUUUAUAGUGGUUAGUCCACCAAUUUAAGAAGUAUUUUGAAGUUUUACCAAAUUAAUUGACAAAAAGUUAAAACGAUGCCCAUGUACCAUGAGAAAAAGUUUAAUACACAUUAAUACAAAUGUAGAAUGUGUUUCAUAAUGUACCAUGAAAAAAGUUUAAUAUACAUUAAUACAAAUUAGAAUGUGUUUCAAAAUUUUAAAACAACACUAAUGAAAAUAACGAUUUUAUAGUGGUUAGUACACCUAUUUAAGGUAUAUUAUGAAGUGUUACUAAAUUAAUUGACAAAAAAUUAAAACGAUGCUCAAAUACCAUGAAAGAGAGUUCAAUAUACAUUGAUACAAAUGUAUAAUGUGUUUAGAAAUUUUAAAACAACACUAAAGAUCAUAGACUUCAUUAUAUACAACAUUUACCAAAAAACUCAAUAUUUUCUUAGGGGACACAUAGAAUUUGAGAAAAAUUCAAAAAUGUAAAAAUACUGUUUUAGUGCAUAGUUGCAUCCUUCACUAACAUAUGAUGAAGUUCAAAGAAGUUUGAAACUUUUGCUGUCUCUGUUUCUCUUGAAAAUAGCGAUUUUAUAGUGGUUACUUCACCAAUUUAGGGAGUAUUAUGAAAUUUUACUAAAUUAAUUGAAAAAUAAAUAAAAUUAUGCCCAUGUACCGUGAAAGAGAGUUUAAUAUACAUUUAUACAAAUCUAAAAUGUGUUUAGAAAUUUUAAAACAACACUAAAGAUCAUAGGCUUCAGUAUAAAGAGUAUUUACCAGAAAAUUCAAUAUUUUCGUAGGAGUUAAGACAUAGAUUUUGAGAAAAAUUCAAAAUAUAAAAAUACUGUUUUAAUGCAUAGUUGCAUACUUCACUAACAUAUGAUGAAGGUAAAAAAAGUUUGGAACCUUUGUUGUCGCCGUUUUUCUAGAGAAUAGCGAUUUUAUAGUGGUUAGUCCACCAAUUUAGGGAGUAUUAUGAAGUUUUACUAUAUUAAUUGACAAAAAGUUAAAACGAUGCUAAUGUACCAUGAAAAAAGUUUAAUAUACAUUAAUACAAAUUAGAAUGUGUUUCAAAAUUUUAAUGAUGCCAAUGUACCAUGAAAAAAGUUUAAUAUACAUUAAUACAAAUUAGAAUGUAUCGAAAUUUUAAAACAACACAAAAGAACAUAGGCUUCAGUAUAUAGAGCAUUUACCUAAAAAUUCAAUAUUUUCGUUGGGGGGGGGGUUAACAAAUAGAUUUUGAGAAAUAUUCAAAAAUAUGAAAAUAGCGUUUUAACGCAUAGUUGCAUCCUUCACUAGCAUAUGCUGAAGGUCAAAGAGGUUUGAAACUUUUUUUUGUCUCCGUUUCUACGGAAAAUAGCGAUUUUAUAGUGGUUAGUCCACAAAUUUAGAGAAUAUUAUGAAGUUUUACUAAAUUAAUUGACAAAAAAUUAAAAUGAUUCCCAUGUACCAUAAAAAAAGUUUAAUAUACACUAAUACAAAUAUAGAAUGUCUUUAGAAAUUUUAAAACAACAUUAAAGAUCAUAGGCUUCAUUAUAUACAACAUUUACCGAAAAACUUAAUAUUUUCAUAGGGGUUAACACAUAGAUUUUGAGAAAAAUUCAAAAAUAAGAAAAUACUAUUUUAAUGCAUAGUUGCAUCAUUCACUAACAUAUGAUGAAGUUCAAAGAGAUUUGAAACUUUUGUUGUCUCCAUUUUUCUAGAAAAUAGCGAUUUUAUAGUGGUUAGUCCACCAAUUUAGGGAGUAUUAUGAAAUUUUACUAAAUUAAUAGACAAAAAACUAAAACUAUGCUCAUGUACCAUGAAAGAGAGUUUAAUAUACAUUAAUACAAAUGUAGAAUGUGGUUAGAAAUUUUAAAACAACACUAAAGAUCAUAGGCUUCAGUUAUGCUCAUGUACCAUGAAAGAGAGUUUAAUAUACAUUAAUACAAAUGUAGAAUGUGGUUAGAAAUUUUAAAACAACACUAAAGAUCAUAGGGUUCAGUAUAUAGAAUAUUUACCGAAAAACUCAAUAUUUUCGUGGGGGUUAACACCUAGAUUUUGAGAAAAACUCAAAAAUAUGAAAAUACUGUUUUAGUGCAUAGUUGCAACCUUCAAUUACAUAUGAUGAAGGUCAAAGAGGUUUCGAACCUUUGUUGUCUCCGUUUCUCCAAAAAAUAGCAAUUUUAUAGUGGUUAGUCCACCAAUUUAGGGAAUAUUAUGAAGUUUUACUAAAUUAAUUGACAAGAAAUUAAAACGAUGCCCAUAUACCAUAAAAAAAAGUUUAAUAUACAUUAAUACAAAUAUAUAAUGUGUUUAGAAAUUUUAAAACAACACUAAAGAUCAUAGGCUUCAUUAUAUACAACAUUUACCAAAAAAUUCAAUAUUUUCGUAGGGGGUUAACACAUAGAUUUUGAAAAAAAUAUAAAAAUAUGAAAAUACUGUUUUAAUGCAUAGUUGCAUCAUUCACAAAAAUAUGAUGAAGUUCAAAGAAGUUUGGAACUUUUGUUGUCUCCGUUUCUCUUGAAAAUAACGAUUUUAUAGUGGUUUUUUUUUAAACACAUUUCGAUUAAUAUUAAGGGUUAGUUGUGAGCAAUAAAAGCAUCACCAACCACCAAGGUUCCAGUUACAUUCAAGGCAUCCUUUGCCAAUCUAUCAGCUAAAACAUUUUUCUCUCUAGCGAUCCAAGAGAAAGAUACAGAAGAUAAGCCUGAGGUAUGGGAGAUAAUAUCAGCAACCACACUAUAGAUUUCAGAGAUGGGAACAUCAGCCCUCACCGCCUUUAUCAGUUGUACAGAAUCCGAUUUGAAAUGCACCUUCUGUAACCCCUGUUCUGCGCAGGUACGAGCUGCUUCCCGGAGGGCAAGUCCUUCUGCUGCUAGAGGAGAGGCAACGCAGUUCUGUGAUGCUUUGAAGGUUUGGUUUCCUGAACUGGAGAUGAUGACCCAUCCUAAUCCCGCUCUGUUGGUUGUGGAAUCCCACGCCGCGUCCGAUCGUAUCAUUAUGGUAUCAGGUGGAGUUGCCAGCGUCAGAGGGAAGAGUGUCCCGCCGAUGAUGCUUUCCUUCUUCACUUCUAUGCUCCAUUCCCGUGCUAGUUUAAUGGCCGAAGACAGAGUAUCCUCUGGUGAGGCAGAGUGUCCUUCAAACACAAACUUGUUCCUUGCCUUCCAUAGUGCCCAGAAAAUCCAAGGAGCUAACGAACCAGUCGUAAUUCCCGCGGGGGGAAGGCAUUUAAGGUUACACAGAAUCUCCCAGCUAGUCAUUAAAUCUAGUAUUCCGCUAAUAUCCAGGUCAGUGUGGAGAGGGGCAAGCUGCCAAACUCGUUGAGCAAACCGACACUGGAAUAGUAGAUGAGUAAUAGAUUCCGAGCAGCCACACCGUUUGCAUAAAGGAUCUACAGGGACAUGCCUUUCUACCAGUCUUUCCCCAACCGGGAUAGCUCGCUUAAGUAGUUUCCAGGAGAAGAGUUUGACUUUUGGUGCACACGGCAGAUUCCAGACGCUACUUUUCCAUUUGAAAGCUCCUGCAAUGGGUAAGGGUUCUCUGUCCCCGGCUCUGUUAGCUGCUGUAAAGUACCCAGACUUUGUUGAGUACACUCCCGACUUGGUACCUAGCCAUAUUUGCUUAUCAGGGGCACCGGUAAGGCUUUGCUUUAUGCUCAAGAUUGUUUCCUCAAAGUCUGGCAGGAUGAGUCUGAUUUUUCUGUUGUCCCAUUCCUUUGUUUCGGGGAUCAUCAGUUCUGAGACAGUGAGGUUCUGGUGAGGUGCGUUCGGAGGCCCCAUUGGCCUUCUCUGAGCUGAGUGGCUCAGCCUGGGAUCGCCCCAGAUACUUAUAGAUGCUCCAUCGCCCACUAUCCACCCAAGGUUCUCUAACAGUAGGUCUCGUCCCACUAAAAUGUUGCGCCAACCGUGUGACAUUGUUGAGGUCUCGACUGCUUGUAAGAUGUUCUUAUCCUGGCAAUACUUCCCAAAGAGUAUUUUGCCUAGCAGGCAAUCUUAAUGUUGGAAGAGUCUCCAGCUAAUCUUAGCAAGAAGAGUGACGUUGAAAUCCUGAAAAUCCCGCAGGCCGAGACCGCCCAUAGCUUUGGGCUUUGCCAUGCUCUCCCAAGAGACCCACUCCAUUUUCCUCUCAGUUUCGUUCUGAUCCCACCAAUACCGUGUAACCGCGGAUUGAAUUCUUUUACAAAGAGAGACCGGCAAUAAGAAGCUAGACAUUGGAUAGGAGGGGAUAGUAGAGAGUACACUUUGCUACAAGCUUCCCGGCUGCCGAUAGAUAUCUAUUCUUCCACCCCCUAGCCUUUUGUUUGAUACAGUCAACCACAGAGGAGAAGAGGUCGUGUUUCCUACGUCCGAAAUGCUCGGUAAGCCCCAAGUAUUUUCCUGUUCCCCCCUCCUUCUCGAUUUGGAGUUCAGCUUUGACCAUUUGCUUUAAGUUUGCUGGUGCUUUUCGCGAGAAAGUGAUAGCCGACUUUUCCUUGCUUAUAGAUUGGCCCGACGUUUGUUCGUAAUUGCUUAGAAUAGUCUUGAGAGAAGCACAGUUCUCCUUAUCCGCUUGGAGGAAGAACAUUGUAUCGUCCGCAAAGAAUAGAUGAGAUAAUCGGGGACAGCCUCUUGCGACUCGCAGACCUUGGAGUGAGCCUUCCUCCUGCGCUCUGUUACAUAAUCCCGAGAGAACCUUGCUACACAUAAUAAAUAUGUAGGGAGAUAGAGGGUCGCCUUGUCGGUUUAGAACUUUUGUUGUCUCCGUUUCUCUUGAAAAUAACGAUUUUAUAGUGGUUACUUCACCAAUUUACGGAGUAUUAUGAAAUUUUCCUAAAUUAAUUGACAUAAAAUUAAAACGAGGCCCAUGUACCAUAAAAAUGGUUAAUAUACAUUAAUACAAAUAUAGAAUGUGGUUAGAAAUUUUAAAACAACACUAAAGAUCAUAGGCUUCAUUAUAUACAAUAUUUACCGAAAACCGUAAUAUUUCCGUAGGGGGUUAACACAUAGAAUUGAAAAAAAUCCAAAAAUAUGAAAAUACUGUUUUUAAUGCAUAGUUGCAUCCUUCACUAACAUAUGAUGAAGUUCAAAGAAGUUUGGAACUUUUGUUGUCUCUGUUUCUUUUGAAAAUAGCGAUUUUAUAGUGGUUACUUCACCAAUUUAAGGAGUAUUCUGAAAUUUUACUAAAUUAAUUGACAAAAAAUUAAAACUAUGCCCUUGUACCAUGAAAGAUAGUUUAAUAUACGUUGAUACAAAUGUAAAAUGUGUUUAGAAAUUUUAAAACAACACUAAAGAUCAUAGGCUUCAGUAUAUAGAGCAUUUACCGAAAAAUUCAAUAUUUUCGUAGGGGUUAACACAUAGAUUUUAAGAAAAAUUCAAAAUAUAAAAAUAUUGUUUUAAUGCAUAGUUGCAUCCUUCACUCACAUAUGAUGAAGGUCAAAGAAGUUUGGAACCUUUGUUGUCUCCGUUUUUCAAGAGAAUAACGAUUUUAUAGUGGUUAGUCCACCAAUUUUAGGGAGUAUUAUAAAGUUUCACUAUAUUAAUUGACAAAAAGUUAAAAGAUGCCAAUGUACCAUGAAAAAAGUUUAAUAUACAUUAAUAAAAAUGUAGAAUGUGUUUCAAAAUUUUAAAACAACACUAAAGAACAUAGUCUUCAGUAUAUAGAACAUUUACCGAAAAAUUCAAUAAUUUCGUAGGGGGUUAACACAUAGAUUUUGAGAAAAAUUCAAAAAUAUGAAAAUACUGUUUUAAUACAUAGUUGCAUCAUUCACUAACAUAUGAUGAAGAUCAAAGAGGUUUGGAACCUUUGUUGUCUCCGUUUCUAGAGAAAAUAGCGAUUUUAUAGUGGUUAGUCCACCAAUUUUGGAAAUAUUAUGAAGUUUUACUAAAUUAAUUGAGAAAAAAAUUAAAACGAUGCCCAUGUACCAUAAAAAAAAGUUUUAUAUACAUUAAUAUAAAUAUAGAAUGUGUUUAGAAAUUUUAAAACAACACUAAAGAUCAUAGGCUUCAGUAUAUAGAGCAUUUACCGAAAAAUUCAAUAUUUUCGUAGGGGUUAACACAUAGAUUUUAAGAAAAAUUCAAAAUAUAAAAAUAUUGUUUUAAUGCAUAGUUGCAUCCUAAUAUUUUCGUAGGGGGUUUAACACAUAGAUUUUGAGAAAAAUUCAAAAAUAUAAAAAUACUGUUUUAAUGCAUAGUUACAUCCUUCACUAACAUAUGAUGAAGUUCAAAGAAGUUUGGAACUUUUGUUGUCUCCGUUUCUCUUGAAAAUAGGGAUUUUAUAGUGGUUACUUCACCAGUUUUGGGAGUAUUAUGAAAUUUUACUAAAUUAAUAGACAAAAAACUAAAAAUAUGCUCAUGUACCAUGAAAGAGAGUUUAAUAUACAUUGAUACAAAUUUAGAAUGUGAUUAUAAAUUUUAAAACAACACUAAAGAUCAUAGGGUUCAGUAUAUAGAAUAUUUACCGAAAAACUCAAUAUUUUCGUGGGGGUUAACACCUAGAUUUUGAGAAAAACUCAAAAAUAUGAAAAUACUGUUUUAGUGCAUAGUUGCAACCUUCAAUUACAUAUGAUGAAGGUCAAAGAAGAAAAAUUUAAAAAUAUGAAAAUACUGUUUUAGCGCAUUGUUGCAACCUUCAAUAACAUAUGAUGAAGGUCAAAGAGGUUUGGAACCUUUGUUGUCUCCGUUUCUCCAGAAAAUAGCGAUUUUAUAGUGGUUAGUCCACCAAUUUAGGGAAUAUUAUGAAGUCUUACUAAAUUAAUUGACAAAAAGUUAAAACGACACCAAUGCACCAUGAAAAAAGUUUAAUAUACAUUAAUAUAAAUGUAGAAUGUGUUUAGAAAAUUUAAAACAACCCUAAAGAACAUAGGCUUUCAGUAUAUAGAGCAUUUACCGAAAAAUUCAAUUAAUAUUUUCGUAGAGGGGGUUAACACAUAGAUUUUGAGAAAAAUUCAAAAAUAUAAAAAUACUGUUUUAAUGCAUAGUUACAUCCUUCACUAACAUAUGAUGAAGUUCAAAGAAGUUUGGAACUUUUGUUGUCUCCGUUUCUCUUGAAAAUAGCGAUUUUAUAGUGGUUACUUCACCAAUUUAGGGAGUAUUAUGAAGUUUUACUAUAUUAAUUGACAAAAAGUUAAAACAAUGCCAAUGUAACUUGAAAUUUUUUUAAUAUACAUUAAUACAAAUGUAGAAUGUGUUUCGGAAUUUAAAAACAACACUAAAGAACAUAGGCUUCAGUAUAUAGAGCAUUUACCGAAAAAUUCAAUUAAUAUUUUCGUAGAGGGGGUUAACACAUAGAUUUUGAGAAAAAUUCAAAAAUAUAAAAAUACUGUUUUAAUGCAUAUUUGCAUCCUUCACUAACAUAUGAUGAAUAUCAAAGAGGUUUGGAACCUUUAUUGUCUCCGUUUCUCUAGAAAAUAGCGAUUUUAUAUUGGUUAGUCCACCAAUUUAGGGAGUAUUAUGAAGUCUUACUAAAUUAAUUGACAAAAAAUUAAAAAGAUGUCCAUGUACCAUAAAAAAAGUUUAAUAUACAUUAAUACAAAUAUAGAAUGUGUUUAGAAAUUUUAAAACAACACUAAAGAUCAUAGGCUUCAUUAUAUACAACAUUUACCGAAAAACUCAAUAUUUUCGUAGGGGUUAACACAUAGAUUUUGAGAAAAAUUCACAAAUAUGAAAAUACUGUUUUAAUGCAUAGUUGUAUCCUUCACUAACAUAUGAUGAAGUUCAUAGAAGUUUGGAAUUUUUGGUUGUCUCCGUUUCUCUUGAAAAUAGCGAUUUUAUAGUGGUUACUUCACCAAUUUAGGGAGUAUUAUGAAGUUUUACUAUAUUAAUUGACAAAAAGUUAAAACAAUGCCAAUGUAACUUGAAAUUUUUUUAAUAUACAUUAAUACAAAUGUAGAAUGUGUUUCGGAAUUUAAAAACAACACUAAAGAACAUAGGCUUCAGUAUAUAGAGCAUUUACCGAAAAAUUCAAUAUUUUCGUACGGGGGGUUAACACAGAUUUUGAGAAAAAUUCAAAAAUAUGAAAAUAAUGUUUUAAUGCAUAGUUGCAUCCUUCACAAACAUAUGAUGAAAGUCAAAGAGGUUUGGAUCAUAGUUUUGAGAAAAAUUCAAAAAUUUGAAAAUACUGUUUUAAUGCAUAUUUGCAUCAUUCACUAACAUAUGAUGAAGGUCAAAGAGGUUUGGAACCUUUAUUGUCUUCGUUUCUCUAGAAAACAACGACUUUAUAGUGGUUUGGCCAACCAAUUUAGGGAGUAUUAUGAAGUUUUACAAAAUUAAUUGACAAAAAAUUAAAACGAUAUCCAUGUACCGUGAAAGAGAGUUUAAUAUACAUUAAUACAAAUGUAGGAUGUGUUUAAAAAUUCUAAAACAACACUAAUGAAAAUAACGAUUUUAUAGUGGUUAGUACACCAAUUUAUUGUGUAUUAUGAAGUGUUACUAAAUCAAUUAACAAAAAUUUAAAACGAUGCUCACGUACCAUGAAAGAGAGUUUAAUAUACAUUGAUACAAGUGUAGAAUGUUUUUAGAAAUUUUAAAACAACACUAAAGAUCAUAUGGUUCAUUAUAUACAACAAUUAUAGAAAACCUCAAUAUUUUCGUAGGGGGUUAAACACAUAGAAUUUGAGAAAAAUUCAAAAAUAUGAAAAAACUGUUUUAAUGCAUAGUUGCAUCCUUCACUCACAUAUGAUGAAGGUCAAAGAAGUUUAGAACCUUUGUUGUCUCCAUUUUUCUAGAGAAUAGCGAUUUUGUAGUGGUUAGUCCACCAAUUUAGGGAGUAUUAUGAAGUUUUACUAUAUUAAUUGACAAAAAGUUAAAACGAUACCAAUGUACCAUGAAAAAAGUUUAAUAUACAUUAAUAUAAAUUUACUAUGUAUUUCAAAAUUAUAUAACAACAAUAAAGAACAUAGGCUUCAGUAUAUAGAGUAGUUACCGAAAAAUUCAAUUAUACAUUAAUCUAAAUGUAGAAUGUAUUUCAAAAUUUUAAAACAUCACUAAAGAGCAUAGGCUUCAGUAUGUAGAGUAUUUACCGAAAAAUUCAAUAUUUUCGUAGGGGGGUUAACACAUAAAUUUUGAGAAAAAUUCAAAAAUAUGAAAAUACUGUUUUAAUGCAUAGUUGCAUCCUUCACUAACAUAUGCUGAAGUUCAAAGAGAUUUGGAACCUCUGUUGUCUCCGUUCUCUAGAAAUUGCGAUUUUAUAGUGGUUAGUCCACCAAUUUAUGGAUUAAUAUGAAGUUCUACUAUAUUAACUGACAAAAAAUUAAAACGAUGUCCAUGUACCAUGAAAGAGAGUUUAAUAUACAUUAAUACAAAUGUAGAAUUUGUUUAGUAAUUUUUAAAAACCACUAAAGAUCAUAGGCUUCAGUAUAUAGAGCAUUUACCGAUAAAAUCAAUAUUAACACAUAGAAUUUGAGAAAAAUUCAAAUAUAUGAAAAUAUUAUUUUAAUGCACAGUUGCAUCCUUCACUAACAAUAGGCUUCAGUAUAUAGAGCAUUUACCGAUAAAAUCAAUAUUAACACAUAGAAUUUGAGAAAAAUUCAAAAAUAUGAAAAUAUUGUUUUAAUGCAUAGUUGCAUCCUUCACUAACAUAUGAUGAAGUUCAAAGAAGUUUGGAACUUUUGUUGUCUCUCUUUCUCUAGAAAAUAGCGAUUUUAUAGUGGUUAGUGCACUAAUUUAGGGAGUAAUAUGAAAUUUUACUAAAUUAAUUGUCAAAAAAUUAACGAUGCCCAUGAAUCAUGAAAAAGAGUUUUAUAUACAUUGAUACAAAUGUAAAAUGUGUUUAGAAAUUUUAAAACAACGCUAAAUAUCAUAGGCUUCAGUAUAUGGAGCAUUUACCGAAAAAUUCAAUAUAGGGAUUAACACAUAUAUUUUAAGAAUAAUUCAAAAAUAUGAAAAUACUGUUUUAAUGCAUAGUUUCAUCAUUCACUAACAUAUGAUGAAGGUCAAAGAGGUUUGAAACUUUUGUUGUCUCUGUUUCUUGGAAAAUAACGAUUUUAUAGUGGUUAGUCCACCAAUUUAAGAAGUAUUUUGAAGUUUUACCAAAUUAAUUGACAAAAAGUUAAAACGAUGCCCAUGUACCAUGAGAAAAAGUUUAAUACACAUUAAUACAAAUGUAGAAUGUGUUUCAAAAUUUUAAAACAACUCUAAAGAACAUAGGCUUCACUAUAUAGAGCGUUUACCGAAAAAUUCAAUAUUUUCGUAGGGGUACACAUAGAUUUUGAGAAAAAUUCAAAAAUGUGAAAAUACUGUUUUAAUGCAUAGUUGCAUCUUUCACUAACAUAUGAUGGAGGUCAAAGAGAUUUCGAACCUUUGUUGUCUCCGUUUUUCUAGAGAAUAACGAUUUUAUAGUGGUUAGUCCACCAAUUAGGGAGUAUUAUGAAGUUUUAAUAUAUUAGUCGACAAAAAGUUAAAAUGUUGCUCAUGUACCAUUAAAUAAAGUUUAAUAUACAUUAAUAUAAAUGUUGAAUGUGUUUAGAAAAAUUUUAAAACAACACUAAAGAUCAUAGGCUUCAGUAUAUAGAGCAUUUACCGAAAAAAUCAAUAUUUUCUUAGGGUUAGUUAACACAUAGAUUUUGUGAAAAAUUUAAAAUUAUGAAAAUACAGUUUUAAUGCAUAGUUGCAUCAUUCACUAACAUAUGAUGAAUGUCAAAUAAUUUUGGAACCUUUGUUGUCUUCGUUUCUCUAGAAAAUAGCAAUUUUAUAGUGGUUAGUCCAUGAAUUUAGGGAGUAUUAAUAAGUUUUACUUAAUUGAUUGACACCAAAUUAAAACGAUGUCCAUGUACCAUGAAAGAGAUUUUAAUAUACAUUAAUGCAAAUGAAGAAUGUGUUUAGAAAUUUUAAAACAAUACUAAAGAUCAUAGGCUUCGGGUAUAUAGAGUAUUUACCGAAAAAUUCAAUAUUUUUGUGGGGAGUUAACAAAUAUAUUUUGGGAAAAAUUCAAAAAAAAAAAUAUUGUUUUAAUGUAUAGUUACAUAUUUCACUCACAUAUAAUAAGGUCAAAGAAGUUUCGAACCUUUGUUGUCUCCGUUUUUGUAGAGAAUAGCUACUAUAUUAAUUGGCAAAAAGUUAAAACGAUGCCAAUGUACCAUGAAAAAAGUUUAAUAUACAUUAAUACAAAUGUAGAAUGUGUUUAGAAAAAUUUUAAAACAACACUAAAGAUCAUAGGCUUCAGUAUAUAGAGCAUUUACCGAAAAAAUCAAUAUUUUCUUAGGGUUAGUUAACACAUAGAUUUUGUGAAAAAUUUAAAAUUAUGAAAAUACAGUUUUAAUGCAUAGUUGCAUCAUUCACUAACAUAUGAUGAAUGUCAAAUAAUUUUGGAGGUUAACACAUAGAUUUUAAGAAAAAUUCAAAAAUAUAAAAAUACUGUUUUAAUGCAUAUUUUCAUCCUUCACUAACAUAUAAUGAAGAUCAAAGAGGUUUGGAACCUUUGUUGUCUCCGUUUCUCUAGAAAAUAGCGAUUUUAUAUUGGUUAGUCCACCAAUUUAGGGAGUAUUAUGAAGUUUUACUAAAUUAAUUGACAAAAAAUUAAAAAGAUGCCAUGUACCAUAAAAAAAAGUUUAAUAUACAUUAAUACAAAUAUAAAAUGUGCUUAGAAAUUUUAAAACAACACUAAAGAUCGUAGGCUUCAUUAUAUACAACAUUUACCAAAAAACUCAAUAUUUUCGUAGGGGUUAACACAUAGCUUUUGAGAAAAAUUCAAAUAUAUGAAAAUACUGUUUUAUUGCAUUGUUGCAUCCUUCACUCACAUAUGAUGAAGGUCAAAGAAGUUUGGAACCUUUGUUGUCUCCAUUUUUCUAGAAAAUAGCGAUUUUAUAGUGGGUAGUCCACCAAUUUAGGGAGUAUUAUGAAGUUUUACUAUAUUAAUUGACAAAAAGUUAAAACGAUACCAAUGUACCAUGAAAAAAGUUUAAGAUACAUUAAUAUAAAUGUAGAAUGUAUUUUAAAAUUUUAAAACAACACUAAAGAACAUAGGCUUCUGUAUGUAGAGUAUUUACCGAAAAAUUCAAUAUUUUCGUGGGGGUGGUUAACACAUAGAUUUUGAGAAAAAUUCAAAAAUAUGAAAAUACUGUUAUAAUGCAUAGUUGCAUCCUUCACUAACAUAUGAUGAAUGUCAAAGAGGUUUGGAACCUUUGUUGUCUCCGUUUCUCUAGAAAUUGCGAUUUUAAAGUGGUUAGUCCACCAAUUUAUGGAGUAUUAUGAAGUUCUACUAUAUUAAUUGACAAAAAAUUAAAACCCCAUGAAAGAGAGUUUAAUAUAUAUUAAUACAAACGUAGAAUUUGUUUAGAAAUUUUUUAAAAAACGCUAAAGAUCAUAGGCUUCAGUAUAUAGAGCAUUUACCGAUAAAAUCAAUAUUAACACAUAGAAUUUGAGAAAAAUUCAAAAAGAUGAAAAUAUUGUUUUAAUGCAUAGUUACAUCCUUCACUAACAUAUGAUGAAGUUUAAAGAAGUUUGAAACUUUUGUUGUCUCCAUUUCUCUAGAAAAUAGCGAUUUUAUAGUGGUUAGUGCACCAAUUUAGGGAGUAUUAUGAAAUUUUACUAAAUUAAUAGUCAAAAAAUUAAAACGAUGCCCAUGGAUCAUGAAAGAGAGUUUUAUAUACAUUGAUACAAAUGUAAAAUGUGUUUAGAAAUUUUAAAACAACGCUAAAUAUCAUAGGCUUCAGUAUAUAGAGCAUUUACCGAAAAAUUUAAUAUAGGGAUUAAUACAUAUAUUUUAAGAACAAUUCAAAAAUAUAAAAAUACUGUUUUAAUGCAUAGUUUCAUCAUUCACUAACAUAUGAUGAAGGUCAAAGAGCUUUGAAACCUUUGUUGUCUCCGUUUCUUGGAAAAUAACGAUUUUAUAGUGGUUAUUCCACCAAUUUAAGGAGUAUUUUGAAGUUUUACUAAAUUAAUUGACAAAAAGUUAAAACGAUGCCCAUGUACCAUGAGAAAAAGUUUAAUACACAUUAAUACAAAUGUAGAAUGUGUUUCAAAAUUUUAAAACAACUCUAAAGAACAUAGGCUUCUCUAUAUAGAGCGUUUACCGAAAAUUCAAUAUUUUCGUAGGGGUACACAUAGAUUUUGAGAAAAAUUCAAAAAUAUGAAAAUAUUGUUUUAAUGCAUAGUUGCAUCUUUCACUAACAUAUGAUGAAGGUCAAAGAGGUUUCGAACCUAUGUUGUCUCCGUUUUUCUAGAGAAUAGCGAUUUUAUAGUGGUUAGUCCACCAAUUUAGGGAGUAUUACGAAGUUUCACUAUAUUAAUUGAAAAAAAGUUAAAAGAUUCCAAUGUACCAUGAAAAAAGUUUAAUAUACAUUAAUCUAAAUGUAGAAUGUAUUUCAAAAUUUUAAAACAUCACUAAAGAGCAUAGGCUUCAGUAUGUAGAGUAUUUACCGAAAAAUUCAAUAUUUUCGUAGGGGGGUUAACACAUAAAUUUUGAGAAAAAUUCAAAAAUAUGAAAAUACUGUUUUAAUGCAUAGUUGCAUCCUUCACUAACAUAUGCUGAAGUUCAAAGAGAUUUGGAACCUCUGUUGUCUCCGUUCUCUAGAAAUUGCGAUUUUAUAGUGGUUAGUCCACCAAUUUAAGAAGUAUUUUGAAGUUUUACUAAAUUAAUUGACAAAAAGUUAAAACGAUGCCCAUGUACCAUGAGAAAAAGUUUAAUACACAUUAAUACAAAUGUAGAAUGUGUUUCAAAAUUUUAAAACAACUCUAAAGAACAUAGGCUUCUCUAUAUAGAGCGUUUACCGAAAAUUCAAUAUUUUCGUAGGGGUACACAUAGAUUUUGAGAAAAAUUCAAAAAUAUGAAAAUAUUGUUUUAAUGCAUAGUUGCAUCUUUCACUAACAUAUGAUGAAGGUCAAAGAGGUUUCGAACCUAUGUUGUCUCCGUUUUUCUAGAGAAUAGCGAUUUUAUAGUGGUUAGUCCACCAAAGAGAGUAUUAUGAAGUUUUACUAUAUUAGUUGACAAAAAGUUAAAUCGUUGCUCAUGUACCAUUAAAUAAAGUUUAAUAUACAUUAAUACAAAGGUAGAAAGUUUUUAGAAAUUUUUUAAAACAACACAAAAGAUCAUAGAGCAUUUACCGAAAAAAUCAAUAUUUUCGUAGGGUUAGUUAACACAUAGAUUUUGAGAACAAUUCAAAAAUAUGAAAAUACAGUUUUAAUGCAUAGUUGCAUCAUUCACUAGCAUAUGAUGAAUGUCAAAUAGUUUUGGAACUUUUGUUGUCUUCGUUUCUCUAGAAAAUAGCAAUUUUAUAGUGGUUAGUCCAUGAAUUUAGGGAGUAUUAAUAAGUUUUACUUAAUUGAUUGACACCAAAUUAAAACGAUGUCCAUGUACCAUGAAAGAGAGUUUAAUAUACAUUAAUACAAAUGAAGAAUGUGUUUAGAAAUUUUAAAGCAACACUAAAGAUCAUAGGCUUCGUUAUAUAGAGUAUUUACCGAAAAAUUCAAUAUUUUCGUAGGGGGGUUAACACAUAAAUUUUGAGAAAAUUUUGAAAACAACAAAAUACUAUUUUAUUGCAUCGUUUCAUCCUUCACUGACAUAUGAUGAAGGUCAAAGAGGUUUGGAACUUUUGUUGUCUCUGUUUCUCUGAAAAAUAGGGAUUUAUUGUGAUUAAUCCACCAAUUUAGGGAGUAUUAUGAAGUUUUACUAAAUGAAUUGACAAAAAGGUUAAAAUGAUGCCCAUGUACCAUGAAAGAGAAUUUAAUAUACACUAACUAUCAUAGGGUUCAUUAUAUACAACAUUUACCGAAAAACUCAAUAUUUUCGUAGGGGUUAUUAACACAUAGAAUUUGAGAAAAAUUCAAAAUUAUGAAAAACUGUUUUAAUGCAUAGUUGCAUUAUUCACUAACAUAUGAUAAAGUUCAAAAAAGUUUAGAACUUUUGUUUUCUCCAUUUCUCUAGAUAAUAAUGAUUUUAUAGUGGUUAGUUCACCAAUUUAGGGAGUAUUAUGAAAUUUUACUAAAUUAAUCGACAAAAAAUUAAAACGAUGUCCAUGUACUAUGAAAAAGAGUUUAAUAUACAUUGAUACAAAUGUAAAAUGUGUUUAGAAAUAUUAAUACAACACUAAAUAGCAUAGGCUUCAGUAUAUAGAGCAUUUACGGAAAAAUUCAAUAUUUUCGUAGGGGUUGUUAACACAUAGAUUUUGAGAAAAAUUAAAUAUAUAAAAAUAUUGUUUUAAUGCAUAGUUGCAUCCUUCACUCAAAUAUGAUGAAGGUCAAGGAAGUUUGGAAUCUUUGUUGUCUCCGUUUUUCUAGAGAAUAGCGAUUUUAUAGUGGUUAGUCCACCAAUUAGAGUAUUAUGAAGUUUUACUAUAUUAGUUGACAAAAAGUUAAAUCGUUGCUCAUGUACCAUUAAAUAAAGUUUAAUAUACAUUAAUACAAAGGUAGAAACGAAGUUUCACUAUAUUAAUUGAAAAAAAGUUAAAAGAUUCCAAUGUACCAUGAAAAAAGUUUAAUAUACAUUAAUACAAAUGCAGAAUGUGUUUCAAAAUUUUAAACUAACACUAAAGAACAUAGGCUUCAGUAUAUAGAACAUUUACCGAAAAAUUCAAUAUUUUCGAGGGGGGGUUAACACAUAGAUUUUGAGUAAAUUUCAAAAAUAUAAAAAUACUGUUUUAAUACAGAGUUGCAUCAUUCACUAACAUAUGAUGAAGGUCAAAGAGGUUUGGAACCUUUGUUGUCUCCGUUUCUCCAGAAAAUAGCGAUUUUAUAGUGGUUAGUCCACCAAUUUAGGAAAUAUUAUGAAGUUUACUAAAUUAAUUGACAAAAAAAUUAAAACGAUGCUCAUGUACCAUGAAAGAGAGUUUAAUAUACAUUGAUAGAAAUGUAGAAUGUUUUUAGAAAUUUUAAAAUAACACUAAAGAUCAUUGGCUUCAUUAUAUACAACAUUUACAGAAAAACUCAAUAUUUUCGUAGGGGUUAACAUAUUGAAUUUGAGAAAACUUCAAAAAUAUGAAAAAACUGUUUUAAUGCAUAGUUGAAUCAUUCACUAACAUAUGAUGAAGUUCAAAGAAGUUUGGAACUUUUGUUAUCUCCGUUUCUCUAGAAAAUAGUGGUUUUAUAGUGGUUAGUUUACCAAUUUAGGGAGUAUUAUUAAAUUUUACUAAAUUAAUUGUGAAAAAAUUAAAACGAUGUCCAUGUACCAUGGAAGAGAGUUUAAUAUACAUUUAUACAAAUGUAAAAUGUGUUUAGAAAUUUUAAAACAACACUAAAGAUAAUAGGCUUCAGUAUAUAGAGCAUUUACAGAAAAAAUUUAGUAUUUUUGUAGGGGUUAACACAUAGAUUUUGAGAAAAAAUCAGAAUAUAAAAAUACUGUUUUAAUGCAUAGUUGCAUCGUUCACUCACAUAUGAUGAAGUUCAAAUAAGUUUGGAACCUUUAUUGUCUCCGAUUUUUCUAGAGAAUAUCGAUUUUAUAGUGGUUAGUCCACCAAAGAGAGUGUUAUGAAGUUUUACUAUAUUAAUUGACAAAAAGUUAAAACGAUACCAAUGUACCAUGAAAAAGGUUUAAUAUUCAUUAAUAUAAAUUUACUAUGUAUUUCAAAAUUAUAUAACAACAAUAAAGAACAUAGGCUUCAGUAUAUAGAGUAGUUACCGAAAAAUUCAAUAUUUUCGUACGGGGGGUUAACACAGAUUUUGAGAAAAAUUCAAAAAUAUGAAAAUAAUGUUUUAAUGCAUAGUUGCAUCCUUCACAAACAUAUGAUGAAAGUCAAAGAGGUUUGGAACCUUUGUUGUCUCAGUUUCUCUAGAAAAUAGCGAUUUUAUAGUGGUUAGUCCACCAAUUUAUGGAGUAUUAUGAAGUUUUACUAUAUUAAUUGACAAAAAAUUAAAACGAUGCCCAUUUACCAUGAAAGAGAGUUUAAUAUACAUUAAUACAAACGUAGAAUUUGUUUAGUAAUUUUUAAAAAACACUAAAGAUCAUAGGCUUCAGUAUAUAGAGCAUUUACCGAUAAAAUCAAUAUUAACACAUAGAAUUUGAGAAAAAUUCAAAUAUAUGAAAAUAUUAUUUUAAUGCAUAGUUGCAUCCUUCACUAACAUAUGAUGGAGUUCAAAUAAGUUUGGAAGUUUUGUUGUCGCUCUUUCUAUAGAAAAUAGCGAUUUUAUAGUGGUUAGUGCACCAAUUUAGGGAGUAUUAUGAAAUUUUACUAUAGUAAUUGUCAAAAAAUUAAAACGAUGCCCAUGAAUCAUGAAAAAGAGUUUGAUAUACAUUGAUACAAAUGUAAAAUGUGUUUAGAAAUUUUAAAACAACACUAAAUAUCAUAGGCUUCAGUAUAUGGAGCAUUUACCGAAAAAUUCAAUAUUUUCGUAGGGAUUAAUACACAUAUUUUAAGAAUAAUUCAAAAAUAUGAAAAUACUGUUUUAAUGCAUAGUUUCAUCAUUCACUAACAUAUGAUGAAAUUCAAAGAGGUUUGAAACUUUUGUUGUCUCCAUUUCUUGGAAAAUAACGAUUUUAUGAUGGUUAGUCCUCCAAUUUAAGGAGUAUUUUGAAGUCUUACUAAAUUAAUUGACAAAAAGUUAAAAUGAUGCCCAUGUACCAUGAGAAAAGUUUAAUACACAUUAAUACAAAUGUAGAAUGUGUUUCAAAAUUUUUAAACAACUCUAAAGAACAUAGGCUUCAGUAUAUAGAGUGUUUACCGAAAAAUUCAAUAUUUUCGUAGGGGUACACAUAGAUUUUGAGAAAAAUUCAAAAAUAUGAAAAUAUUGUUUUAAUGCAUAGUUGCAUCUUUCACUAACAUAUGAUGAAGGUCAAAGAGGUUUCGAACCUAUGUUGUCUCCGUUAAUUCAAAAAUAUGAAAAUACUGUUUUAAUGCAUAGUUUCAUCUUUCACUAGCAUAUGAUGAAGGUCAAAGAGGUUUGGAACCUUUGUUGUCUCCGUUUUUCUAGAGAAUAACGAUUUUAUAGUGGUUAAUCCUCCAAUUUAGGGAGUCUUAUGAAGUUUUACUAUAUUAGUUGACAAAAAGUUAAAACGUUGCUCAUGUACCAUUAAAUAAAGUUUAAUAUACAUUAAUACAAAUGUAGAAUGUGUUUAGAAAAAUUUUAAAACAACACUAAAGAUCAUAGGCUCCAGUAUAUAGAGCAUUUACCGAAAAAAAUCAAUAUUUUCGUAGGGUUAGUUAACACAUAGAAUUUGUGAAAAAUUCAAAAAUAUGAAAAUACAGUUUUAAUGCAUAGUUGCAUCAUUCACUAACAUAUGAUGAAUGUCAAAUAAUUUUGGAACCUUUGUUGUCUUCGUUUCUCUAGAAAAUAGCAAUUUUAUAGUGGUUAGUCCAUGAAUUUAGGGAGUAUUAAUAAGUUUUACUUAAUUGAUUGACACCAAAUUAAAACGAUGUCCAUGUACCAUGAAAGAGAUUUUAAUAUACAUUAAUGCAAAUGAAGAAUGUGUUUAGAAAUUUUAAAACAAUACUAAAGAUCAUAGGCUUCGGGUAUAUAGAGUAUUUACCGAAAAAUUCAAUAUUUUUGUGGGGAGUUAACAAAUAUAUUUUGGGAAAAAUUCAAAAAAAAAAAUAUUGUUUUAAUGUAUAGUUACAUAUUUCACUCACAUAUAAUAAGGUCAAAGAAGUUUCGAACCUUUGUUGUCUCCGUUUUUGUAGAGAAUAGCUACUAUAUUAAUUGGCAAAAAGUUAAAACGAUGCCAAUGUACCAUGAAAAAAGUUUAAUAUACAUUAAUACAAAUGUAGAAUGUGUUUCGAAAUUAAAAAAAAAACAAUAAAGAACAUAGGCUUCAGUAUAUAGAACAUUUACCGAAAAAUUCAAUUAAUAUUUUCGUAGAGGGGGUUAACACAUAGAUUUUGAGAAAAUUUUAAAAUUAUGAAAAUACUGUUUUAAUGCAUAUUUUCAUCAUUCACUAACAUAUGAUGAAGAUCAAAGAGGUUUGAACCUUUGUUGUCUCCGUUUCUCUAGAAAAUUGCGAUUUUAUAUUGGUUAGUCCACCAAUUUAGGGAGUAUUAUGAAGUUUUACUAAAUUAAUUGACAAAAAAUUAAAAAGAUGCCAUGUACCAUAAAAAAAAGUUUAAUAUACAUUAAUACAAAUAUAGAAUGUGUUUAGAAAUUUUAAAACAACACUAAAGAUCAUAGGCUUCAGUAUAUAGAGUAUUUACCGAAAAAUUCAAUAUUUUCGUAGGGGGGUUAACACAUAGAUUUUGAGAAAAUUCAAAAAAUAAAAAUAUUGUUUUAAUGUAUAGUUGCAUCCUUCUUCACAUAUGAUAAGGCAAAGAAGUUUGGAACCUUUGUUUUCUCCGUUUUUCUGGAGAAUAACUAUUUUAUAGUGAUUAGUCCACCGAUUUAGAGAGUAUUAUAAAAUUUUAUUAUAUUAAUUGGCAAAAAGUUAAAACAAUGCCAAUGUACCAUGAAAAAAGUUUAAUAUACAUUAAUACAAAUGUAGAAUGUGUUUCGAAAUUAAAAAAAAAACAAUAAAGAACAUAGGCUUCAGUAUAUAGAACAUUUACCGAAAAAUUCAAUUAAUAUUUUCGUAGAGGGGGUUAACACAUAGAUUUUGAGAAAAUUUUAAAAUUAUGAAAAUACUGUUUUAAUGCAUAUUUUCAUCAUUCACUAACAUAUGAUGAAGAUCAAAGAGGUUUGAACCUUUGUUGUCUCCGUUUCUCUAGAAAAUUGCGAUUUUAUAUUGGUUAGUCCACCAAUUUAGGGAGUAUUAUGAAGUUUUAGUAAAUUAAUUGACAAAAAAUUAAAAAGAUGUCCAUGUACCAUAAAAAAAAGUUUAAUAUACAUUAAUACAAAUAUAGAAUGUGUUUAGAAAUUUUAAAACAACACUAAAGAUCAUAGGCUUCAUUAUAUACAACAAUUCCCGAAAAACUCAACACAUAGAUUUUGAGAAAAAGUCAAAAAUAUGAAAAUACUGUUUUAAUGCAUAGUUACAUUCUUAACUAACAUAUGAUGAAGUUCAAAGAAGUUUGGAACUUUUGUUGUCUCCGUUUCUCUUGAAAAUAGCGAUUUUAUAGUGGUUACUUCACCAAUUUAGGGAGUAUUAUGAAAUUUUACUAAAUUAAUUGACAAAAAAUUAAAACUAUGUCCAUGUACCAUGAAAUAGAGUUUAAUAUACAUUUAUACAAAUGUAAAAUGUGUUUAGAAAUUUUAAAACAGCACUAAAGAUCAUAGGCUUCAGUAUAUAGAGUAUUUACCGAAAAAUCAAUAUUUUCGUAGGGGUUAACACAUAGAUUUUGAGAAAAAAUCAAAAUAUAAAAUUAAUGUUUUAAUGCGUAGUUAUAUCCUUCACUAACAUAUGAUGAAAAUCAAAUAAGUUUGGAACCUUUGUUGUCUCCGUUUUUUCUAGAGAAUUGCGAUUUUAUAGUGGUUAGUCCUCCAAUUUAGGGAGUAUUACGAAGUUUUACUAUAUUAAUUGACAAAAAGUUAUAACGAUACCAAUGUAUCAUGAAAAAAGUUUAAUAUACAUUAAUACAAAUGUAGAAUGUGUUUUGAAAUUUUAAAACAACACUAAAGAACAUAUGCUUCAGUAUAUAGAGUAUUUACCGAAAAAUUCAAUAUUUUCGUAGGGGGGUUAACACAUAGAUUUCGAGAAAAAUUUAAAAAUAUGAAAAUACUGUUUUGAUGCAUUGUUGCAUCCUUCACUAACAUAUGAUGAAGGUCAAAGAGGUUUGGAACCUUUAUUGUCUCCGUUUCUCUAGAAAAUAGGGAUUUUAUAGUGGUUAGUCCACAUAUUUAUGGAAUAUUAUGAAGUUUUACUAAAUUAAUUGACAAAAAAAAACGAUAUCCAUGUACUGUGAAAGAGAGUUUAAUAUAUAUUGAUACAAAUUUAGAAUUUAUUUAGAAAUUUUAAAACAACACUAAUAAAAAUAACGAUUUUAUAGUGGUUAGUACACAUAUUUAUGGUGUAUUAUGAAGUGUUACUAAAUUAAUUGACAAAAAAUUAAAAAGAUGCUCAUGUACCAUGAGAUAGAGUUUAAUAUACAUUGAUACAAAUGUAUAAUGUGUUUAAAAAUUUUAAAACAACACUAAAGAUCAUACACUUCAUUAUAUACAAUAUUUACCGAAAAACUCAAUAUUUUCAUAGGGGUUAACACAUAGAAUUUGAGAAAAAUUCAAAAAUAUGAAAAUACUGUUUAAUGCGUAGUUGCAUCAUUCACAAACAUAUGAUGAAAUUCAAAGAAGUUUGGAACUUUUGUUGUGUCCGUUUCUCUAGAAAAUAGUGAUUUUAUAGUGGUUAGUUCACCAAUUUAGGGAGUAUUAUGAAAUUUUACUAAAUUAAUUGACAAAAAAUUAAAACGAUGCCCAUGUACUAUGAAAAAGAGUUUAAUAUACAUUUAUAAAAAUGUUAAAUGUGUUUAGAAAUUUUAAAACAACACUAAAGAGCAUAGGCUUCAGUAUAUAGAGCAUUUACCGAAAAAAUUUAAUAUUUUCGUAGGGGUUAACACAUAAAUUUUGAGAAAAAUUCAAAAUAUAAAAAUAUUGUUUUAAUGCAUAGUUGCAUCCUUCACACACAUAUGAUGAAGGUCAAUGAAGGUUGGAACCUUUGUUGUCUCCGUUUAUCUAGAGAAUAGCGAUUUUAUAGUGGUUAGUCCACUAAUUUAGGGAGUAUUAUGAAGUUUUACUAUAUUAAUUGACAAAAAGUUAAAACGAUGCCAAUGUACCCUGACAAAUUUUUAGAAUACAUUAAUACAAAAGUAGAAUGUGUUUCGAAAUUUUAAAACAACACUAAAAAACUUAGGCUUCAGUAUAUAGAGCAUUUACCGAAAAAUUCAAUUAAUAUUUUCGUACAGGGGGUUAACACAUAGAUUUUGAGAAAAAUUCAAAAAUUUGAAAAUACUGUUUUAAUGCAUAUUUGCAUCCUUCACUAACAUAUGAUGAAGAUCAAAGAGGUUUGGAACCUUUCUUGUCUCCGUUUCUCUAGAAAAUAGCGAUUUUAUAUUGGUUAGUCCACCAAUUUAGGGAGUAUUAUGAAGUUUUACUAAAUUAAUUGACAAAAAAUUAAAAAGAUGUCCAUGUACCAUGAAAUAGAGUUUAAUAUACAUUUAUACAAAUGUAAAAUGUGUUUAGAAAUUUUAAAACAGCACUAAAGAUCAUAGGCUUAUCCAUGUACCUUGAAACAAAGUUUAAUAUACAUUAAUACAAAUGUAAAAUGUGUUUAGAAAUUUUAAAACAACCCUAAAGAUCAUAUGCUUCAGUAUAUAGAGCAUUUACCGAUAAAAUCAAUAUUUUCGUAGGGGGUUAGAAUUUGAGAAAAAUUCAAAAAUAUGAAAUUAUUGUUUUAAUGCUUCGUUUCAUCUUUCACUAACAUAUGAUGAAGGUCAAAAGGGUUUGGAACUUUUGUUGUCUCCGUUUCUCUGGAAAAUAGCGAUUUAUAGUAAUUAAUCCACCAAUUUAGGGAGUAUUAUGAAAUUUUACUAAAUUAAUUGAUAAAAGGUUAAAACGAUGUCCAUGUACCAUGAAAGAGAGUUUAAUAUACGUUAAUUCAAAUGUAGAAUGUGUUUAAAAAUUUUAGAACAACACUAAAGUUCAUAGGAUUCGGUAUAUAUAACACAUAGACUUUGAAAAAAAAUCAAAAAUAGGAAAAUACUAUUUUAAUGCAUAGUUGUAUUAUUCACUAAUAUAUGAUGAAGGUCAAAGAGGUUUGGAACUUUUGUUGUCUCCGUUUUUCUAAAAAAUAGCGAUUUUAUAGUGGUUAGUCCACCAAUUUAUGGAGUAUUAUGAAGUUUUACUAAAUUAAUUGACAAAAAAUUAAAACGAUGUCCAUGUACCACGAAAGAGAGUUUAAUAUACAUUAAUACAAAUUUUAGAAUGUGUUUAGAAAUUUUAAAACAACCCUAAAGAUCAUAUGCUUCAGUAUAUAGAGCAUUUACCGAUAAAAUCAAUAUUUUCGUAGGGGGUUAGAAUUUGAGAAAAAUUCAAAAAUAUGAAAUUAUUGUUUUAAUGCUUCGUUUCAUCUUUCACUAACAUAUGAUGAAGGUCAAAAGGGUUUGGAACUUUUGUUGUCUCCGUUUCUCUGGAAAAUAGCGAUUUAUAGUAAUUAAUCCACCAAUUUAGGGAGUAUUAUGAAAUUUUACUAAAUUAAUUGAUAAAAGGUUAAAACGAUGUCCAUGUACCAUGAAAGAGAGUUUAAUAUACGUUAAUUCAAAUGUAGAAUGUGUUUAAAAAUUUUAGAACAACACUAAAGUUCAUAGGAUUCGGUAUAUAUAACACAUAGACUUUGAAAAAAAAUCAAAAAUAGGAAAAUACUAUUUUAAUGCAUAGUUGUAUUAUUCACUAAUAUAUGAUGAAGGUCAAAGAGGUUUGGAACUUUUGUUGUCUCCGUUUUUCUAAAAAAUAGCGAUUUUAUAGUGGUUAGUCCACCAAUUUAUGGAGUAUUAUGAAGUUUUACUAAAUUAAUUGACAAAAAAUUAAAACGAUGUCCAUGUACCAUAAACGAGAGUUUAAUAUACAUCAAUACAAAUGUAGAUGUCUUUAUAAAUUUUAAAACAACACUAAAGAACAUAGGCUUCGUAAGGGUUAACACAUAGAAUUUGAGAAAUACUGUUUUAAUGUAUAGUUGCAUCCUUCACUAACAUAUGAUGAAGUUCAAAGACGUUUGGAACUUUUGCUGUCUCCGUUUCUCUAGAAAAUAGUGAUUUUAUAGUGGUUAGUUCACCAAUUUAGGGAGUAUUAUGAAAUUUUACUAAAUUAAUUGGCAAAAAAUGAAAAUGAUGCACAUGUACCAUGAAAGAGAGUUUAAUAUACAUUAAUACAAAUGUAAAAUGUGGUUAGAAAAUUUUAAACAACACUAAAGAUCAUAGGCUUCAGUAUAUAUAACAUUUAUCGAAAAACUCAAUAUUUUCGUGGAGGUUAACACAUAAAAUUUGAGAAAAAUUUCAAAAAUAUGAAAAUACUGUUUUAAUGCAUAGUUGCAUCAUUCACUAACAUAUGAUGAAUUUCAAAAAGGUUUGGAACUUUUGUUGUCUUAUUUUCUCUAGAAAAUAACGUUUUUAUAGUGUUUAGUCCGCCAAUUUAGGGAGUAUUAUGAAAUUUUACUAAAUUAAUUGAAAAAAAAUUAAAACGAUGUCCGUGUACCAUGAAAGAGAGUUUAAAAUACAUUAAUACAAAUGUAAAAUGCGUUUAGAAAUUUUAAAACAAUACUAAAGAUCAUAGGCUUCAGUAUAUAGAACAUUUACUGCAAAAAUCAAUAUUUCCGUAAGGGUUAAUACAUAGAUUUUGAGAAAAAUUCAAAAAUAUGAAAACACUAUUUUAUUGCAUAGUUGCAUCAUUCACUAACAUAUGAUGAAGGUCAAGGAAGUUUGGAAGUCUCCAUUUUUCUAGAAAAUAGCAAUUUUAUAGUGGUUAAUCCACCAAUUUAGGGAGUAUUAUGAAGUUUUACUAAAUUAAUUGAAAAAAAUAAAACGAUGUCCAUGUACCGUGAAAGAGAGUUUAAUAUAGAUUAAUACAAAUGUAGAAUGUGUUUAGAAAUUUUAAAACAACACUAAAGAUCAUAGGCUUCAGUAUAUAGAGCAUUUACCGAAAAUUUCAAUAUUUUCGUAGGGAACACAUAGAUUUUGAGAAAAAUUCAAAAAUAUGAAAAUAUUGUUUUAAUGCAUAGUUGCAUCUUUUACUAACAUAUGAUGAAGUUCAAAGAAGUUUGGAACUUUUGUUGUCUCUCUUUCUCUAGAAAAUAGCGAUUUUAUAGUGGUUUACUAACAUAUGAUGAAGGUCAAAGAGAUUUGGAACCUUUGUUGUCUCCGAUUUUCUAGAGAAUACCGAUUUUAUAGUGGUUAGUCCACCAAUUUAGGGAGUAUUGUGAAGUUUUAUUAAAUUAAUUGACAAAAAAUUGAAACGAUGCCCACGUACCUUGAAAGAAAGUUUAAUAUACAUUAACAUAAAUGUAGAAUGCGUUUAGAAAUUUUAAAACAACACUAAAGAUCAUAGGCUUCAGUAUAUAGAUUAUUUACUGAAAAAUUCAAUAUUUUCGUAGGGGUUACACACAUAGAUUUUGAGAAAAGUUCAAAAAUAUAAAAAUCCUGUUUUAAUGCAUAGUUGCAUCAUUCACUAACAUAUGAUGAAGGUUAAAGAGGUUUGAAAUUUUUGUUGUCUUCGUUUCUCUAUAAAAUAGCGAUUUUAUAGUGGUUAGCUAGUCCACCAAUUUAGAGAGUAUUACCAAGUUUUACUAAAUUAAUUGACAAAAAAUUAAAACACGUGAUAUCGAAGAAGCUCUUGAUUAAAUGGGCUUUCGUGGGCCUAAGCAGUUCAGUGUGAAUUGUGAACAACUCAACUGCGAAACAAAAGAAGAGUUGGGCGAGGCCAGAUUCACAUACCUAUAUGUAAAUUCUUCGGAACAUUCUCUCUUUCUUGUUGUCGUUUCUAUCAAAGGAUUGCUAAUAGAUAGGAGGAUGGUGCCCUUUUAAUGAUGAAACAAGCGAACCUUGUUCCAAAAAGUAUAAAGCCGGCUGAAGAAACACCUUAUGUGCUUCCUUUAGUUUGGGGUCGGGUAAUCUUCGAUUCCCUUUGGAAUCAGCAGAUUAUUACUAUCUUUUAUCUUUUUUUUGUCUUAUGUGCUUCCUUUAGUUUGGGUUACUGUUUUUGAAUUUCGUUAUGCUUGUGCUUCAAUGUGUGUGGUGUUAUAACCCCCUGUGAUGCACCACUUACGUAUGUUCGCUAUAUGUGCGAGGAAUAAAAAACGAUAUUCGGUUUGUUACCUUUUUAAUUUUAUUGAUAUACGUACUGCAACAUCUUCUAGAUAUAGGGGGCUGAUCAUGCUAUGCCUUUAUUGUAUCAUCGACAUAUGAUUCACGUAUAUAUUGCUUUUGUUAAAAUGAUAUAUCUACAUUUCUUUUUGGUAAAUAUGAACGUGAAUCACAUGAUACAUGAAGAAAAACAUUAUUUUAUUAAAGAGAUAGCAUUAUACUAAUAGUUCACGUGGGUUUGGGUCGAUCACUUUCGCUGAUCGCCUGGCGAUGGAUGAGUCCAUCAGAGAGAUGCAUGGAAGGGACUUUGGUGAUCGGGUCAUCUCAGUGAACAGAGCUGAACUAAAAAUGGGGCGAGAUGAUGGGAAAGUCACGGCUCUAGAGUUGGUGGCAGAGACAGUGGCUAUUCAUUUGCUGGCAAGGGAAGCUUUGGUGGCCGUGUUGACUGUUAUACCGACCGUGACCGAUAUGUGGACCGUGAACGUUACAUAGAUGACGUUAUGAUGGUGGUAGAGACAGGUUUGACAGCAGAGAAGCCUACUUCCCCCGCUGAUCGGUUUGCAGGCGGUGAUAGAUACAGCCGUGGACCAGAAUGUUACACUCCAGCGAGGCAUGACAAGCCCCGGUCCUUUGAGAGAGACAUAGUCUCAAGUGCGGGCAGUGACAGGUACGGCGGUGGUAGAGCUGGUGUACACAUACGUGGAGGAGACGAGGGAAGAGGGUUUAGAAGCAGAGCCGGUGGUCCUUAUGAGAGGCCGAGCAGAAACGUUGGUGGUGGUGGUCAUAUGUCGUCAGCUACUUUUGACCGUUACUAAGGCAUACAUGAAAAGUUAUCUACUCUCACUUGUGUGUAUGUGUUAUUUGAUAUUUUCUGCUGCAGUAAUAAAAUUAUUUCUAAAUAAAAUCAUUCGUUACUGACCAUAUAGACAACGACCGUCUCAGAAGGUUAUCGAGCUUUUCUAAUUUUAAUCUUCUUUAAAUUUGGCUUUCUACAUUUAGCAUAAAUCGAUAUAAAAGAAGAGAAGACAGAUUUUAACGCAUAACCUCCAAGAAAUUAUAUAAGAAAACUUGUAUAAAUACAUCAAUGUGAGUUUAACAUUUUCAAAAAAUUGAACACAAAAAUAAAAUAAAAAUGAAACUUUUCAUAAUUGCUCUUAUUGUUUUAGGGGUUUGUGUUGAAGAUACGUUUGGGAAAAACUCAUUUGGGAUCGUAAACAAGUUUCGUAGGCAUACAAAGCUCAGUGUCCGUUGCUGGUCCGGAAACGACAAGUUUGGGACUAUAUUCUUAAUGAAUGGGCAAGAAAAACAUUGGAGAUUCGACGAUGCGUUUUUUCAUGAGACAGUCUUUCAUUGUGAGUUAAAGCAUGGAUAUCACUUCAUGCAUUUCCAAAGCUUCGUAGCUUAUACGUCAAAAUGGAAUGGCUCACUCAAAAAUAGAUCUAACGCGACAUGGUUAGCCGCAGAGAAAGGUCUCUACAAAAUAUGGGAACAUAGGUCUCCUGAAUUUAUGUAUCAUUGGUUAUAGACCAGUUGUCUAAUAUUUAACCUGUUGCAAUUUAAUAUUCGAGAAUAUUUUAUGUAUAUAUAAUAUUUGAGACACAAAAGAUGUCCUCGCAUAUAUGAUUGUAUAAAUGUUUCAUAUUCUAAUUAAGUUGUAUAUUUGAAAGCCAUAUAUGUUGUUUUUAAUAAAUACAAAUGUAUUGUUGAUAUUAGUUGGUCAGUUAUACUCUGUAAUAUUAUUUAAAUCUAUUAACUCAAAAUAAUAUUCUGGAUUUAUUUAUUGUUAUGAUUAUUUAUGGGCUUAAUAAUGAUUUUGUUUAAUUUGAAACCAUAUAUGCAAUAUAUAUAUAUAUAUAUAUUUAUUUUUGAUGACAUUGCAAUUAAUGCCAUAUCAAUUUAAUGUAUUUUAGUUAUUCUAUUACGUAUAUAAUCUUGUUCUUGAAUCUUGACCAACAAAAUCACAUAUAACAUUUUCAAAGAAGUUAUUCAGUUUUAUUUAUUUAUUACAAAAUUACGUAAAUAAGAAAACAAUUCAUGGAAAAAUUAUGAUAUUGCGCAAAAUAUUAAGUACGGAGAGGAUAAUUAUAGAUUUUGAUUAAGGGUAUAUUAUAAAAAUAUAUAAUACUUUUUGUAACUUUACAAAUAUAAUAACUUUUUGAGAGAGUUAAUAAUAUAAAUAUAAUAACUACUGAAGAUAUGAACUGCACUUGUUGAUUGCUUGUUACUUGGUAAUAUUCUUGACGUGGAGUGGUGCUCUUCACAUCAUGCAUCCAUGCAUUAACGGAAUCCGUAUAUACCUUUUCUGCACAUACACACGCCAACAUGUGUUUAUUUAUUAUAUGCAUUUCUAUUUAUCUCUUUUAUUUUGGUAUUUUAAUAUUAUAUAUAUGUUUUUAUGAGAAACUAAUAUUAUAUAUGUGCAAGUGAAAUUUCUAUAGUAUUAUGGUGGAAAUAUUCGAUCAUUUUAACAGAUUCUGGAGAUUUUUUACCGGUUGAAUUGAUAUCACUAGAGAAAUAAGUAAACUUAUUUAUUUACUAUUUUCCAGUACUUAUGUUAUUGUCUCAAAUCUCUCUUGAAAGACAACCGAUUAAAACUUAACACGACUUUAAUAACAAUAUAUCGACAUUUACAAGGAGAGAUAUAAACUACAAAUGAUCUCGGAUUAUAUUUAAAAAAAAAAUAGAAAACCUAAGUCAUUUAAAGUUAUAAUUAAUUAUAUUUUAUAUAAUUAAAACUACAAGCGUAAUGUAUGUUUUUGUGAUAACCUAUCUUGCAAUGUCUAUUUUGAAGUGAUGCCUAGGAUUUGUUAAAAUGCUCUCAUCAAAGUGAAAACUAAUUUAAACAAAAAAAAACUAACCAAGCUAUUUGAUAUGUGAUCACACCAAAAAUAAACCGUUAUACAGAGUAAGAAAACGGAAAAUGAAGUGGAACAAACAUAUAUUACUAUACAAAUUGUCUAAAAAUGCACAUUUAUUGUUUCAGAUGGUUACACACACUCUUUCUCUCUCUUUCUAUCUAUCUAAUAAUUAUAUUGUGAUCAGUUUGCCAAGUUGGGCAAAUGGUAAAAGAGAGACAAUAACAGAAGUACUAAAAUUUAAGAGGCUACAAAAAGAAAAGUCGAAACACAUUCACACACUUAAAAAGUUUUUUUUUUCACAUAUAUUUUUGUUAUAUACGUGUGGUGACUCUCUUUGACUCCUCUCUUCCUAUAUCACUCACUAUUUAUGUAUCCAUCUCUCCACACAUCUCUCUCCAUCUCACACACAUCUUCUUCUUUAACAUAAUACUAUAUAUUCAUUUCUUCAUGAUCAGCACUAACAAAAGUCCUCUUCUCCUGUGUUAAUCUUUAUCUCUUGAUCUUGAUGGAAGCGUUCGAAGAGGCAAUAGCAGCCUCAAAGGAGCAAUCACUGAUUCUUAAAGGAAAGAGGGAAAAACGACAACGUUCACAAUCUCCUGUUCCUUUCUCUAUCUCUCCUCCUAUAGUUUCUUGCCCCUCACGCGACGUUGAAGAGGAAUACACUAAUCUUGAUUCCAAGGAAAAUGCCUUAGCCAAUAAUGUGGGAAACCACAAGAAGGAUGGUGUGAUCACGUCUUUGUUGGAUAAGCUUGAAUAAUACUUGUGAUGAAAGUUUCCUUUUUCUAUGUUGUGUUUAUCUUAAGGAUUAGGAAAUAUAAUGGGAAUAGGAAAUUGUUAGUCCCUAUAUAUAUGAAUGCAUAUUGUGAUGCAUAUCGUGUGACUUUAUGAUUUGUGAUUGAUUGAAUAAGAGAAGGACUUCUUAUUAUUGAGUUUGUGAUUCUAUAUUUGGUAUCAGAGCUUAAUAAGCACCUCGACAAUCUUACACAGCCAUGGCCGACGUCAAAGAAGAUAUCGCGACGACCAAAGAAACCGGACCAGCCACCAUCAAAUUUCCGAUGCUAACUUCCUCGAACUACACGGUCUGGUCCAUGAGAAUGAAGAUAGCGCUUAAAGUUAGUGAAGUUUGGGAAGCUAUAGAACCUGGAGCUAAGGAUGAAAAAAAGAAUAACAUGGCCAUCGCAUACCUAUUUCAGUCCAUACCGGAGGCCUUGAUCUUACAAGUAGGCGACUUAGAUACAGCAAAGGCAGUAUGGGAUGCGAUAAAGGCACGAUAUGUUGGAGCUGAGAGGGUAAAAGAAGCUAGGUUACAAACUUUGAUGGUGGAUUUCGAUAGACUCAAGAUGAAAGAUGAAGAUACAAUCGAUACCUUCGUUGGCAAGAUAUCCGAAAUUUCCUCUAAAUCUGCUUCUUUGGGAGAGAUGAUAGAAGAACCAAAGCUUGUUAAGAAAUUCUUAAAGAGCUUGCCAAGAAAAAAAUUUAUUCAUAUUGUAGCUUCGCUUGAGCAAGUUCUUGACCUUAACUCAACGAGCUUUGAGGACAUUGUAGGACGACUUAAGGCGUACGAAGAAAGAGUCACUGAAGAGGAGGAAGAAACCGAUGAUAGCUUCGGGAAGCUAAUGUAUGCUAACUCAGACUCAAGCGGCGAAACUUGCGGCUACAAUAACCGUGGUCGAGGACGCAGCGGUCGAUCAAACUGGAGAGGAAGAGGCCGCGGUCGCACAACAUUCCUACAACAACGAGAAGCGUAUAGACAAGGACGUGGUGGAGAUCUCUCUCAUAUCACUUGCUUUAAGUGUGAUAAAACUGGACAUUACGCCACAGACUGUCCCGAUAAAGCUCUAAAGCUUCAAGAAACUGUAGAGAAGAAAGAUGAUGAUACACACGAAGCGGAUACCCUCAUGAUGAAUGAAGUAGUUUACUUAAACGAGAAGAAGGUAGAUCCAAAGAAGUUUGAAGCUGAUACAGAUACGAUAGAUGUGUGGUAUCUUGAUAAUGGAGCCAGUAACCACAUGAGUGGUAAUCGUAUGUUCUUCUACGAACUAGAUGACACUAUCACUGGAAAAGUACGUUUUGGCGAUGAUUCCAGGAUUGACAUAAUGGGUAAAGGUUCCAUUCGAUUUAUCAACAAAGGAGGCGUGAAAAAGAUGUUAAAUAACGUCUACUACAUACCGGCUCUUCGAAGUAAUAUUGUUAGCUUGGGUCAAGCUACUGAAGUGGGUUGUGAAGUUCGAAUGAAAGAAGACGUUCUAACUUUAUUCGAUCGUGAAGGACAGUUGAUGAUCAAGACUACAAGGACAAAGAAUCGAUUAUAUAAGGUUACACUACAGGUUGAUAAAAUGCAGCAGUGUCUUCAGGUUAAGAGCCUUGGAGACGGAAACUUAUGGCAUGCGCGCUUGGGACAUAUCAACAAAGAUACAAUGAGAAUGAUGGCUAGCAAGGAGUAUGUCGAGGGAUUACCGAACAUCAAACGCGACACAGAAGCUUGUGUAUCUUGUCUGCGCGGGAAACAAACACGAAAAACGUUCCCACAAGCAACGAGCUAUCGAGCUUCAUCACUUCUUGAACUCGUACAUGCGGAUCUUUGUGGACCUAUCUCCCCGACGACACCAGCACUCAACAGAUACGUCUUUGUUCUUAUUGACGAUCACUCUCGCUAUAUGUGGACAGUACUAUUAAAAGUCAAAAGUGAAGCCUUUGAGAAAUUUAAGCGCUUCAAGAACCUUGUGGAGCAAGAAACACAUACUAAGUUAAAGUGUUUUCGAACAGAUAGGGGGGGUGAGUUCACAUCCAACGAAUUCCAAACCUACUGCGAGAAACAUGGUGUUAAGCGACACAUGACUGCGCCAUAUUCACCUCAGCAAAACGGAGUAGUUGAGCGACGCAAUCGAACACUCUUGGAGAUGACUAGAAGUAUCCUAAAACAUAUGGACAUGCCGAAUCAUCUCUGGGGAGAAGCCAUACGACAUGCAACCUAUCUGAUUAAUAGGGUUACAACGAGGUCCUUGGAAGGACAAACUCCGUACGAAGUGAUGAAAGGAAGAAAACCAAACCUGUCUCACCUAAGAGUGUUCGGGUGCGUGUGCUACGCAAGGACAGAAACCACGACAAGAAUCACAAACUCAAUAAUAAGAAGUCCUUCUCUUAUUCAAUCAAUCACAAAUCAUAAAGUCACACGAUAUGCAUCACAAUAUGCAUUCAUAUAUAUAGGGACUAACAAUUUCCUAUUCCCAUUAUAUUUCCUAAUCCUUAAGAUAAACACAACAUAGAAAAAGGAAACUUUCAUCACAAGUAUUAUUCAAGCUUAUCCAACAUUCUCCCUCUUAAGCUUGAUGUCAUCUUCACUCACAUCUUGUACUCCAAUAAGCUUUCUCAUUUCCUUAAACUUUAUUCUUCCAAGCGACUUUGUAAGGAUAUCAGCUUUCUGUUCACUACCCGGGACAUGUUCAACUUCGACUUGUUCCUUUUCGACACACUCUCUUAUGAAAUGAAACCUCCUGUGUAUGUGUUUACUUCUUCCAUGGAACACUGGGUUCUUUGUAAGUGCAAUAGCAGACUUGUUAUCAACCAUGAUGACCACCGGUUUACUUUCGCUUCCAACGGCUUCACUUAGCAACUCCUGAAGCCAGAUAGCCUGCUUUGCUGCCUCAGUUGCAGCCAUAAAUUCAGCCUCGCAUGACGACAAAGCUACUAUCUCCUGCUUCGUUGAGCUCCAUGUAAUGGGACUCUCCCCAAGAUAGAAUAUGUGUCCUGAAGUGCUUUUGCCGUCGUCUGUGUCCACAUUGUGGGAGCUGUCACUAUAACCUACCAGCUUAGCUCCACUUUGUCGUGAGUAGUGAAGCCCAAGAGAACAAGUUCCUCUUAGAUACCUAAGGAUCUGUUUCAUAGCUGCUGCAUGAGAGGCUUUAGGUUCGUGCAUAUAUCUGCUCAAAACCCCAACGCUAUAUGAUAAAUCUGGUCGCGUAUGUAGCAGGUAGCGUAGGCACCCAAUGCUCCGACGAUACUCUUUUGCAUCAGCCUUCUCCUCCUUAGGAGCUUUGGAGAACAUCGCAUUUAACUCCAAUGGUACGUGAGUCGGAUUGCAUGAGCUCAUGCCAGUUUCUUCGAGUAUUUUGCGAGCAUACCUAUCUUGUUUGAGUAAGAUUCCUCCUUCAUAUUGUAUAACCUCAAUACCCAAAUAGUAUGUCAACCUUCCGAGGUCACUCAUCUCAAACUUUGUAGCCAUCUCUCGUUUGAAUUCAAGUAUCGCAUCAAGGGAGGUACCAGUAACCAGCAGGUCAUCAACAUAGACCACCACGACAAGAACUUCUCGACUUUCUUCCUUCCGAUAGAGCGAGGGCUCUUUCGAGCAUCUUGUGAACCGCAAGCUGCGCAAUAUCUCAUUAAGCUUUAUAUUCCAAGCUCUUGGUGCUUGUCGUAGACCGUAGAGAGCUUUCUUAAGCUUGUAAACCUUGUGUUCUUGUCCAUCAACGAUGAAACCCUCUGGUUGAGUAACAUAAACCUCUUCCUUUAGUUCUCCGUGCAAGAAAGCGGUUUUUACAUCAAGGUGGUGUAUUUCCCAACUGUGUGAUCCAGCCAAAGCAAUGAUCAUCCUAAUAGUUUCAAUGCGAGCCACCGGAGCAAAUACUUCUUCAUAAUCCACACCAUGCCGUUGAACGUAACCUUUGGCUACUAAUCGUGCCUUAUACUUACUUAUUGUUCCAUUAGCAUUACGUUUGAUCUUGAACACCCACUUAAGGCCGAUAGGUUUGAUUCCUGUAGGUAGUUCCACGAGAUCCCAAGUUUUAUUUUUUUCAAUAGAUACGAUCUCAUCUUUGCAAGCAUCAACCCAAACUUUUAGUUCCUUAGCAUCGCUGAAACUCCAUGGUUCCUCAUUUAUGAUCAUCAACAACUGCUCACCCUCAAGUUCUGCGAGCAGAACAUAGUCAUCGAGGUAGGUUGGUUUGUUAGAAACCCUCGUUGUUCGUCUUGGCUGAAAGUCGUUUUCAUCGCCACCCCCAACUUGAUUUUCAUCAUCAUGAUUAUCAAGAGCUUCAUGAUAAUCAUUAUUGUCGUGAUUAUCAUCAUCUGUAUCAGAUGAAGCUUCGAGUUCGUGAUCAUCUUGGCCCAAGCCUUUCACGGUGAGCUCAAAGCCCUCAUUAUCGAGUCUCGUUGUCACACUUUUAUCACUCCAUCUCCAUCGCAUUGCUUCUUCGAACACAACAUCACGACUUAUGACAAUUCUCAAGCUCAGGGGAUCAAGUAGUCGGUAUGCUUUAGACCCCGGCUCUGUUCCGAGAUGGACCAGAACUCUGGAUCUAUCGUCGAGCUUCUUUCUUCCAACCGUCGAGCAUCUUCGUCAGCCUCUUGGUCCUCUAACAACAACCCAACAUUAAAGGCCGAAGAAGACGAGGAAGAUCUAGACAUAGCCAGUUGUUUGAUCCUCCAUUCCCAAGGCCACUCUCUUCCACAGCUCAAGAUACCUAACCAUGAAACAAACAACAAUAACACGUAUAAAUUUAGCAGCAGGAGGUUCCUAGAGACUUCUUCAUCUAACGGUGGCGGUAAAGCUUGUCACUAUGUUUAUCAGUGCAAAACAUGUGACCGGACCUUCUCUUCUUUUCAGGCUUUAGGUGGCCAUAGAGCUAGCCACAAAAAACGUAAGGCCACCUCCUUUUACUCCAACCUUGACCACCUCAAGAAGAACAUAUACGAAAAUGAUUCACUCGCCACAACCACAACUAUUUACAAUAACAGCAAGAAUAGAUCGCUUGUCGUGUACGGUAAGGCAGGUAACAACAAGGUUCAUGAAUGUCGAAUCUGUGGAGCCGAGUUUACGGCAGGACAAGCCUUAGGUGGCCACAUGAGACGGCAUAGAGGCGCGGUUGUUGUUGCUCCCACUGUGACGGUGGCCUUAGCUGCAGCCAACACGGAGUUAUCAUUGUCUUCGAUGUCGUUCGAUCAAAUAUCGACAAAGAGAGCUAAGAAGAUGGUUGUGUCAUUGGAUUUGGAUCUGAAUCUACCCGCACCGGAAGAUGAGAAUAGGGUCAACGGAUUCAGCUUAUGUUUUAAGCAAAAACAUAAACAAGAACAUCAACACAGACAAAGCAAAGAGAUGAACCAAAGUGUCUUGUCUUGUCUCCUCCUACUUUGGUGGAUUGCCAUUACUGAUUUAUUAUUAAUAUAUUAUAAACCAUAAUCUUAAGAAAAAAAAUUGGUUUGUAUAUCAAACGUUUAUUGUUUGUAUAACCGAUUCUUUGCUUGUUAAAGACUUGUGAGAUUCUUUUUUUCUGUUUUGUCUUUUUUUAAGAGGAAUACUAAAAUUUAAUCACUUUGUUAGUUUCGAUUGUAUAAAAUUGAUAUCAUGUUCAUUUAUACGUUGGAUCAAAAAGUUCUUUUUUUUAAAAAAAAAGCUAAAUUAAGUUCAUGAAAAGGGCAUGACAUGGCUCGAGUCUUGUUGUUUUAUUUCUUCCUCUCUUUUUUGGCAGUUGUACCAAAAGUUCUCUUUUCUAUUUAUAAUAGUUAAUUUGAUAUUCGUGAAUUUUCAACACUUUCUGAGUUUUCACUGAACCAUAGACAAAUGUUGAUUUGAAACAAUGAGAAUUUAUAUGGCAGACUUCUUAGCUCGUGGUUUUUAUAUUCGUGAAUUACGACACCAAACCCACAUUUAAUCAUUCGCCUCCUUCAGAUAGUACUUGUUAUGUUCUAGUUUUGAAAAUAAAGUAACGGAUCCUUUUGUUUUCUACAGAAACAGGUAAAUUAUAGUGCAUGCAUUAAAGAAAACCUCUACGAUAUUUUUGGAGAGUAUUAAAAUUAGCUAUAAAAGCUUUUGUUGACCCAAAAAAAGAUUUUUUUUUUAAAUGACCCAAAAAAAGAUAUACAAAUAGUGCAUGCAUUCAUAUAUUUGUGUUUAAGUUAUUAUUUGUAUAUACAAUUUUAGUAUACAUUUGGUAUACUAGACAUUGAACUUAGACCAGUUUAUAGUAAAAAUUAACCGCCAUAAGAUAAUCAAGACUGUAAUAGAUCAAAAGAUAAUCAGUGUCCAACAUUACAGGUAGAUUAACAAUAUAUUUAACAUUUCCAACGUUUAUAACAGAAGAGGAAGACAGAUCUUGUAACGCAUAACCUCCAAAGAGAUAUAUACUAAAACUUGUAUAAGUACAUCAAAAUCUCAAAUUUUGAAAAGACCAAAAAAAAAAACACAUUCAAAAAUCUUAAACACAAAAUUAAGUAAAAAAUGAAACGUUUCAUAAUUGCUCUCAUUGUUUUAGCGGCUUGUGUUGAAUACACGUUUGGGAAAAACUUGUUUGAGAUCGUAAACAAGUUCCAAAAGAGGACCAAGCUCAGAGUCCAUUGCUAUUCAGGAAACGACGAUCUAGGGGUUCAAUACUUGAUGAAUGGGCAAGAACAACAUUGGAGAUUCAACGAUGCUUUUUUUCAUGCGACAGUCUUUAGAUGUGAGUUAAUGCAUGGAUAUGAAUUCCAGAAUUACCAGAAAUUCGAAGCUUAUAAUUCAAAAUGGGAGAACGACGGGAGUAAGAAAAACGUGACAUGGUUAGCUGUGGAAAGAGGUCUCUACAAGAUUUGGAAUCAUAGGACUCCUGAGUUUAUGUAUCCUUGGUUAUAAAUCAGUUGUCUAAUGUUUGACCUGUUGCAAGUGAUGAUAAAAUCGAUGCUUGAAGUUCUUGUAACGCUUAUUUAUGUUUUUUCUCUCACACAAAAAUAUUCAAGUAAUUUCCUUAUUUGAAAUAUAAACAAAUAUGUCUCGUCUCUUGAAUAGCAUUUUAUUUGUACCAAAAUGUACAAUGUUUUAAGUCAAUGUAUAAUAAUUACUAGAGAAUUAUUUUUAUUGAAAACAUAUCAUUAAGAUAUAAAUUAACAGUUAUUCAACUAAUUACAAAAUAAAUUAAAAAAUAACAUUGGUUACACAUAUUUUAAUACAAUUAAAUCUCAUAAAAAUAUUAAAUCAUAUUACAUAUCGAAACAUCAAAAAUUCUCUUAAACAUCAUUUGUUUAAAAAUGAAAAAAAAAUAUUUUAAUUCACUAAACAUUUGCUAGUUGUCCAAAAAAAAAAUUCACUAAACAUUUUCUAUGUGCUAUCAUUUGAUAUUAAAAAUUGAGUGGUAAUUUAUAAUGUUUUUUCUAAUAUCAAUCCCAUCUUUAACUGUAUAAAAAAACAGCUAAUAAUAGAAACCAAUAACUAAAAGUGAAUAUAUAAAAUAAUGUUGUAAUAUAUACUAAUAUAUACCAGUGAUCGUCUCUCUCUCUCUCUCUCUCUCUCUCUCUCUCAUUUCUUUCUUCUGAAAACCCUAAUUUUCUCAAAUCUGAAUUAUCCAUAAAACUUCGACCUUUCUUGCUCACCGAUCAAUGGGUCGCGGCUCAGCAACGUCGCUAGCUCCUGGGUUCCGUUUCCACCCUACAGACGAAGAACUCGUCCGCUACUACCUCAAGCGCAAGGUCUGCAACAAGCCCUUCAACUUCGACGCCAUCUCCGUCGCCGAUGUCUACAAAUCCGAGCCUUGGGACCUACCAGGUUAGCUCGAAUUGGGUUUAGCUCAAUCUUGAAUUAGGUUUGAUUCGAUUGUGUUUGUAGAUAAGUCGAAGCUCAAAGGCAGAGACUUGGAGUGGUACUUCUUCAGCAUGCUCGAUAAGAAGUACCGCAACGGCUCCAAGACGAAUCGCGCCACUGAGAGAGGCUAUUGGAAGACUACAGGGAAGGAUAGGGAGAUUCGUAACGGGACGAGAGCUGUAGGGAUGAAGAAGACUCUUGUUUAUCAUAAAGGUCGAGCUCCACGUGGCGAGAGGAGUAAUUGGGUUAUGCAUGAGUACAGGCUUACUGAUGAUGAGUUGAAGAUUGCUGGUGCCCCACAAGUAAUAAGAUUGAUUUUGAGUGUUGUUUCUACUUUUAUGAGAAUGGAUUCAAAGUUGUUGAGUCUGUUUUUGUGUAGGAUGCGUUUGUCCUGUGUAGGGUGUUCCAGAAGAGUGGUACAGGGGAUAAGUACGGUGCUCCUUGUCUUGAAGAGGAGUGGGAAGAGGAUACAAUGACGUUUAUACCAGAACAAGAGGCUCUUUGUGAAGGGUUGGGCGUUGGUGAUGAUGUUUAUUUCGACAUUGAAGAGGUUUGCUAACCUUUUUCUUCAACAGUUUAAGAAUGUUUUGUAGUGUGUGAUUUUGCAUGUGCUAAAGAGAUAUAUAAGUGAUGUGGUUAUAGAUACAGAACAUGAUACCUGUUUAGAUUGUUGAUUAGUUAGCUUAGGUUUCUUUUGUAUUAACGUCUGGUUAUCCUGAUUUUGUUUUGCAGAAGCCUGAAGAUCUGGUGGUCUGUGAUGCCAUUCCUGUUCAGACUAAUUAUUGUCAUGGAGAAUCAAGCAAUAACGUUGAAUCAGGAAACUAUGAAGACUGUGGAAACUAUGUUGUGGACUCUGAACAACCUAUUGAGGAGGAGGAGCUGAAGCCUAUUAUCCGGGACGGUAGCAUUCAGCCUUGUUCUCUGUUUCCCGGUGAACAAAUUGGUUGUGGUGUGGAAGAUGAGAAGGCAGUGAAUCUGGAAACUUCCAAUGAUAAUGUGUUUGUGACUGCUGAUACUUGCUACAGCGGCAUUCCNNNNNNNNNNNNNNNNNNNNNNNNNNNNNNNNNNNNNNNNNNNNNNNNNNNNNNNNNNNNNNNNNNNNNNCGUUCCUGUUGAUGAUGCUAACUAUAUGCCUGAGGAGCCAUUCAUCGAUCAUAGCAACAAUCUUUCACUCAGUGAUGGUCUCAGCGGUGCUCCUCUACAAGAUGAUUUUAACUUUGAAGAUUAUCUUAACUUCUUUGACGAUGAGGAUGCUCAGAGUUUGUCUCUUGAUGUUUCUCAAUUGUUGGGAUCUGAAGAAGGACUCGACCAGAAAGUAAGCUUCUCUGCCUCUGACUUGCUUAGUUUUUUUUUUAUUUGUUGAAUCCUUUCUAACUUACUCUUACAUCAGCAGCCUUCCCCUGAAGAACUGGAGAAGGAGAAGGAAAGUGGCGAAGGAUCUUCUUCAAAACAAGAUGCAGAUGUCACGGACCCUUUCCUCAGAAAGGCCAGCCACAUGUUUGCUCCACCUUCAUUUUCUUCUUCUCAGUUCCAAACAAAGGACGCUGCAAUCAGGCUACACGCAGCGCAAUCUUCAGGUUCGGUUCACGUUACUGCAGGUAUGAUGAGAAUAUCAAACAUGACAACUCUAGCGGUGGAGAGCAGUAUGGGCUGGUCAUAUGACAAGAACGGUAACCUCAACAUAGUCCUGUCUCUCGGCUUGGUCCAAAGCAAGACUGGAGGAAUUACAGCAACAAGAGCUAUGUUGAUCUUCAUGUGUUUUUGGAUUCUCUUACUUUAUGUUAGCUUCAAAAUAGGAACCAUAGUCUCUGCUCGGUAAUAGCAUCAAAAGUUGAAUCGUAUGGGGAAAAACUUUUGUAAGUGUUUGUACCUCUCUAAUUAUGUAGACUUCAACUCUGGCAGUGCUUUGCUGCUCAAUAGUUUGAACUCUCUUUACAGUUUCUAGCUUGAGCUUCAAAAUUUAAAUACAAAUAAGAACACAAAAACUAUUAUGAAAGAAGCAAAUGCAAUGUUAUGGGCUGUUACAACAAAACUUCAACAAAAUGAAAUAAAGUUAUUAAAAAAACAAAUGAAAAUAGCACAUCUAACUCCUAACAUUGUAUAAUGUCAAGACCCAAAAAAAAAACGAAAGAAGAAACAAAGAUCCUAGAGAACAUUCUCUGCCUCACUCAAAAGACUUCAUCUUAAAGCUUAAGCCUCAAACCAAUAAAUAAAACAGACAAGAGAUAGGAACCAAUGAUGGAUACUCUAUUCGGUGGCUCUCUCUGAUGCUGAAUCAACUUUCUGUUUUAUCAUCGUCUCAGCUUGUUGGAUUGCUCUUUGUGACCCUGUGAUACUCACUUUCCUGUCAUUUUUUUUUGCCAUUUUGAACAAUGUUUAGACAUGAGAGGUUCGGUUUUAACUCAAUAAUGUUUAAACUUUUUACCUGUCAGUGGUUCCAGACAUGAAAUCGCCUCGGUCAGAUAUUUUUAUUCUGGCACCUGUCAUCUGAGUGAUUUCCAUGAUGUUUCUUCCUCCACGGCCAAGGACCAAUCCUAUAUGCUCAUCCGACACACCCACUGUCACUGUUGUACUAGCUUCUUCCUGUAAUAUAUACCAAAACACACAGCUUAAGCUUAAUAAAUGGUAAAAACCGAAAGACCACAACAUUCAUUCAUAUAUCUGCAAAUUGAUACACCACACUAUCCAUAGCAGUAACAAUGAGACUCGUUCAUAUAUAUGUGCAUGAAUACGGUGGAAGAUGGUGCAAAGAGACUAACCUUGUGGUUUUGAUACUUGCCUCCAGAACCGUUGGGUGCGUAGUUAACUGAAUUGUAUCCUGCUGUUGCUACGAAGGAAGUACAUACGCAUAUUGAAGACCAUGAAAACCAGAGUUGAAAAGACCUAAAGUGCCGAGUUAAAAGGAACUUACAAGACAAAAAGGCUCAACAACAGACAAGCAUCAUACAAUGUCCACAACAUAGAAUGAUUUUCCAUGUAGAUGAAAUAUAUUACAUCCAUUAAUAGUUUAAUACCUUAGUCGACAUAUCAGAAUCUAAAAUUCAGUAGAAUAUCCUACUCUAAUCAAACGCACUUAGAUUGUCCACAUGACCCACUCUAAUCCACUAAACAGUCCAUUUUCAUAUAAAAAAUAAUUUAGAAGAACUUGAUGAAUAGUCCGAAAAUGAUCUAACCAUUUACUUUAUAGCUUUCCCACAUGGAUAAAUGAAAUGCAAUCAAAGACAUACAACAAAAGAAACUUCAAGGAGAUAAACAAACUUAACUAAGCUAAUACUGAGUUGAUAUACCUGCAUAUGAAUAUGGAGAAUGCACAUUCUGGGAGUAAUGAUCAUCUUCGGUAAGCUUAGCCAAAAUCAAAUCAAUAGCCCGCAUCUGCUCCUCGAAGGUUCCAGACAAUGUGACUAGCCUAUCACUCAACCCAUAGUAGGUAUUAUCCAGAGGAGAUAUCUUAAUACCAGCUUUAGAUUCUUCAAUGAAUGACCUGUGUCAACAGAAAAAAAACGUCUUAACGGUUGGUGAAACCAGUACUACUACUAAAUUCAAUAUUCCUGACGCCAAAAACAAAACAAAAAAUGCAAUCCCAUAUUCUAAAACUUAAAACUCUAAUACUAUGCAUCUGUGAGUUUCUCACCAAUUAUAUUAAUAUUUAAUCGAAAAGUCUCUCAGCUUUUCUGAGAAAUUUCUCAAUUAAAUAUUAAUAUAAUUGGUGACAAGACGCUUUGCACCUGUUAUAAAAUCUUUACUUGCAUGUACUCUCAAAGCAUGGAAGCAGUUCAAUAACAUAUGAGCAGAUACAAACUUACUUAAUGGUGGCCCCUCCUUUACCAAUAAUGCCUCCACAAGAACUAUUAGGAACCACAAGUCUCAGUCUCCUCCUAGGCUCAACAUCACUACCAUCUUCAGCAUGAAGCUAAACGUUAUGGUGGAGCCUCCUUUCCCAAUGACCGAGCCAGCUGCGGCAUUGGAUACGAGAAACCGAACGUGCGUUUGCUUCUCCGGAGAGUCUAAAAAAAAAAAAAAAAAAAAAAAAAAAAAAAAAAAAAGUCAAAAACAGCUCUCACAAUAUAUAAAAACAUGAAAUACAAAUGCGGUCCUGAACCAAGCCAGAUGAAACAUUCGCCCUCAUGCGCCCCAAAAAAUGUGAAAAAAAUUUAGGCCCCCGAACUAUUGAAAUCUUUAUUAAAUCGUAUUCAGCCCCCAAAAUCUCACGGCCGGGAAUGAGUCUAUCUACCUACCUCACUGUGCAAUUUAUCAAGGAUAAGUUCAAGUCCAGUAACAACUUCUUUAACCGAUCCGGAUAUCAUAAUAAUCCUAUCAGUAGUCCCAGGGAAAAACUCUUGGUUACGCGAGAGCUGGAUCCUCGCCCCGGACUUGGCCUGAAACUCAGUGAUGGUGGAGCCUCCUUUCCCAAUGACCGAGCCAGCUGCGGCAUUGGAUACGAGAAACCGAACGUGCGUUUGCUUCUCCGCAGAGUCUAAAAAAAAAGUCAAUAGCAAUCAAUCAUCAUCAAGCUCAAGAUACGGAUCCGAUUUUCACAAUGUUAGGCAAACAAUUUUAAGUCGAGAGUGGAUCGGAUCGGGGAUACCAGAUUCCGAAGGCUCUGGGGAUCUGUUGUUGGUGAGCUCUUCAGGGGCGUAUGACUCCAUUGCUAGAGAUGGAGAUAAGGAUCGAAUCAACAUUAAACGAAUACAAUGAACGAAACGGAGAAGAUACAGAUUGAAAGAUGAUUUGGAAGUUUACCAGAAUUUGAAAUCUCCUCUCCUUCCUUCCGUCGCCGCCGUUUGAUUUGAGAAGUGAAUGAAGGUGGGCUCUCUGCUCUCUAUCUAUCCACUAGGCUUGCUCUCCUUAUUCUGUUAUUUUCUUUUAUUUUUUAUUUAAUCUAAUUUUAAUUUAUAGCAUUAUAAUACUAAGAUUUAUUUUACACAGUUAAAUUAAUUUAUUAAUUUUUUUACACACGUCAAUAAGUUUUUUUCUUACAUUAAUUAAGUUAUAUGUGAGUAUCUAAGCAUAUUCAAAUAAAUCCCUCUUUAAAAUUGGUUCUCAUAAUUUCUUUUCAUAUCUCCUCUUUUUAGUAUGUUAAUUUGUUUUAAUCAAUUUGGUACUUAGUUAGAUAGCCUAACAUUAUCUCAUUUUUUAUUGUUAAGUAGUUGUAGUUCCUUCUUCAAAAUAUGUACUUCUUCAAAUCUAAAGUUGAUGUGUAUAGUUUCUGAAUUAGUUGAAAUUUAAAUUAAAUAAGAAAGAAAGAAAGUUGGGCUUGCAUUGAUUGAUUCAUCUCUCUCCUAUUAAUCAUACUUUCAUGGGCUGAAUUUUACUUUAGCCCAAACUAUACGGGUCCGCCGUGGGCUGAAUCAAGAAUUGAAAAAACUCAGCUAAACUAUCUGGUUUUCCAGGUUAAUCGGUUUGACGUUUCAGUUUUUUUUUUUUCCAACAAAUUUAGUAAAAACAAAUUGCGUGAUGAUGUUGGAAACAAAUUUUGUUUGUAUACUAACAAAAUAAUACUGUUUCAUUUAAAUGUGUAGACAUGGCUCCUCUUUGGUCACAGGUACCAUUAUAUACCUUUCUAUUUCAAUGCCAUUAAAAUGUUUGAUAUAAUUCCAUUUAUUUCACCUCUACCCCUGUAACCUAAUUUUGUAAGCUAUUAAUUACAUAUUCAUUGUAUAUAUAUCCACAAAACUUUUUAAAUACAGUUUAUUCCACUCCCCGUCUAUAUAUAUUUCCAAAAGUAUUUUUGGGUAAAACGAUUCUUAAUUUAUGCAACUAUAGUUCAUUAUUAACCAGAAAGGAACUAUAUAUAAUUCAGUAUAUUACUUAUUUUACGCCUAUAAUUCAGUAUAUUCUGAUAAAAGUUUGCAGAAUUAACGACGUUAUAGUGUUAUACUAUGCCAAACAAACCGGCUAACUUUUUUUUAACGUCAAACCGGCUAAUUAUUGUACACCAACCUGUUGUAUGUAUACUAAUAUUGAAUAAUACUGAUUUUCAUGUUCUCGAUUAAUCAUUGUGUUGAUUUUUACGGCGUGUAUAAAAAUAUUACUUUAUAUUGUAGGUGUUUUACGCACGAUCUAAUAAAAUAAACCGGAUCAAGACCAAUCAACCACGAUCAUAGAAAUUAAUACAAUAUAGUAUGUCAUCAUCGUGCUUAUCCACCUUUAUCUACAUCGCAUUUACAAGGUAUCCGUGAAAAGUAAAUCUACAUUGUAAACUGUAUUAUAUUAUUUAAUUAUCUUUUGUUUAAUCUCAUAUACUUCGUAAAUUUUGUACUAAUAUGUUAAUAAUAUGUCACUAAAAAGUACAGUAAAUAUUGACAACGAAAUUCUAUAACUAAGUCGGUACGAAACUCAAUGUUUAUAACUUCGAAGUAUAACUCGACGCUCAAAUAUUAUAUCUGAAUGUAUACAUAAUGUAAGUUUGUGAUAUUUAAGUAAAAAAUCGAUCACAUCACAUAAUUUAAAGCUCCGUCUUCUCUCUAGGUAUCUUCCGGUGGAUUAGAUUCUUCGGUCGAUGAGAUAGGCUUCCACAGUCACCGUCGGUCCGGUUUGUGAGAAGGGAAAGGUCUGUUUCUUCUGUGCAUGUCUUUUGAGAGGGAAAGAUUCUGUUUUGUCUUUAUUGUGGUUCGGUUUAUAGAACUGGUUUUUGAUUCCGUGAUGUAGAGGCUUAUACAGCUCUGUGGUCGCCAGCUUAUGACUCCGGAGAUGAAGACUUUCAGAGCUCUGCGCUGCCGGUUUUAAACCCGUCGUCUGAUUGGGUUUUGGUUCUGAUUUUGACUCGUGGGGUGUGAUGGAGUGUUGCUCUUGUCUUCAGUUUGACGGUUCGGUCCGAUUGGAUGAGAUCUCGGCGGUCAAUGAAGCUCUCUGACGGCUAUGCUAUGGUGAUGAAGACACAGGUUAUGAUUUGGGGAUCAAUUUAUGUAUGGAUGGUUUGGUGAUCCGGAGGAGAUCUCGGUUUGGUUGAGGGAUGCUCUCCGUGGGAAGAACCUCCGGUGUUAGGAGGUAUGUGAAGCAGCGCUUGUCUCCGGUGCGGCGCCGAUCAGUUUCCGGCGUAAUCUCGGGACGGUGAAAGUGAAAGGAGUCGGUGACGUGUGUUAUCCUUCGUUGUGGUGCGGCGCCGAUUAGUUUCCGGCGUAAUCUCAGAACGGUGAAGGUGAAAGGAGUCGGUGACGUGUGUUAUCCUUCGUUGUUGAGGGAUUAACACGUGUCCUAAACAAGUUUACAAAAUUUGACGCGUGUUUUUUUCGAUUUUUUUUUUUGGAUGGGUUUAAGUUUAGUGAGCUUUAGGCCCGGUUGUUUGUAUGUAUUGUAUGAGUCUCUUUCGGUUGGGUUUUAGGGCUUUGUUAUUUUGUAUGGUUUGUGGGCUUUGGUUUUUAAUAAAACUAGAUGGCAAAAAAAGAAGUAAAAAGUAUCGAAUUAUAUCUAUACGUAUAUUUCAAAGCAUAUAAGUGUCCUUUUCUUUUGCUGUCACAAAUAUAUAUAUAUAUAUAUGUUAUUUAGUACUAGUAAUUUUGAUCGUUUUGUUCAGAGUGACGCUGAAUUAUCAAACAAAAUGUUCACUAAAUCCAGAUUUGCACUGUAAUUACUCUAAUCGUGGGAUACUGACGUAUAACAUUUAGUAUGAAAUUUUGACAUCCGGAAAUUCCGAGUAAUUGGGGGAACCACCCGUAAUGAUUUUUAGAUAUCUAUAAGCGUCAUCCACAACCACAUUAAAGUACAUUUAAUUACAUUAAUUUACAGAUCCCAAAGCCGUAUUUAUCGGUCUAUCUGUCAGCUCAAAACUGUCAGAGAUCAACAUGAAUUUCCGAUCAACUUUUCUCGAUUACAAUAUUACUCAAUUACCUUGCGAAAUAAUUAUCAGUCUAUUUUUUAUUUAUACAAAAAUAUUAAUUCAAAUAUAGUUGGAUCAAGGCAUCAUUAUCUUUUUCGUGGCGUCUUUCACAAGCACAUAAGACGCGGAACCAUUAUAUAAUUCUAAAUGCCAUUACUUUCUAUCAUUCGCAUUAACCUGAACUUCUUCUUUUUUUUUCAUUUAAACCUCAUAUGUUUUCACAAUUCUCAAUAUUACCUUCCGAACUUCACUUAAUCUUGACGAUGAUGUCAUGAAAAUUAUAUUUUUUUACCUUACUAGACCAUAAAUAUGUGGUGUUUAUUAGAUCUGAUCGAGGCAUAUAAUCAUGCACACCAUUGUAACACGUUAUAUAAAUCCUAUCGUGGCCGACAAAAACAAUUGCUUGCUAAUAAGGCAACUCAUUUUCAUAUAUUAGUUACCAUCAUAAUAUAUGUUACAUUUAUUCAAUAAUUUUUAUUGAUUGAUUCAUGAAUUUCAUAUAUCCAUUUCACGAAAGUGCAUCGAACAGCUGUUGUGAGAAAGUAAUGUUUGGCCACUAAACAAAUAGUAAUUGUCAUGGGAUUUCACUGUUCAUUUUCUCAGUCGAGAUUAUUCGGUUUUUGUAAUCAGUCGAAAUAUUCGUUUUUUUUUUCUUCUGAAUUGUUUUUUUUUUAAUCGAUUUAGAUUUUUACUAAAGAAUCACCUACUCAGUUCUAGCAUAUGCGAGUGAUCUUUCGUUUACAAAACAGCUAGGAAAAAUAUAUUAUUGAAAACGUUCAUAAUUCAAAUGAAAUUAGUAAGAAAGUUAAAAAGAUUCCAUCGAUGGAUGGCACAUGUAUAUUUAUAGAGUGGGUCGACGCGUAAACUAAAGCUGGGAAUCAUUAGAUAAAAUAAAUAAAAUAGAAAAAGCUACCAAGAUAAAGGAACCUUUAACAUGAUUUUGGUUAAUUCCAAUUAUUGAUCAUCUCCGGGAACAAGAACGGAAACUUCUACGUCGCCUAGCCACCGGGAGGGUCGACGUGGUGGUGGUGGUGGGGGAUGACGUCAUCGUCUGGUUGUAAACAGAGGAGAAGAAGCGAUCUAUCUCAUCUUUGUUAGCAAUAAUCUCAAACUUUGAUGACGUCAAAAGCUUCCUCUUGCAAGAUCUGUAGACGAGGGGCGGCGGAAGUGCACGGCGUUUCUGCGGCGGAGGAGGAGGAGUAGUGGCGGAGGAGGGAGGAAUCUUGUGGUCGGAGGAAGUGGGCGUGGUGCAACCGCCGCCGCCGCCGUCAGCAUCUCUGUUGUUGGAUAGGAUCUUGAUGGGUGAUGGGAAGUUCAACAUGGGAAGAUCUUGUAAUAAAUCGAGAUCCAUUUUCUAAAUAUAAAUAACAAAAUGAUAUGUUCUUGAAGGUUUUGUUUUUGUGUUUUAGCGUGUGCCUGAACAAAUCUUCUUAGAGAAGUGGACUUGUGGGUUUAGUUGUAUAUAUGUGGUUUUGUCUUUACAUACAUGUUUUUCUUCUGUAUAUGUGUACUAUAUAUCUUAAUAUUAGAAAGAUAAGAGAUAAAAAAAAGAGAGAUCACAUUACUUCUAUUUACAGCUUUUGACAGGUAACCACAUUAAUUCCAAGUUAAGUAUUACCAAUCAAUUACAAAAUUCUGAUACUUAAUUAAGUAAUAAAUUUGUACUUUAUACCUAAGGCUGAUCGUUAAGAUAAGUAUUCUUUUUGAUUAAAAUAGUCUAAAUAACAAUGUGGUAAAAUUUCUUCUAUAAAUUUCGUAAAAAAACAGAUCUACAAGAAUUUGAGAUUUUUGUUUUUAAUAUAUAUAACUUGGUCAAUUUUACUUGAACUUAGGCAUUUAAAAUUAUACACAAUCUUUCAACUUUAAACUUCUGAUAACUAUUUUUCAUAUCAGUACAUAACUAAAUAUCAAUUGUUUGUACGGAAGAGAAAGCAGCUACGUACAUAGUAUAUACAUGUAUCUCUCUACUGAACGAGAUAACAAAACUCCUAAUUGCAAAAUUAAGGAAGAUAGUAAUUAUAACGUAAAAAGCGGGCAUAGAUUCAUACUGUUAAUUGGAGUGAGAGUUACAUCCACUAAAAGAAGAAUCAAAUCAAGAAAAUGGAGGGUAGCUAUUUGUAUAUAAGGAAUCUUACUUUAAUUAACAAAGAAAGAAUAGUUUUUCGAAUAAAUCAAAUUUCUAUAAAUGAAAUGUAGAAAUAUGGAGAACUUGCUUAAAAUACACUAAAUUAGAUAUCACUUUUCAAAAAUAUUUUAGUAUUCAGGUUUAAAGUUUAGAUAUUAUUAUUUAUGGUUUAGUAUUUAAGGAGUAAAGUUAGGUUUAUAUAUAACCUUUAUAAAUAAAUUUUAAACAUUUACAAAAUGAUUUAGGAGGAUUAAUUUUAUCUUUUUCAUAAUAAACUUAAAAUAUUUAUAAGAUGGUUAUCAUCUAAAGUAAUUUGAAAAGUAAUAUCAAGUUUGUGGUAAAAAUGGAAUUUUCUUUUAAAUAUGCAUAUACUUUUAUUUUUGGAAAUUUAAAAAUGUAAAAAGAAAUCAAAUUCUACUAAUGCGGAUAUAGAGUAUACAACAUGCACAUUUGUUAAAAAUAUCAACAUGCAUAUGUUUGGAAAAUAAUGAGGCAUUUUUUUUUUGUUUUUUUUUUUAUAAUGAAGCAGUAACAUUACUGCAUGCAUACUGCCUACUGGUACAAGUUUUGACUAGUUUACAAUAAUUAAUUUUAUUGAUAAGAAAAUCAAUAUUACAUAGAGAUUAGGUUUUAUAUAACAAUGAUUAAAAUUUCAGAUCGAAGUUUUUAAUCUAGAUCUAAACGUAGAGUUUGGUUAGAAUUUACCGCUAAAGAAACUAGAGACAUGUCAUGUAUAUAGAUUUUAAGACUUUUUGUACAUGCAUCAUGUAUCAUUACAUGCAUAUUUUAUAUCAAAUAUAUUUUCGUCAGAUUUAACAAAUUGUUUACUAGGUGAAAUCUAUUAAUAUUACGAUCUGGGAUAUAAUUACGAUCUGUUAAAUUUUAUUUGUUCAGAUCAAUUAAGAUCCAUUUAGAAAGGACGUAGCCAAAUCCUUUUAUUGAAUUAAGGUUCCAUGGAUAUCUUUUUACGAUUCUUAAAGAUACUUAGUUUUGAUCCUUAGCUCUUUUUAACCACGGUUUUAAUAUAAAAAAAAAUACUUACAAGAAAGUAGUGUAUAAAGCUGUAACAAAUUAAAUUAUUAUUAUUAUUAUUUUUGAAUUGAAUGUUAAAUUUAAUUAAAAAAAAAUACUUUUUACAACUUUUCAUAUCAUGUUUUUAAAUUGUAAAAUAAAAGGAUAAAAAAAAAAUCAACUCUCCAUAAGCUUUUAUCCCAACUCUCUUGACUCAAACCACAUGGCCGUACUAUCUCCAUAUUCUCUAUCACCCCUCCUACAGAUAACAGUAAACUGAUUUCUCAUAGCCUUAUCCAAUCUCCGAAUCAAAACUAGUGCAGUAACAACAGAUUCCCCAUGUCUUCUUUUGUUCUUCUCCCUCCAAAGUGUAUGAAUAACUGAAGAGCAUAUCUCACAAUAAACAGCUUGACCCCAACUCGAGUUAUGAGUUACAAGGCGAGUAAGCCUUUCCCAGUGAUCUGUGUAUUGAUCUUUCAUAUAGUUAUUUGAAACUAAAAGUCAGCAUAUACAUAAUACAUGAUGUAUACAGGCUUGGUUACAAAAAGCAGUUACGUAUUAUUGUGCAGAGAAUCUAUCAUCUAAAGAGAUGCCGUGUGUUUACUAUUAGAGGAUGCAUGUGGUGUGAAUCGUGUGAUGUAGGGUAGAUCUGUGUAAGUGACUGGCAAUAUCACGGUAAAGGCCCAGACAAAGGUACAUAAGAAGAAACGAUCUCUCUGAUCUUUCCUAAGUAUCUGAAUCUCGUUAUUGUUUUUUAUUUUAUUUUCUUUGAUUUUUAACAGAAAAGUAGUUUUUUUUAAUCUUUUACGUCGUGGACAUGCAUGGACAUUGGACGCUUUUCUUUUUCCUUUUUUUUCUGAGUUAAAUUUGAUUUUUUUUUUCUGAACCACUGCGUUUCUUUUCGAUCAAUCUUUCUGAACUACUUAGUUGUUGACAACAAAAACAACUUGUAUUGAUACUCGAACGUUCGUGGUUUUUAAGCUCCUUUUUUUGUUGUUGAGGAUUUUGGUAUCACUAACCUAGCUCGUAUCUAAGAUAGUAAGAUUAAUGAUCUUAAAUAUAAUGAUGUGAAAGGAAUUUAACUAACAGAAACAGAUUCAUGUAACUGGUAAAUCGAAAAUUGAGUGCCGGUUUGAGUGAAUUUGAAUAUCACACGCUGUAUUUAACAAAGAAAAAAGGAAUAAUUCAAGAAUUUCAGUUUUAUACCCAAGGUGCGUUGGGCUAGUGGUUUAGUGCUUGGAGUAGGUUCCAUUGCACCCCUAGUUCGAUUCCCAUGGGGAGGGGUGCUUUACGCCAUGUUAUCGGUAUCAGCGCCGGCCGGCCCCGGGCCUGGGGUGGGAUUAAGGCCGAAGGCCCGAACCCAUCCUAGUCUACAAAAAAAAAAAAAAAAAAAAAAAAAAAAAAAAAAAAAAAAACACUACAUAAAAAAAAAAAAAAAAAAAAAAAAAAAAAAAAAAAAAAAGAAUUUCAGUUUUAUGUGAGUAGCUAUAUGAACAGAAACCUAGCUAGGUAGAACUGCUAGGUGUAAAAAAAUCGCCAACAUGAUAUUAUAUUAUUUUUACUUGGUUGAAAAUUUGCAUAUAUGAAUACAAUUCAUACGUGGCUAUGUUAAUAGGUAUUCAUUGUAUAAAACAUUUUAUUCGUUGUAAAGUACGAUGUAGACAAGCGAAGCAAGUAAAACGUAACGUGCAUGCAUCCAUAUUAAUUUAUUUAUCCUUAUAUAAUACUUAUCAAACUAGUUUCCAGAAUUUUAUUUCAGCAUUUAGUGGGUAAUGAUCAUGAUGGUCCUCUCUUGGAUGUUUACGUUUCAUUUCAGAUUCUUUUUAACAAAUAUAUCAUCAUCUAAAGAUCCUAUAUAUAUAUUAUAUCUAUUGACUAUACAUGACAAAAAUAAAAUAAUACAGUACUAGUACUGAAAAAGAGAAAUUAUUAUUUGUAUAAAAAUGAAAAAUCAAUGUAAUUAAAAAGCUAACAUAUAUAAUUAUGAUGGACAUUUGCACCAGAAACUGAUAUAAAAAUAUUUCGUUACACAAAAAUAUAAAUAUACAUAAUGGGACUCGAUAAAAAAAAAAGAGAAAUUAGGUCACAUAUGCCUAGAAAAUUUCAUAUUUAAGUAAAUACCUUAAACACUAUUGAUAUUUCUAAAUCUCAAUACUACCCCUGCCCAAACUACUUCUAUCUCUCUCUUUUUACUACAUCUGCCCAAGCUCUCUCCCUCUCUCUUUCUCUUUCUCAUUCUCAUGUUACAAAACAUACUAACAUUUUUCAAAAUAUGUGGGUAUGAUGUUUAUAAAUAUCUUGAGUUAGCUAUAUAUGUUUUUUUAAAUGCUAUAAAAUAGAUUAUCAGACUAACUUAACCAUUAACUGUUUAACUUCUAUAUUUUUAACGGUUAAUCAUUAUUGUAUGAUAAGUAAACUAAUAAGUUACAUCUAUCAUAUUUUUUUACAUGGUAAAUAACAUAUAACAUUGAGAUCAUUGAUAUUGUUACAUGAUAAGUAUAUUUUUAUGAUAAACAAGUUAUCCACUAACAGCUUCUAUAAUAUCUUAAGUUAAAGGUUAGCAUUGAACUUCUUUUGUUACAAAAUAUUUUUGUUCAUAUGAUACAAAGUUUGUUAGAUGUUUUUUAAUAGUUAACCAUGAUAACUUAAUCAUUAGCAACUAUGAUUUUAGUUAGAUGUUAUCAAAUAUUUUAGACGAGACGCUUUUUAAACUGGUUGGUGAGAUGUCCAAAAAUAACUGGACUUAGCUUAUACAUAAUUUGUUAGAUGCUAUAAAAUAGAUUACUUGUUUAACUUAAUUGUUAUCCAUGUAGCAUAUAUCACAAUCCAUAAUUCAUCCAUUGAAUUUCAGUUUUGAAAGAUUAGAUGAGAUAUAUAUAAACUGGGAAAAAAAAAAUCUCUAACCGUGAUUGGAAUUGAAAUCCCAUAACUCAUGUUUGGAAUCUUGGUUCUCUUUGAAUCUGUGAUUCAUUUGCAUACAUAUGGCUUCAAAUAAUACUAUUCUGAUGUGAUAGUGAUGGUGACGAUGACAAACUAUGGAAGAGGAGAAGGUUAGCGUAUGAUUGGUGCAGAAAAUAAAGUAAGUGAUGAUUGAGGGAGAAGAAGAAGAAAACUAAUUUAUUUGAGAAGAAGAUUUUUCAAUAACAAUUGAAAAAGGGAGAGAAAGAAAAGUGUAGAAAUGAAGUUGGGAAAGAAAGAGAAACGGGAUGAGAGUUUGGGCAGGGAUAAAACUGUCGUUCUACUUGUAAAUUGCUAUAGAAACUAGAGUUUUUAUGUGUUUGGGAUAGUUUCUUAAUUUUAGGUGUCUUUAGGUAUAUGUAGCAAAUUAUCUCUAAAAAAAAUACAUAAUGGGCGAACAGAUAAAUCUCCAGAGUCAUAACUGGAGAAAAAUGAAAAUUUCCUAAGAAACUGAGGCUGUAACUGGAAACUUAAUCUAGGAAUGUAUGGAAUAAAUGGAAUUGGAAUCAAUGGAAUAAAAUGGAAUGGAAUAGUGAUAAUUUUUGGAAUUAAAGGAAUGAUAUAUGUAUUUAUUUUUUAAUUAUAUUCAAAUUAUUUCAUUCCAUCCAUCCCUUUCAUUCCUCCUCUUUUUUUAUCAUGAAUGAUUUUUAACGUGAUUCCUUUUUUUCCUCAUUCAUCCCACAGGAAUUUAUGGAAUCAAAAUUUUUGUUUUUUCCACUUAACUGGUGAAUUUUUUUUGGAAUGUCUAUGAAUGACUAAUUCCACAUGAUUCCAUUCAUAAAAAAAGCAUUCCAGUUACAGCCUGAGUCUACAACCAAACUUAAAAUUACAACUGUUUUAAGUCCCAAACAGAUAACGAUAUAAAAUCGAAUUAUUUGGAAUUUGCAACAAAACCGACAAAAGACUUUACAUUCAAUUAUUUCUUUUUGUUUAACUUAAGAAAUGGUUUUGUUUACAAAGAUAUUUGAGAAAUUCUCUAUGAUAGACUUAAAACAGUUUUUGUCACAAAUAUAGACUUUAAAAAUAAAAAUGAUCAAAAUAGACUUAAAUAUCUUAUAAAAAAAAUAAAUAUACACUUAUACCCCUAGAGUUAAUCAGUCUAAACAUUAAAGUUUAGAGUUAAGGAGUAAAGUUUAUGGUUUAGAGUUGAGCAGUGGAGUUUUGGGGAUAUGAUUUCAAAUUUUAAAAAAAUUUAAAAAAUUAAAAUUUUCAAAAUAAAAAAUACUAUUUUGAUCAUUUUAAUUUUUAAAGUGUAUUUUUGUAACAAAAACUAAAAAAAAUCUAUGUGAGAGAAUUGCCCAAGAUAUUAUCUUCAACGAGAUUUAACCACAUGCCAUCGGCUAAAAUGGUAAAACAAUUAAUAGGCUGGGGCAAAGUUAGAAAGUAUUGGGACCAUUUAUAUAAAUAAAUAUAUAGAAUAUAUACCAAACCCCCCCAUCAACUUUUCUUGAUUCUUCCGAUUGUCCUCAUGCCAUUUAAUUUUGUGAAGUCGUUACUUCACUGUUGUGAUUGAUAUCUAGUUCACAAUUAAAUAAAUGCCUCAACUCAUUUGGUCAGUUUUUGAUGCAGACAUGAAGAAAAGGAAGCUUUGCACGGUUUAGCUUUCCAAAAGUUUGUGUAGGAUUUAAUUAUUUAUGGCCCCUCUUUGUUUAGUAGAUGGCUGAAAAAGGGUUUGUUAAAGGAUUUGAUUGAUUCCAAACUCGCAUGUGAAUCGGGCUGUCUUCAAAUUCUUUUGACUAAAGGGAUUGACAUAUAGAUCAAUUGGGUACUAGAGAUAGCUAAGCUUCAGUAAUGAUUUAUCUUCUUCUUUUCUUUUUCUUAUGUCGAGGGUUCCACUAUGAAAAUCAAACACGAGGUCGUUGGCAUUGUUGGUAUUGAGUCAUGUCAUCUUCAACAUCUGUACAGGGGGACUUCACUUUUCAAAAAGUCCUUAUUAUCACUAAAAACUUCAUUUGUUUUUGAAAAGUGGAGUGUGAUCUCUAGGUUCUUUUGUCCAAUACACAGUGGCCAAGGCUGGUCCAAUUGUAAUCAUAAUAAAGAUGAAUGAAAUGAUGCAGUUAUCAAUAUCAAAAUUGCUUUUUUGUAGCGUAUAUACAAAAAACCCAUAAAAGAUAUAUAAAACAUAUAAACCUAAAUCAGUAGCUAAAAAGUAAAUCUUUGCUUUCGAUGGUAUCUCCACGUGAAUCUCACGUGUUUUCCUUUCCUCUUGAAAGUUGAGACUGAGACAGAGUUGUUGUUAAUCCAUUCCAAAGUAGAUCUCUCUCUGUGUUUCAUCCUCCAAGUGAUUUCUGCUUGUAACCAUUUUUUAUCCUAUCAUAAAGUUUCUCCUUAGUUUUACGUUUCUUGUCCAUUUUCAAACGAUAUCUUUCUUCACGUUCUCUCUCGUAAACGCCUUUCCAAUGCACUUCUCCCGUUAGUGGCCACAGCCACCUUUCCCUUGGAUGGUCGUUAUCAUCUGCUGCUUCUGCCAAGUCCUCGUCCAUGCUUUUCAACAAAGUGAAGUUAAAGUACUUAGCCCACAUGAAACCUUUCCGUUGCGGCAAAGGAUGUUGUUCCUCGAGUGAACCGUCUCUCGGGUUUAUGUAAACCAUCUUUCUCCCGCUGUGAUACGCCCAGACGUUAACCAACAGUUCCAGAACCCGGCAGUAACAGUGCUUUCUCUACUUAUUGUUGAAAACAAAUCAUUAAUUUGUGAAGAUGGGAGAGUAAAGUCAAAGAAGAUUUUUAAUUUACCUCUAGCUGUGAUGAAGCCAGUGAGCAACUUUUGGAGUCGCUAUGCAAUGCAUCAAGAGACUCCGAGAACAUCCUGUGAUUGCGGUUUAAGCUAGGAAAGUGAGUUUGGUUGAUGUUUUGGUGAAUUUGUUGAGUAAAUAAUUAUUUUACCUUGAGAACAUGACAAACUCGAGGAAAGAUGGAGUUGGCAUCACCCAGUUGUGGAGAGAAGACCAAUGAUGACCAUCUUCAGGCAUGGGAGGAAGCGCUUCUAUGUGUUCUGGUAACCCAUACAUAUGCCUGAACGCCUCUUCGAACGUAGUCCUGCAUCAAUUUAAUAUGGCUAAGACAUAUUUUACGUAAAGACAUGAUUAAAUAAAUAAAACAUUAAAUAUAUACCUGCAAUUUCCUCGGUAGACCAGAACGAAGCGCAUUUUUAAUUCCGAGUGCGUCAGCAUCAAUGUCUAAUCUUGUCCAGAAGUAAACAAUCUCCCCCUUGGUAUCCUUUUGUAUAAUGUUUUCCAGGGAGCCUUCGGCUUUAGACGAUAACGAGACCUGUCUCCACAGCAAAGUGUCAAAGUUAGACGACGGAUGCAAGACGAGUAUGUGGCUGUGUGCUAAAGAAACGACCUUCCUACCAGCAGAACGCCAUGACUGAAACCCAAUCCAAGGUCUCAUGUGAAUGCUAUCCACUUUAUUCGCAACUGAAAACAUUCCUCCAAUUUCACAGAGAAGAUCUCGAUAAUAAGUGUCCUUCAGUAGAGGUAACCUGUCUGCUGCAUCUACAUCGUCCGAGCUUAGCCUUCGGUCUUUGCUGGACUAAGAAAUAACAAACCGGUAGAUUUGAUAACCGUUGGAUAGAACAUCACAAACCAAUUAGAGAAGCCUUACCAGGCUCAAACCACGGUACAGAGAUCCAUGAUGCAGAAAGGGCCAAGCACCAGCUCCAUUGUAAAUCUCAUAUAUACAUAGAGGCUGACCAGUUCGUUCCAGCUCUCCUUCGUCCCGCUCGUUCACCUUAAAUUUUAGCUUCUCGGAUUUGCGAGCGUUACGGUAUAUCUCUUCCCAGUCUUCAACAUCUCUUUCGCUUCUGUCCUCCAGCUACAUAUCAGACGAGGAAGAGAUUGAUUCAACACAAUAGAAACCAAUGCAGCUAUUAGCAAGACUCACAGAACAAUGUCUAGGGAGAACCUAGAGAUAUGUCUGAUGAUACCUCCUCAGAUUCUAGUUUCUCGAUCUCUUCAAGGACAUCCCAGUCUAAUUUGGAAGGAAGCUCAUCCGAAAAAACUAUGGUAUCGUUGUCAACAGUGUUUGUUGACUCAACAACACUCGUGAACUUCUCUUCGACUUGGAAAACAAUGGAUCCAUAAGCAGAGUCCUGAGUUAAGCUUUCUGCCUCCUCUAUUACUCUCCUGAACAGACUCCACUCCCACGCGGCCACUUGAAGUUGAGAAACAGAACCUGGCAAGAAAGUAUCGGACGGAAAGUGGAGUACGUUCUCCAAAAGCCUAGCGUAACCAGUUAUGCACUCUGUCGCCAUCAUGUUCUUAAUUAAAAGUCUUCCUGAAGAAGCAACUGUUUGCGCAAAUUUAGAGAGACUUCCAUCUGAUAUCAAGGGUGAGAAUGCCUUUAACAGUGUAUCAGGGUCGUUUCUUCGGAAAAAUAUCCCAUGAACUCCAUCAGCCAUCUGCAGUAAAAGGUCCAUAAAUAAGUAAAAAUAAAAAAAUAGAAAAUCAUAAACUUCAGGUGUACUCACAUAUUUUUUCAUGAUGGGAAAGUCAGGUGUUACAAUAGGGAUGCCAAAGCUCAUAGCUCGCACAACCAAUGAGGGAAAACUUUGUUCCUCUUGGUAAGAGGCAUAAACAAGAACAUCAGCCAUCAGUAGAACUCUAUUCACAUCCUCAUUCAGACCAAAAUCAGUGUCUUGGGUCAACCCAAGCCUCGAUGCAACCUCCUGCAUUCAUGUAUCAACACACAAAUUAUGUCUACAGUAUACAAUCCCAACCAACACUAAUCAUAUAGUAUUCACAUGGAUGAAAAAUUCUUACCUGUACAGCAUUGGUAGAAUUGCCAAAUAGAAAUAUAAACUUAAAGGGACCACCGGUCUCUUUUCUCCUCCCAUAUUGUGUUAAAAGUGGUCCCAGCAUGUGCAUUGCCACGGCGUUAUCCCAAGAAAAAUCAUCAUAAAAGAAGGAGCUCCCAAGCACCACGAUGAUCAGGUCAUCUUCGCCAAAACCGUUACUCUCCCUCAGCGUUUGCUUUGUGUGGGUUUCACUGUAGCCUUCAGCAGCCCAAACAUCUACUACUGAUUCCGGAAUCACAACGAAGUUCCCAUCAUCAAGAACGCUGUGCAACAUCUCAACAAAUUGUAUGAUCUUAGGCAAAUAUACAAAGCAUACUCUUUGGCACAACUGAAAAGCUUAUUGCAGACAGGAAUAUACCGGCAGAGUAAACUGUGGAAAGACAACUGCACUUGCUCUCGCAAAAGCACUUCUCCAGUGGGAGAUUAGAGAAUUUUGGCCCAUCUUUUGGUAAACAGGCAACCGAUUUGCAAGAAUAUCUUCAUGAACUAUCCAUAUAAGUGGUACUGAACGAAACGGCUCCUGCAUGAGACUGCAUAAUAUAUAAACUCUUGUUAUCAUAGAAUAUUAAUUAGAGAAGUAAUUGGCAAAAUUCACUAUGAUUUUUCACAUCUUAAGCAGAAACAACCAGAGUAUAAGCUCUGAUAGCAGGCAACUAAACAAGCUUAAUCUACUCACCUUGAAAUGGCUUCUUUCGCUUCAAGCGAAUCAGCAAUAACACCUUCAAAGCUGCAGAAGAUGAAUCACUGUAACUUGAUCCAAGUGGGAGUGGAGAAAUAAAAUAUAUUCAAUAAAGUUAUUAAGAAUUGAUAGGACUCAUACACUGUCCAAUCAGCGUACCCCAGCUGCCCUGAAACCAAAACUUUAACGUGGCCAGCUAACUGUUCCCACAAUGGACGUGCUUCACCAUUCUCUACGGCAAAAACCUGACAGCUUUUAAGGUCACAAGAUUUACCAAGAGAUGCAAAAUAAAAGACACAUUAUAAACUUUGUAUCCACUUUUCACCGCAUAUCUCCAGUAGAUUCAAAUUUAACCAUUCUGCUUAUACCAUAUACAUAGCCAAAGAGUUUCACCUGAAACACAUAACCCAGUUUUUGAAGAUUCUUCACCACCGUGAUCAACACUAGUGUCCGAGGAUCUUUCCUCAUAUUCCCUAGUAUCUGUCAAUCAUAAUACAUCAAAAUAAUAAUAAUGAGUGAACAGAAAGUGCAUAGAGCCGAACGAAUGAAAAAGCAUCCUGUAAGAUCGAUCAGAGAAAAUAAAACAGUGUUGGUAUACAUAACAACGACACUUUAACUAUGCCAAUAAUUACAAAGUAACUAUGAACACCUCAACUGCCAAGUUCAAGCAUGAUAAUAUAUCAGCAGACUCCUUGGUGCAUCUACAAAAGUCAUUUAGCUUCAAUUCCAUAAGUGCAAGAGCAUAUUUAAGAACCGAUUCUUACCUUUUUAAUUUAAUAAAUGUCUCACUCAAAAAAAUAAUAUAUAAGCUAGAUAUCAAUUGGUUUUAGGUUUGAAGCUCAUCUAACAUAAAACUAAGCAUGCAUUAACUCACGAGAGCAAGCCUCGGGGGACGAACGCCUAUUCGAACCUCCGACCGCAAGGAAUGAAUCCCUUCUCCUUCGAUCAACUUCUUCGCAACUCUUCCAGGGACAUACUUCAACGCACUCCCCAAUCCAAUCCGCCUUCCCACGCUCCCUCCCUUGGCACUCCCUUGCCACGUAAUCGAACUCUGAAGCAGCAGCGAGGACGCUACGAAGGCGCAAACCGCGAACGCGACGAGAGAGUAGAGCAAACACGUGCCGCGCGGCUUGAGCAGCGAGAGGAGGAAGCCCUUGCGGUUCNNNNNNNNNNNNNNNNNNNNNNNNNNNNNNNNNNNNNNNNNNNNNNNNNNNNNNNNNNNNNNNNNNNNNNNNNNNNUUCGGCGAUCGUGGGGGAACGUGGUGGUGAGGAGGCCUGGUACUACGCAAGGAGGACCGACGCAUGUCGGUUGGAUUCCUCUUGAGACGGAGACGGUCUCGCACGGAGACGUUGUUGUUGUGAUUCGCCGCGCCGUUAUUGUCAUGAUGGAUCUCGAGAGAAAGAGAGUUUCUCCCCAUGGAGAAAACAAGCUGUGUUCAAUGCGAAGCUCUCUCUCUCUCUUGUUUCAGGUGAUUUUGAUUUCAGGUGACACACUACUCCACCAUGAGAAGAUAGUUAGAGAGAGAAAUUAUUGAUCAUUGAUUUUUGCGUAUUUUUGAGUUGUGAAUCUGUUUAAGAGACAGUAGUGAAGAGAAUGAGCAAUUUUUGUCAAACUUCUCUACGUGAUAAUAAUAUUUAUUUCAAAAAAUAUUAUUUUACGUCUCUGUUUUUAGGCGGUGGGACCAUAUUGUAUAUCCUGGGGUAUUUAAGAUAUUUUUAAUAUUUUUUUUUACUAUAUAAAACUGAUAUAGUAAUAGAUUUGGAUCCGAAUCUGGAUAUCCAAACUUAAAAUUCGAUUAUCUAGACCUGUAUACGGAUCUAUAAAAUCAGUUUUUUGAACCGGAUGGAAGCGGAUCCCAUAUCGAAUAUUAAGUUCGAGGUUUAUAUGUUUUCAAUUGCCAUUUUAUCUAUAUUAUUAAAAUAUUUCACCCGUUUUUAAAAGAUACAUGUUUUAGAAAAAAAAUGUUUCAAAAACUACAUUUUUCAUAUUUUCAAUGUAUAAAUUAAAUGUUAAUUGUAAACUUCAAAAAACAUAAUUGUAUUUAUUAAAAUUCUAUUGGUGAAAACUUAUUGGAAUUAGUUGAUUACAGAAAAUAUUGUAUUGGUAAAUAAAAUUUGAUAUAUUUUUUAAUAAAUGUGAAAAUCUUAAAAUAUAUAUAUUUUAGAAACGGAGGGAAUAGUAAAUUAUUUUUGUUAAAGAGGGUGACAAAGCAAUGGCUUCCUCAAAAAGAUCAUAUAUUUCACGCGUUUAUAGAGGUCCAACCAGCUUUUUUGAGUAGUAGUUGUCACUAUUAGUGUGAUAAUGAUAUUUCACCAUCUAAUUAAUUUAGUUUUGUUGAUGACCGAGUGUUAACUGUUAACAUAUGGUUUUUGCCAAUAAUUAGUAUGUAAAUUAUGGUGAAAUUGCAUGAAUCAUUGAAUCUUCUAGCGUGACGACUGACGACCGAGUAGAAAACAAACAAAAUAAAAUGAAAACAUUAUAUUAUUAUUUGUAUCACCAAUGCAAUCAGCAAAUGUAUUCAACGUAGCCGAAUUUUAUUUUUCAAAGCCGCGUAUGGUUGGUUACAUCCGUCUUUCAUCAAAACUAAUGAAAGAAAAAAUAAAUACCAUAAUUGAACGUCGUCUCCAAAAACAUGCGUAGAUGGGAACUAUUCAAAUGGAUUGGAAGUAGUCAUGUAGAUAGUGAUCUCGUGUCUUUUCAUCGAACAAUAAAUCGAAUUUAUGAACACACAUGCUCAUCGUUCUCGUUAUUAAUUGUACCUUUUGUCAAUCGUUCUUUUAUGUAUUGGGGUCCCUGAUAGAGCUCUCACAUGAUUAAUAAUACUGUUUAUACUGUCACUUAGCAUGUUUCAAUAUUUUGGGGGCAUUAAACUCAAAGUUUAUGUACUAUUCAGUUAGUCCACACCCACUCUCCAAUAUAUAUAUAAAUGUGGUCUAAUCUUUUUCAAAUUUACAGUCAAGCAUUAGUAGUCAGUCAGUUUUAAAUAUGAUGUUUUAAGACUGGCGGAUUCGCAUCCAAACCUUGUUUGAAAGCGAUGAUUCGUAUACUUAGUUUACUCGUCUCAAGUAUUAAAAUGCAAUAACGUCCACGUCUAGUCAAAGAGAUUAUAUGACAAAAACUAUGAAAGUUUAUAUAUAUUAUAAGAGGACAAAACAAAUUCUCAGUUAAAAUAUUAAUUAGUGUUUUUGAACUACGUAUCCAUUCAGAAGAAGAAUCUAGAUUACGUUGACCUUCUAAAUAUAUUAUAACUUUUUUAAGUAAUCAAUCAAAGCCAAAUCAAGCUUAACUAUAUAAAAUGUCUCGAAUAUCAAGAAUUUCAGACAGAUUAGCUCGUGGCUCGGGUCGAAUAAUUUUAUUCAAACAUAGGUUUGCAAGAAACUUCUUUGUCGAAAAACAUCUUUAUCAGAUUACUUUACUUAUUACUCGAGUCUUGGGUACCUUCACCAAUCACCAAUCACAUGAACUGGAAAAAAAAAAACACAAAUGGACCACUAAUAAAUUGAACAUUGGACAUUAGUAUGUAAGCAUUGAAGUUUUGGAAACUAUUCGGGUAAAAUGAUUUCUAUGAACUAUAGAAGAAGAUUCAGACUAUAUAUAUAUAUAUAGGAAUACAAAUGUAAUGUAUAUUGAAUUAAGAAAAUGGUACCUCUCUAUAUAGCUAACAACAACCAUGACUCUAUGACUAUGAGUAGUUGGCAAUUGAUAUAUUGUUGACAAUUUACGAUAUUUUAGGGAUGCAUUCCCAAUUAAUGGACAUACUAUUUUAAAAGAAAAUUUGCGUAAAUAGUAACAAUGCAUAUAUUAGGAACUCCUCGAAUAUAUUUUCAAAAGUGCAUGAAAUACAAAAUGCACAGCUGGUGGAUCGUUGUCUUAGAUCAAUGAAUCUAUAAGAAAUCAAGAAAAAAAAAUAUUGUGACUAGUUUGUUAUUAUCGUAUAAUAAUAAUUGAUUAUAAGUUUAUAACUAAUUUGUAAUGAAAUCCAUAAUUUAAGUUUCUUCAAGUAAGUGUAGGCCUGAUGAUUGUCCAAUAGGCCGGGGUAUUUUAUCUGGAUUUACAAUGCCAGGCCUAGUCCAACUCUUUAAAAUUCGUGGCAUGACGUCAUCCCAAAGCAGGUUCUGGUAAAAAUAAGGAACAGACAUGCCAAGUAACGUAUCCGCUUAUCCAUUCCACUCGUAACCUUUAUAAUCCCCUCGCCUACGCUACGCGCCUCCAUGCGGCGUUUUUUGUUCUUCGUUUCCUGCUUUGGGUUGUUCGCUUUGAUUUCCAUAACGUACGCGUGGCUCGCGUUUUCGCCGCAUAUUGGACGCACGGAUCAUGUGUCCUCUUCUUCGCUAGGUUGCAGAGAGGAUAACGAGGGUUCCUGGUCCAUUGGAGUUUUCUAUGGCGAUUCUCCCUUCACUCUCAAACCCAUUGAAACCGUGAGUCUCCUGAUCUACUCAGUUUCGUGCAAUUUUAUUAGAAUGCAAAUCGUUUGAUAGCUAGGGUUCAUGAGUUUUCAUAUGUAAUGGAAAGAUGGUUCUCGUACAGAUGAGUUUUCAUAUGUAAUCUUUAUUUUUUCAGCAAAAACCAUAAGAUCAUACAAGUAACACAUAUGUAAAAUGUUUUUUUUUGUUUGAAUUAAUUUAACAUUCAUUCACAAAAAAGGGUUCAUGAGUUUUGAAUCAACAAUUUUAACCACAUUGUAUCUGGUGAUUUUGGAAACAGAUUAAUGUAUGGAGGAACGAGAGUGCAGCAUGGCCUGUAGCUAAUCCAGUUUUAACAUGUGUCUCCUUGACCAAUUCUGGCUUUCCAAGCAACGUUGUAGCUGGUCCCUUUCUCUAUGUACAGGUAUACACAUUAUAGUCAUCUUCAUCGACACAAAACAGGUCUUCAAAAUUUUGGAGGCUAUAGACAAUUUAAUAAGAAUUUCUAUUAACAAUUUUUUUUUUACAAUUUUAUGGGUUAUAUAUAUGUAAUUUUUUCUUAAUUUUUUUGGAAGUUGUAAGCCAAUACUCCACUAGUCUAUGCUUAGGACCGACCAUGCAUCAUCGACAUUGCACUAUCUUUGGCUUAUCAUGAACACAUUCUCUAGUGAAAGUGUUAUAAGUCCCUUUUGCUCAUGUCGAUCUUUUGUCAUUCUUAUCUUACCAAAACAGGGUGAUACUCUUUACAUGUUCUUUGAAAAUAAAAACCCCAUUACAAUGCAAGGGGACAUAGGAGUUGCACAAAGUACAGACAAAGGAGCAACUUGGAAACCUCUUGGUAUAGCUCUGGAUGAGCCUUGGCACUUAUCUUUUCCUUUCGUCUUCAAUUACAACGAACAAGUAAGAGAUCAGUUUCUUACUAGCAACGUUCCAUGCAUGAUACGCACUCAUUAUAUAAACAUUUUUUUUUGUUUUCUUUAUAAUAGAUAUACAUGAUGCCGGAGAGCAACCAGAUAGGAGAACUUCAUCUCUACCGUGCUGUUAACUUCCCUUUAACUUGGAAGCUAGAGAAAGUCAUCUUACAAAAGCCCCUUGUUGAUUCCACCAUACUCCACCACCAAGGAAACUAUUGGCUAUUUGGAUCAGAUGAUAGUAGCUUCGGACAGCUAGAAAUUUGGUACAGCGCCACUCCUCUUGGCCCUUGGAAGCCACACAAGAAGAAUCCUAUCCACAACGGGGCAAGAAACGGAGGGAGAGCGUUUUUACAUAACGGUAAUCUCUACCGUGUUGGUCAAGCUUCCAGUGAGAGUUAUGAGAAAAAGAUAUGCAUUUAUAAAAUAGAGGUUCUUUCUAAGGAAGAGUAUAGAGAAGUCCAAGUCCCCUUUGAUUUAGAAACGUCUCAUAAAGGUCAAAACUCUUGGAACGGAGUUAGGCAGCAUCGUUUAGAUGUAGUAAAGCUAAGCUCUGGUGAAUACAUUGGUCUUCUUGAUGGUGACCGUGUAACAUCAGGUGAUCUGGUUUUUAGGGUUUUUCUAGGGUCUGCUUCUCUCGCAGGUGCUAUUACAGUUGUUGUGUUGCUAGGGUUUUUGCUUGGGAUCUUGAACUGCAUUGUUCCAUCAACCUGGUGCAUAAACUACUACAAAGGAAAAAGAACCGAUGCGGUUAUGAAUCUGAAGACCGCAAGCUUUGUGUCUGAACAGUUAAGAAGGAUGUGUUCUAGGUUAAACCGAGUACCGCCUUUUCUCAGAGGACUUGUGAAACCUAACUCCACGUUUGGAAGAUUGACACUCGGUUCGUUAUUAGUUCUAGGAGCUUUGCUCACAUGUGUAGGGAUUAGUUAUAUAUACGGUGGAAGCGGAGCGGUGUUGCCUUACACAUUUAAAGGUCAUGCAUCUCAAUUCACGUUAGCAACUAUGACGUACGAUGCACGUCUCUGGAACCUAAAAAUGUACGUUAAGCAUUACUCUCGAUGUCCUUCAGUGAAAGAGAUCCUCGUCAUAUGGAACAAAGGACCACCUCCUGAACUCACCGAGCUAGACUCGGCCGUGCCAGUUAGAAUCCGAGUCGAGAAGCUGAACUCUCUAAACAACAGGUUCAAUAUCGACCCGUUGAUUAAAACAAGAGCCGUUCUUGAGCUUGACGAUGAUAUAAUGAUGCCUUGUGAUACCAUCGAGAAAGGGUUUAGAGUGUGGAGAGAGUAUCCGGAGAGACUUGUUGGAUACUACCCGCGUUUUGUUGAUGAGACAAUGAGUUAUAGUGCUGAGAAGUUUGCGAGAAGUCAUAAUGGAUACAAUAUGAUUCUCACUGGAGCAGCGUUUAUGGACGUUGGUUUCGCGUUUGGUUUGUAUCAGUCGGAGAAGGCGAGGCUUGGUCGAGAGUUUGUGGACGAGCAGUUUAAUUGUGAAGACGUUUUGUUGAAUUUUUUGUAUGCUAAUGUGAGUGGUUUGGGAAAGGCUGUGGAGUAUGUGAGACCCUCUUUGGCUAUUGACACUUCGAAAUUUUCUGGUGUAGCGAUUAGUGGGAAUACGAAUGACCAUUACAGGAAGAGAAGCAAAUGUCUUCGGAGAUUCUCUGACUUGUAUGGGAGUUUGUCUGAUCGGAGAUGGGAGUUUGGUGGAAGAAAAGAUGGGUGGGAUUUGUAGAAAAACGAGUUGUUACUUGUAUGGCAAGUAAAUAUGAUCACGCAGGCUUUGUGUCCCACUCUUAAAUCCUUACCUCAACUGGAACACGAAGCAGUCUUCUUACAAGAAUGAAGUUAACGUCUCCUUUUGCAGCACUAAACGUCCAUGUUUUGGCAACAAACACUAUACUCUCUCAACUUAGCUCUCUUGGUUCAAGUCUUUUCUUUUUUUUUUUUUUUGGUUUUUCCAAAAACAAAGUGUAAAUAUAUUCUUAUGAAUGUGUUUUGUUCUAUAUUUUUAAAACAUUUAUUUUUCAUUUAUUAAAUUUAGAUUUAAAUAAAAUAAUUGAGUUAGAUUUAGCAAAUGCAAAAGUCACCAAAGUUUAAGUAAGAUAAUUGAAUUAUUAACGUCUCUUUUGCAAAUUCCUCUAACUUUUUGAUUAAAUUUAAGUUACAUAUCUACAUGAAUAGAAAAAUAAUUAGUUACAUAACUUGGAUUAACAUUAGAGAAAAUCAUAUCUUGUGUGACUGGUAUAAAGCUGUUUGGUUCAAGCAUGCGACACCUAAAUAUGCUUUUGUCACUUGGAUUGCUAUGCGUGGAAGAUUGGCAACAGGGGAGAGAAUGAAAUGCUGGAAUACUAAUGGCGAUGUAUCCUGCAGUUUCUGCAAUGAGCCCUUGGAGACUCUAACGCACCUGUUCUUUGAAUGCUCAUACUCUUCACAGGUAUGGGAAGCUCUCAUGAAGGGGGUUAUGUAUGAUCAUUACACAGACUGCUGGGGAAGAUUACUCGACUUAUAACUGACUCGGGUUGGGGUAAAGUUAAACUCUUCACUGUGAGAUAUGCCCUUCAGUUAACAGUUCAUACACUUUGGAGGGAGAGGAAUAAGAGGAGACAUGGGGAAUCUGCUGUUACCGCACCAGUUUUGAUCAAGAGAUUGGAUAAGGCUAUGAGGAAUCAGUUUACUGUUAUCCGUAGGAGGGGUGAUAGAGACUAUGAAGAUGGUAUGAUCAUGUGGUUUGAGUCAAGAGAGUUGGGAUAGAAGCUUAUUUUUUAUCCUUAGUAUUUUUAUAUUUUCAAAAACAUGAUAUGAAAAGUUGUAAAAAGUAUUUUUUCUUUUGAAUUAAAUUUAACAUUCAAUUCAAAAAAAAAAAUAAUAAUAAUAAUUAGAUCCGAUUAGGGUCAAAUGAAAAUUUAAUUGAAAUGGAAAGAGAAUAGAGAUUGUGUUCCUCAGUUCGGAUCGACACGAAUAUUUGCAAUUUACUCAUCUCCUAGCCUGUAUUUUGUGUACUUUUUGCCAUUAAAAGCCCAGUUUUUUCAUGUAUUCGUGACAAAAUUUGCUUAUCAAAAACUAAGUAAAUAAGAAAUUGUGGUACGUAUCAAGCAAUUUAUAUCGUUGCUCAAGGAGGGAGGGACUGAAUCGAGAAUGGCAUUAAAAGAUGUACCCGAAACCUCACAGCUACAUAAGCUGCAACGUUAACUGGGUCUUUCUUCUAAAUGAUACUUUUUUUUUUUUUUUUGUAAAAAAGGCUUUCAUAUUAAAUGCAUAAAAAGGGUACAAGUAUGAGUUUUCACUCAUAAGUUUUGGAAAGCUUGGAACAAGAAGAGAGUUAUCACAACCCUAAUGAAUGAUUCAGUUAAGAAUCAUAAGCAGCAAGAAAUUAAAAAAAAAAGAUUGAUCAAUGGUUUUGGUUUCCUCGGCCACGGCCACGGCGACCUUUACCUCUUCCACCGACCUUCGUCCAUCCCAUGUCUUGAAUCUUUUGAGUUGGUUUUAUUGAUCUUCCUCCUCUAGUUAAGUAACUAGAAGUCUCUCCAACCACAUCAUUACCAUCUCUCUCAAAAGAAACCGGAAUUUCCGGCUCAAUAUGAAAUUGUUGAUGGUUGUGAGCGAGGGGAGUGUAGGCACCAAUAUGUUGCUCCCUUUUAGAAGUGCCAGAGCCUUCCAAAGUGAUAAUUUGUGAUGGAACAUCUUCCAUAAUCUGUGACUGAUGUGGCACAGCAUUUGCAGCUGCUAAUAUUGGCAAAAUGAUAUCAUUCUUUGAGCAAGGGGCAGUAUGUACCUCAUGCGACUGUGUGGGUGAACUAACAAGAACCUCGGGCGGUGGAGUGUCAUGAGACUCAGUUGGAGCCUCGUGUAAUUGGCGGGAGGAGGGAGAUUGGGAUCCUGGUUCGAGAUGGUCAAUAUGUGCACUUGGAGUGUUAUGCAACACCUUAGCUAUGUCCACAAUUGGGAUCUCUUCAUUGGCAGCCGGAGCUUCUUUUGCAGUAUGAACUUCUAGUGGCUUAGGAGGAAGAAGACACCUCUUUUCCUUAGGGCCAAGUGCUCCGCAUCUUCCUCAAGCACUAGGGAUCCAAGAGUACUCCACAUCUACGAAGAAGAUAUUGCCUUGCUUAUCAUCAAGCGCAAUGAGCUUCGGAAAUGGUUUAUCUAACUCCACCUCCACUAAAAUUUUAGCUUCUCCCAUGUUUGUUGGAUCUAAUCGAGGCUUGUGUGUAAGCAUUGGCUCUCCCAAACCUGAAGCUAUAUGACUGAUGCCUAAUCUAGAGAAGCAUGAAUCCGGUAUAUUCUUAAGUGUUACCCAGACCGGUAAUGUAGAUAUCUCGGGGGUUUUAAAAGAAUUUACGGGACUCCAAGGGGCCACAAAAAGGAGACAGUCAUCGAUAUGCCACACACCCCGUUGAACAACCCAUUUACGAGUAUUUUCAUGAGGGAUAUGUAAUAAAAACGAUGAAUCUCCUAAUUUCCGGCAAGAAAUCUUACAUUCCCGUCCCCAUAACCUAUUCAAGACAGCAUGAAUAAGACCCCCAGGCGGGCUAGAGCACCUAUGGAACUGUCCAAUUAUGUAUUCCUCGUUAUUCUCCGGUCCUAACUUUAGAACCUUAGAAGGAAUAGUCACCUGAGGAGUGCCAUCCAGUCGGUAGGUUGGUUCCGCCGCACGAUAGAGGUUUCUGGAGGAUUGAUUCAUCCGGGCAGCCCAAGGAAACCGAAGGUUUCCAUCUUCCUUGAGUGUUGGAGGAGGAAAUUUUCUUACAGGCAGUUGAGGUGUUGCUUGAACCAGAAACAGCUUCCCCUUCUUUUGCUUCUGACCAUUUGUGGAAGUUUCACCAAGAGAAGGCCAGAAUGAAUCGAUUUGGCUUUUUACCGCUUCAGAAAUGGUCAGCCUUGGAGUGGCUGGUUCCGAAGGAGUAUGUGGGGGCGUGAAGUGAAGCGGCUUCGACCAAGCACCUAUGGAACGGACAAAGGCGAUACCUUUAUCGGAUUCAGCUUCACUGUCUUUAUCGGAUUCAGCUUCACUGUCUUCAAUUCCAUAAAUCACAUUAGCCGAAUCAUCUGGUGCUAGUGUUUCCUCGGCAACUACGUUGAGCUCGUGGAUGAGAGAACCAGGAGGAGGAGGAGACUUGGUGUUUGUAACAGUUAAUAUUGCAGGAGAAGGAAAGGCGAUGGUUUGAGGAGAAAUGAUGGUGAUUGCAGAAGCAGGAGGAGUACCGGUGGUUUCAGUAGCAAGAGGGGGUACGAUGAUGGUUUCAGUAGCAGGAGGAGGAUCGGUGGCGGAAGCCGGAGGAGCAUCGGAUUCUGUUUCUUUCACCAAUGACAAUGGAGUUACAGGAAUGAUGGGUUCUGGACUUGACCAGCGUCCUAGAUACGGCCAUCGAGGGUCCGGGGUAGGAGUCUGACGCAGGGCUUCGCCUUCAACGGCUACACCAGAUGACUUUGGCUGAGAUUCAAUGACUGGAGAGGAAGGGUCUUGCGAGUUCCCAUUGAAAGGAUCCAUCAGAGAACAAGCGAGAGGACUAUGCAGAAGAGGAUAGGUGAUUCAGGUGUGCGGAGAGACCCAGCAGCGGCGACUCACGACGGAGAGCGCCGACAGAUCGAACAUAGGCUAGAUCUGCACUGUUUUUUUUUUUUUUUUUUUUUUUAAGCUUGACCUCAAACAGUAAAAUUCUUCUAAAUGAUACUUCAAAAUUAUUAAACUAGUAAUUAGAGAACAUUUCAUACCAAAGUCGUGAUUUAACCAAAAUUUUAAGCUACUGUAGUAACAUUUUACAAAUGGACCCAUGACCUUACAGCUCUCUAUGAUCAAAAUUUUAAUCAACUUAUAUUCAACAUAGAUGGUAAACAGAAUCGUAUGGGAGUUUUAGUAAAACAUUUUAAGAAACCACGAAUCUAUUGUUUGUAAAGCGAUUUAUAAAUUGCAGGAGCUAUUAUAUUUGUAAUAAUUUAACAUUCUCUUCUAAAAUUCCUUUUUAGUAUAAGAGCAGCCAAACUAUUGUCUCCCAUGUUUCCACUAAUAUUGUAGACUCAUUGGACCACAAUUUUCUAUUUUCAUGUAAGGCUCCAGUCUUUGAAGUUUGAACAAAAACAAAAAUGUAAAUAAGGCUCCCCUAUCUAACAAUGAUACUGAAUAUGCAUUCAAAGGUAAUGUCAGAGAGUUUGACAUUUCACCCAUCUAUAUAUAUGUGUAAAUAAAUAUACAAGACAUGUCUAUAAACUGAACACAUGAAAUUUAUUGCUCGCUCUUACUCAUAAAUGGGUAAACCACACCAAUGCAAAUCUGUCAAAAAGUAAAUGCAAACAACUAUAAAUAUACACAAAACUGUUCGACACUGUUCAAAAAAUCUACCUCUACACCAAUUAUUGGUCACUAGCUUAAAAAAUUUAAAAUUCAUGGAAAGAAAUAGUAAUAACUGCGAGUAUACUUGUCGAUUAUUACUUUUAUAUUAAAUUCAAAACGGGGAAAAGAGUAGAAAAGUAGUCGAAUAUAACAACUUGUCGGUCUAAACGUUACAAAUAAUACAAACUUCAAACACACAAUAUUUCAUAAAUAUAUAUUGGAAAAAUAUAUUUUUCGAUCUUAUUUUCCACAUUGCUUACUUGUUAUGGAUCAAACACGAAUAAAGCUCAUGGUAUCAUCAUUGAUCCAGUCAUACUUCUCAACGAACGGGUUAGGGAUCUUGGACAGUUCAGGAUAUCGAUCCAUGGAAUCUUCCCAAACAUUUUUACCAUCAAGAUUCUUAAGAACCUCCCAAACACAGUUGUUAGACUCGAACCCAGCUCCCAUACUCAUCAUUAGUAUCUUGUCACCUUUCUUUAACCUCUUCUUAGCUUCCAUAUAACCAAGAACAUACCACAAACCACCAGAGGAUGUAUUACCGAACCUAUGAAGCGCCAUUCUCGACGGCUCAAUAUCAAACUCCGUGAGCCCUAAGCUUGUUCCGACACCUUCGAUAAUAGCUCUCCCUCCAGGGUGAAUACAAAAAUGCUGCAGCCCUGUCUUCAAGUCUAGACCUAUCCCCGAGCUCGUAGACUCUCUUUUUGUGGUGGUUCUUCGUUUAAUCGCACGUACAAUCGCGUAGCGGAUCAGUUCCUUGACGGGCAAGACUCUUGGCAGGAGGACUUGGAGGUUCUUGGUUAGGGCACGAGAAGCUGCCUUUUUAAGGUACUUCGUUAGGAGGAACCCUGGGUGACCAUCUUUGUCCUCCAUCUGCAUGCAGCACGAGUAAGCCUCGUCUUCAGCCCCCACGUGGGCACGUGCCACAGUCACGAGCUUCAUCAAAGCCCGGUUCUUGAACCUAGCGGCGUUGGUUAACAGCACUGAGCUUCCUCCAGCUCUGAAUAAACAGUUUGACAACAUCAUCGACCUAUCUUUACCGCAAUACCAGUGAGGACCCAUCGUCUCGGUGCUAACCACGAGCGCAAACGCGUUUUCCCGCGUUUCGAAAAUGCGUUGCACUAUAUCUAUCGAUAUAACGCUCGCGCUACACCCUAGCCCCGAGAGGUUAAAGGAUUUGAUGUCUUCCCUCAUCUUGUAUCUGUUGAUGACGCGCGAGGUCAGAGAAGGAGACGGAGCGAAGAGAGAGACGUUGACGACGAGGAUGUCUAUGUCCGAAGGAGAGACAAAGCCUUUUGUCUUGUGGAAAAGCUUGUCUAGGGUUUCAAACAUGAUCUCGUCCAUCUCAGAGUAAGCGUCGAGGAGAGUUGGAGAGGCUUCUCUGCCUUGGAGGACGUUUAUUGGGCCGUAGGUUUCUUCUCCGAUGCCUGAACUAGCCAUCGUGCGGAGAAGGAACCUGUACUCUUCGAGACCUAAGUGUUUGUUUCGUUCAACGACCUUGGCGCACGUCUCGGUGUCGAGUUUUCUCUCGUCUUUGCCCUUGAAGCACUCGUAGUGAAGCAUGUAACAGUUUCUUUGGCUUCUUUUGUUGAGAAACUUGGAGAUGUAGAAGACGAAGAGUGUGGAGAGAAGGAACAGAGAAGGGAGUGAAAAGAGCUCCAUGGAAGAGAGAGAGAGAAAGUGUAUUGUGUUUUUUUUUUUUACGUUUCCAAGUUGUGUCAAAGUUGUAGGAAUUGUACGGAUUUUAUAGAGUUAAGUGACAUAGUGAGCUUUUGUCUUAAAUUACCUUUGUCACAUGGAAUUAUAACUUCUCCACCAACUACUUUUUUUAUUUAAAUAUAGUUAAAAGAAAAUUUAGUAUGAUUUAAAUUAAUUAAAAAUAUUACGUAUAUAUAUAUUUCUAUUUCUUGUGACCAACUUGUUUUGAUACGUAAGAUUGAUAGAUAAGUCUCAUGCAUGAUUUAUUUUUAUAAUGGUUGGUUUUUGUUUACAAAAUUAAAAAUAUAAUAGCUUAAAUAUUAAGAAAAUAAAAUUUUAAAUGAAACGUUAAUAUAGGUUUACUAGUUUCUAAGAAAAUUUCACAUCACUCUGAAAACAAAACACUCUAAUUUACUAGUCGUCUUAUAACCACUACCAUAAGUUAAUUUAGUGACGAUGAUAUAUACAUUACACACCUAUCGUCUCUGGUCACCUAUUUAAAUUCAAAAGAUAAGAGAACUCAUAUAUAUUACAACAACCCAACCAACAUAAUAACUAUGUUUGGUGACAUAAAAUUAAAACUCACAUAUGUACUACGUUGGGUUGGAGAUUGAAAUUCGACAAAGAAUUAAAUAAUUACUGGAGGUUUUUAGAGGUUGUUUGUAACAUCAAAUCACCAUGCUUGAAUGUCUACUGGUUAAUGGGUAAAAGAAAGUAGCAUUCAUCUGUCAGUGAACCCCAUGCGACAUGUAUGUCCACGAUCUCUGAUGCUUUAAUUUUUGAAUGGUCAUUAAUUUUUUUUUUGUCACAACUAAAACUUCAUUCAUAAAUUAGUUUGGUGGGGGCAAUAACUCAACCUGACCCACUUCUUGUUCAUACAAAGCCAACGCUCUUUCUGCAAUACCGUCUGCCUCACAGUUCCUCUCUCGGAGAAUCCAAACAAAAACAACAACAUCAAAAUACGCAGACAGGAGAAUGAUAUCUUCUACUAUGCCAUAGAUCUCCAAGUUUGGGCAUCUUAAGUUGAUAGCCCUAAUCAGCUGAACCGAGUCCGAUUCAAAACGUACCUCUUUGAGACCGCGAGCUCUACAUUCCAGUAUCGCCUCUCUCAACGCCAUACCCUUUGCAAUAAGCACCGAGGCAGUAAAGCUUGCUCCUCUCUUUCCAAUGGUCCUCGGUUCCGCAUUCAUCACAAUCCAACUCAGCCCUGCGUUCAAAUUAGAUCCCAGCCAAGCAGCAUCUGACCUAACGACUGUGGCGACCUGCAGUAGUGGCUCUUGAUAACGGACGUGGUGGCCCCUCUCCUCCUGUUCCUGUGCAUUCUCCCAUUCUGUCGCUGCAAUGAUUGCUUGCGUUAGCGUCUCCACUGGACUCCCAGCAUGGUUUUCAAACUUUAGCUUGUUGCGUCCUUUCCAUAAUGACCACAUGAUCCAAGGAACUAGUGGAGACUUUGUGAGCCCCGUCGGGGGAAGGCAUUUUUGUCCAUGAAUAUAAUUCCAAUCCUCUCUCAAAUCUGUCAAUCCGCUAACUUCAACGCUUUCAUCAAGAGGGGAUGAAUUCCACACAGCUCUUGCGAAAAGACAGUGAAAAAGAAAAUGAUUGAUAGAUUCAGAGCUUCCGCAUCGUUUGCACGUCGGGUCUACGUUGAUGUGUCUAGCCAGCAGUCUUUCCCCUACCGGUACAAUACCUUUCAAGCAUUUCCAAGCAAACAUCUUGACCUUGGGCGCUAAUUUCAGAUUCCAUACCGUUUUUCGCCAGUCAAAUUCAGGGGAAGCUUCAUCCUCAAGUAUCUCAGUCGUUGCCUCCGCCAUUGCAAUAUGAUACCCUGUUUUCACUGAAUAUUCUCCAUGCUUCUCUCCAAGCCAUUUAAGAACGUCGGGACCCCCUUUCGAACUUGGUUUAAGCCGCAAAAUGCGUUCUUCUUCAAAAGGUAAUAAGGCUUGGAUGAGAUUCGUAUUCCAUUCCCUUGAGCCCUCGUGAAUGAGAUCUCGAACGGUUAACAAAGCUGAGUCUUUUGUAGUUGGGCCCAUGGGUCGAGUGGGAGAGUUAAGGCUCAACCAUGGAUCCUCCCAGAUCUGGAUAGAAGCGCCAUCCCCUACAACCCAUCCCAAGUUCUCCAGUAGUAAAUCCCUUCCUACAAGUAUACUCUGCCACCCAUGAGAUGAUGUGUUGGGAGGGAUACAUCUUAGAAGGUUGCCCUCCGGGCAAUACUUGCUCAGCAAUACUCUCCCCAACAAUCCUUCCGGUUGCUUCAGCAGGCGCUAGCUGAGCUUAGCUAAAAAUGCAUUGUUGAACGCUUAAAUAUCUCUAAUCCCGAGGCCAUCGUUGUUCUUUGAUAGAGUCAAUUUUUCUCAAGCUAUCCAAGCCAACUUCCGCAGCCCUUUACGAUCAUCUCAAUAAAACCUGGUCAGUGCAGACUGAAUCCUUUUACAGAGAGAGAUUGGGAUUUUGAAGCACGUCAUUGCGUGCGAAGAAAUCGGAGAGAGCACGCUCUGGAGCAUCACUAGCUUUCCGGCUGAUGAUAAUUGUCUAUUUGCCCAUCCGCUCGCUUUUUGCUUAAUUCUAUCCACAAUGGACGAGAAAAGGUCUCUCUUCCGUCUAGCGAAGAGUUCCGGUAAGCCAAGAUAUUUCCCGGUACCUCCCUCCUUUACAGAUUUGGAGUUCGCUGUGUACCCGCCUUUUUAGGUCUGUCGGUGCCUUACGCGAGAAGGUAAUAGAUGACUUUUCCUUAUUUAUUGUCUGUCCUGAUGCUUUCUCAUAUUUGAUCAGUAUCGACUUCAGGGCACUUGCGACAUCCUUAUCUGCUCGGAGGAAAAACAUCAUGUCAUCCGCGAAGAGUAAGUGAGUGAGACGGGGACUCCCCCUUCCUCUUGUGCUCUGUUACGAAUGGUCAUUAAUUAUAUGUCCCAUAUAUCAACCUUUACGUAGUUAAGCUGUUCUCUCAAACUUGGAUACUAUACAAUAUACAUACCCAAUCUUGCUUAUCCUAUCAAUCAGAUUAGGUAUAUCCACGUAUUUAUUUCAAUUAGUUGUGAUGAUAUACACUAUAAAAUUAAAAAAUAAUGUCUCAUUACCCUUUAUAGAUUAGUCUUCAACUCUAGGCUGUGAUGAGUUUUGUCAUCCUUGUGUGACAAAAAAAAUUGCAAAAUAGUGUUCAAGCCAACUAACGUGCCAAAAUAAAAUAAAUAAAAAAGAGUAUACAAAAUGUUAGGGAUGAUUGGAAGGAACUGUAGCUUUAUAUUUUUGCUUUAGAAUAUUAGUUGUAGGUUUAAAAAGAUUCAAAGACUUACAUAUAAAUUUUCUAAAGCAAAAAAUAAGUGUUCUAGAUUUAUGGUUUUCCACAGCUAAAAAUAAAUAAAAAGGAAAGAAAAAUCUGUAACUUUAAAAAAUCUUUACAAAGCAUGAUUGACAAAAUUUUAGGCUGUAUAAAUAAUUUAGGCUGUAGAGAGAUAUUACAGCACUUUUAAAACCCUUGCCGAUCAACUCUGUUCUAUGCGAUGUUGCCGCAAAUUGACGGGUCUCAUAUAAAUGCGAUAUUUAAUGCAUCGAUCACUCGGUACGUCUAACCUUCUAACCAUCUUUUAGUUUUUUUUUUACUUUCUUGAAAUCGAUUGAUAACCACUAGCGUUUGAACAAGAGGUGGUUUUUAGGAUAAUGUUCACACCAUGUUGGAUGACCCCAUUUUCUGGCACACGACAACACGAUCACGUGACCCAUGGCCUUGUCGCGUGGUCCGUAGCCACAGCCCCACACAUUCAAAGUAAAUAAUCUAUUCAUCAAUAGAAAACAUACAAAUUCGAAAAAAAAUCCACAAAAUAAAAUAAAAGGUCACUAAUCAAACCAUAUAUAUACUUAUGGUCAUUAUCAACCAACCAAAACAAGAAUCAGAUAAUCUAACUUUCUCAAUGAAGCUACACAUGAUCGCAUUGCUAUACAGGAAGUUAGUUCCCGAGAUAAACUAUGCUCCUCUUUACUGUUGCUAUGCUUUUACUCUGUCAAAAAAAACUGCACACAAGUCGUUGAACUAGGGCCAAUUUAGUGAGACGUGUAGUAGACUGACUCUCAUUCAGCUGUGAAGUAGCUAUCGUAGAUGGAGAGUUUCUCAAACGCCUCGAAGUUUGCUUUCAACCCAACAAACUGGCUCCCGUUCUGAGCACAGCAACCCGCAUCAGGCCAUCGACAAGUUCCUUCUCUGGCACGCAACGGACACAACAACGCUUCGCAAACUUUGUCUUCACUCACUGAUGAGAUAGAUUCCGAGACAUCAUGGAGAAUCGAGUGAGAACAUUUCUGUGGCCCGUCUUCUACUUCAACCGUGCAAUCUCCGUUCCUUGUGAAGUUAACUUUGCAGCCGAGUGACUGCACGGCUCGUGAUAUGACACCGCGCUCUUUGAUAGCUUUCUUUGCCGAUUCUUUAGCUGCACGACUUAUAUUCCUUUCUUUCCGCAGCUCUUCGUUAAGUGACUCCACUGUAGAGGAUAAAGCAUCUACCUUCCUCUCUGCUUCUUCUUUCCCCUGUUCCAAAAUUUUCCAACACAAGAAGCAAUCAGACCCUGACCCUGACCAUAAUAGCAUGUUAAGGCCGAUGAAUUUACCUUUUUCAUCUCUAAAUGCUUAACAGACAUGGCUCUACAUUGGACCUCGGUUUCUGCAGCGUCCGGUUCCUCAGGGCAGGCCCAUCGAAGGUGAAACUGGGGCCAGAGAGUCGGGGCUAGAGCUGCAGCAGGAGGUAACAAUGGACCAUUAUAUCUUGAAGGAUCGUAAAGCGGGUUGCAAUGUGCAUGAGAAGUUCCACCAAAGGAACGCAAAUCAGUUAAGUAAGCCCAUAGGCAUCCGCUGGAUUCAGUAAUCCUACAUUCUUGCCUCUCCUUUUCACUGUAAUUAUCAAGAAAGAAUAAAACAUAUAUACUUAACUGGUCUGCGACUGUCACUUACUAUGAUGAACUUCUAACUUAACAAUUAAACUACCGAAGAAAGUUUCAAAUACGAGGUUACCUGUUGCACAAGAAGUUCCCAAAACGACAUGAAAGCAAGCAGUCCGUGAAAUCUACCAGGAAAGUCUGAAACAAAAUAUUGAAAGGACAGAGAAUAGAUUUAGCAGAAAAUUUCAUAAUGACACUAUCAGACAUCUGUAGACAGUUUAUAUGCAUACCGGAGAAAAUUCGAAAGCACAAGGAUACAUCCGCAUUAGCUGUGAAACGCAAUCAACCCACUGCAAACAUACUCAACUGUUGUUAGUAGAUCUGCCACACCAAAAAAAGAAAUAUAUAAAUGCAAGCAAAGAGCUGCUUACCUGCAAGAAUAUAGGAGAAUAGUUGUUCAGACCAUGUGAAGAGCCAGGCGAUUGAGUAGCUGUUGAUCCUGAAGUUUGCCGCACUGGAGACGAAGGGAAACUACUAGCAGAAGACGAUUGAAUUGGUAAUUCGAAACUACCAGAUCCAGCAACGUUGGGCAUUCCUAUACGAUCUGAAAAUGGGUGACCGAAUGCUAACCAAUCCUUUUCGACGAGAGCCUGAUGCGAAGUCAGAACAGGAGAAAAGAUUAAGUAAGACAAUGGUGGAUCAAACAAAAAUCUAAGAAAGGCAGCUUAUGCAGGUGAAUUAGCUGGUAAGAACGUCUGAAAUGUUAGCAUUCGCUACAUAGUAUUCUAUGAGUAGACAAUAUCAAGUUAAAAUCCUAAACUUGAAAUCUAUAAAAUUCGUAAAUUCAGUCAAAACGAGAUCAUUAAUCCAGAAAAGUAUACCUGAAACCCAGCAAAUGUUCUAUAGUAUGGAUCAAGUAAUAAGCAUGCAAGAGAAACCAGCUGAGUUGUUCUGUCCCAUCCAUCACUGCACAAAGACAUUACAAUUCACAACUCGGGAUAUAAGAAUAAUUCUACUUAGAGUAGUAAACUGCAUGAAUUAACAGAUUGAUUUGUCUGCUUGAGACAGAUGCAUCUUUGUCUUAACACAUAUAAACAUUGGUAUAGCCUAGUAAAACAGAUCAGUGGCCUUAAGUUAGCUAACCUGCAGUGCACAAGAACUGAUGCUGACUCCAUAGCAACACGUGCAGCAAUCCAAGCCACACCAGCUAAGAUGCUCUGGAUGUGGCUCAACCAACCACUUUCUCCAAGCAAGGAUACUGAAGCAGACAUACUACUAAGAUUACCUCCACCCCAAGUCCAGCCACCAUGUCUCUAUAAAUUUCAAACAAACAGAUAUCUCCACCUUUAGCAACGGAAGAGGGAUUAUGGUUCCAAACAUUCAUUUGAACGUUGAUGUAAGAUCAUGUCAACAUGCUUUAAGCUUAAUACAAUAGAAGCAUAUUUGAUUUAGCUGAACCACCUAAAUGUUAUUCCCUUGAAGUUACUUACCAAGAAUGAUGACGUCCCAUCGGAUGAUGUUGUACCGUGCAUAUCUAAAUAAUCCCUAAGGCGGGAAAAGCUCUCUCUCAUUGCAUGUAUGUUGUCUAUCCCAAAGAACACAAUCUGAAGAGAAACAGUGUCAGUAAGAACAGUUCACGACGACAAAAAUAUUGAGCUUCAAACCAGGUCAUACUUCAGAUUGCAAAUAAUUUGAAGAUGAUUCUGAGCCUCCUCCCAUUGCUCCAUUUGCUAACGCAUUUUUCCUAGGUCUUGCAUCUGCGAUGUAAAGCUUCCUAUGACAUAAAAACAAAACGAGAGUAAGUGCAUUUUUUAUAACAAAAUAGCAGCAUUCAACCAUAUAGAAGGAAGAUAUGAACCAACAGACUAUUAUUUUAUUCUACACAAAUAGACCUUUCUGAAUAUUUCAGAAAUCAUCCCACGCUCAAUUGGGCCAACAGUUAUAUGCAUAUGCAAUUUAUAUUUUCUACUAGCACUCUUUUUCAGCAAACACAAAACCAUACAAGAAAUGCAAGCACAAGGAAGUGUCAUGGGCUUAAAGAUGAUAUAAAGGAGAUCAAUAGUAAAUCCAAAUGUUAACUUUAACCAAAUGAGAACGAACAUAGGAAGCUCACCGUGGUGCUCCCUUGUGACCAGCUAACUGAGUGCAGAAUGAAGCAACAAGUUUUUCAUCAAAGUUACUGUUGAAAAAGAGCAAAACAUAAGAAACUUCAGAAUCCAUCACUUCAAGCACUUUGAGAUUCAAAAUAAGAAACUCAAUUAUCAUGAAAAUUCUGGCAUGAAACUGAAACUUCUAUGUACCUCCUCAUGUUCAUCAUCAGAUCAACUAAAGGUUGUGAAGAGCGAGCAAUCACAGCUCCAGUUCCUGCAAUUAAAGAAAGAAACAUGUGUAAAUGCGGAAGCUAUACGAACAAAAUUCAAAUGGAAGCAACAGAACAGCUGCAUUUCUACCUGGAUGGCACCACGAGAUCACGGGCAGGCGACUUUUUGCCCGGAAAGUAGACGCUUGGGUCAGCUCUUCAUCACUGACAUAAAACAUACGGUAAUUUUAGUUCAAGCCUAUACUUUCCAGGAAGAUAGUUUAAACAAAAAAAAACAGAAACUCUAAACGCUGGUAGAGACCAAAUUAAACUCUUUUCAUUCAUGUUCAAAGAACCAAUGUCCUACCUAAUGGAUUUUGGAACCAUCAAAGCAAACGGAUAAGUCGGACACAAGUUAUAAUUCGAGUUCAAGUCAGUUAUCCGCCAAAAGUCAUUGGAAACUGAGAAUGAACCGUCUUUAAUCAUAUUCAUUGACGCUCGCAAUGAACCUUUUCCGAGAAGUCGAAAAUAUUCGUUAAGCAAUCUUUCCUUUGGGUUUUUGUUGCCGAAUUUGGAAGGCCCACAUGUAAAAGCAUAAAGAUCCCAUACUCUCUCUAGAUUGCUACACCUCAAUAGUGCAUCAACUAGAGAACGUCUCUGCAAAGUUAUGCCAAUAAAAAUCAAAUAGGACCAUAUAGGCUUCAAAAGGAAAUGCAGAAAACGAGAGUCAAAGCUUCACCUGCUUGGUUCCAGGGGGAAAACCAUAGACAAUUAUCCUCAUAUCUUUGCCUGCAAAAUGCACAUGAUUCACAAGAAUAGUUUCAAAACUAACAUAAAGAAGGUAUCAGAUAACAAAAUCUCUCAACCAGUAUUAGUAUAGUGGUAUUGGUUAAGCAACAACAGAGGAGAAAGAAACAGAGUAAAGUAUCAGAGUGAAUUUUAAUAUAAGGUGUAUAAACCUGAUAAAACAAGACUACUGGAAUCAGUUUUAGCAAAUGGUGACACACGGAAACAUACCAGUGACCUGUAAAAGACGUUUUGGUGGAUUCUUGGUGGACUGAUGUCUGUUUGAAUGAACUUUCUGCACCUACAUACAUCACCCAACGACACAGAACAAACAAAUUAAAGCCCAUUUUCACUAAGAUUAAACUCAAAACGUUACUAAUAACUAAAAACUGACCGUUUUGUUAAACUUCUCGAUAGCCACCAGUGGAAUAGUACCAAGUGGAACAGGAUCUCUGGUUCCUUCCCUCUUCACAAAGAUUAAACAAGGAUUGAUUGAUGUGAUGCACCAUUUUAAACAUAACAAGACACAAAAGAAGAAGAAAGACAAGCCAUAAUACCAAAAAAAGAAUACGGAAAUUUGUGAGUAAGAGGGUCCCCGCUUCAUUGGUGUUUAUGAGUAUAACUCCACAACACUGUAAUCAACAGCCAUAACAAGAAUAUAAAUAAUUUUUCAACAAACACACACACACACACACAAAGACUCUCUGCAAUACAAUAAUCUUAUAUAAACCGCCUAACUACCUAGCGAUUUAUUUAACAUUGCUAAUUUUGAAGGAACGCUAAUGAGAUACCUCGAAGGUGAUCCUCUCAGAAUCCAGCAAGCAAUCCAAGUUUGAGUACGAGCUUGACCAAGAAGCUUGCUGAAAAGAGAAAAUAAUUAAACAUUAAACAUUAGGCGUCAAUCGAUUAACCCUAAUCAAUACCCAAUAAACAAGAUGAGCAACACGAUUGAAAAAGUUAAGAGAGGUAUACAUCGAGUUUGGUCCAUUCAAGCACGUCCCAGCUUCCGGUACCUUCCAUCUUCUCCGAAGAAUAUCGCAGCGAUCGUAAUCGCCUAGAGGAGUUUCUCGGCGCCGUCAUUUAAACGGUGACGAGGCUUCGCCUUUCUCUGCCUCUUAACGGUGGGAAACGACGGAUUUCGCACGCUGCCUUUUGUUUCGCUGCGAAGACAAUGAGACUCUCGAAUACGGCGUAGUUUCUUCCGUACGGCCAACGCUUUGCGUUUUAGACUUUUUUUUGUUUGAUUAAUAAUGGGCUUUCUUACCUAUUUUAAACAGAUUUUGUUGAUAAAAAGUCCUCUAAUGGAAAACUUGAGUGUAGUUUCGGAUAAUUAAAAUUUCAGCAAGAGAAAAAUUGGAUAAUGCAAAAAUAACAAUAACAAUGUUUUAAUUAUAAAUUAGAUAUAUAUAUAUAUUUUAAAUCGUAUUAUAAUAUCCCAAAAUGAAUUUAAAAACUGAAUUUGUAUUUGCAUGUGUAUGAUGAACCAUAUGUAUAUUUAUGAUCGUAUAAAGCAAACACCAUACGCAUUCGUAUUGUAUGCAAUAUACAAGAAUAUUAAUGGUGUAACCGUAUACGUAACUGAAUUUUGAGAUUUUUACCAAAAAAAAAAAAACUGAAUUUUGAGAUUUGCGACUUAUGAAUUGGUUUCCAUGAAGAACCCACACCAGUGACAUCACCAUACGAAUAAACUCUGACCGAGGGAACAACAAGCAGGAGUUAUAAUAAUACAGACAUAACUUGAACAAGUCGGAACUUAAAAUCCCCAAAUCAAGGAUUCUUCUGUAUCAUCACCAUUACAAUAAUCAAAAACAACCUUGGCACAUACGUAUAUGCAGCAGUAGUAUGUAUCAUCUCAACCACAAUAAAAUCUCGUAGAACAAUAUACAACGCAUCAUCACAUCCUACUACAAGUCAGAAUAGUUAAGGAGAUAAAGAUAAAAGAGACGCUCACAUACAUCAUAAUACCUCUCGUGGUAAUCUAGCAAUGUAACAGCUUUUCGUCCUCGGGUUUGGUCCAAGCUGCACGGUUUGGUUGAGUUCCAGUGCCAGUUUAGGUCAAAGAAGUAGUAAAAUAAAUCUAGUCUUGGAAAGCUUCGACUAGUUAUCUGUGUCUAAACAUUUCUCAAGGGUUUGACUACUAGUACACUCUUGAAGAGCCUUGGCGUUAAGCUCUCUGCCAUAUCUCCAGACAUAGUUGAGCCCGACAAGAAGCUCCGUGAUGAUGGUUUCUGUUUUCUGCUGGUUCGCAAAGAAGAGAGUCUGCGCAAGAACUAUGUGCGUCCUCGAGACCAAGCUUUGGUUCUCGUAGCUCCUCUCAGACUGCCAUUUUAUCAUGUUGUGAGCUAACGGACCCAACCAUUCCAAGAUGCCCGCCAUUGCGUCUGUCCACUCCUUCGCUAGCCCUGGAUCAUAAACCGCGGAAGAGCUCAAGUUUUUCGAGUAGGGCUUUAGCUCCUCUCUCAGCGAUUUUCUCACGCUCGCAGGUAACAUGUUGUAUAGGUCGUCUCUCGCGUCGUCGCCUAUCAGAUGAGGAGAUGCAACAAACCUCUCUAUCACGAUGAUGACAUUAGCGUAGUGUAACGCUAAGCAAGCGGCGCCGAGGGUGUUAGGAGCAGCAUCUGACAACUUGGGUCUUUCAACGUGGACAGUGUUGGAACUUCCUUGAUGAUGCUCGGCGCUACUAUGCCUAGCUCCGUUCUGGGUCCUAGUGCUGAGAGGAGUGAUACCGUCUUGAGAUACCAUGCAUCCUUUAAAGGGACCAACCUGUGUUAAACGGUUGGGUUUUGACUGCUUUUUCGCUGAGGAGACCGAAGGCCUUUCCGGUGUCUGCACCACCGUCUUCUUGUUGUGUUUGCCCAUUCCCAUAAGCGGUCCUGAUUUGGAGGUGAACUUCCCGAGAGGACCCGAGUAAAACUUGAAACGUUUGUUCUUUUCUGGGGCAAGAGGACCUGACUUAGGGGACUGGGUAGUGAGUGAGCCCGAGAGGAAAUCACCCAUCUUCGUGGACUUUGUAGCAGCUGAGCCUGACGCUGGACCUGUAAAUCUCCCAAGGGGACCAGAAGCAAAUCUAGGAGGACGGGUAGUCUCGGACUGGUGCGUCAAAACUGUGGAAACCGAGUGGCCGCGAGCGAUGAAAUCAGAAUCCGCAGAGCUAACAUCGCUAGCCUCUGCUCUGUAACUAAUGCCGAAAACAUGUUUAGUCCUAGUCAAGAUUGUGAAGAUCGAUCUCACCAAGAGAAGGACGGUGUAGUCAUAAGUACGGUUCCAAAGAGACACCUCCCUUAGAUUCUUCACUUCAUGUUUCUUCCACGUGACUUUUUUCUUGUACUCCACUAUAUUAUCGGUUGCAGAUUCAUUGCUCUGCCUUCUCUUGAGACUCUGCUCAAGCUCCGUCAGAAUCUCAGUCUCCUGGUAAAGACUCGCAUUAGACGAGAUAAACCGCUCCAUCCUCUUAACCUUUCUAUCCAUUUUUUUCCACCCAAACUGCCACCCGUAAGGGUCAGCUCCCGUCUUCAUCAUCUCGCCGAAACAACUCUCGAAGCUCUUCAGCUUGGGAUCGUUGCAUUUUACAGCGAGCCUAGCAACAGCUUUCGCUACGUUCUCAACGUUCUCCAUCAUCUCGUCGCGUAUUAGCCUCACGAUGAAGUCAUCGUCAUCUGAAACUAGCUUCUUGAUGCCCGCGGAACGCGUUAUCUCUUGCCUGAGCCUCGCAACGUUCUUAUCGCUCAGGGACUGCCAUAGAUGAACGAGUUUGGAGAGUAGACUCGCGACCUCGAAGGCUAAUACUCCAAGCACAUCCUUCUCUUUAUGACCUUCGUUUUUCUUUGGGAAUUUCCACAGGUUACGAAACCAAGUCUCUGAAACCAUCCUCUCUCGAUACAAUCAACAGUGUCUCUCUCCUACACAAUGAAUGAACAAUCUGUGAACCAAUACAAGUGAGGAAACGAAGAAUCAAUCAUUCACAUCAAAAACUCGAAAUCUCGAGGUGGGAUUAUCAUCAAGAAAACAGCUCUUACGCACGUAAUAUGAAAGUUGGAGAAAUCUAGCAGCUCAAGUUACGUGGAAUCUCCAAUCCUACCAACUCUCUCUCUCAAACUGCUGCGUUACAAUCAACAGUGUCUCCUACACAAUGAAUGAACAACAUCACGAACAAUCUGUUAGCCAUUGAAACGUAUAAUCAAUCAAUUCACAUCAAAAAGUCGAAAUCUCGAGCUGGAAUCAUUAAGAGAACAGCUCUUACGCACUUAAUAUGAAUCGAUUUUGCUGAAAUUAGGCGAAAAUCUAUGCUACAGAGCUCAAGUUACGCAGAAUCGCCAAUCCUACCAACUAACAAGUCUCUGAAACCAUCCUCUCUCUCAAUACAAUCAACAGUGUCUCCUACACAAUGAAUGAACAACAUCAGGAACCAAUCAGGAAUCAUUCACAUCCAAAAUUGAAAUCUCGAGCUGAAAUUAGCUCUUACGCACGUAAAUAUAAAUCGAUUUAGCUGAAAUUAGGCGAAAAUCUAUGCUACAGAGAUCGAGUUACGCAGAAUCGCCAAUCAAAAUCACGAACAAUCGGUUAACCAAUACGAGUGAGGAAACGCAGAAUCAACCAUUCACAUCAAAAAAAACUCGAAAUCUCGAGCUGGAAUCAUCAAGAAAACAGCUCUUACGCAAGCAAUACGAAUCGAUUUAGCUGAAAAUUGGAUGAAAUCUAGCUACAGAGCUCGCCAAUCCUACCAACUAACCAAAUCGAGCUUCUAAGAAAAGAAAAUCUCCAGCUGCAGUAUGUAAACACGGCCUCGCGAAAUCACUAAAAGGCGUAUGAACGAUUCGAAUUGGAAUUGUCGGCGAAUCGAGAAACAGAUAUGGAAACAGAAGAGGCGUCUGCAAACGAGGAAGCGCGUAGAGCGCGAGAGGAGAAGAAGAAGCUUACCGAUUAUUCGAGGAAAUGAUGGGAGUCAGAGAGGAAAAAAUUGGCGGAAGAGAGGAGAGAAAGUGGCGAGGAAGGUGCAGUGAAAGACGACUAUAGCCACAUCCCACAUGGAAGAGAGAGAGAGAGAGAGAGAGAGAGAGAGAGAAAAAAGUUAAAGCAGGAAAUUAUGGGGAGAGAGAGAGAGAGAGAGAGAGAGAGUCAAGUUCGUGUGAAAGAAUCCUAUAUUUGCCUUUUUAAUCUUUUUUUAGUUUCAGUGCUUUUGGUUAAGAUUAUUACGUUUUUCGCGUUGAACUUUUAUGAUUGUGACUUUCUAGACCCCAAAUGUUUUUUUACAAAGUAUUUUUCAUUUAUCCAUUCUACUAAAUCAAAAUUUGGUUGAUAAAUUGGUUGCUACUUGUAUAGAUAAUAAAUUGUUUGUAUUCAAACUUUGUUGUAGUGGCAUCAUCGAAUAUUUAGCACAAGAAAAACAUGAAUUAAGCUACUUUUAAAAAAUUAAUUAUUUUCAAAGUAACAUAUUGAUAAGUAUCUAUUUUCACUAAAUAUAAAACAAAAUGGAAUAAUUGAUCAUAAGAAUGAAAGAAAAGAAUAUUAGAUCAGUCACAUGUUAUUUGAAAUAAAUUUUGAUCUCCAUUUUAUUCUUACUUAUAAACAUUAAAUUGUUUAAACUUAACCGACACGUUAGGGAACAAAAUUGACCCAACUAGUUUGGUUGACGUUGAACUUGUCAAACAUGAAAGCAAUAUAUUUCCAAUUAGGUAUUUAUUUCUAUCUAUUGUAAGCUAUUUGAAAGGUGUUGAGUGGAUGUUACUUGUUGGACCAUAUGCACCUUACGUGUUGUAUGCUAGAGUGAAAACAAAAACACAAAACAAUUGAAUGCCACGUUUGCAUCUAAUUGUGCAAAUGAAGAUUAAACCAAAGUUGACCAUUUCAUCCCCACGGGGCAUAGAAAUUCUGAAACAGAGCAAACGAAUCUCAUAAUAGUGAAUCUUGACUCGUUCAGACGGAAACAACUGAUUCAUAACUUGUCGACUUGCGACAUGUCUUGCUUUGGGGGACUGCGGAUAGAAACUAAAUAUGUGGGAGUCAAAAUGUAAUCUCUAAUAAAAUAAAGGAGCAACAGACAAGAAACUACUGGAUCAGGUAUCCUUUCCUUGUUUUGAAUAAGAUAAUCAUAAAUAUGAAAACUAUUUUGGGUUAGGAUUAGGAAGAAGAGAUCCGUCACAAUCAUUAAUGGCUAACACGCGUAAACUUGUCGUUUCUUUUAUGUUAAUCCAUUAUCGGGGCGGGUUUUGGUUUGAAACGGGUCAAAUUGUACUUUAUUUAUUAAGCUUUCAGGCCCAUAUCUGUGGUCUUCAGGCCCAUAUAUAUUUGCACUUUCUUCCUCGCAUCUCGGUUUCUUCAUGAAUUAACACAGCUUUUAUAAAUUCUCUGAUAAAACCCUAAUUUUAUCCCGACUCUGAUAAAACAAUGGGUGCCAAGGCGAAGAAAGCUCUGAAGAAGAACAUGAAGAAGAUCUCAGCUUCGGCUGCUGCUUCUUCUUCUUCUUCUUCUCAGCUGGCUGUUCCCGAGAACCCGAAACCAUCGGCUGAUUUUUUGGUAAUUUUCUUUUCUGAUUCGUUUCGGAUUCUGUUUGGGUUUUAAUUUGAAUCUCGUCUGUUGAUAGCCACUAGGAGGCGGUCCAGCUCGAAAAGCACCAGUGACCAAACCUGUUGAGAGCAAAGCCACGGUGCUGUACAUUGGUCGUCUCCCUCAUGGGUUCUACGAGACUGAGAUCGAAGGUUACCUUUUUUUUUACUUGAUUACCAGCUAAAUUGACACUUUGAUUUGAUGUCACGGACCGCUCAAAUGUUGUCUCUUUUGGUGCAUAGCUUUCUUCACGCAGUUUGGAACAGUCAAGAGAGUCAGAGUCGCCCGAAACAAAAAGGUUGUUUUAAUUCUUUGCUCCUGUCUGGUCUCUUGAGGUUAUGUUCUGUCUUUUUUUCUCAUUAUUAUUUAUUUUAUUUUUUAAUAGACUGGGAAGUCAAAGCAUUUUGGGUUCAUACAGUUUGAGGACCCUGAGGUAUAUACUCGUGAACCUUAAUAAAAUGGUGAAACGCUUUAUAUAUUGUUAAAAGUUUUUUUUUUUUAACAUUUUGGUUAUGUGUAGGUGGCGGAAAUUGCAGCGGGUGCAAUGAAUGACUAUCUGUUGCUCGAGCACAUGCUUCAAGUCCGUGUCAUUCCACCUGAGCAUGUUAAACCCAAUCUGUGAGUCACUUCUUUACAUCCACUUCAUUUUUUCUAGCGUUUUUUUACUUGGCAUAUUCAGUUGCGUAAGGUUAGCUAUAUUGCUUAGCUGCCUAUGUUGUUUAAUGAAAUAGCUAUGUUUCUAAUGCGAUCUCUUGUGGUUUAAUGCAAAGCUUAGAAGGACCGUGUCUAUGGUUUGUAGAGUUAAGACGUUAUGACAUGCAGGUCUAAGGAUAAGAUGUGAAAAUUAAAAGUGAAAUUAGGGUAAAUAAAAUGGGAGUUAUAGUUGUUAUCAGGCUUUACAACUCGAUACUCUUAUCUUCACUUUGCUACUGAUCCAUCCUCGGAAACUAGCAACUAGGGUGUGUGAGUUUCUCUAGUGUUUUGAGAAGAGAACAUGUGAAGAAUUGUUAAACUUUAGAUUUCUCUAACGUUUGUUUUAGGUGGAAAGGGUUCAAGUGUCAGUACAAACCAGUGGAUUGGGUUCAGAUAGAGCGUAAACAACAUAACAAGGUAAUAUAAUCUUAAUUCUCUUUUCUCGUUCUCAGUUUUGCCAUUUUCUCUUGAGCUAUUGACUGUAACUUUUGAUUUUUUUUUUUUUUUUCUAAUGUACACAGGAAAGGACAUUGGAAGAGCAUAGGAAAAUGUUGAACAAGGUAGUGAAACGGGAUCAGAAAAGGAGAAAGAGAAUCGAAGCUGCUGGAAUAGAAUAUCAAUGCCCUGAGCUUGUAAGUAUCCCGACUAUACACAGUUUCUUCUACUUUCUCUCUACAUCUUAUAUAAACCGAACAUAGACCAAGUAAAUAACCGUGUGUUCUUUGGUUGCUGCUUCAGGUUGGAAACACACAGCCAUUACCUAAGAAGAUCAAGUUUAGUGAAGACUAAGCUGUGGAGAGAAUACAUUUUUUUCGAUAAGCAUUUUUGGAGUAGGAUCUUGUUUGUUGUACUUCUGACAUGGGAUCCAAAUCUAAACCUUUUCAAAGUAUCUGUUAUUGCAAUAAAUAUUUAUUUCUGCACGAAUCUCAAUUCCUCUUUACCACCGGUGAUGGCAACAGUUGCAAUGAUAACAAAGUUGUGCAAAGAAAUGUCUGAACUAUACACAUAACCAGAUGAGUCAUCAUCAGUGUGAUUUCUGCAAAGUAAGACGAGACCAGUUUAAGGUUUAAAACCCCACUUGAAAACAAACACUUUAUCCACUAAACAAUUCUAACUAAUGAACUAACAAAAACAAGACACGUGUAAACUUGAUAUUGUUUGUUUAAAAAAACUGGCAAAAACUUUUCUCAUAAAUCAUAUGAAAAACUUCAUUCAUUUAAUGUCAAUAUACCGAAACCAUGAUUUUAUCCCUAAGAUCUUAUACAUCAUAUGAAAAAUGCACAACAUUUGUCACUACAUUUUUUUUCUCAAAUCAUUCAUGAAUAUUUGUAAUCGAAGGUAAUCGGUUUUGUUAUUCUUUAGUUCUAUAGUAGCAACAUCUGGUUAUUGUAUGCAGUUAUAAAUUUUUGUAUCAAACGUGAAUUGCUUUUUGAUUUUAAAUUGUUCUAAGUUUAUGAAGGCAAUAACAACAUGUUUCUGCUGCUGAGUCGGCAGUAUUCAAUAUCGGGAGGAAAGUAAUGGUUUUUGAAGCCAGUUACAACUAAUUCACCUAAUUGAAAUCUUGGGUUUAUUCUCUUCAAUGACAUCUCGAUGAAAUUUCUAAGGCUAGUAAUCUGGUAGGGGUAAGGAGGUAGCUUCGCAUUAUCGUAGUCCCACACAGUAUUGACCACAAUUGGACUAUGGUCAGAGGUAGAUCCCUUGGAGCUGGAACCCUUCUUCAAAAAAGUUGUUUUUUUUCGAAAACAUUAUAUUUGACUCUGUAAAUCACAUACAUAAUAGAGACUCCUGCUAAAACAGGAGACAGAGAAUCGGAGAUAGGUGUACACGAGAACUAUAAUCUCAUAAGAACAAUUAAAACAAAUUUACAGAAAGGGCCCUUGUGCAAAUCAUAAUCUAAUAAGAACAAUUAAACAAUUUGGAAAUUAUAAUCUCAUUAGUAAUGGAUUAUGAGAACUAUAAUCUCAUAGCGUGAGUCCUAAAGCAUUUUUUUUAAUUGUUCUCAAAGAAUGAGUCCUAAAGCAUUUGUUUUAAUUGUUCUUAUGAGAAUCGGAGAUAGGUGUAUCACACUAAAGCAGAUAUCCUAAAUUUUAGAAUUAUUAUCACCUAAUCCUUUACAAAAAUUAGGAAAAAAAUUCAUACAUGCUGCAAAUGCACUUCCCGCAAUAUUGUACGUGUAUCUAUUGGCAUAUCCGGUAUCCCACCUUGCUUCGUAUCCCAAUCAGUUGCAGGAGAAGGAAACAAAUUUUUGUGUUUUUCUUUAUGUGGUUCUGAAUAAGAUGAAAUAUAUAUUUAUAUGCAAAGAUAACUUUAUGUUUGCAGUGGUUGUGUGUUUAUUAUCUUCAAUAAAUUUUUGUGCUUACAAUAGUUGGGUGUUUAUUACCCUUCAAUAUAAUAACAUAGUUUGGUGUAGUUUCAAAAAGAUAUCCUCCAUGAAAUAGUUAAUAAAUAAUUGAUAAUCUUAUGUUUUGAUUAAAUCCAUUCUUCUUUCAUUUAAUGUCGAUAUACCAAAACCAUGAUUCUAUCCCUAAGACUUAUACAUCACAUUAAAAAUGCACAAUAUUUGUUCACUAUUUUUUUUCCUAGAAUUAUUCAUGAAUAUUCGUAAUCGAAGGUAAUUAGUUUUGUCAUUCUUUAGUUCUAUAGUGGCAACAUCUGGUUAAUGUAUGCAGUUAUAAUUUUUUUGUGUCAAAGGUGAAUUGUUUUUUAUUUUAAAUUUUUCUAAGUUUACGAAGGCAAUAAUUGAGUCGGCAGUAUUCGAUAUCGGGAGGAAAGUAAUGGUUUUUGGAGCCAGUUACAACUAAUUCACCUAAUUGAAAUCUUGGGUUUAUUCUCUUCAAUGACAUCUCGAUGAAAUUUCUAAGGCUAGUAAUCUGGUAGAGGUAAGGAGGUAGCUUCGAAUUAUCGUAGUCCCACACAGUAUUGACCACAAUGAGACUAUGGUUAGAGGUAGAUCCCUUGGAGCUGGAAUCCUUCUUUGAAGAAAUUGUUUUUUUUCGAAAACAUUAUAUUUGACUCUGUAAAUCACAGACAUAAUAGAGACUCACGCUAAAGCAGUAGACAGAUAAUCGAAGAUAGGUGUACACAAGAACUAUAAUCUCAUAAGAACAAUUAAAACAAAUUUACAGAAAGAUCCCUUGUGCAAAUCAUAAUCUGAUAAGAACAACUAAACAAUUUGGAAAUUAUAAUCUCAUUAGUAAAGGAUUAUGAGAACUAUAAUCUCAUAGCGUGAGUCCUAAAGCAUUUGUUUUAAUUGUUCUCAAAGAAUGAGUCCUAAAGCAUUUGUUUUAAUUGUUCUUAUGAGAAUCGGAGAUAGGUGUAUCACGCUAAAGCAGAUAUCCUAACUUAUAGAAAUAUUAUUACCUAAUCCUUUACAAAAAUUAGGAAAAAAAAAAUUCAUACCUGCUACAAAUGCACUUCCCGCAAUAUUGUAUGUGUAUCUAUUGGCGUAUCCGGUAUCCCACCUUGCUUCGUAUCCCAAUCAAUUGCAGGAGAAAGAAAUAGAUUUUGUGUGUUUUCUUUAUGUGGUUCUGAAUAAGAUGAAAUAGAUAUUUAUAGGCAAAGAUAACUUUCUAUUUGCAGUGGCUGUGUGUUUAUUACCUUCAAUAAAUUUGUGUGCUUGCAGUCAGGGGCGGGGGCGGAGGCAGAGAGGGGAGUGUGGGGUCAGGUGACCCACUAAAAUUGGAGAAAAAAAAUUUGAUGUAUUUUCUUGAAAAUUAAUGUAAUAUUUAGAUAAAAUAUAGUAUUUGACCCCACUAAUUUAUGUAUAAAUUUUUAUAUGUCCUUUUGAUUUUGUAAAAAAAAGUAUAUUUCUGUAAUAAUAAUAUAUACAUAUUAAAUUUAUAUAUUAUGAUCUCAGUCAAAAAUAUUUCUUGCUCCGGCACUGCUUGCAGUAGUUGGGUGUUUAUUACCCUUCAAUAUAAUAACAUAGUUUGGUGUAGUUUCAAAAACAUAGUUUGGUGUAGUUUCAAAAACAUAUCCUCGAGGAAAUAGUUAAUAAAUAAUUGAUAAUCUUAUGUUUUGAUUAAAUCCAUUUUUCUUUCAUGUAAUGUCGAUAUACCAAAACCAUGAUUCUAUCCCUAAGAUCUUAUUAUACAUCAUAUGAAAAAUGCACAACAUUUGCUCACUAAUUUUUUUUUCCUCAGAUUAUUCAUGAAUAUUAGUAAUCAAAGGUAAUUAGUUUUGUCAUUCUUUAGUUCUAUAGUGGCAAAAUCUGGUUAAUGUAUGCGGUUAUAAAUUUUUGUGUCAAAGGUGAAUUGUUUUCUGAUUUUAAAUUGUUCUGAGUUUAUGAAGCCAAUAACAAUGUCUCGAGUGUAUCUCUGCUAUAAUAAUCAUGGUUGGGAUAAACCUACCGACACCGGUGGUCGUGAAAACUUGAUGAAUCAUGCUCCAACAAUAAGGAUGAAGAAGUAGGAUUUGUGCCUGUAAAUCGUUUAAAUGCUCUCACAAAAACAGCGGAGAACGUAGUCAAAUGUCUACGUUGAUCUACAAACAACCGAGUUUACGGAUCUUGCUAAUUCAAGAACUCAUCUGGUGUUAAUGCUGUUUAUUUAGUCAAUUAUUUUUAUCAUUUUAUUUUUAUUUCCAUUUCCAUUAUACCAAGUUAUCAACACAAACUUUAUAUUUAGAUACAAAACGACAAGAAAGAGUAACAUGCAUUCCCAGUUCAUUUGAAAGAACUGGAUUACAUCCACUUUUUACGUUACAUGAUAUAAGUUAUAUAUCAGCUCGGCUUAAGUCAUGUGGAUUAACUUUAAAGUAGAAAAAUGAGAUUAACAAAUAUGUCAAAUGAAUCCUCGUUGAACUUCUUUAUCAUGACAAAAACACAACAACCACUUACACAUAAUUUCUUACAAAGAGGUUUCAAAUUUUACAAUUUGAAAUGUAGUGGGAAAAGGAGUUUAGAAUGCUCCCUGCCAAAGUGAAUGAAUCGAUGAUGCAUUACUUGUGGGAGCUACGUCCCUUAUAUACACAUCGUAAUGAUCAAGCAAUCCCCACAAUCUAGGGAUUAUACAAUUGCUUGGGAAACACUGCAAAUCACAGAAUAUACGACUACAUUUACAUCAUGUCGUUUAAGGUAAAUGAGUGAUACGAGUAUCUUGCUAAUACUCCCCCUCAAGAUGGCGCGUGAAGGUCUUGAACACCCAUCUUGCAAAGUAGAUAUCUGAACUGUCGAGAUCCAAGGGCUUUGGUAAGCAAGUCUGCAAGUUGUUCAGUAGUCUUGACAUGCUGCGUGACAAUUGUACCAUCUUGGACUCCAUCUCUAACAAAGUGACAAUCAGCUUCAAUAUGUUUAGUUCGUUCAUGAAAGACCGGGUUUGCGGCAAUGUGAAGGGCUGCUUUGUUGUCGCAGAACAGUGACAUUGGCGAGGAUUGUGCAACACCAAGGCUUUCAAGUACCGCCUUUGUCCAUAUAAGUUCACAAAACGCAAGAGCCAUGGACCGAUAUUCCGCCUCUGCCGAUGAUCGAGACACUGUCUUCUGUUUCUUUGUUUUCCAAGAAAUCAGAGAAUUACCCAGCAUAACAAUGUACCCCGAAAGGGAUCGUCUUGUAAGCGGACAUGCCGCCCAGUCUGAAUCACAAUAUACAGAAAGCUUUAAAUCAUUCCUAGAACUUAACAAUAUUCCUUGACCCGGUGAGCCUUUCAAGUAUCGCACUAGUCUAGUGGCUGCAUCCCAGUGCUUCUGUCUUGGAGAUUGAAGAAACUGUGCUAGGAUAUGAACACCAUAGCUGAGUUCAGGACGAGUCACAGCGAGAUAAACAAGUCGUCCUACCAACCUUCGAUAUUUUGCAGGAUCAGAGAAAUAUGGACCAUCCGCCCGAGCCAGAUUGUGAUUCUGUUCAAUUGGUGUAUCAGCUGGCUUCGCACCAAGCAAACCACAUUCACUGACUAUAUCUAAUGCAUACUUUCGCUGAGACAAGUAGAUGCCUUCGUUUGCUCUUGCGACUUCAAUACCCAAAAAAUACUUUAACACUCCUAAAUCUUUCAUAUGAAAACAUCGAUGGAGAUGGUCUUUAAAUCGUGAGAUGAGAGCAGAGUCAUUACCACCAAUUAUCAAGUCGUCCACAUAAACCAAAACAAAGAUUAUCGAGGAGCCUUGAACCAAUGUGAACAAUGAAUAAUCAGCCUUAUUCUGCUGAAAUCCAAAACCAGUAAGUGCCGUAGACAAUUUUGAGAACCAGCACCGUGGGGCUUGUCGUAAUCCAUAAAGAGAUUUGUUCAACUUACAAACUUGGUUCGGUACUGUAGACUUAAAACCAGGAGGUAACUGCAUAUAAAUCUCUUCUUCUAAGUCACCGUGAAGAAAGGCAUUAUGAACGUCCAUUUGGUAGAGUUCCCAACCCUUAGCCGCAGCAACACCAAGUAAUAUACGUAUUGUUGUCAUCUUAACUACUGGGGCAAAUGUUUCUUUAUAGUCAAUACCUUCCUGUUGACGAUUUCCAAGUACUACCAGACGAGCUUUGUAUCUCUCAAUAGUCCCAUCGGCGUUGAACUUGAUUUUAAACACCCAUUGACACCCAAUAGCAUGUUUCCCUGCGGGAAGUGUCAUCACAGUCCAAGUAUUUGUGUCUUCAAGUGCACCUACCUCACCUUUCACUGCCUCUCUCCAAACUCGUUUCUUGAAAGCUUCUUUGAAAGACCGCGGCUCUGUCUCUGAUGUGAUUGCUGCUGAGUAAGCUUGUUGAGCAGGAGAAAGACGAUGACCAGAUACAUAAUCGGUCAGAGGAUAUGUGCAUGCACCUGAAAGUGUUGUCUCGCUACUCUUGGGUACAUGAUCCUGAUCAGGCGCUUCUCCAGCAAGCGCAGCAUAUACUUUAUAUGGUUGUAAGAGAACAGACUGGGUUUUUGAUCUUUUCCCACGACCAAGGUCCUCUGUAGGUGGCACUGAAUCUGAAUUAGAGGAAGCUGUUUCUUCUACUGGUAGGGCAUCGCUUUCAGUAGCUGCUGGUUCGGGAGUCAGCUCUUGAGCUCCCCCUGUCGAUGCCUCCCCAAGUGAGUCUUCCUCAUCAAAUAUGGCAGGAUGUAGCUCGUUAUGAGGCUCUGGAUCAGUGCUAUCAGUCUGUUUCUUCAGUGCAAAGGGAAAUAUAUUUUCAUGAAAAACUACAUCCCUUGAUGCAAACGUCUUCUCUUCUUUCAAGUCAUACAUCAACCAUGCUUUCUUUCCUACUGGAUAUCCAAUGAACAAACAUCGAACACUUCGCUCUUGAAAUUUAUCAGAGCCGCGAGAGAUACGUUUAGCAUAACAUAGGGUUCCAAACGUCCUCAGGUGAUCAAACGAAGGAGGCUUCCUGAACAGUAUUUCAUAUGGAGUUUUGUUUGCCAAGAUCUUACUAGGUGUUCGGUUUAUCAGGUAUGUGGCAGCCAAAACACUUUCUCCCCAGAAGCGAAUUGGUAAGCUCGCUUGAAACAACAGUGCACGUGCGACAUUAAGAAUGUGACGGUGUUUACGCUCGACACGGCCGUUCUGUUGUGGAGUCUCAACACAUGAGGUUUGAUGAGAAAUUCCAUGGUCAGCAAAGAAUUGUUUGAGACAGAUGAAUUCAGACCCGUUAUCACUCCGUAUCAUUCGAACACGUUUAUGAAAUUGUCUCUCCACGAAAGAGAUAAACGUUUUUAAAGCAGUAGGUGCUUCUUUCUUUUCUAGCAAUAAGAAUGUCCAUACUGCUCGUGAAUGAUCGUCGACGAUAGUCAAGAAGUAACGAGCUCCACUCAAAGACUGCUCACGAUACGGACCCCACAAAUCGCAGUGUAUCAAAUCAAAAGAAUCAUCUGCUUUAUUAAUAGAAUCAGGAAACUUAUUGCGAGUUUGCUUAGACCGUACACAGACAUCACAAACUUUUUCAGAGUCCUCUGAAUUUCGAGAAAAAGAACCAACAUGAGAUAAAACAGAAAGCACAGCUGAUGAUGGAUGACCUAAGCGACGAUGCCACAACUCUCUCGUAGUCAAGCAGCGUGCACGACCAGAAUGAGCUGCAACAACUCCUUUGUAAUGAUAAACACCAUCUUGCUCUUUACCCGCACCAAUCAAAGUCCUCGAAUUGAAGUCCUGUACAACACAAAACUUCCUUGUAAACAGCACAAACCCAGCAAUAUCUUUUAACAACUGUCCGACUGAAAUCAGAGUAAUGGACAGAUGAGGUGCAUACAAAACUCUGCUCAGAAUAAAACGUCCUCCUAAGUUCAGUUUUCCACAACGAUUAGCCCAUGAAUGUUUUCCAUUAGGAAGAGUAAUUGGACAUGGGUCAAUGCUUACUAAAUCAGUCAACAGAUUAACAUCACCCGUCAUGUGAUGUGACGCGCCGGAAUCAAUGAUUAUGUCAUAACGACUAUUAGGACCAAAGAGAUAGAGUUUACCAGAGAGCUUCUCAGAAGCAUUUUGCUUUUGAUUGUUCAAGAGAUUUGCGAGAGAGGCCCACUGAUCUUGAGUGAAGUUGGGUAUUCCAGAGGUUUGGGAUUCGCCACCUCCAGAGCUUUCACUGACGAGAACAUUAUGUGCUCGAAAUCCAGAGCCUCUUCCGCCACGUCCUCGGUUCUGAUCCACUCCACGACCACGACCAUUUCCUCUUCCACCCGUUGGUUUUGACUUGUCGGACCACCAUUCAGGAAAUCCGAUCACUUGGAAGCACGAGGUUGAAUCAUGUCCCGUCUUUCCGCAAUGAGUACAUGUGACUUGCGGUUUUGUGAAACGAGCUGCAGCAGCUUGAGGAUGCACUGUCAUCCCUGAGAGUCCAACAACGGGAAUCUUUUCUUCAUUGCUUCUCAUUACGGAGAGAUGACGUUCCUCCUGAAUGACUUGAGAGUACACGGUUUCCAGGUUCAGAUCCAUCUGUCUACUAAGUAGAUUAGACCGAGCCGUACCGAACCGUGUUGUGUCUAGUCCCAUAAGGAACUGAUGAACAUGAAUCUUCUCUCGGCUCUUCUCAUACUUCAGCAUUGAUGCACAGUCAGCACUCUUGCAACAACACUGAAAUCCUUUGUCUAGAUCUGCUAGAUCAUCCCAUAAGAUCUUGAUUCUCCCAAAAUACACCUCGACCGAAUCUCCAUUCUGCUUACACGCUGCAAUCUCAGCAUGAAGCUGAUGUAUACGAGUAUCAUCGCUCACCGAGAAACGCCUUUGAAGGCUUCCCCACAUUGCCUUUGCACUGUCAACAAGAGAAAUCGAUGGACGUAGCUUCGAUUCAAUACUGCUGUAUAUCCAGCCUAUUAUCAUGGAGUUGACCAUGUCCCACUUCUCUGCUUCAUCAGAGUUGUCAGACGGUCGCUUCAAGGUUCCAUCAACGAACCCAAUCUUCCGUUUCGCACGAAGCGAGUUCAGCAUUAGCUUCGCCCACCUUUCGUAGUUUGAUCCAUUCAACAGGAUUGGUGUCAAGACCUGCCCCGUGUUGUCUGACGGAUGGAGGUAAUACGGAGACACCAAUGAAGUUGCGUACAGUCAUGCUGGCCAUUUUUUUUUUUUUUUGUUUUUAAGCAAUCAAAGAAAAUGAUUUAGAUGGAAAAGGUUUGGCUCUGAUACCAUGCCAAAGUGGAUGAAUCGAUGAUGCAUUACUUGUGGGAGCUACGUCCCUUAUAUACACAUCGUAAUGAUCAAGCAAUCCCCACAAUCUAGGGAUUAUACAAUUGCUUGGAAAACACUGCAAAUCACAGAAUAUACGACUACAUUUACAUCAUGUCGUUUAAGGUAAAUGAGUGAUACGAGUAUCUUGCUAAUACUCCCCUGAGUAGAGAUUGAUAUGGUUAAACUAAUUGUUUUCCUACUCCUUCGAUUACUUGCAAACCAAGUCUGCCUAAACUUUCCUUAUUUGUAGAGUAAUUUUCUUGUUGAGUUUAAUUGUUUCCAUUUUUUUACGAAAAACUAUGUUAACCGAAACUGUAAAUUAAGUAAACCGAAGAAACUGCAAUCAAUUUGGUUGUAAAUUCAGCAUUUAUAAACCUAGACUAAACUUACACGUUUUAUUUAACUAAACUAAAUAAAUAUACGCUAGGUUAAGGCUCGCGCCUUGCGCGGAAUAAAUAUUAUAUAAAUUAAUUUUACAUAUUACAUGUUCUUUUACAUAUAUUGUAUUACAUGUUCUUUUACAUAUUAUUAAAUAAUACAUAUAUAUUGAUAAUUUAAAACUCAGUAAAUAUUGCGUAUAUGAUUAAAUUGAUGCAAACACAUAAAUAAAUUUUAUUAAUUCAAACAAACACUUUUUCUAUUUUAUAUGAUAUAAAAUUAAGUUUUAAUGAUAUUAACGUAGAUAUAUAGUACAUUUUUAAUAUUGAUAUCUGUUAAAUAAUAUUUUAUACUCAUAUUAUUUUUUGAUCAUUUGUUUUUUCUGUAACAAAAAUUUUGAAUCACCGAUAAAAAAUUUUUUUGUGGGAUGUUUAAUAGUUUUAGUCAUUUAUAAUUUUAAAAACAUUAUGAAAAGUUUUAAAACUAAAUAUUAAGUUGUCAAUAUUUGUUCAAAUUUUUUAUCAAACGAAAAAUCAAAGCAACUUUCGAAAUUAAAAUACAUAUGUUAUAUGGUACAUAAUUUAUAUUAAAAAAUAUUAAUAUUUAUUAAAUUAGACUUCUUAUUAUAUAAUUUUGUAAUCAUUUAUAUCUUGUUAUAACAAAAAAAUUUAAACCAUGAAAAAUUCAAUGUGAGAUUUUUGACAACUUUAGUCAUUUAUAUCCGUUUUUAAAAUUUCAAAAUAUAACAUAUACAGAAAAAUCUAAAUUUUUACUAUAUUAAUGUGGUUGUUUAAUUUAUUUUAAUAUGUUAAAAUUUAAAAAAUGAUAGAGAAUAGAUUUUUAUCAAAUCUUUAUUAUUCAAAAUCAUUAAUUGUCAUAUAUACUUUAACCACAUUUGGUAGUUCCGUUAUUUUUAAUUAAGGAAACAAUGAAAAACAUUAAUAAUCAAUUUAUGAUUAGUUUAAUUAAAAAACUUAUCAUAUAUUUUGAUGGAUGAACUGACAUGUUUUUUUAAAGAUUCUAAGAAUGAUUGUGAUGAUGACACGUAGUUACAAAAAAAUGUUAUAAUGUUUCUUUUUUAAUAUAUAGGGGAUGUGAUUAGUAGUUUUAGUUAUAUUACUAACCACAAAAUUGAUAUAAGUCUAUUAAUGACAGAAAACACCACAUGGCUACAAAAGACGUAGGAUUGAUCAUUGCCAAACAUCUAUACUUUUUCUUUUUCUCAUUUCUUCAAAACUAUAAUAGUCUGAAGAAAAAAAGAAAAAACAAAGUGAGGAUGGAUCAUGUUAAGGUAAGUGAGGUACCAACACACAAAAACAAAAAACCUAAGAAAAAUCUAAACCCUAUUUGGCUAUUUACAAUAUCACCGUAGAAAAACUAUACACAUUAACAAAAAGGCUAUACAGAGACCAUACUCUCAUAUCAUCAUCCCUCUUUGCAAAAAAAAAUGCCCCCAAAAUCCCCAAAUCUCUUUACAAGCUUGUAUUUUUUUUCUUCUAUCUUUGCUAAUAUCUAUCAGUUCAAGAAUAGGUUUCUGGCCAACUCGAUCGGUUCAGCUGCUUUCUUGGCUUCUGCAAUCUUAAGAGCCAUCGUGGCUUUGUAAACAGCCAAAUCUGCAUUCUCUCCAAGAACUUGCGCUCUUCUUCUACUAGCAAUGGCUAUCUCCAUGGUUGCAUCAGCGUAGGCCUUGGCUUCUUCCACUCUACGAAAAGCCUCUUGUUCCUCCCAAGCUUCUUGUUCAGCCAUCUUUAGAGCCACUGUCCACGUUAUUCAGCUUCAUCAAUAUCUAAAACUCUUCCUUGAUAAGAGUGCAACAACUUUCUCUACCACCAAAUCUAACAAUUACAAAACAGGAACUCUGUGGAUAAUCUACUCUACUUAAGUGUUCUUCCCCAAGACUAUUCCAUCUAACUCUUAACAAAUACAUCACAACACUAAUGUACAAAGAACAUACCAAGAUUUAGCUGCUUGCCCUUUCCAUGCCUUUUGAAGGAUCUUCUCUUACGAAACACAGUUUUGGAAGGUCGUGGAGUUUUCUUCGCUUGAUGACGACCCUGUUUAUAUUAACAAAACAUCAGUUUUUGUAACAAACAACAUUGAUCCCAACUAGUACACAUGACUGUUAGUUACCUGGAAAACUCUAAGGAGUGGUGCCUUUCGCUUCUUCCUUUUCCUCAACCAGUAAUCAUGCACUGCCUCAACCACCUCUUGCCUAGCAACAACGGCUGCUUUCUCAUCCACUAGAUCAUCCCCAAGGCUAUGGAAACACCGCUUCUCAAACCCAUCAAUCAUCAACUCAAAAGCAUCUCGCUCAAGAACUUCUUCAUAUUCUUCUUCACCAAAAACUUCCACAUUCUGCUUCCUCAGCCACUCUUCAUCAUCAGAAUCCAUCUCGUAAAUCGCACUGCUUCGACCCAUGGCCCUUGAAAACUCAUCUUCUUUCACAGAGAUAUACUGAACCGGCAUAGAAAACAAGGGAGAAUCAUCAUCCGCAUACCCACACACUUCUCUUACGCCAGGUAUAGGAAUGACUUUCACAUUCUGCUGCGUCACAACAUUGUACUUGUGUACACUUUGCGAAAUGUUUCUUCCACCUCGUCUCUUUCUUAAAGAGCUUCUUCUCCCCCUCUGGAUAUUAUCAAAACCUAAACUGCUUCUACACUGAGCAUCAUUCCCUACAGUUAACGGAUGUAACCCACUGUUCCUCGGACUACAAGGUGGAGAUAGAACUAACUCAGACUCCGAAUCACACUCUUCAACAGGAUUGUUCAUCAAAUACAGACAUCUCUCCACGAAAGCAAAGGACCGUGGUGCAACUCUGAGAACUAGAGUCAAAUGCAAAUCCAAGAAACAUCCAGGAACAGCAGAAAAAUCAACUGACAAGAGAGGAAGACGAUUCACGCCCCCAAAGAACCUGCAGACACCUCUCGAGCUAAGAGGAGGCUCCUGAAAAAAAAUCAGAGAGAUCCAUCCACACUUCAUAUCAUAAACACAGUGUAGUACAGAACCAGCAUCUUAGUAAGUAGAGAAGCAGCCCCUUACCGCAAGAAACCGCACGCCAUGAUCUGCAAACACGUCGUUAACAGGUUGAGACAGGAAGAAAGAAGCUAAAGCACUAAGCUGUUGUCCCCUCCUCAAGUACCUCAUUACCAAACCGAAAACAGUAGACAACCAGCAAUCCUUACAAGACCAAACUACUCUAAGAGUAAUCACAGGAACAACACAGAGUAGUCUUCUUCUCCUUCGCCUGGUAUAAAACUUGAGGCUUUGAAGUGGUUUUUUCACUGGUCUAUUACUACUACUACUACCACUAGAUUGGUUAGAAAGAGUCUUCCUUUUCCUAUUAUAUACAAUCCCAAACCUCUUAUCAACAGCUUCAUUACUCACUUUCCUCCGCUUGUUGGCAGUAAAGUCUUCACCUUUGGAGGUUUUGUUCCCUUUGAAUCGCUUCGCCUUAGGUUCGUCGACGCUGUGAGAGAUUCUGCGACCCGAGCGGAGGACGCGGGCUGCUCCGCCUGGGGGUUUAGCGACGCCGAAGACUCUGGUGGUUCGUCUCAUUCCCAUCUCGUACGACACCGUUUCACUCAAAGACUCUUCUUUUGAUCUAUGCCCACCACUGAUCUGUGAACUUUAAUCCGAAAAGAUCUCUCCUUUUUGAGGAAAUCGAAACGGGUAAUUGAAGGGAGAUGGGGGUAGAUUCUUUACCAAUUCGAUUCUUUGGAUCAAACUUAGAUCUCUGAAAAUGGGAGAGAAAUUGAGAAAUUUUGAUUGAGAGGAUUCGAGAUCUGAUCACAUGGUGAAGAAGGCGUAAGAUGGUCGUUUCGCCAAUUUCUCGAUUUGACGAGAAGAGAGGGAACUUUUAGGGUUUAUGAUCGGAAACAACAAUCAAGAAAGAAAGGGGAAAAAAAUGAGAUCUUUAGUGUUGAUUAGUUUUGGCCGUUGGAUGAUAUAAUAGACGGUUGGGAUUGAGUCUGGUUCGAUGGGUCCAAAGACGAUUUUUUUUUCUUUGGGUUACGCGAAUAUUAAAGAAAAAGAAUGGGUCGAGGUUUCAAAAGGCAUUAAUAUUAAAUGACGAAAAUACCCUUGGUUUUAAAGCGGGAGAUGUCUGUAUCUCGAGUGGGGUUUUUUACUAGUAGUGAAGAAGAAGAAGCACCUAAAGAUUGGCUUUGCUUAGACAAAUGUAAGAAGAAUAAACACCUAAAGCUUGUAUGUGAUGCUAAACGUGUUGGAUUACCUUUUUUUUUUUUUUUUUUUGUAACAGUAAACGUGUUGGAUUUCAUUACUGCGAAAUAAACACACACGAAGAGAGAACCCCAAGAGAUAAUAAUGAUUACUAGACAAAACAUUUUUUCCAAAGAUAAGAUUUAUUGAGUUCUCGUUACAUAUGAUAUUUUAUUUGUAGUAAUCUCUCUGCUAAUAAAACAGAGUUAUGACAUGAGAUGCUUUAUUGGCUUCUUCCAGUUUAGGCCUUGGCGGUUUCAGCCUCGUCGGCACCCCAGAAACUGGUUUUCUUUCCAGUCUUUGAGACUGUCUGGAGAACAGCUUCUGGCUCCACGUUGCCUUUCACUGUCACCUUCUGCUCCUUCAGAUCCACAUCAAAUGACUCCACACCUAACAACAAUGUUCGUUUUUUUGUGUUUUGUUAAAACAUCAAAACAUGGAACCUCACACACACACACAAAUCUUAUUGACAAGUAAUAAAUCAGAGAAGAAAAAAAACUAGUAGAGCAGAGAACAAACCUUGCAUUUUGCCUAGGACUCUUUUCACAGCUCCCACACAUCCCUCACAUGGCAUAGCCACCUUUAGAACCACAGUCUAUUCAGGAAAACAAACAAAAAUGAUCAAGUUAAACUUUGUGAAAAGCUUAAUCAAAAUUGACUUGACAAGGAGUUAACUAAUCUUGAAACACUGUCCCAUUAAUUGCUUAAAACACCCCAUAUGUCCUAAUCAAGUUGAAACACUGUCCCAUUAAACAAAAGAGAACAAACCCCAUUUUUCAGUUUUAUAUUAAAUGGACAGGACAAGAAGUAUAACAGAACUAUGAAAACACACUGCCUAAUCAAACUGUUCAAGACUAAAAACAGAUCUAGCAUUUUUCAACUACCAUGUACAUCGAUUGACAACGAUCUGCAUCUUAUAUGAUCCGCUUUCCUUGCCAUCACCAACUAAGCAAGUGAAACUAAUGUUGACAAUAGAUCUAACUACUAGAGAUCUAUGUUACAAGGAAGGAUGCCGUAAUGAUUCAGACAUGAUCAAAAACCAGAUACAGAGAGCAUCAGAAUAUCCAAAACAAGAACUCAAAAAUCAAAAGGGAGCCAAAAGUCUGAUUCAAGUACCUGAGACAUUAUCUCUUCUCCUUCCUGACGUAAAAAGUUUCAAUCACAGCAGAGAAUGAAUGAGUUUUGAAAAGGAAAGAGAGAUGCUUUUUCUUUUAGAAAAAAAGGACGCAACUUUUGACCAAUUCAACGAAUAUAUUCUUAGUUAGAUCAACUCAUAUAAGAAUAUAAUACUAUCAAUUUUUUAUUUAAUUAUAGAGUUUACUACGAACAGUACUAUGUUUCAGUGUCAUAGACAUUACAUAUUUCUGUCGAAGAUUGGCUCCAACGAGUAGCUUAUUGAUACAAUCAAAAAGCUUAUUAAUAGAUUUCACAUAACAGGAUAUUGAACCUGUGAUCUAUGCAACGAACAGCUAUAGCUCAGUGACUUAAAAACCAAACCAUAUUUUAUUCUUUAGCCCCCAAUGGUUUAGUUAGUUAUCCAGACAGAAAUAUUUUCACAUAAUAUUGAAAACAGAAGACUUGAUAGAUCGUAACAGAUACGAUUUGGGAAAGGAGAGAGUAACAGUUUUUUUGUUUAAUAGCUGUCGAUGUCAGUUUCAGGCCUUCUCAGGAAGUAACGCAGACAGUUCACCAAUACCUGCAUGAUAAGUUUUAGUUCUUUAGCUCUCUUUCUCUAUGUUUUUAAGGUUCUAAGGUAGAAAGUAACAGAAACCAUAAUAAACUCACCUGUGACAAGGAACUGUUAAGCGCUUGCCCUUGGUAGCUCACGUGAAACUUGUCUUUCGCAACCAGUCCCUAAAGAAAAUUAACAAGACAAUGAUCACAUGCUAUUAGUAUAAGGCAUGUAAUAGAAUCACACUGUAUGUGCAUGUGGAAGUAUUAAAGAGUUUUCAAGUACUUCAGUGUCUAUCUCUGCGGAUUCAACGUCUAUGUUGACAUCUGCCAUCACUUUAAUCAUCUCCACAACAAGACCUGGCCUAUCUGCUGUCUCUAUGCAAAGCAAGCUAGAGACAAAACAGGAAACAAGUUCAGAGUUAUGUAAACUAUUCGAUCAGGCUACUUUUGAUUACAUCCAAUCCCAAACAGCGACCUUGUGGUGUUGUUUUUUUUUUGCUAAAUUAUAUAACCUUGUGGUGUUGUUAUUCUACUGAAUAUUUAUACCUCUUCUUUGGUCCAUCUUCUUUCACAUGUAUGUGAGUCCCGAUGUCGACAUCAAUCUGUUGUCACCACAUGAAUCCCAAAUACAGAGUUAAAAACAUAGGACACACAAGUAUCAAUCCAACAAGCUUUAGUAAACAUAUUAUUACCUUCUUCUCUGGAGCCUUUAUUCCAAAAGUCUCACCCAUUGCAAGUUGCUCGCUGCAUUCCUUCAAAAAAAAAUAAGGCAACGUUCAAAAAAACUGGAUACAAAACAUCUUUGAAUGUGACUGUGAUUAAGGUAAAAAGAUCCAAAAAAAAACUGAAGACACACCGGAUGAUAUUUCAAGAGAUUGUUGAUGAUUGUCAACCGAAUCUGCUCCAACAAGUCAGGAUCUUCCACUUUCCGACCAGUGUCUCUGUUGUCAUAUAAAAUAUUAAUUAUAAUUCAGGCAUAUGUGACAACUGACAGGUAGCUCAAAAUGAUACACUUUGCACACACGACCAAUAUGUUUUAAUAAGGAACAGAAAGUAUUUGAGUAGACUCGCCUGUGUCCUAUGCUAAAACUAUCUAUAUCUGGAAAGAAUUAUACAGAAGCGUCUUACAGUUUUGUAAUAGAAAAUCUAGUCUGCUUAAUGGAUCCUUCCGUUGUGACAGUUCCUUUUAUAACAUCCAAUCCCAAAUCUUUCAGCGCCUUCAUCUGUCAAACACACAUCAUAAUGAUUAUAUAAGCCCAAAAACAAGGCAAGUUUCCAUGAUAUUAAAAUACAGAUAGUCAAAAAUGCUAUAAAAUAGCUUUGUACUCAUUUAACAUUGUUGAUGUAACAUGUAGAAAGUAUAACGAAAAGAGACUUGAGGGUGAGAAUCACUUACUGUGUCGAUGAGAGCUCCGAGACGAUCUCCAAAACUGAGUUGAACAAUUGUAGCUUCAGGGUCAGCAUCCUGGUCUAUCAAAACCAUUGGCUUUGGAACCAAGUCCUCCUCCUCCUCAUCAUCUUCCAAUUUCUGCUAUCAAAUUAUCCAUUAAAUGAAGUUAAAUCAGCAGAUUCAAGAAACUACAAAUAGAGACAAUUUUACUGACCGGAUAAGAUGGAGUAGUGGCAUCAGUGCUGUUAAUUGAAGCAUAUACGCGGUUUCUUGUACUGCAUAUCAAAUCAAACAAAUGAUAGAUUAGCAGAUGCCAGAUAAAUCAUACAAGGUAAUGAUAUCACAGAAUACACAAGAAUCUGAAGCUUGUUCAUCUCAAAGAAACAAACAAAAUACGCAGAAAGCUAGUCUAACCUCCUAGUGGAUAGAGGCAUUACAGCUUGGACGAACUUGUGGCGAUCACUGAAGCAAGCAGGGGAUAGAUCUGGAGUUGAAAUCUGAGCGGGAAAACGAGAAUGACAUCUGAUGACGGAGGAAGAAGCAAAAUGAGUAACAGAGAAGAUAGCAUUCAAGAGUGCCAUUGAAGUUGAAACAGAGAUUCUUGCUUUCUUUUUCUUUUAUCUUUCUCCUCCCAAGUGUCACAUUAUAAAUCCUAUGGGCUAUGGAGUGCUGAAUCUGCUCAUGUAUGACGUGAUGGUCCACCACCUGUACUUCUUGUAUGUUUCUACGAGUAAUUAAUUUAAAAACUUUCCAAAUUGCUAUAAAACAAAUAGUAUUAGAAUGAGACGAUUAUAUUUGGUUGCUGACGUUUCUUAUGUAUACGUUUGCUCUACCCAAUUAUCUUCUCUCUUUUCUCAAUCAUUCCAGGUUUCCGGAUCUUCAUAAAGCAUCUGUCAUAGCAUUUUCAUUUCAUUUGCAAUAUUAUUCUCUAGCAAUUAUUGACGUGACGUGAGAUUGCUAUUAAUAGACUGGAUACAAAACUAAGCCUUAGCCCAGUGGGUCUUACCAAUUGUUAAAAUCAUUUGCUAACAAUGUUCUAGGCUUUCUACCUGUUUCCUCUAUGUAUGUCCAAGUCAUUUGGGAAAUGGCCCUAGAUCAGUUUUUAAAGCUUUAUUAGAUAGACUUGGAUCCUAUGUUUUGGACAUAUGAUUUUACAGUCUUCAUCUCAUAAUCAAAAUUGAUUAGUAGGUCCGUGAGUCUUACAAGCUUGUGUAAGUUCAUAGGCCGAGAAAAAAAAAUAUAAAUGAAUUAAUGUUGUAUGUAUGAUUCGUCAUAUCCUUUGUUGAAGAGAAGGAACAUACUAUGUCAUGUAUUCUUGUUAUGUAAUCUCUAUAGCCUGUUGCGUUCGUUUUUUCGUUUGGUUAAAGAAAUGGAACAUACUUAAUUAUGUAUGGGUUCUUGUUUAUCUAAUACCAAUAAGUGACUGACUCAACUGAAUGAAAACCCCACCAUAUGCAUUUGACUCAAAAUACCAAAACAUACUUGUUUUUACAAAAAAAAACAUUACUAUAAAAUAUUUUAUUAUUUCGUCAUCAUCAUCAUCAGUAUCAGAAAAUACCUAAUCCUAUUGCUUACUAUAUUCACAUUAAAAUGAGUAAAAACCCUAACUAAAGCCAUUACCAAUCUCUUUCCCCCUAUUUGAUCACAUCCCAAAACCGAAAUCCUCAAAAUGACCACCAGGAGUCAAUUGCUGACCGAACUCCGACACGAUCUGUUGCUGAGUUUGAACAGGGCUCUCAUGCUGGCCAGACCACUCCAUGUUGGAAUCAGGCAUGGCUAAACUAGUAUCGACCGUAGUUAUGUCGUGUAUGCUCGACCUUUUCCUCUCCUUCUUCACCGAGUUCUGUCUAAGGAAAUAUUUCUGAGCAUGACUCGCGACUUGCGUAGGUGUCCUCGUGACCACCACGUUCCUCGAUAUGCUCCUCCAAUCUCCUUUACCAUAUCUAUCUAAUCCGAUCAGAAACAAUCUGCAUGAAUUCAUAUUCAAUUAUAUGUUAAUUAAUCACCUAAAUAUAGCAAAUAAACGAAAAUAUUUUUUAUAUUUUUGAUAAUUAGUAAUUACCAUAAUCAACCAAAACCCUAAAUUACGAUUGAUACAUACUUGUGUUCGUUUUCCGACCAAGGAGUUCCUCUUUUCCGCUCACCCUCGCUGUGUUUAGUCCCAAACGAGAUCUGACCGGCCGAGUCCCAACCCGCCGCCGCCGCUGAGUCAUCUAUGUAAUCAGGGACAUCAACUUGGCCGGAAUCGAUCUGGAAGACAUCAUGCACCAAAGCCUCGUAAUGCUCUCUAACUUCACCAACCGGUUUGUGGAGCUGAUCGGCGAUUCUCUCCCACCGAUUGGGAGAUCCUUCAGGGAAAAACACCAAAGCUUCCUCGAACAUCUUAUCCUCCGACCUCGUCCACUGACUUGACGCCAUUUCUAAAGAUUUAUUUGUUUAGUGGGUUUAGAAAGAAAGACUCAAAAGUGGAUAAAUCCCAAAGAAAUUCUGAAAUUGGUUGGAGGUUGGAGAAACUGUUGGACUCCUUCCGAUUAUUUAUAAGGAUUCUCUUGUUUUUUCUUAGGAAAGUUUUUUUUUUAUUAUUAAUGAAAAUGAGGUAUAUAAAAGGGAACAAUAUGCUGGAAAAUUAAAAAAAGGAGGAAGCAGCUCAGAGACCAACUUCAACACGGUUUCUAUUUCUCUUUUCACUUCUCUAAUUUUCAAUUUCUUUUAUUUAAUUUUAAGGUUACAUUGCUCCGGUUUGUUAACAGUUUUCUCUCCUUUUCUGAUUUUUAUUCUUUUUAUUAUUGAGUUAUUCUUGGAUUCACCCCCUAGGAUGAACCUCUAUGUUCACCAACCAAUAGGAUUUUAUUAUUUCAAAUUUAAUAUUUUUUGAAAAAGGAAACAAAAUAUUAUCAAGAUAUAUUAUGUUUUUAAAUUAAAAAGUUAAAAAAAAAAAGAAAAAAUCUUAGUUAGAGAAAAACGAAUUCAAAAAAAAAAUAUUUUUAUCAUCGUCAGCAAAACACUAAACCCUAAAUCCUAAUCCCUAAACCCUAAAUCAUAAACCCUAAACCCUUGAGCAAACUCUAAACCCUUGGAUAAAUCAUAAACUCUAAAUCAAAAACACUAAACACUAAAUCCUAAAACCAUAAACCCUAAAUCCUAAACCCUAAACCCUUGAGUGUUUAGUGUUUUUGAUUUGGAGUUUAGGAUUUAUCUAAGGGUUUAGGGUUUACCCAAGGGUUUAAGAUUUAGGAUUUAGGGUUUAGGGAUUAGAAUUUUGGGUUUAGUAUUUUGCUGAGGACAUUAAAAAUAUAUUUUUUAAACUACUACUUUUUUUUAAUUUAUUUCUUUUACCUUUAUAUUUUAAAAAUAUAAUAUAACUUAUAGCUUGAGAAAAUAUCUUGUUUCCUUUUUUAAAAGAUUUCGAAUAUGAAAUAACAGAAUCCUAUUGGUUGGUGAACCUAGGGGAACCCAAUAAUAAGUUUUAUUAUAAGCAUAUGCCAUUUUACGUGCCACUAAUGGCACAACACGUAGCUAUUAAAAAACAAAGUAAUAAAAACAAUCUGGAAAGACUUAUUUUCAUGUUCACAUUCCAGAAGGAAUCAUAUCUAGUGUGUACUUCUCUUUGAUGUACCCUUGUUUGUCAGUCUGUCGCUAUUUCUUUUCGCUUUUAUUUGGGGUCCAAACUCCAACGUGUACUGCUUUCACUUCACUUUCUUAACUGUAUGGUUUUUGUGAUAUUUCGAUUUUAAUUAUAUAUUUAAACUUUACUUUAUUUCCUAUUUAGGCCAUUCAUAAUUAGUUUUUUGUGUGUUCUAUAUUUCCAAAAUAAUUUUUUUCUUAUCUUGGUUUAUUUAUUUUUGAAUAAUUAUUAAUUUAAAAAAAAUCAUUUACAUUUAAUUAAAUUUAUAUUAAAUAAGAAUAUAUUAAAAUAUUUUUUAAAAAAAAUUAGUCAGCGCGUGAAGAAUAUUAAAAUGACAUUUAAAAACAGAGGAAAUACAAUUUUGUUGUUUAUUUUCAGUGCAUAUGUAGUAGUAAUCCUAUCGUUUUAAAAGUUCAAAGCGCAUGAAUCGCUUUUGUCUUAAAUAACUAACUAUACUAUUCAUACAUAGCUCCAUGCCUCAGUUAGAACGAGUUUUAGUUUGGUUUUCGUUGGACGUUUCCAUAUGGAAAAAAAAAAUGAGUGCUUAACUUAUUAAAUAAUCCAUGUAACAAAAAGCAAAGACAACACUUAUUUUUGUCUUUUCUUAUUUGGAUAUGUGUUUAUUUUAGUUAUAUUAUCGAGUCUCGACGAACUUCAACAGAUUAAACAAAAGGAAACAAAGGAACUUCAACUAAUAUUCAAGUAUUUUAGCUGUACUUGCUUUUUUAAUAUGUAGCAGUUCACUUGUUUUAAUAAGGUUUACACUACACACUUUUACUAGUUUAAUUGGAUCUACGGGUUAAGUGGAUACGUUACGUACUCCACGAAGGUGCAUGGACCGACUCUUCACCACUAUUAAGCGAUGUGUCUUCUGCCAAUUGUUUUUCAAUGAUACUUUUUGGCAUCUGAUUGAUGCACCAAGGUGACGUGGCCUCUCAAUGAGUUGUCACGUGCCCUUUUCAGAAAAAUCUAAUGCUUUCUUGUUCUUUUACAAGCUUUUUGUCUAUUACCUACCAUAUGUUUGAGUUUUGAUAUUAUCUUCAAAAAUACACACAAAAUUCACAAAUAAUUACGAAUGGUGGUAGCCAAAAUAUGGGGUGAUGGAUAGAAUAAUUAUAAAUCGCAAAAUAGAAGAGAGUAUACAUUGUUAAGAUAAAAAAGAAGUGUAUAAAUAAACUGUAAUAUUCCUUCCAAAAGUUAGCAAAAAUCCAUGAGAUGUUAAGAAAAAGGUGGCAAAAUAGAGUUUAGAGAUGUUCCAAAUCAAUUAUUACAUAUGAAGUUUAGCUCGCAGUUAAAUGAAUAAUUAAUUAUGUCCAUAGCCCCACGAUCAUAUAGCUAGACCAUUUGGGGCCAAAAAAAACUAGAGACUAAUGAUUUUCUUUUUUUUUGGUCAAAUAUUUUCUUGCUUUCACUAUAUGGUUCAGGUUUUAGCUUUCAGAGCUAUGGAUGGCUCGUUCUAAAAUUCAUUCAUCACAUUUUCGUUUUACAGGAUGUUACUCUCGAACCAACAACAAGCUUUUAUACGGGAGAAACUUUUAAAGGUUACAGCAACGACAAGACUUGUGUUGCAGAACCUCAGGUUUCAUGUUAGCCUGCUGGUGAGCUUCCAGGCAAAGGAUAUGAUAAGAGAGUUUUGGGUUAAGGAGCCAGAGAACAUGCUCGGGUCAGAUAAAUUCUACAGAGAUUAAACGAUAUCCAAUCUUUGAAGGAUUGAAUUGGGCUCUAAUCCGGUGCGUAAUACCGCCUGAGAUGCAAGUUCACGCGGAGGAAACGAUAAUAGGUAUCUUGAAUGUAAAGCCAUAGGCGAUCAUCUUGAGUUCGAAUCGUUCCAAGAUAAAGGUCUUGCAAGACGAGAAAAAUUUCUUGAUAAAAGUAUUAAAGAGUAAACAUUGUUGUAAGUUAUCAUAUCUUAAGUCUAAUAUGUAAAUUUUAGCCACUUUCUGUGACAUCAUAAUCCCAUAUAUUCAUCAACUUUUUCCCUAAAAGUAGCUCAUAUAUAAGACACUUAAAAGUACAUAAAUAUUGGGAGAGGCAUAAGAGAGUUUUUGUAAUAACAAGAAAGAAAUGUAGAAAUGAAUAGAAAGAACACAUGAGCUUCUCCUGCUAUAGCUUCUGCUUAUGUCACACUUGGAACCCGAUUAUUUUUGGUAAAUUUCAGGACACUCUAAACAGUGCCGUGCGAAGAGUUUUAGGGGUCUAAGGCAAAUUUUAAAAAUAAAUUUAUUUACAACCAUAAUAAAAAUAAUUUUCUAAUAUGAUAUAUUAUUUUCACCAAAUACACAAGUCUAAUAUUGUAAAAGAAUAAGUUUAUAACGUAAAUAUGUUAUAUUAUGUCAUAUAGAAAAAAAUACAUGAAUUCAAAAAAUAAAUUAAUUAAUUUUCGUAGAAAUGUUUUUUUAAAAAUAAGUCUAAACCACUAUACUAGAAACUAUUUUAAAUUUUGGGGCCCUAAAAACAGUCAUAUUAAUCGGAGGUCUGAGGCGAAAGCCUUUUUUAAUACACUGUAGGCACGCCUCUGACUCUAAAUGGUAAAGUACAUGAAAUUUCCAGUUUAACUUGUAGAUGACAUGUGUAACAUCCUACAAGAAAACUUUUAGUUGAUCUCCAAAGUAUAAAUAUAUAUAGCUGUUCAUUUUACAAAGUAUAAAUAUAUAUUUUUCUUUUAUCACUUUUUUUCUUCCUCAGCUUUAUAAUCUUCGAUAACCCAAAUAUAUGUAAGACAAAUCUUCACCAAAUCUUUACUAAAUUUUUUUCAAUCUAUAAUACUCCAUAAUCCAAGCUACAUUCGUACAAGUCUAAGAGCAUCCACAACCGUGGACUCCCAUUAAAAUCCUUAAAAAAAAAAUUUUCUUUUUUUUUGUAAUUAUUUUCUUUUUUUCGGAACUUUUUUAAAAAAAAUAUAUAAUCAAUCGCAGGCCGCCAUAUGUCAGUGAAGCCUGCGAAUAGCUAAGAGACUCCACAAAAUUGAUCAUUAGCUAAGGAAUUUAGGAGCACCAACUUGCACAGAAACUUAAAAAUCAUGGAUCCCAUAUAAUUUUAUAAUAAUUUGUUUUUUUAAGGAUUCUAAUUAAGGAUCAUGGUUGUGGAUGCUCUAAGGGGGCAAAUAAAACUGAGGGUUAGAAACUUCAUUUGAACUCUUAUUUGUAUACUGUACACUUUAAUUUUCUUCUGUUUUGGUAGUUUGUUAAUUUCCCGAUUGUUUUUGGUUUUCUACCUAAUUCACUCUUUUUUAUCAAUGUUUUUUUAAUUAAAUUUUUAAAAAUGUAUAUUAAUUGUCUUUUUUUCAUUUUUUUUAGUGAGACCCGAUAGAAACACCGAUAGUGAUUAUCAUGAAAGCUUUUGCGAAUUUUAUCCAGCAUAGGUUAAAGAACGUCUUGAUAAUCGCCGGAGGCAAAGAUUUUGGUAAUCUGACAUCUAUGAAAAAGAAGAAUGUAAACCUCAUGUUAGCAUACUCAGAAAAGAGGAGUGCGCUUCUCAAAGAUGAGGCACGCACAACUUUCAAAUGGACUGUUGAAAGAUCUUUUGAUGCUCCUGAGCUGAUGAUAAAUGGAAGACGUGGGUAAUAAUGUGGGUUGGUAGAGUUUCUUUGUGUGUGUUUUUAAGAGUAUUUUUUUGUGUGUGUGAUCUGUAUUUUAUUUAAGAGUGUUUUUAUUUCAUGUUUUCUCAAUGUUAUUGUUUGUGGCAAUGUUAUUGAAAAAAAUGUUUAAGACCUUAUGACCAUGAACCAUCUCGACUUGGUAAACGUUUUUUUAGCACACAUUUUGGUCAGUUUUGUUAGAAUAGAUCCCUGUUAUAGUUAGCACAUUCACUCUAAGUGAUAUCCUAUUUAUUAAAUAUUAAAAACUAUACACCUAAACGAACAAGCUUUUUUAACCUUGUAACUUUCUUGAACUAUCGCAUAAAACGUAAACUGUAACAUCUUAAAAAAAAUGCGUUACAUGAUCAAACUAUCGAAAAAGCCGCUCUCAAAAUAAGCAUUAUUGAUUCUAGACGCAGGCCUAAUAAAAACUGGGCCUCAUGCUCGAGCCCGUAUCUAGGGAGAAAAAAAAUAAACCCUAACGAGAACGUAUCUAUAUUUAUAACAAAACGCAAAUCCUCUCCUCCAGUCUUUGCUUCUUCAUCAUUUUUGCCGCCGCCUCCUCCUUCAUCUUCACUCGCAGGUACGUAUCUCUUCAAGGAACACAAAGGAAGCUACUAGAGAAUCAUGUGCUCUAAUUAUUAGAUCUUUAUUCAUUCCUCCUUGCGUUUUCUUAGCUUAGUUGAUGUUAUCAAUGGCUUAGAUUUCGAUGAUAAGUUAUUGCUCUUAUCAGGUAUAAGUCAAAACAGUUUUUAAAACAUAAAACUGAAAGAUGGGGCGUGUCCGAACCAAGACCGUGAAGAAAUCAUCACGUCAAGUGAUCGAGAAGUACUACUCUCGCAUGACGCUCGACUUCCACACUAACAAGAAGAUCCUCGAGGAAGUCGCCAUCAUCCCUUCGAAGCGUCUCCGCAACAAGAUCGCUGGAUUCUCCACUCAUCUCAUGAAGAGGAUCCAGAAGGGACCGGUGCGUGGUAUCUCGCUCAAGCUUCAGAGGAAGAGCGUGAGCGCCGCAUGGACUUUGUGCCCGAUGAGUCUGCUAUCAAGACCGAUGAGAUUAAGGUUGAUAAAGAGACUCUUGAGAUGCUUGCUUCCCUUGGGAUGUCUGACGUUCCUGGUGUAUCUGUGGUUGAGCCUCAGGCUGUGGCUCCUGCUUUUGGCAGGCCACCGAGAAGGUACUGAGGAGUUCAAUCAAGAGAAGAAACUUGCUGUUCUUUAGAGUGUUUAUUGUUUCUUUUGUUUGGAUAUUUAUGUCUGAAUCUGAAAGUGAUACACUCUUUUUUUUUAUUACAUUGAGUUUGGAGUUUUUGAUGAUCAUUAAUAUUUGAGUUAAAAGUUGCAACUAUUGUAGUUCAUGCGUUCUUUGUUCUAAAUAUUUCACAACUCGAGAUGAGAGCACAUUGAUAAUUCAACGUUUAAAUUGAUUAACGGUUUGAUAAUUGAACAUUGUCUUAUGACUUCGAUGGGCCUAAAACCAGAUAAACCUGUGUAUCAUUGUCUUGUGGCUUCGCUUCUGUGGCGUGCUUCAGUGGCAGAAGCUUACAUUUACUAGGGAGUAAUGUUAAUCACAAGUAAAUGGUAGAAGCAGGUUGGUCUAAGUGUGUGUGAGAUCGAAGGUUCUAGUGGUGUGCUCACAGAGACGUUCGCACCUGAUUGGAGCUCACAUAAUCAUCACCGUAGUAGCUACUUGGAUCAGGUUUUUGAUGUGGAUCCCGAGGAGGAUGUCGAUGAAUGAUGAUGCUGAUAAUGUUAACCCUGUUUCUGGUUUCUUAUCUUACAAGUAAUGAAUAAUAGUCAUAUAAAUUGUAACAAUUUUAGUCUUUAGUAUAGAGCAAUAUCGCAUUUCUUGCCAAUAAAAAAAUUCUGAACUAAGAUAUCACUCUGAUCUAAUAUAUCGAUCAUGUGCAGAUCCAAAAACUAACUGAAAAUGUAUCCGUAAAUUCAUAUAUAUAAUAUAGUCCUUUAAAUAUUAAGAAAAUGUAAUUUAUAUUCAUAUACAAAACUGUAUAUCUCACUGAGUCUUAACACCUAACUGAACAAACUGCCUUCUCUUAGCAAUACAUGUUUCGACAGUUGUUUGCGUCUACUAUAAUUUAUAGUUUGUUUUAUAUACAUAUUUAAAUGUAAAACUUUUAACGAAAAAUAUUCUAUAAGUUUGUUUUAUAUACUUCUAUAGUUUUAAAGAUAUGCAAAUCUGACAAUGAAAAAAGCAAAAUAAUAAGUGUGGAUUCUUAAUAAAACAGCAGUUAGAACUCUCAAAGCUCAUGCAUGCCUUAAAACAUAUUUAAUUUUCUAAAUACUGAAUAUAAAUAUUUGGCCAAUACGUUGCAUGAUACGUUAAAUCAAUUUACGUUUCACAAGUCACAUGUAAAAAAAAAAAUGUAUAGCAAAUAAACAUUGAUGCACCAAAUAAAUCAUAUUGUCGGAAGACGUAUAAUUGUCAUCCAUCAUUGUUAGGUUAGGAUAAGAACAAAAUAAAAAAUGCAUUAAUGAUUAACCAAUUAUGUCAUUUAUAUUAUCUUAAAUAUGUUUAUGAGUAGGAAGGCGUAGACAGAAGGAAGAAAGAAACGAUGGAUCUUCCCACUUUCGUACCUUCUUCUCUUCUUCAACUUUGCACUCAUGCAUUUAACUUGUGGAAUGAGUAUGAGUACGUAUAACUAACAGUGUAUAUAUAUAUAUAAUAUUUAAUAAAUAUAGGACCAAACAAACCAAUGAGGUAUUAGUUAUGUGACAUUAUAAUUGUAUAUUAGUUCUAAGUAGUUUAGAAACACAUAUAGUAGGGUGGUAUUAUGGUAGAACUAGCUGCUAAUGUCUACACAAUUAAAUAAAUAACCAUGAGGGUCAAUGGGGUACAUUUUGUUUCAUGCAUUGCUGGCUUUGCCUGUUGCUCGAUAAUGCUCUUUUCAUGCAAUCUUUACAAUCAUAUUUUAAGUCAAGUCGCACUUAAUUGUACUCUCUUAUUCUUUUUUAAGUAAUCCUAUAUUUUUAAAUUCUAAGCUAGAUGAAUUAUUCACCAAAAGUUAGUUUUUAAUUAGUGAAUCUCGUAGAAACAUAUGAGUUGUUGAUAAAAAAAAAAAGCAAGAAGUCUCUAGUUCGACUUUAGUAUAUGAAUGGUAAGAUACAAAUUCUUGACAACAUUUAACCAACCAAACUGGUCAAAAUCUGUUAUGUACCACAAACCACACCUAAUGAUUAUUAACUGGUUUAGUUCAGUAUCCUUCCUCUGUGCCGAUGAACUAAUAGGUUACUUGAGCUAUACAAAGUAAACCAAUUUUCAUAAUAACAUAAUUAUUAAUCGUUUGUUUGUUGUUUAGUAUCCACCUCUUUGUAACUUUUAUCAGUCUCUGUAAUCUUGAAACAACCACUAUAUAUUUUUCAUAAAGUAUUGUUAGUAUAAUUAUUUCGACUGUGGUUGUACUACAACAAAGAAUUUAUCAAUUUAUGCGCCUUAGACCUAAAGAUGAUGAUGUGGGUCAAUAAUGAUUUUUUUAAAAAUGUUAUAAAAGACUUAAGAAAAAUAUUGACAUUUAUCAAAUUAACCUACCUAUAUGUAAUAAUUAGUGAAUAGUCAAUGUUAACACCAACAAUACUGAAGGUAAACUUCUUAAAAUACUUUAUGGUGUUGGAUGAAAAAGAAAAAAGUACAUAUAGUUUCAAUCACCGUUGUAGUUGUUGAGAAGUUACUACAGCUAAGAUUUCUUACAACUGCACAUAGCAUUUAUUAUUACUUUUACACUGUUUAAGAAAUCUCGAGAAUAACUAUACAUAAAAAUAUCGAAAAUGUAAAUUUGUAUACUCAAAUGUAUUUGAAGUAAGUGGGAGAAAAUAUUUUGUAAAAUGUAUACCCAUUAAUAUUUGCGUGAUUCAACGGUACUCUCUUCAAUGCCUCACAUGAGUUUUGCACCCUCUCUUUCUAACACACAUUUUGUUUUCUUCUAUUUUCCUAUAUUUAUCCCAAAAAUUAUCCAAUGUAUCACGCAAAUUAAGGAGAACAGAAAAUAACUUCCAAAAGACAAAAUGAUGAAGGUGUUGGUAAAUAAAGUUAAAAUGCACGUAAAUGAAAUGAUGUCUUUAUUUCACAACAAUGGGUUGAACAUCAGAUUUGGCUAUCUUCUAAUCUUUCUACUUUCAGUUUACAUCUCUGGAACUCUAGAAUAUUAAACCUUCAAGGACACUUCCAGAAACACGCUCUUACAUUCUUCUAUACUAUUGAUCGACCAUAAGUUUUCUAGUAACAGUGAAAUUAUGUCUAGGAACUCCAUGAAAACUCAUUGUAUAUUAACAUAAUUAUUUAUGCGAAAUGAGUUUAAGAGUGAUCAUGUGCUGAGACUAUAUAUUUAUUUGAUUCAGUCGACAUAGACAGCAUUUUCUUAAAAUUUAUUGUUUGUUGCUAGAUACACAUGAACUGAUGCUCCUCUAGUAUAUAUAGUUGUGCAAGUUGUUAUUAAUAAGAAGUUAAACAUCUAUUGUUUUUAUUUUAUUUUUGAAAAAACAUCGUCAUCUUCUAUUUUACGCACACAGAUAGAUUGAUUAUCGUAAUUUACAAAUAACAUGUUGACCGACAGAAUAUUAAUUACUAGAACGAUUAUAAACUGACUGCAAUUUUUUUACAAAAUGUCGGACGAAUUGGUUUUAUAAACGUGAAAUAUUUAAAUUUGCAUACAUGCUAUAAUUUUAUGUAUAAAAUGAUUGAAAAUACAGUUUUUAAAUAAACAAUAAUAAUUUGAACACAACUAAUCAAAUAUAUCGUUAAAAUAAUUCAGAUUGAAUUAAGUCACAUAUUUAAUUUUCACAAACUAGUAACUCGUUUUGUAUAAAUGUAUAAAAGUACGUAUGCUUUAGUUAUUUCAUUUUACGUUUAUCAGAAAAUGAUGUAUAUGUAAUAAUUUUACUAACUUUUGAUAAAUUAUUUGGACUAAAGAAGUAAAACAUACUUUAGCUGUUGCAAAUGUAAAACAUAACUACGAAAAGGAAAAUAAAUAAAAAUACACACAUGACCUGACCCCACCAACCAGCCCUCUAUAUAUAAUUCCCUCCAACUCUUCGCCCUUUCCAGUAAUAGCUAACUCAAAAAAAGCUUUACAAAAAAAAAAAAAAUCUGAGCUCAAUGGGGAAGACGAAGCUCUCAUCUCUGUUCAGAGGAGGAGCGGGAAGAUUACUAACCGCUCCUCUCUGCUCCAAUGCCAAAACACUCUCGUUCCGAGUCGAAGACGACAUGAUCAAGACCGUUAACUCGGUCCUCUUCGAUGAUAUAUUAGAGGCCGCAACGCCCGAGUCAUGGUUCACGAACUCGUCCGAGACGGCGAGUCACUCAACCGAGUCGGACCAAGACCUCGACGCGGAAUCGCUUGAGACGGUCGUUAGAGGAGUGGUUAGAUCGGAGCGGCUGUUCUUCGACCCGGGAGCCACUAGCUCGAUCGUGGAAGAGACCAACGAGAAAUCGAAGGCGGCGCCGAUCGAGGAGAUCAGCGUCUCGGUGGCGAUGGAGUCGGAGGAUCCGUACGGUGAUUUCCGGCGAUCGAUGGAGGAGAUGGUGAGGAGCCACGGCGAGCUGGCUAAGGACUGGCGGAGCUUGGAGUCGAUGCUGGAGUGGUACUUGAGGAUGAACGAGAGGAGGAGCCGCGACGUGAUCAUCAGCGCUUUCGUUGAUCUCGUCUCCGGACUCUCUGAUUCGGUGUCGGACUCGGGUCGUUACUCCACCGCCGUAUCGUCUUUGCCGUCGUCGCCGUUAUGUUCGUUAUCGUCUAAAGGUGAGACGGAAAUUGAAGAAGAAGAGAGACGGAGCCGUUAACUUUUUGUUUGUUUGUUUGUGAUUUUAAUAUCAUUUUUAUCGGAUUGACUUUUUUGGAUUUUAUGUAAAAAGUAAUUUUAGUGGUUAGUGGAAAAUCAUAUAACUAUUCGUAGCAAAAUGUGGAGAUAUUAGAAAUGAAUAAUAUAUUUUUUUUAAGAUUUUAGUAUUAUAUGAAACAAAAAGAUCAAAUGUUUUAUUUAUUCUAUUUUCCAUUGAGUAAAUUUGUAACUUAAAUAAAUGUUUAUUUCAAGUUACCAUUUUGACAGUUUGUGAGUUUUGUUUAGAAAAAGUGUACCUUACAUAAAAGCAUUUAAUUAUCAAAUUUGACGUGUUAACAACAUGCAUACCUCUCACAAGUUACGAGUUUUUUAUAACCAUCAUCAUCAAGCAACUUAUAAGACAAAUGACAAUUAACAGUAAAACUUUAAAACAAUUAACCGUAAAACUUUAAAACUGAUAACUUCUUGUCACUAAAGUCUACAACCAUCAUGUUUCAAGUCAAGUAGUCAAGUCAAACAAAGCAAACGAACUCUUGAACUCAAUACUGUAACUUAGUAGCAGAUUGUAAAUUUGUAAUCUAAUUACAGUAUAGAAUGGCGAGUGAUAUAAAUAACAUGCAAAGAUUUAACUUUAACUCGUGUCUACUGAGAGGAAGAAAUCAUAUACCUGUAUAGAUGGUAGAUGGUGGUAGAUCGAGGAAGAGGUGAUGAAGAUAAGGCUCAGUGGUGACCUUAGUCGACGAGUGGAAGAGAAGGUUCAGAAUUGCCUCCACAGUCGCCAUUUCUCACCUUUUUCGUCGGUUAGCAGAACACCAAACGUCUCUGGUGAAGAAGACACGCGGGUCUCGAAUGCCCCGCAAACCCGCGUCGACCCGCCCCGCAUUGGCCCAUACCCGAAAUUGACCAACCCGCAAGACCCGCAAUAUCUCGGGCCUAAGAUAUCUAAGCCCAAACCCGCCCCGCAGUGGGACUUUACGGGCUUAGCCCACGGGCUAAGGUCCCAAUUGCCAUCCCUAAAAAGGUAUCAUCACUUAUGCAUCUAAUAAUCACGUGCAAGUCAAUAUCUUGAAAGUAAGUUGCUCUUGAUCUAGUAAAAAACAGUGAGAAGUCAUGUUCUCUUGUGUUCCAAUGCGAUUUAGGAGGAGGUUAGUUUAAAAUGAUUUGAUUCAUGGCUCAAACAGACGUAUGUAAUAAAACUAUUCAAAAUUUGUGUAUAUUUUGAAUAAAUAUACUUCUUACCAAAGAAUUCAAUUUUAUGAUAAUUUGAAUUCUAUUAAAUACAGAAUCAUUCUGUAUUUUUUAGGAUGCAUUAAAAGAGAAUGGUGGUCUAUACUGAGUUUGAAAUGAAACAAAGGAGAGUUGUGAUUUUGUAUUUUGUAUUGUGAAAUGAAGGAAGAGUAGCAUGAGAUGAGCAAUGGUGGUAUGGGCACACUGCACAAACAUACACACCUUGUGAAUCCCAAAUAUCAUAGACCUACUUUUCUCUUAUUAUCUCUUUCCAUUUAUUGCUCUACAUUUAAUUCUAGGACCAACCUAGACGACGACGUAACGUUCCUCCAUUUUUCUGCUAUUAUUCAAAUCUUUACAGGGUUCAAGAUUCUCCUGCCUGACUUAUCGUGUAAAUACCAUUGAGAGUUGAUACAUCUCCUCAGCUGAUAAAACCGACGUGUUUGGGGGAACACAAGGCAUUAAACUUGUGCAUGAAGCAACUCUUUAUUCUUUCUUUGUAAGAGAAGAAACAUAUGAUGACCUGAGACCAAAGAAGAGAUUUUGCAUGAACAGAAGAAGACAUAGCCGCAAAACUAAGUAUAUCCAUUGCAUAACACAAGAGAAAAUGGCUAAGCAUUGCAGAAACUCAAUUCUUAUUUAUAUGCAGACCAAUAAACCCUAAUGGAUAUUAUUCAACCAAUUCAGAAAGAGAUCAUCAGAGAGAAAAGAAAUUCAAUUGAUGGCACCAAGUGGGGAAGCCCAAAUAAAUUUUGUCCCCAAAUCUGAAUGGAAAGAUCAACCUGACGCCACUAUUCUCACUAUUGAUCUUCCAGGUUGGUCCUAAACUUUUUUUCAUUUACUACUUUUGCGUUUCUUUUAAUUGACAUAAGACCUAAGUCGUCUAGUAAAAUGAGAAUGAUACUUCAGCACCUUGCCUAAAGGUAUACAAAAUGAAUGAUAGUUCCAGAUCCUAACUAGACUAGUACUUGGCCGGGGGAUUGGGAUACAAAGUGAAUAUAUUAGUUUGAGUCCUUGUGGUGGUUCUAGUUCUGAUGUGAAUUGGGUUUUUUAACAGGUUUUACAAGGGAGCAAGUAAAAGUAACCUUUGUGCAUGCCUCAAAGAUGUUAAGAGUCACCGGAGAACGUCCCUUAGGUUAUCGGAAAUGGAGCUGUUUCAACGAAAUGUUCACUGUUCCACGGAAUUGUCUAGUGGAUAAAAUCCAUGGGAGCUUCAGCUUCAACACCCUAACAAUCACCAUGCCGAAGGAGACAAUUACAAAGAUGCCUAACCUUCCAGAAACUCCUAAAACUGUGGCUGAGAGGGUGGAGAAGCUAGAGGAGAAGAGACUGUUGGAAGUAGCUAGAAAGAAGGAAGAAGAGGCUGAGAAGAUCAAGAAGCUUCUUGAAGAGAAAGAGGGGAUAAUUAGGAAGCUGCAAGAAGAAGCUAAAGCAAAAGAGAUGGCUGAGGCGAAGAGGCUGCAAGAAGAAGCUAAAGCAAAAGAGAUGGCUGAGGCGAAGAGGCUGCAAGAAGAAGCUAAAGCAAAAGAGAUGGCUGAGGCACAUCAAAGAUACAAGUUUCCAGAGGUUUAUACUAAAAACGAUCUGACACUUACUAAUUAUAAGAUUACAUAUCCAACAGGAGAAAACAUCUCCUGACCCCACCAACCAGCCCUCUAUAUAUAAUUCCCUCCAACUCUUCGCCCUUUCCAGUAAUAGCUAACUCAAAAAAAGCUUUACAAAAAAAAAAAAUCUGAGCUCAAUGGGGAAGACGAAGCUCUCAUCUCUGUUCAGAGGCGGAGCGGGAAGAUUACUAACCGCUCCUCUCUGCUCCAAUGCCAAAACACUCUCAUUCCGAGUCGAAAACGACAUGAUCAAGACCGUUAACUCGGUCUUCUUCGAUGAUAUAUUAGAGGCCGCAACGCCCGAGUCAUGGUUCACGAACUCGUCCGACACGGCGAGUCACUCGACCGAGUCGGACCAAGACCUCGACGCCGAAUCGCUUGAGACGGUCGUUAGAGGAGUCGUUAGAUCGGAGCGGCUGUUCUUCGAUCCCGGAGCCACUAGCUCGAUCGUGGAAGAGACCAACGAGAAAUCGAAGGCGGCGCCGAUCGAGGAGAUCAGCGUCUCGGUGGCGAUGGAGUCGGAGGAUCCGUACGGUGAUUUCCGGCGAUCGAUGGAGGAGAUGGUGAGGAGCCACGGCGAGCUGGCUAAGGACUGGCGGAGCUUGGAGUCGAUGCUGGAGUGGUACUUGAGGAUGAACGAGAGGAGGAGCCGCGACGUGAUCAUCAGCGCUUUCGUUGAUCUCGUCUCCGGACUCUCUGAUUCGGUAUCGGACUCGGCUCGUUACUCAACCGCCGUAUCGUCUUUGCCGUCGUCGCCGUUGUGUUCGUUAUCGUCUAAAGGUGAGACGGAAACUGAAGAAGAAGAGAGACGGAGCCGUUAACUUUUUUUUGUUUGUUUGUGAUUUUAAUAUCCUUUUUAUCGGAUUGACUUUUUUGGAUUUAUGUAAAAAGUAAUUUUAGUGGUUAGUGGAAAAUCAUAUAAUUAUUCGUAGCAAAAUGUGGAGAUAUUAGAAAUAAAUAAUAUUUUCUUUAAGAUUUUAGUAUAUAUGAAACAAAACGAUUUUUUUUUACUGAAUAAACACUGUGAAAUUAGAUGAGUAUUAAGAAAAUUUGGCACACAUCAAAUGUUUUAUUUAUUCUAAUUGCCAUUUUGACAGUUUGUGAGUUUUGUGUUAGAAAAAGUGUACCUUAUAUAAAAACAUUUAAUUAUCAAAUUUGACGUGUUAACAACAUUUGGUUUGACACUUAAAGGUACCAUCACUUAUAUAUCUAACUAAUAAAGCUGUUUACUUAGUAUUAAUCACGUGCAAGUCAAUAUCUUGAAAGUAAGUGGCUCUUGAUCUAGUAAAAAAACAGUGAGAAUAUGCAUGUUCUCUUGUGCUCAAAUAGACGUAAGUAAUAAAACUGACUAUUCAAAAUUUAUGUAUAAAUAUGAAUUAUCCGGCAAGAUGUUUCUUUCAGUAAAAAAAACAUGCUUCUUAGUUCUUAGUUUCUUACCAAAGAAUUCAUAUUUAUGAUAAUUUGAAUUCUAUUAAAUACAGAAGGAUACUGUAUUUUUGAGGAUGCAUUAAAAGAGAAUGUUGGUCUAUAGUGAGCUUGAAAUGAAACAAAGGGGAGUUGUGAUUUUGUAUUGUGAAAUGAAGGAAGAGUAGCAUGAGAUGAGCAAUGGUGGUGUGGGCACACCUUGUGAAUCCCAAAUAUCAUAGACCUACUUUUCUCUUAUUAUCUCUUUCCAUUUAUUGCUCUACGUUUAAUUCUAGGACCAACCUAGACGACGACGUAACGUUCCUCCAUUUUUCUGCUAUUAUUCAAAUCUUCACAGGUUUCAAGAUUCUCCUGCCUGACCUAUCGUGUAAAUACCAUUGAGAGUUGAUAAAUCUCCACAGCUGAUAAAACCGACCUGUUUGGGGGAACACAAGGCAUUAAACUUGUGCAUGAAGCAACUCUUUAUUCUUUCUUUGUAAGAGAAGAAACAUAUGAUGACCUGACACCGAAGAAGAGAUUUUGCAUGAACAGAAGAAGACAUAGCCGCAAAACUAAGUAUAUCCAUUGCAUAACACAAGAGAAAAUGGCUAAGCGUUGAAGAAACUCAAAUCGUAUUUAUAUGCAGACCAAUAAACCCUAAUGGAUAUUAUUCAACCAAUUCAGAAAAAGAUACAUCAGAGAGAAAAGAAAUUCAAUUGAUGGCACCAAGUGGGGAAGCCCAAAUAAAUUUUGUCCCCAAAUCUGAAUGGAAAGAUCAACCUGACGCCACUAUUCUCACUAUUGAUCUUCCAGGUUGGUCCUUAACUUUUUUUCAUUUACUACUUUUGCGUUUCUUUUAAUUGACAUAAGACCUAAGUCGUCUAGUAAAAUGAGAAUGAUACUUCAGCACCUUGCCUAAAGGUAUACAAAAUGAAUGAUAGUUCCAGAUCCUAACUAGACUAGCACUUGGCCGGGGGAUUGGGGUACAAAAUGAAUAUAUUAGUUUGAGUCCUUGUGGUGGUUCUAGUUCUGAUGUGAAUUGUUUUUUUUAACAGGUUUUACAAGGGAGCAAGUAAAAGUAACCUUUGUGCAUGCCUCAAAGAUGUUAAGAGUCACCGGAGAACGUCCCUUAGGUUAUCGGAAAUGGAGCUGUUUCAACGAAAUGUUCACUGUUCCACGGAAUUGUCUAGUGGAUAAAAUCCAUGGGAGCUUCAGCUUCAACACCCUAACAAUCACCAUGCCGAAGGAGACAAUUACAAAGAUGCCCAACCUUCCAGAAACUCCUAAAACUGUGGCUGAGAGGGUGGAGAAGCUAGAGGAGAAGAGACUGUUGGAAGUAGCUAGAAAGAAGGAAGAAGAGGCUGAGAAGAUCAAGAAGCUUCUUGAAGAGAAAGAGGGGAUAAUUAGGAAGCUUCAAGAAGAAGCUAAAGCAAAAGAGAUGGCUGAGGCGAAGAAGCUGCAAGAAGAAGCUAAAGCAAAAGAGAUGGCUGAGGCGAAGAGGCUGCAAGAAGAAGCUAAAGCAAAAGAGAUGGCUGAGGCGAAAAAGUUGCAAGAAGAAGCUAGAGCAAAAGAGAUGGCUGAGGCGAAAAAGUUGCAAGAAGAAGCUAAAGCAAAAGAGAUGGCAGAAGCAAAGAAGCUUCAAGAAGAGGCUAAAGCAAAAGAGAUGGCUGAGGCAAAGAAACUUGAAGAAGAAGCUAAAGCAAAAGGGAAGCUUGUGGAAGAAGCUACACCAGAGAAGAGCACCCAGGAGAAGAAGCCUGUGGACUCUACCAAAUCUGUGUCUGAAAGAGUAAGCAAGGUUGUGAAAUCAGCAGAAGAGAAACUAGGUUAUUUGGGGGAGAAGGAAAAGAAAAUAAGGAAAGGGAUAAUGGAGAAAGUAAAGGGAAAAGAUUUAACAAGCGAAGAGAAGAAGUCAAUGGUGAAUGUAGGAGUGGCUACCUUGGUUCUGUUUGCUCUUGGAGCUUACGUUUCCUACACCAUUUGCUCAUCUUCCUCCUCUUCAUCUUCUACAUCUUCAUCUUCUUCGUCUCCUUCUUCAUCAACUUCUACAAAACCAGAAUGAUAUGUUCUAAAGAAGUUGUGAGAAGGAGAACAUUUAUACUUUGUAAAUGUGGUAUAUUCUGAAAUAUAAUAAAAGUUCUAUUGAUUGUGAGAGUUUGCUUUUUUAUUUUGGUAUUGUUCAACAAACAUACAAUUGUUAUGGUUUAAUUUAACUAUAUACUUUAACACUCCACAGAGAUAUAUUGUUCUUUUGUAUGUUUUAUAACAAAUACCAUAGGCAUGUUUCUACGAGGUGGUUUGUGUUACCUUUGGUUUCAGCAGUUAGUAGAUGUUCCUUGGCCAAGGCUGGAGCGAUUUUCAGUGUCAAAGCUGCAUCACUAGCAGUGAUGCCUGUUCUUAGAGUUUCGGUUUUAGUCACAAGCAUUCUGAUUCUACUCAUACCUAUAUGGCCACGAAAGGAUCUCAUCAGGUGAAUGAGAAUAGGAUCCAACGCAGUAUACAAUACGAUAAGUACCUCCUCGUCACUAUGGGACUUGUUUUGGAUGACCAUCGCACCGCUAUCAAACUUCCGUAGCAUUACUGACUACCCCAAUCAUAACACAUGAGCCAGAGUCAAUAUUUCUACAUGUAAAUUGCUCAAAUGUAAGCAUUAGAAUAUUCAAAAAAAAAAAUACAUACACAUCAAAUUUCUGCGAGAGGGUGCAAGCUUGCCACAAAUCGUCUGGAGACAAUAUUACUAUUUCACCUCAGUUUUAGAUUUUAGUCCCAUUCUUUUCACACUUCAGUGCCUAAUAAAGAUGAUUUUAGCAAAAUAUUACUGCAAGAAAAUAAGAACUGACUUGUAGCUUUCAUGAUCUUUUAGAUAAUCUUACAUCAAAGAUACAAGUUUCCAGAAGUUUAUACCAAAAACGAUCUGACACUUACUAAUUAUAAGAUUACAUAUCCAACAGGAGAAAACAUCUUCCACAUUCCGAGAAAUAGCCAAAGGUUUUGUUGUGAGAAGCAGAAAAAAAAUCCUUCACAGCUUACAUCUUAUGCUGUUGCCGAGUUAUAUCACAUAGAGACUAUCACUUUAGUUCCUACCAAAAGCAGUCAUUCAAAAGAUUCCUGCCAGAUGAACAAGUCCAGAGGUUCCAUAUUCUGAUCAUAUUCACAUAUCUGUAUAGAUUCAGUAGAUAAAUAACACUAACCAUUUAUCAACCAAAUGAACCACGGCAAUACUCUGAUCCACAAAAGCACUUCUUCAUGCCAUGCAAAGUAUUGUCAUUGUGAGCUUCGCUUGGUCGAGUAACUCCAUAGUCAUAAGUCAACUCAGUCAUGGGAGGAAUAUGAGAAACGGCAAAGAAAGCAACAUGCAAGAAGAGCUGACCAUUAUCUUCAUAACUAACCGGCUGCCAGAAAACAUUAGGUGAGCAACUAUGGUUCAUGAACCGUGCAACGUUCCCAACAUCCUUACCACUGAUUACCAAAGGCAACGGCAUUUCAGGUUCUUCAGACACCUCUUCAGAAUCAACCUCAUCCGCUAAACCACGCUCAUAGUUCCAUUUAAAAGCGGUAUACACACGAGUCGUAUCAAAAGCGUAAUCAUCAUUCUCCAUAGUUUGCUCCUUCUCUUUGGCCUCACCUGCGUAUAUACAUAUAAAGGAACCAGCACGGAUAGGAUCCCACGACCUCAACCCCCAUCCUCUAUCCACCGUCUUGAACACUUCAAGUUUCACUUUGACUCCCAUUUGAGUCACCUUGAGUUUGCAAACCAAGCACGGACAAGACGAGCUGCAUUCAUACACCAUACCCUUGCGGCUAACCAAAACUCCAUUCCCACAGUAAGGAUAAUCACCUCCGUUUCUCCUCACGCAGCGACAGUUCAAGCUCCCCGGCUUGCACGAGCUGCUACAGUCACAACAUCCAGUAGAAGGCUGCGUCAGCUUAAAAGACUCCGAGUAAGUCACCUUUGCGGAGUAAGUGAAAUAAGCAGGACCGUUCUCGUCAUCAACUUCGUUCACAAGCGACACACCAAUGCUUUCAACACCUGCAGAGAGAUCAGCGAGUAUAAGCCCUUCCCUCGAAGUCAACCCACCUUUCCACUUUUGUAUCCCUAUCCACGUGGCGAAAGCGGGAGGCUGACCAGGAGCUCUCACUAGCUUAUACUUAAAAGUGCUGUGUCCCCACUUCCCUUUCUCAGACCAAGACUCUUUCACCUCGUAGAGCCCAUCGUAAAGAUAGAUUUUAACACUAGGAGACGCCUCUUUCAACCCUCUUAUGACCCGAACCGGACUGUUCCUAACCAGGCUCUUCUCCAACGCUAAAUUACCUCUUUCAAGCUUUUGAUCAGAGGUCUGCUUCUCUUUAUCAGCGUUACCACCGCCCUGACCGGUGUAAACCAAAACAUCCGGAUCACCUUCUUCGUUAUCGUAGUAACCAGACGAGACGAUGCUAGUUGCGAUAGUGAUGGUAUCUUCUUCUUCUGUAUCUCCCUUGAGGAGAAGAUAGUCGAUGCCAGCCAUCGAUGGAGAAUGUAGCCCGACCAAACACAUCUCGAACCUGAAGAAGAAUAUGUCACCGAUCUCAACGCCGGGGACUAUACCAGGUCGUUUCUUGGUGUUUGUGCGUACGCCACGGCUCAUGCAAGUGGACCCCGCUUUUAAAUCGGCGCGUUUGUUGGUUCCGGUUACAGCUUCUCUCGCGUCCUCCAGCUGUGAGAACCUUCUUCUCAAGGCCUCGUAGCGCGUGAGAACGCUCGUGACUAGGUUCCUGUUCCCGUUCUCUCUUUCGGGAGAGGUGAUCCCGCUCUCGAAGUUUACAUUAUCAGGACGAACAAGCUUUUUCGGAGUCUUUCUCUUCGGAGUUGGCUCCGCGUCAGACCUGAAUGAUCUUAGAGGAGUGACAGAGGAAGGGUUUGAGUUGUUAUGAGUGUGUGGUUGAGAGGAGGUGAAGGGAUAGAAAGGGGAGAAGCCAGGAGGGAACGGACCGAAAGGAGGUGAGCAGACAAAAGGUGGUGGAGCUUGGUUCCCGCUGGGGAAAACGGGUUUAAGUGUGCGUAAUGGUUUGAUAUCGUACACACUCGUCUUAUCAGUGUAGCUUCUGAAACUCUCUUCCAUUGCUAUAAAUCUACGGAACACAAGAUUGAGAAAGGGAAAGACUUUAAUUAUUAGGUUCUGGUUUUGAAGAUCAAAGAUGAAUUACAUGCAUGCAUAGAUUCAGAGAUGUGCAAUUAACAAUAAGUAAGCACAAACCUGGAAAGGAACGGACUUGGAGAUCGCUUUGUGAGAUUAGGGUUUCUGAAAUGAGAGAGACAGAGGAGAAGAAUGAGAGGGAAACAAAUCGAGAUAAAGUUUCCAGCUUUGGGUAGUGUCUGGGAUUUUCACUGACACAUGUAAUAGUUAGAGGAUAUGGUGGGAUAUAAACCGUUGGAUUAUUAAUCAUUUGAUCUUUGACCGUAGAAAGAUCUAAUACGACUUGAGAGACCUACGUGGGAGGUUGUCCGUUUCGUUUCAGUUUCGUCAUGUGUACUUGCAUUUAUGGUGAUGUAAUAACUUUUUGGAACUUUUGUCAGUUCCCGGUUGCCGGUUGUCGCACGUGUGUAAGAGGUUGUCGUUUCACUUAACUAAAUCUUUUUUUUUUUUGUAAAAACUUGGAUUUUAUGAUAUAUAUAGGUCCAGAUGAUCUUCUAAAUUUUAGAAUUUAGAUCAUUAGGGAACUAUUCAUCAUUGUUAACCUGAUUUGUACCUUUUAUGAUCAUAUACAUCUAAUCUGUUAAUCAAUCACAGAUAUGAAUUAUGAUCAGUUUUGGACAGAUACUAAUAAAACAUUUGCCUUAAUUCGUAAAUUUUAAUGAGCUUAUAUAUAUAAGUUGUAUAAUUAUCAAAUUUUAGAACUUAUUUUUUUUAAAUAACUUUAAAAUGCUUAUGAUUACAUAAAUAUCAGGACCGGUUUGUUACGAGUUACGACUUCUCAUUUUUUUCCUAAAUAAGUAUAAUUUAAAACUAGUUGAAUUUUUGUUAGACAUAUGCUCAAACAUCCAUGAAACCAAUCUAAUGAGCUAUAUAAUGGAAAAACUUUGGCGUUACAAAAUUCACAUAAACUAGGUUAUAUAUGUGAUUUUCUUUAUCAAAGUUACACAUUAUGCUAGUUGAUUCAUAUGCCUUUUGUGACAAUAUUAGCCUAUAUAUAUCAUCUGUUCAAGACCGAUCUUCAACCUGUUUUUGUAGGAUUCUUAAUCGACAAUGCAGACCAACAUUAGCUGGAAUGACGUUUCUCACAACACAUUGUAAUACUCUACCAACUCCGAAGGUUCUCGCUAGUUACAACAUCGUAAUAACAUUAAAACAGUGUGGCUUACAUUUAUAUCUACCAAGAUGUCAACGGUUGACGUAAACUAUUGUCUCCUAGCUCCGGUUCUACCCUCGCAAACCUCAACGUUGACGACAAACACGGAGCAUACCGGCCGGUGAUCGGAGAAUCGCGACUCGCCGCGGACGUACGAGAGCUGCCUGAUUCCAUCACCGUGCCAAAGAAUCCUGUCACACCUAAAGAAAUAUAGAAAACUCGGAUCAGCAUUAACCGAACCAAAAUAAAAAUAGAAUAAAGCCGGUUAAAUAUUAUACCAGGCGGGAGUUCUUCUCUUGUUCUUUUUCUCUUUAGUAGUGUCUCCUGCGUAAGCAUCUGAGUUAUAAGAGUACUUAUAAGUUGGUGCAAAGAAGAUUUUGCCUUCGUGCCAUCCUUUAAACACUCUUCCUGCGUCUCUUUCAAUCUUGAGCUGUAAUUUCAUUUCAGAAAACCAAUAAUCCGGUUUAGCUUUAAGUAGUAAUCACCCUAAAGUUUAGUUACUUGGGUGGAAAGGAACCAUUAGUGAAACCUGAUCUUUGUUAAGAAGAGUGUCCCAAGCGUUUUUAUCCAAGAGUGUCUUUGUUUCUGUGUAACUUAAAGCUAUUCUAUAGUUCAAAUCUCCUAGCCAGAUGACCCGACUGCGAGAUGAUGUGUAAACCAUAUAAGAAUCAAUUGAUUUUAAGUUGGAAACCGAUAGGAGAACAUGUAAUCAUAAAUCUUACUCAUGCUUAGUGAUUCUAUUGGGGACACGGGUGAAAGACGUUCUGCAGAUUCUAGGGAAAGUUGUGUUCUUGAGAAUCUCAAUCACAUCUGAGUUUCUGCGGCGUUCAUCUCCUUCUCUCUCACCGGAAGCUAGAUGACUACAAAUGAAGCAGAAGCUCGUCUUGUAGAGCUGCAAACUCACAGCUAUGCAUCCCUAUGAUGAUGAAGAAAAGAAUAUCAGAAACAGAGUUUUUUUAUUUUGUUUAUUUUCUUUAGGUUUUAUGUGUGAGAGUUUAUUGACAUUAGUUAGACAUUAAUAGUCUUGAGCCUUAAUCUCUCACGAGUGUGUAAGAGUAUAAGUUUUCACAUCAAGAGUUUUGAUGAGACAUAACUAAUAUAUAAAAAAUUGAACCAAACCAUUUACCAUCAAUUGAUUUUAAUUUGGAAGUCGUAAAACUUAGCAUAGUUGUUAAAGUACUGUACCUUGUUUCCUAAGCAACCCAUGAUUCCACGGGUGACAGAAGAGAUUCUGAGAUGAGUAACAUGUUGAAUAAGCUCCUUUCUCAUCCACACAGUGAGGAAUAUUCCCACCAUUUGCUUUGAUGCCACUAAACCAUACUUCAUCAUCAUCUGGUUGCUUACAAUAGAAGCAACCUUUUCUCCUCCUUCCUCAUCUUCAUCAUCAUCAUCAUCAUCAUCCUCAUCCUCGUCCUCAUCAUCUUCGUCAUCAUCACAAAGUAAAUCAGUUUGGUUUACAAGAGAUUCUGGACACCUGAAACAAGAUUCUCUCCCAUACUUCUUCACAAUCUCUUCAGAGAAGGAGUUGCAGUUACAUAUCUUCAGCUUCCUCCUGCAAUCCGUUCUGAAACUCUCACUGAUCUUCUUCAAAGAAGGUUUGGCAAAGAACAUCGAUCCAGCGCCAAAAGAUGGGGUUUUAGGACCAAGUCUUCCACCAGAGGAUGAUGAUGAUGCUGAUGAUUUGUUCAAGGACUGGUUGAUCAUAGCUAACCAUUUAGCAGCAGGCUCGUUGUCUCCAAGGACAAGAACAUUUCCAGCAUUCAAUGGAACAAUCUCCUGAAAACUAUAUAAAAAAAAGAAACAACUUAAUACAUAGACAUAGAUGAUAGAUCCAUGCAAUAGUAAGAGAAAACAAGUUACCCUAAAACGUAUAUAUCAAACUCGCUGUGGACGUGAAGCAAAUCAUCAAGAUCAAGACCAGAGUGUGGAGACUUCCCUCCCACGUUCCAUGUUGCCACAAAGACUCUUCAAAUGAUCACAAAACAUUUAGAAAUGAAAACAGAACAGCUCUGUUUCUAGAGAUAUGAUAAAACAUCAACACAUACCUUAAGGAUUGGAGUUGUUGAGUGGGCAUUGAAGAUCUGAGAUUACUUGAAGAUAACAGAGAUUCAACUACUAUUUCGGAUUGAGACUCUGCAAAAAUUAAAACAAAGUCUAAAAAUAUUCUGAAGCUACACAUAGACAAAGUACAAACACACAUAUAUAUAGAGGAUACAUGGUGACAUACUCUUAUUAAAUAUGUAAAGUGGCUCCGACAUGUUUAUUCUGAAAGGAUUUAAAGGGUAUUUUUCUUUGGAGCUUUUUUCUUCAGGUUUGGUCUCUGAUCAAACACAAAAGAAUUUAAAAGAAACUAUAGCUGAAGAAGAGUUCAACUGUAAAGGAGGCUUUACUUAUCAUUAUUUUAAUUUAUUUUUCCUAAUAUUUUUUUUAUUAAAAGAAGAGGUCUUUAUCAGUUUAAGAAGCAAAGAUAAGAAAGAAUUUAAAAAUAGUAUUUGAAAGAAUAUAUUCUAAAAAGUCCGAAAUCAAGAACAAUGUUCCCUUUCUUUGAUACUUAUAUGCCCCUCCCUGUUUCUUUGCCUUUUUCUUCUCUUGGAUGGUGUAUAGACUUAGAUUGCAUUUUAUAUGAGUCCUUGUGAUGCGUCCUUUGACCGAACUUUUUGUGUAUAACCAAACCUCUUUGACCGAACUUUGAUUAUUUCAAUUAGAAAGUAACGUUUUUAGUGCAGUAUGAAUGUAUAAAUUGUAUAUAUCGAGAGCUUUGAGCUCUCCAAUCAAUUGGCUUCGUUUUUUUUAUCGAGACAAGUAAAGAAACUAGUUGGCAGAUUAGAUAUGAUUAAAUUGGAGUAAUGACGUUUAGGCAUUAGCUGUUUAUUCUGCACGAUCAAACCUCAAGUUGGUGUGAUAUUCUUUGAAGAUGACGUUAAUUAUCAUAUCUAUUAUUUACACCAUAAGACAGGUAAGAUGCGUUUAAUGGAUUAAACAAAAUCAAUUGGGAUCUUUUAAAAUAAAAAUUAAAAAAAAAUUGGGAUCUUUUAAAUGAUUUCAUUGACAUUCAAUCAGUGUUUUAAAACCGCACCGACCCGAUAGCUAGACCAAAUUCGACCAUGAACCGAUCAUCCAACCGGGUUAAAUCUAAUAGCUGGUUCGACAAUUAGUAGGAUUGUAUUUUAAAGUUAUUGAACUUUAUAAAAACUAUUAAAAAUAUAUAAACUAACCAUUUGAAUGGAAAAAUAGUUUAUAUGUAUAAUGUUUUACAUUUGAUAUCUAUUUAUAUUAUAAUUAUGUAUCAUAUUUACAAAUUUUACUUUUAAAUUUUAAUAUUUUUAAAAAAUAUUAAACCAAGUUAUUGAACAAAAUUUGAUCCGGUCGAACCAUAUUGAACCGUGACCCAUAAUUAUCUGGUUCAGCUUAUGCUCCGGUUUUAAAGACAUAGCAUUCUAACUUUUUUUGGUUGCAGAAAUCACACUUUACGGACCAAACCAAACCAAACCAAAAAAAUUCAGACAAAACCAAUCUUGAACUGGUACAUAAUAUAGACGAGUAAUCCAAACAAUUCUCCUCUGUUAAUGGAUCAUCAAAAUCAUCAUUUUAAAAUGUCAAACGGGGAUUAACCGAAUAUCCGUCUUAACCAGAAUUUAAGGAUAGGAUGGGCCUCAAAGGCCCAAUAAGGAACUGAAACGGCCCAAAAUACUCGUUGUCCACGUCUUGUGGAUCGAUCUUCUUCACACACUUAACCGUAACUCCUUUGAUAUACGUUUUAAUCAGCGAGCGCCUGAAGGAGUGGUGGAUUCAUCCCGUUUGAUCGAUCAGUCCCUGGUAACGUCUUCUUCUCUAGCUCUUCGCUUUCAUCUCUGCUCAAGUUUUUUUAGAUCUACUCUGUAUGAAUGUUCUCCUCUAGCUGCAUUUCUACGAUAAUCUCUUCUAGAUUUCGCCCGGAAGCCUCUGCGAUCUUACUUAUUUAUGUGCCUAUGAUGCAUUUUGAUCCGAUCCGUUUGAUCCACUGGAUCUGCUUCGAUUUCGUUCGCUACCAAAUGCUAGAUCUCUUCAUUUUUGAUUUAUGAAUCCGAGACCUCAAGGUUAAUCACUAUCUGGAUUUACUUAACCGUUUGUUCUUUUGUAUUUCAGAUUCACGUCGCCGUUCUUAUAGCUGCUGAUUAUUGGAACCUGAAAAGCAAAUCAAAAUGGUAUUGAGUUUUAUUAAAUGAUUAGUGAAUAUAUUCAAUUAGGUUGUUACGUUUAGUGUUGUAUGAGUUAUCUAACGAUGUCACUUGGGGGGGAUUAUUAUACAGGUCGUGCUAGCUGCUUCCAUUGUAGGCAAGUCUGGAAAAGGUGAGCGCUUCGUGUAUUACCUAUGUCCUUUCAUAUAAUAUACUCCAUCUGUUUCAUAAUAAUUGUCAUUUUAACCUUUUUUUUCUUGUUACAAAAAAAAAAUGUCAAUUUACAAUUUCAAUACAAAUUAUACUUAAUUUCAGAUGAAAAUUGUAUUGAUUUCAUAAAUUAAAUUCAUAAAUAAUUUUAUUUAUCUCUGGUCAAAAACAUAUAAUUAAUAACAAUUUAUAUAUUAUUGCGCCACUUUCUUAAUCUAUGUGAAAAAUAUUAAAGUGACACUUAUUUAGAAACAGAAAACUAUUUAUAUGUGUGUGCUCUUGAUAAUCAAAUAUCAAUUUUCAUUAUUUAUUUUCGUUUUCUUUUUUUUUAUAGUGCUUGUAUCCAGACAAUAUGUGGACAUGUCUCGAAUCAGAAUCGAAGGUCUCCUCGCAGCUUUCCCUAAGCUUGUUGGCAUGGGGAAGCAGCAUACCUAUAUCGAGACAGAGAAUGUGCGAUAUGUAUACCAACCUAUUGAAGUUCUCUUCCUGCUUCUUGUCACUACUAAGCAGAGCAACAUUCUAGAAGAUCUCGACACUCUCAGGAUGCUCUCCAAACUUGUAUGCUUUUUUUUUUUAUGUUUCCAAAUGAGGAAAGGACGUUUGAAUUUACAAUUUGAGUGUUUUGUUUUCUAGGUGCCUGAGUAUUCCAUGUCUUUAGAUGAAGAAGGGAUCAACAGGGCUGCCUUUGAGCUGAUAUUUGCUUUUGAUGAAGUCAUAUCUCUUGGGCACAAGGAGAGUGUGACGGUUGCACAGGUGAAGCAGUACUGUGAGAUGGAGAGUCACGAGGAGAAGUUGCAUAAGCUGGUGAUGCAGAGCAAGAUCAAUGACACUAAAGACGUGAUGAAGCGUAAGGCUAAUGAGAUUGACAAAAGCAAGGUACAUGGCGAGGAUCGCACUUUUGCUUCUUGGGUUCUCUUUUGUAACUCUUUUUGAUAUUUCAUAUGCAAUUAUCCAGAUUGAAAAGACUAGAGGUGAUAAGGGAGGAUUAUCGUCUAUGAGUUCAUUGAGUUCUGGAUUCAAUGACAUGAGCAUGUCUCAUGGUCCUGGUAGUAGUUUUGGAAGUGGUUCCAUGCUUGGCAUGUUGUCAGAUGUUGAACCUAUCAGCACUAAAGCCAAAGGUUAGUGUGCUGUAUCUACUGCUUACAGUUGUCUUUUUAAUAUUGAGUUAAAUAUAAAAAUGCCUAGCUUCAUCUGUGGUUUAGUCAACGCCUCUUUCCUGAUAAACUUUAAUAAAAAAAGUCUCUCUGCUUUGUAAUCAUCUUUUUCACCAUGCUUAAUCCCCACAGAUCGAUCAAGGUCUUCAGUUACUGCUCCUCCUAAGAGCUCUGGGAUGAAACUUGGCAAGUCUGGAAAGAACCAGUUAAUGGAGUCCCUUAAAGCCGAAGGCGAAGACAUCAUUGAAGAUGUCAAGCCCACUAGCCAGACCAGAGCAGCUGUCGCACCUCCAACUGAUCCUUUCACAUUAACUGUUGAAGAGAAACUCAAUGUGGCAUUGAGACGUGAUGGUGGAAUCAGUAGCUUUGAUAUGCAGGGCACCCUGUCGCUUCAGAUCCUUAACCAAGAUGAUGGGUUUGUCCAAGUUCAGGUACUCCUACUUUCUUAUUUAACAAUUUUAUAUAUAUUUGAGGUUGAUUUUUCUUUUCCUUUCACUUCAGAUUGAAACUGGUGGAAACCCUGAGAUUCUUUUCAAGACCCAUCCCAACAUCAACAGAGAACUCUUUAACAGCGAGAAUAUACUAGGUCUGAAGAGACCGGAUCAGCCAUUUCCCACUGGCCAAGGUGGAGACGGUGUUGGUCUUCUGAGGUGGAGAAUGCAAAGAGCAGACGAGUCCAUGGUGCCACUAACAAGUAAGGCUUUAAGGCUAAGCUUUGUCUGUAUUUGAUAUGUUGAAUGUUUCAUGCAAAACGUUUGUUCUGGUGUGCAGUCAACUGCUGGCCUUCGGUCUCUGGAAACGAGACGUAUGUCAGCAUCGAGUAUGAAGCCUCGUCCAUGUUUGAUCUAACUAAUGUUAUCAUCUCCGUACCUCUUCCUGCUCUGAGAGAUGCGCCAGUGGUUAAACAAUGUGAUGGGGACUGGAGGUUUGAGAAUUAUUUGACUUGAAUACUUUUCUUCUCUCUGGUCAUUCUUGUUUUGAGAUGAAACUCAUAAUCGUUUUUGGAUACAAUCAGGUACGACUCAAGGAGUUCUGUUCUGGAAUGGUCAAUACUUCUUAUCGACAACUCGAACCGCAGGUAAAUAAAAAUGAUGACAACAUCUGUUAUAUCAUUACAGCUUAAGAGUUUUAUUUUGUCUGAUACAUGAAAAAUCAUGUGCAGUGGGUCAAUGGAGUUUGUGGUGCCACCAGUUGAUUCAUCGGUGUUCUUCCCCAUCUCUGUUCAGUUUGCAGCCACCACCACAUACAGUGGCUUGAAGGUAUGAUAAAUUUGUUUGUUCUUGAAAUUUCUAAAUAUUCCAUCUGAGAAUUAAGACAUACAAAUGAGAGGCGUGUUCGGUGGUGCAGGUGACGGGAAUGAUUCCUCUGAGAGGCAGUGGUGGUGCGACUCCAAAGUUUGUGCAGAGGACGCAGCUGAUUGCUCAGGAUUACCAAGUCGUGUGAGAAAGCUCUUUUUGAAUUGGAGCCUUUUGUCUUUUCUUUUUGUUUAUUGCUUUCUAUACUAUUUUGUUUGGGCAUUAAAUCUUCAUUUUCUGGGAUUUUACUGAGUUUGUGGGAUCGAGUUACUUCUAAAACAUAGUAUACAUAUAUUCUUAUCAUUGUUUCUUUCUCUUCAACACAAUUUGCUGAAACCUAUGUAACUAAUGAGUUUCAAACUGAGGUUCAAAAACUAAGUUUAGCUAACAAUAAUAAUUCAUCACCGUAUGCUCAAGUCAAGAUAGUAAUGCUGGAAAUAACUAAGUUUCAAACUUAGACACGGUUCAAGAUCACGCCUUGUAAACAGGGUCCAAGAUAGAACUCCAUCGACACUUUCCUUUUGCUUCAUCUCACCUGCUCAAAAAUUUUAUCCAACUUUCAUUAUCAUCAGUAUACAAAGUCCCAACUCAAAAAUUGCAUCUCGAGUUGUGAGGAAUCCUACGGCCACGGUGCUCUUUUCCAAUAUUUUUGUUUGGUUGGCUCAUGUUUUAUCUUUUUACUAAUGUUGGGCCUAAUGUAUGUAAUGGGCUCUUUCGAUCAUUUUUGUAAGGCUUUGAAAACCAAAUUCAUGUGUCAAAAAGUUAAUUUAGACACGUGUGUAUGGAACCGAACCUAAGGACUUGUACCCGCCUUUUUUCCUUUUUAACUCGUGGUUUGGUUUGUAUCAAAAAGAUAUAAGAAGAAAAUUAGGGUUUUUUUCUCUCGCAUAGUUUUUUUUUUUGUCUCGAUUGUUCCCGAUCCGACCGAGCGAUGGAAAGAUCCGAUCCUCCUUCACCGAAGCGUCAGAAGACGGAGGAGGAAGCCACCCGCUAUAAUGGCUGUCCCGAUGAUGAUUUCGAUUUCGAUUCCGACGAUUGCUCCGACGGGGAGAUUGAGUUGUUCGACCAAGAGUUGGACAGGAGCGGCGGGGUUGGUGAUUUCGUUGUUUUUCUUUUGGAUUUUAAGUUUCUUCUUAAUUUUUUUGUUUUUUUUUUUUAAUUGUCAGGGUUAUGAAAUCGACUUCAAGAAAUUUCGCNNNNNNNNNNNNNNNNNNNNNNNNNNNNNNNNNNNNNNNNNNNNNNNNNNNNNNNNNNNNNNNNNNNNNNNNNNNNNNNNNNNNNNNNNNNNNNNNNNNNUACUAGGCCUACUCUGGAUAUGACUUUUUAUAUGCUCUCUGUAUUAGAAGAGACUGCACCAAUACUUGCAAAUUUAGCCGUAGUCGUCAAACCAAAUAUUGAUCCAGGUAGUGAGUUACAUAGGGUUCUGCACUGUUUGAAAUCGAGGGGUCACAAUGUUCUCCUAGUAGAGCUGCCACCUGAUGAAAAGUGUCUCUUUAGUGUUGACUCUCUACUUAAGAAUUCACGAUUUUUGGGUGGAGGAAAGCCUAGAGCCAAAAAAGAGUUAACUCCUGAAGAGAUGCGGGAGAUGCAGCGUCCGUAUGACUCGGAGGAGGAGGAGGAGGAGGAUGGUAGUUAUGAUGUUAGCGAUCUCUCCAACCAGAAAAUGUUAGAUUUCUCAGGUAAGACCAUCUCAAAUUGUUUGUUUGUUUUAGAUUUCAUCUGUCAUUUUUAAAAAUUAUAAAUGGUAUUUAGCCUCCCUCCCUCUUUUGCAUCGCUCAGAGCGUAUCAAACACGUCAAAGGGCCUAGGACAGUCAUCUUCUGGGACGCCAUUGAUUGCCCAUUCCCUCUUUGUUUCUCUCCUGAACAGAUCUUCCAGAAAAUCAAAUCAGUUCUUAUGAAAAAAGGUACGAAUGAUAAUAUUACAAUCUGGGCUUAUGUCGAUGAACGGUCUUGGAGGGAUAAGUGUCUGGGUAACAAGACUUGGGAUUCAAGAAUCUACUUUCUUCCCGCAGGUGAAUUCCAACCUUUUUCUUUGUGUGUAUGUAAUCUAUAUAUGUUGAUGUUUUUUCUCUUUUUUUUUUAUCCAGGGGAUAGACGUGUCAGAAUGUUAAACGACAUGUAUCUACAGUGUAGAGACGCUCCUCUGCACCAUUGUCCAGGACUUUUGAUCCUAGUCUCGAAUCAUUUCUCAGGUGACCCCUUCUACAUGGAGUUGUUUGAGGACAUGCAGCACAAAAAUUACCAUCCUUUCUUGAUAACUCCGAGGGAGCACAGCAACAUAUCAGAAAGCCCUGAUGAAUGGCCACAGUCUCUAUUUAAUAGACCUCGCAAAAGCUCACAAGGACCUCUUCCCAAAAAGCCUAAACUGGAUGCUGCUUAAAGUAGCACAUGCCCAGGGCUGAUGAUACUCUGGUUAUUAUGAUGUUGGAUCUUGCUUGCUUCACAAGAUCUAUUGUUGCAUCCUGAUAUUUAUAUCAAAAACUCUUGUUCUUAUUUUGGGUUUACGCUUUUGUUUAUUUUAAACUGCAAACUCUGUUGUGACAAAUUUUAUUGGCUACACUAUCCUUGCUGCUGGCCAAGGAGUUGAACAUGCAAGGAAAAGAUAGAUUUUUCUUUAAAGAGAAAGUGCUAAUGAUGAAAUUGGCUUGUGGCAAAGCAUAAUCAAGCAUCCAUUCCUUAUUCACAUUGUUCCAUCCCUUCACUCUUUUCUCCUUAGUCUAUAGGCUCUUCACUGACUUGAGAGCUUCUUUCUAAUAGUUCUCUAGAACAGAGGAGUUUCAAGCAUAACCAAGGAAGUCUGGCUCCAAUACAAUGGCAAGAUCAAGGAAAAGGUCAAUUGUCAAAAACUCACAAAAGGUAAUCAGAUACCUUCGUUUCAAGGUAGUUUCAAGCAAAGGUCAAGGAACUCCGGUAGUAGGACAAAUGCAAGGUCAUGAAAGUUAAGUGCCUUCAUCUCAAAAGAGUUACAACCAAGGCCAGGGGACACCAAAUCCAUGUACAAAGCCAAGGUCAAGGAAGUCAAACACCCUUCUACCAUAUUGGUUAUAGCCAAGUACAGGGGGCUCAUCUCAAGGAUCACCAAGCAGUUACUCCCAAGGAGGGAGCAGUACCCAAGGGCCAUCAGCUUUUCGAAGUUAAUUAUACCACAUUUAUUAACUUUAUUUUGCUAACAAAAGUUUGUGUGAUGUAAUUAAUACCUAAAUUUAUAUUUUCGCGACAAUAUGCCAAUCAAAUAUAUAACUGACGAUUAAAACCAUUUAAUAGAAAAAUAAAUCCAAAUUCUAUUUUGAAAAUAUAAUAAUUAGAUUUUAAAGUAAUUCCAAGUCAAUACUCCCAAAAAAAAACUAAUAUUUUCACGAAAAUACGGCAAUCAAACAUAUAACUUUUUAUGGGUAAAUUUGUGAAGUUUUAUUAUCAAUGUAUAAUUCAUAAUUUAAAUAAAUUAGUUACAAAAAGAAGUCAAAAUUAUAUUUGGAAAAUACAAAUUGCUUAGAUUGUAAAGUUAUUUAUCUUCUAUACUAUUAUUUAUGAAGUGAAUUUGAUUACUUGUCAUAUUUUCCAUGAUUGUAUAUAUACUUUUCAUGAACUUUAGAAAAUUUAACUAAUAAAUCGAUAUUAACAAUUGAUAUUAAUCAUAUCUACUGAUAGUAUCAUAAUUACGUUUAUCUUAAAUUUAGUUUAUGUAAUGACUACUAUUAUUGUCAGUUUCUUUGAUUCUUAUUGAAAAUAUGAUCCAAAUAAUUAUUGCAAUAUUAAAGUAAGAUUAAAGAUAAAGCAUUAUGAAAAUAUGUCGCAAAAUAUAAAUUAUAUACUUAUGGCAAAUACCAUGUAUAUAAUAGGACAAUUCUCUCAAAUAGACAUUUUUAAGUUUAAACUAACCAUAAAUACAUUAUUAAUAUUUUUCAUUAUUUCCUUAAAUAAAAUUACGGAAUUUUCUAAUGUGGCUAAAGUAUAUAUGACAAUUAAUGAUUUUGAAUAAUAAAGAUUUGAUAAAAAUAAGUGUAUCUUAUAUUACAUUUUUUUUAAAUUUUAAACUAUUAAAAUAAAUUAAACAACCAUAUUAAUCAUUUAAUAAAGAUUUAGAUUUUUUCUGUAUAUGUUAUAUUUUGAAUUUUUUAAAACGAGUAUAAAUUACUAAAACUGUUAAAAGUCUCACAUUCAAGUUUUGUGAUCCAUGUUUUAAAAUUUUUGUUAUGACAUGGUACAAAUGAUUACAAAAUCAUAUAAAUCGAAAGUCUCAUUUAAUAAGUAUUAAAAUUAAAAGAUAUAUAAAUAUAUAUAUAUAUAUAUCAUUUAAAAUUAAACUAUAUGCCAUAUAAAAAUACAUAUAUAUUCUAAUUUUGAAAUAUACUUUGAACAAAAAAAAAUUGAUAAAAAAAUAUAUAUCAUUUUAUUUUUGUUUAAAUAUUAUAAAUUAUUUAAACUAUUAAUCCCACAAUGAAAUUUUAUUAUCAGUAAUCUAAAGUUUUUACAAUGACAGAUUCAAAUGAUCAAAAAAAAAUAUGAGCAGAAAGUAUCAUUUAAAUUUAAAAUAUACUAUGUAUAUGUUGCUAUCAUUUAAAUUUAAUUAUAUACCAUAUCAAAUAGACAAAAUACUUUUUUAGAUUAUAAAAUUUAUUUAUGUGUUCGUACCAAUUUAAUUAUAUAAGUAAUAAUUACUUAAUUUUUAAUUAUUAAAUAUAUAUUUAUUAUUUCAUAAUAUGUUAAAAAAUAUAAUACAAAAAAUAAUUUAUAUAUAUAAUAUUCAUCCCGCGCAAGGCGCAGAUCUUUAAUCUAGUAUUCAUAUAUUCAACAACACUACACACCAUCUUCUGUAACAAUCGUAUCAUCAAAUCUAUUUAUCUAUUCGCACCAACAAGAAUUUUAAAAGCAGCCAAACAAACAAAAAAACUUUUUAUUCUCGAGCAUUUCGUCACAUGAAAACUCAGUUUUCCCUUCAAGAGUUAGGCACAAAUGUCCCAAUCUGCCCAAACCCCGCGAUGAAGAAUGUGAUUGCUUGCGCGAAAAGGUAUAGAUAACAAUGAUUCUUCCCAAAUAACGCGUCAUAACAUCCGACAGAGAAUAUAUACAUUCCUACACCGAGUUCCACCACAUGAAUUGUUUUAGAAUGAAACAAAACUGCAAGAACUUUGCUUUGCUUAUAAAGAGGAGAAGUAUUUACCUAUCUCCAAAUGUAAAACGAAGCUUUUUUAGUCUUUAUUGCGGAAUUAGCUUUAAGAUCUCCAAGCUUCUCAGUAACAAUCCACUCGUUAACUCUUCAUCCUUCGUGUAAACCUUGCAUUUUAUUUGAUUUUUUUUUUUUCCUUUUUCCAGGGGAUAAAGCCUCGAGACGUAUCAGAAUGUUAAAUGACAUGUUUUUAUUGGCAAGGGACUCUCCUCAGUGCAGUAGUUAUGACGCUAGUUUGGUCCUGUUCGCAGAUCAGUUCAUAGGUGCCGGCUACUACACCGAUAUGCUUCGACGAUUGGAUGCCAUGAAUUACGGUCUUCUCUUAGUCACUCCGACUCUGGACAUCAACAAACCCGAAACCCCUCAAUGGCCCGGAUUGCUUAUGGAUAGAGGCGCAGCCAGUUUUGCUCUUGAAACUAGCAAAAUCUCUGAAGCCCAUGCCGCCGCAGAAGAAGAAGAAACACCUAAGAAGCUGGACACGCAUGGCAAACUUCUCUCGGAAACUGAGGACAUGAAGAAACCAGAAAGCUCUGAAUGUCCAGGACGGCAAAUAGAUGGAGGAUCAGGCUGGGGAAGCUCUGAAGAACCUUGUCCCAGAAAGCAUAAAGCCGGUGCGGCCGAAGAAACAUCUGAUGCGGCCGUAGGGGUUGGGACUAGCUAGCUUCUGUUGUCGUAGCCCGGUGGAUGUUUAUUUAAGUUUUUAUUUAUCAAAAUUUAAGUUCUUAUUUAUCAAAAUGUCUGCUAUAUUUAAGUUUGUACUUGUAUUUUGAACUUCAAACUCCGUUGUAGUAAUUUUAUGACUUCUCUUUUUAUUCUUGCAAUCUUUGGUUUUUCUUGUUGUUGUCUUCCUUCUGUUUAACCGCCAACAAACUCGGGCAUUGUUGUUUUUCUUCAAAUUCAUUUGCUACACCAUAAUCCCAGCAUCUUGUAAUCGGGGAAAGGAUUAUUCCCUUCUAAACCAUUUAUAUAACAUUAAUAAACAAAUAAACUAAAUAUAAGUACAUUGUAAAAAAAUUCACGUUAACUUAUAUAUCCAUUUUUUAUAAAUAAAUAAAUAUAUAUAUAUACAUAUAUUAAAAUUAAUUGUAAAUGUGCUUUAAAAUACAAAACUAAAGCAAUAUUAAUCAAAUAAAAAUUUAUUGAUAAUUAAUGUUUAAAUUUUUUUUUAGCAUUUAUUGGUUUAUUUAGGGUUUCCCCAAAAAAAAGGAAAAGAAUGCACACAGAUCCGUUCCGUUGAAAAUAUGUCAGCACCCUUGAUAUUUUCCUUUUUUAAAAAACAAAAAAUUGAGAUCCAAGAGAGAUAUAAAAACAUGCCCUCAUAGAUAUCUCAGCAAGCUGCAGCCUAGCUCUCUCAUCCGUCCGUGGAGAAAAGCAUUCAAAGCAAGAUCUAACCCCUAGCUAGAAGGAAGGUCUCUCCAAUUCUCAUCGUCAUCUCCGCAGAACCAUGGGCGAAGACGAUACCAUCGGUUUUGAGUCCUGUAAGAUCUCUCUCCAUCUAAAAUUGUUUUGUUAGAUUUCAUCUGAUUCGAUUAUAGGGGAAGUAAUGGUUUAUUUUUUCUAAUUUUUUCGUAAAUUCGUUUGUGUGUAGUGAAGCAGACGCUCGUGUACUGGAACAUGGAUGACUACCCAAUCCCUGUAGAUACUACCGAUGAGCUUGAUCCUGUUUUUGGUGAUAUCUUAAAAGCUCUUGAUGUAAUGGGCUUUCGUAAUGGGCAUAUAGACGUGUAUCUGUAUUCUGAGCAAAUCAACAGGGAGGAGGCUGUAGUCGACUGGACUUUACCCGAAAGUAAAUUCCUCACUCUCCUUUGCUCGUCAUCGUUUCUAUUUUAAAUUAUAUAUAUAUAUAUAUUGUAAUCGGACUUGUUUCUCUGUUGUUGUUUGUAGGCGAAUCUUACGGCGCUUGUGUUUACAAAGUGCCGGAUAUCACUUUGUAUAUGAUUCGUCACGCAUCGUGUAUUGGACCAGGACCAGUGAAUUUUUUUGUAAUUGCAAAACCAAAAAGGGAGUUACAUAGGGUUCUGCACUGUUUGCAAUCAAGGCGUCACAAUGUUCUUCUAGUAAAGCCGCCGCCUCCUGAUGAAGAAUUUCUCUUUAGUGUAGCCUCUCUACUUGAGAAUGCUCGAUUUUUAGGUGGAGGAAAGCCUAGAUUCAAAGAAUUAUAUGCUUCUUAUGCGCUUGAGUAUGAUAUGUGCUUUGAAGAGUAUGUAGACAUCCCAGAAGAUCUCUCCAGGACGGUAGAUUUCUCCGGUAAGACCCCAAAUUGUUUCUAGAUUUUUCUAUUUUUGAAAAUUUAUUAUAAAUGGUAUUUUAUUUAACCUCUCUUUAUUGCAUGUAUGUAUGGCUCAGAGCGUAUCCCAACCGUCAGAGGGCCUAGGACAGCCGUCUUCUGGGACGCCGUGGAUUGCCCUUUCCCUCCUUCUUCCACCCCUGAUGAGAUCUACCACUCUAUCUCAUCAGCUCUUGUUGAAAGGUAUCUUAGUGAUAAUAUUAGAGUGUUUCGAUAUCCAUUGCCAAAACCUCCAUCGAUCGUAAUAGCCCAAUGGGCCCCGUCAAAGGGCCUCGUAUCAUUAUUUGUUGUACAAAGAACCUACAAGCAGAUUAAUAUUUUGCUAGGUGUGAAUUUAUAAAAUUAAAAUUUAAAACAUAUAGUAUUGAUUUAAAUAAAUUUAUAUAUUUGAUCCAUUUUUUUUUAUAUCUAUACAAUUAUGUUUUCUUUGUAUUUAUUAUAUAAUUAGACCAUCUAUCUAUCUAUCUAUACUAAUAAAGUUGAGUUGAGUCGCAAUUUUAAAUUUUCAAGUUUUUUUUUUGCUUUAUUGCAUAACUAGCUUUUCAGGAAUAACAACUUAAUUAGAUUUUUCAUAGCCCUAAACUAAAUCUCUUUUCCUUCCACCAUGUUCUUCGUUUCUAGCCUACAUAACCAAUCCUUCCUCUUUCCUACCGCUUAAAAGCUUCCCUUUUAACGCCUAGGGGGGGGCUUAUUGAAUUGAUGAUUUGAGAAAAUUCUAGUUUUAUCCAAAUAUCUUCUCAUUGGCUGUAGGAUUUUUCAAAACUCUAUCAAAUUCACCCUUAUUGGACUAGCCAUUUAUAAAAACUCUUUAAAAUUUCCCCUUAUUGAAAAAUGAGGAUUUCACUAGUAAAAUCUCUCGUAGUUAUUUUGAGUUAUACCAAAAAAAUAUUUAAAGUUAAAAUUGAACAGAUACAAAUACCACCUUAUGAGUUGGUAUUUGAAGAAAUGUGAAAAAAAUAUCUACGUUCUCCCAUUUGAAACCCAAAACAGUGUCUCUCCUAAGGGAAUCAACUUUGACACUGGAGCGACACUCGCCUUCGUGACACUAGAUCCGAUGGAGAACGUGAGUUCAUGUUUUACCGGAACCCUAGCGCCCACAUGAUACUCCAUCCUGGUGAGCUUAACUUUGAUCUCAUCAGAUCUGCUAAGGUGUUCCACUAUGGAUCAAUAAGUCAACUUCAACUUGAAUGCUGUCAACGUAUAUGUUGACAUGCAAACCACCAAAUUUAGGGAUUUUGAGACUGCAAAAGGGCUUGUGGAGGAGAUCAAAAGCAUAGUAGGGGGUCUUCCACCUGCAGCAGAUGGUAGUAAGUACAUGACCAACAAGAUAACUUGUUAUCUCUCUACGGAUCCUUAUCUCCCUACGGAUCCUCACGAACGAGAAACUAGGAAUGUUCUAGAGAGGCUUCGAGUGAAAGUGAAGCGGUUUGCCUUAAGAAAGAUGUUUUGUAGAAAUUGUAGAGGUUCUCAGAUUACUCCUCCUCGUCCAGGUAAAAACAUUUAGUACCUAAUUUUUUUCUGUUUGUUUUUAUUUUUCUUGCAAAAAAAAAAAAAAAAAUCUAACCAUUUUAUUUGUUUGUGCUGUGUGAAGGAAAUCUACUACCUGGACAGAAACCACAACUUCUUGAGAUAGAAAUGGUAUGCGACCUCCUGUGGCACGUCUUAGACCUCGAAGAUCAUCGAUUUGAGCUGAAUAAGAAUUUGUAUGAGGCAAAAGAUGGGAAGGUACCAAAACCGUUCAGAGACACAGUGAUGCUGAUUACGGGUGACCAGUGGUUAACAAACGAGCUGGAGUCGGAUUGUCUAGAUGGAUUCACGCUUCUGAAGGACAUACCUGCUUGUUUGGAGCCAAUGCCAAUGUCUAUAUCGAAGAAUGAGUAUUGGAAGCGACGCCGAGAGCUAGAGGUAAAUAUUUGAUAUGUGUACUGUUUAGCUUUAUCUGUUUAGAGGCUUUUGGGUAGUUCAGUAUCACCGCACAUUACAUCGAUCAUUUUUUUUACUUAGCUUGCUUUAAUAUUAGCUCUCUGUUGAUACGUACCAGUUCUCUAAUGAGAUGUAUUCUUGCUUCUGCUUAUUAAUGCAGGGGCAGGUUUGAAGUCCUUCUAUGAUGGAUGGUGAAACUCAAGAUUAUUUGCUUUUUGUUUCUUUUUGUUGAAAUUUUCCUGGAUGGUUUUGCGCUUGAUAGAGCGGUGAAUCUGUGGAUUCUAUCAUUUCGUUUUGUCCUAUUUUGUCCUAUUCGACACUUGAUUUAGUUUUUUUUUUUUUUUAAUAAUGUCCCAGUUUUUAUAAUUUGUGGGAUUAUGAGAGCUUCUAAGUGUUUUAACCGUGAUGAAGCACACGAACAAAGUAAAAAGGAGUGAAGUAACCGUAAGUAUUUGAGAGAGAAGAUAAAUUUGAGAAUUUAAGAGAAUGAGAGGAUUUGUGAGAUUGAGAGAAUGAAAGAAAUGUUUGUAUUGAAUUGUGUGUUUAAUUGUGUAACAUACAUGGUGUAUUUAAAGGAAACAAAAGCAAUAAGCACUCAAUGAUGGAAGAAUAAAUAACUAGUAGUGGACUAGCCACUCCUCCCCAUUUGGUAAGUGAUAUGGCCACUCCUCCCACUUCCUCCACUAACUAGUAGUGGACUAGCCAUUCCUCCCCAUUUGGUAAGUGAUAUGGCCACUUCUCCCACUUCCUCCACUACUUCCCUUUGUUUAAUUCUUCAUGUCAACAUUCGACACUUGAUUUAGUUUUUUUUUUUUUUUAAUAAUGUCCCAGCUAGUCUUGAAGAUACCGUAACCAAGCUAAAUUAAAAAAAAAGGCAUCACAAAUCCUUUCCCUAGUAUAUUAAGUUUAAAAAAUAGAUAUAUACUAGAUUAAGAUCCGCGCCUUGCGCGGAAUAAACAUUAUAUAUAUAAAUUAUUUUAUGUAUUAUAUGUUCUUACAUAUUAUGAAAUAAUAAAUAUAUAUUGAAUAAUUAAAAGUCAGUAACUAUUACAUAUAUAAUUAAAUUGGUGCAAACGUAUAAAUCAAUUUUAUUAAUCCAAACAUUUUUUUUUAAAAAAAUUUGAUAGGAUAUGUAAUUAAAUUUAAAUGAUAUUAACAUACAUAGUAUAUUUUUAAUAUUAAUGUCUAUUUUUUUUUAAAUGAUGCUUUCUAUUCAUAUUUUUUUUAUCAUGUGUAUUUUUAAUAGUAAAAACUUUAAAUUACUGAUAACAAAAUUUUCAUUGUGGGAUUAAUAAUUUUAGUAAUUGAUAAUUUAAAAAAAUUCAUCAAUGUUAGUUCAAAACUUUUAUCAAAAAAAAUUAUUCAAAGUAAAUUUUGAAACUAAAAUAUUUAUUUAUUCAAUAUGGUUUAUAGUUUAAUUUAGAAUUAUAUAUAUACAUAUAUAUUUUAAAUCUUAAUGAUUAAUUAAAUUAGACUUUUACUUUUAUGAUUUUGUAAUCAUUUGUAUUUUGUCAUAACAAAAAUUUUAAACCAUGGAUCGCAAAAUUUAAAUGUGAGACUUUUAACAGUUUUAAUAAUUUAUAGUCAUUUUUUAAAAUUCAAAAUAUAAAAUAUACAGAAAAAUCUAAAUUUUUAUAAUAUGGUUAUUGCGUUUUUAAAAAAUUAUUUUAAUAGUUUUAAAUUAAACAAAUUUGAUAGAAGAUACAUUUUUUUAUCAGAUCUAUAUUAUUCAAAAUCAUUAAUUGUCGUAUAUACUUUACUCACAUUAGGCAAUUCCGUAAUCUUUAUUUAAGGAAAUAAUAAAUGACAUUAAUAAUGAAUUUAUGGUUAGUUUAAUAAAAAACUUAUUAUAUAAUUAGAUGGACCAACAUAUUUCUCUAAUAAUUCUAAGAAUCAUCCUAGUGGUGACAUGUGGCUACAAAAAGAUGUUGUAAUGUUUCACAAAUAAUAUAUAGGGGAUAUACUUCUAUCGAAAAUACAAUAUAUAACAUUAUUUUCGGUCUCAACUACUCUCGAUCGACAUUACAUGUGAUAUAAUGAAUCCAAUGGACAAGCAUUGUUUGGUUCUAUAUGUUAUUGUUCUCGACUAUAUUCGUAGUCUUCAAUCGAAAUGGUUCUAUAUGUUAUUGUUCUCGACUAUAUUCGUAGUCUUCCAUCGAAAAGCAUUGAUGUAUAUAGGCUCUGUCAAUUCCUUCAUAUAACUCAUUAAAAAAUUUGUUAUUUCAAUCCCACGGAAAUUUGGUUAAGUUUGUGGGGAUGUCUUGUUGAUAUAAGAAUACGGAUAUACUUAUUAUGGAAUACAAUUUUUAAUGGUCAGGAAGAAUUACGCUUAAAUGUCGAGUGGUUUUGAGACAUGCAUUAUUUGUUUUUCUUUUUCUAGUUAGGCCAUAGUCGGGUUGUUGUUCGUUUCGAUGUCACACGACUGAUCGCGCGACCAGUCGCGGGUUCCAAUUCAAGUCGCCCGAAAAAACAGCGACUAAAAAUUAAGAAAAUUUUGAUCGAACGAGUGGUCGCAGAUCGCAGGUCGCGCGACACGUAAACGAACAUAGUUUUAGUCGCAGGUCGCAGGUUUAGUCGCAGGUCGCAAGUCACGUAAACGAACAUAAUCUUAGUGGCAGGUUGGGUAAACGGCCUUACCUAUUCCUAUGAUAUGUCUUGUCUACUGUUGCGUGUCCAUGCCUUUAGAUAUGAAAACAUAAAUUUAUCUUUAUGAAAUUUUAUUUUACGAGAUGCGAUCUUUGUAGUAGCAUAUAUCAGGUAUAUAGAUGCAUCUGUUUACUACUAGAAUCAAGGUUCAGUACUAGAGAAAUAUAUAAGAAGUCUUACAAAAUGACUAAAUGAAAACAUAAUAAGAAUUGGUUAUAGCCUACUUUAAUUUGACUUUCAUCUUAUAAUUUGGUCGGUAUGCCCCAACCAAAUCUAUCCCUUUCAUUCUAAGCAUCGUGUGACAUAUAUAAUAGUUAAGUCAAGGUUUAUCUCUCAUAAAACUAACUCAAAAGAAUUAGCUAACCUCAUGAUUACCUUCUUCGUUGGAAAUUAAUUACUCACUCAUGAUUCUCUCCUUUAUUUAGCCUCAAACCAUAACUCUCCCACAGAUUCUGAUCUCCGUCUCCCAUGAAGAACGGGAAGCAGUUUGUAUUAGCGGCCAUUGCACCGCUCGGGUUUCCAGCGGCUGCGUUUACAUUUGAUGUUGAAGAACCCACAUUGCCUUGUUCAUUCAUCUGAUGACGCUGAUCAUUAUCAUUAUAUCCACUUUCUUGAUUGUUGUAGAUCGUAUUUUCUUCGGUUGUUGGAUAGUAAACGCCGCAGCUCGACGAAUUGUCCUUCCUUUUCUUGUUCAUUUUCUUCUUUCCAUUGCUUAUCCACUCCCAAUUUUCCUUGCAUAACAAGGCACUUUUCUGAUCGAACCCUAACUGAGCCAUUUUCCCUGCGACUUCCUCCCAUAAAGAAUCAUCCGAGCAUCCUCCCAAUAUCUCUUGAAACGCCGAGUCCAUACUAGUUCUUAUCUCCAUAAGCUUUGUGAUCUCUUGCUCAUUCCAGCAGCUACCACUUCCUUCAAUAGAAACAUUGUUAGUCAUUGUUUGGUCGCUUUCAUUCUCAUUCUGAUUCUCACUGUUCUUUUGGAUCUCAUUAUUACCAUUAAUCCUCUCCUCUGGGGAUGAACAUAACGGCUUUAUUAACGUCUUUCCGGUCAAAAACUGCAAAGCCUCAAUCACCGCCACAUCCCUAGCUUCCAUCCUCUCCCUCUCUUUAGACCAAAAAAAAGCUCUUUAUCGAUCCUCGCAGCCUCACUCUUUCUCCAUUCCUCUUCUUUCAUCAUCCUUCGUUCCUCUUUGUCUUCAAUAACCUUUGUCAACUUCUCAAGCCAAACAUCUUGACUUUCUAUCAACCUUUUCAUGUUCACAUCAAUGAACUCCUUUAUCUUAUUUUUCCAACUCCUCUUUUUCCUUCUUCUACUAGAAUCAUUCCCCUCAGAAGACGAAGUCACCAACUCCAGCUCGGAGGAAUUGUAGUUGUUAGAAAGGCUUAGGCUUUGACGAUGGAAACCAUGAACACUAUCAACGUUAUGGAUGUUAGACGUUGUUGUAGUAACGUCGUUCAUGGCGUUUUGAGUGUGGAAACCAUGAAGAGCAUUGCUCAUGAACUGUGUGUUAUGACUGGGACAAGGAACCAAGUUGUUGGAAUCACCGUAGAGCGCCUCGAGCUGCCGGAAAAAUCUAUAGUGUUUACCGUCUUGUCUUCCGGCUUUGCCUUCUCUAGUCUUCUUAUAGUAUUUGUAAAGGUUCUCAAACUUCUCUCUGCAUUUUUUCCCACUCCUUUGGUAUCCAUGUUCCUCAGACAUAAUCCUAAAUGUUAAAGCAAAAUAAGACUACAUGUACAAUACUUCAUGUUUCGAUUAAAAUUUAAAGCAGUACCCUAAUCUUGAAACUAGGUUUGAAUCAUGACUGUUCAUAAGAUAUUCAUAUAUUCAUCGUUUUCAUGCAUAAACGUAUACAGAAUAACAUUGUAUGGUCUAUUCGCUUAAGUUUAGAUAAUAACUUAAAAGUUUGUUUUUCUUACAUAACCAAGAUUAUUUUGGAGACUUACUAGUGGACUAAUAGUUUAGCACAAGAACGUGUUUCUAUGCAUAGUUACACAAAAGAAGAGGGUACAUAUCUCCAGAAGCUAAGAAAGAUGAAUCAGAAGUUAUCAGUAAAAAGGGAGAAAACUAAAAUCAAAGUCAAAGAUGAUAAUAGAACUCUUUAUUUUACUAUUUUCUAUGUUUAACCUUUUGGGGUCUUAAAGCACUUGCUAAUGUCUUAACUGAAACUGCCAAGGUCUGGUCAUUCUCUCGACCAAACCAAAACGACUCCUAGAGAAAUUGUUUUAAACUGACCACUCUGCAGAUACACAUUAAUAUGUGUGUGUGUAUAUUUACAUAUAUACGCGCGAAUGUAAUAUUUAUAUGUGUCCCUAUAUUGAUCAGCUCAAAAAGUAUGUUGAAAUUGAGGAGCCCAAGGGAAGUGUUGAGAUCACAUUCUUUCUAGUCAUUAAUGCAGAAAAAGGUUUAACUUGUCUUCGGGAUUAUCACUUGAAAGGUCUAAUUUUUAACAAGAAAGCGUAUGAAAGGUCAAAUCUUUUCAAAUCUGAAAAAAACUCCGGAAAACAAAAUGCUUAAAUUUUAUUAAUAGUUUUUUGAAGAUGUAGCUGUUUAGUGUUUAGAAAUGAAUGUUUUCUUCCAUUGGAAAUUUAUUAAUUUUCGCCUAAUUGACUAACUUUUUUAAAUAGGAUACAGUGUCGUCGAUGAAUCAAAAGACUCUUAUGGUAUGAAUUGGUUUGAGAAAUGUGCUUAAUAUUUUUUAAUAUUUUUAUGAAAAAUAGCGGAAAAUAAAAAGAGAGAGAGAGAUUAGGGUGAAGUGAAGCAAACCUAGAAACUUCAUCCCAUAGAGGUCCCUUUUGAUUAGCUUCUUUGAACUUAUGAUCAAGACGAGAUCUAAUCUCCAGCAGAGUUAGGGUUUCUUGUCUCGGCCAUCUCCCCGUUCCUCCACCAUCUCCUCCGCCGCCGCCGCCGAUACCUCCUCCGCCACCGCCUCCCCGCCAAACCCAACUGCUCCACCACUGCUGCUAGCGUUUAAGUUACUGUUAUUUCCAGCCGUCGAAGAACUCCCACCCAGUCCAUGUAUGCCACGUGGUAAGAAACCCAUCUCCUGAUCUGUAGUGAACUGAUGUAGCCGGUGGUGUUGCGGCGGCGGAGGGGGCGCAGCCGGAGCUAGGUUGAAGCCAAAGAAGUCGGAGGGAAAAUGAGAAGAGGUCGACGGUGAUUCCGUCGUAGUCGCCCUCCCCCCGCCUUGCAUGAGCUGCCGGAGCUCCGGUACACCAUACUGAGGAUGAUGAUCGUCCAUUUUUAGAUUUAUACUCAGCUGAAAGAGAAGGAAAAAGUAAAGGCUCUACCCUUUUAAUUCCAAAGAAAGAAAGAAAAGAUUGAAGCUUUUUUGAGAGAGAGAGAGACUGAUCGUGUAGUUCACGAAAAAGGUCGAAUGUAAGCUACAGAUAUGGUCCCCUGACUUAAUAACAUUUUUUUUAUUUUUCUUCUUGUAUGAGUGUGGGCGAGAGAGGGAAGAAACCGAUGUAUGGUAUGGUCUAUGGAUACUACAUACAGAUCUUUUUGUAUGUAUACUGUAUGUUUUAAGUUUUUGUACCAUGUCCAUGUGUCUUAGUUCUCAUUAUCUCCUAUCAAAUAAUUUGAAUACAUGCAUUGAUGCAUAUAUAUUCAUUUCAAUGCAAGGUUAGAUACAAUAAUACAUCGAGCCAUCGAGGCAUUCUUCUUUAAAUCUUGGCUGUAGAAUUGGUUUUUAAAUAAUGAUCUGAAGACAGUUUUCCAUUUCCUCUGUAGAUUUUUUACUACCGAGUUUCAUUAGUAUUUUGGAUUUUUGUAUGAGGAUAGUUUUAAGGCAAUUUGCACAUGUGACUCCAUAAUUGACACAACCUUUUUGGAAAACAAAGGGUUGCCUAUAAAAUUAUUCCCUUGAAUUAUUAGGUAACAUCAUUAUUUUGGCUGCAGUCUCGGAUAUUUUUCCCAUUUAUUAAAGUAUGAUUUACUUUGUGAGCCCCUGAAUAAGUAGAUACUUGCACAUUUCUAUAUCCCUACUUCUAAGAGCAAGAAAUGACUCUAAAAUCAUUAAUAAUUAUGGAUAUAUAUAUCCUAAAAACCAAACAGUUUUUUCACAUUAGAUAUUGUCAUGUUUAAUAAUUCGUGUACCUUUUUUUUGCUUUUAAAUCUGUCAUUCAGCUUUUAAAAUCUUCGUAUUUCAUAAAAAAAGGUUUCCUCUGCACUGAGAACUUUAUAAGAAAAUUUUCGAGAGACAUGUUUGUGAAGUUAUUUGAAAAUCAAAUUAAAUUAAUUGGCCGCAAUAAGAGGGGGUCCUCUGCAAAAUUACCAAAUUAUUGGCUUUUAUGCUCCCCAACAUUUCAAUCUGUCUAAUCCCUAACCAUUUGGCUUUAUUGUUCCCUUUUCACACUUUUAUUGCUUCAAUCCUAAUGUUCACUGAGUUUUUAAUCCUUAUUUCGAUAUUCAUUUCAUGGAACUACACAUUCAAAUUCGUAUUUAGAAUGAUAUCAUUAUUAGAUUUAUCAUGAUUUUUUACCGCUUUCAUUUGAAAAUCAAACAAAUAUCAGAACUGAACCCUUUUUUGGACAAAAAAAAUAUCAGAAUUGAACUAUCUAUAUAAUUCACCUCGUUGUAGCUAUAGUGAUGCUCAGCAUAUAAGUUUAUUUACCUGAUUAAUUAUUAAUUUAAAGUUUCGUAUAAAAUAACUAUUGAUUGUAUGUAAAAUACUGCUAUCGGAAUUCUGAAUUUGCGAAACUCCACCGUAAUUUUUUUCACAUGUCAUGAACCAAUGAAUCAGAAAUAUUCGUUUGUAAAGAAAAAUUAGUGGAACUAACAGUAACAUUUUCGGGAGUUUUGGUUUGAUCCUUAAGAGGAAGGAUCUACAAAAACAUCAAAACCGAUGGAAGAAAUCGCUAAAUAAGAGACGUUUUGGUUUGGUCUUUAUACUGUUCGCGGACUCUAGUAAUACGUAACGGUUCGCGAUUGAUUCGUUUUUAAUUUUUUUUAAUCAGACAAAAAAAGAAAUUAAGGACCCUACCAAUAAUAUUGCUCUAAUGAAGAUUGCGAGAAAAAAAAAGAUUUUAUUGUAUUUAGUGAUGAGAGCUGAGUACACGUGCCACAUUUGUAACCGUAUGUUAUAAGACCCUCUCCCAUCAACAGUAUCCUCAUUAGGCACACCAAAACGAUGCCGUCGAUUUUCUAUAACUUGUUUUAGGGUUCUUUUCGAGCUUUCUUUGGUUUAUUUUCUUUUCUUCGUUUCUUAAUUUAUUUAAAUAAGAAAUAAAUAAAUAUAUGCUUCUCUCUUCCAUGGAUUGCAGACAAAUAACAAGGUUUUAGGUUUGUCACCUACCUAUUUAUUGUUUCUGUUUUUUUUUGUGAACUACCUAUUUAUUGUUUCUUCACCGCCAAAUUAAUUGACACCUUAUCUUCUUCUUUUCCAUCUCCUUUGAUUUUAUCAAAUAUUGUAAGGAGGUCAAUUCUUUGAAUUAUACUUCAUUCACCUCGUUUUUCUUAUAACAAAACCAACUUCGAUACUUUGAAUGAUAAAUUUCAAAAUUCAGUUUAGACUAGUAUAGGAAAUAUCAAAAAUAUAUAUAAGAAACAUUUUUUUCUAGUAAUUUCUUCAUGUCCUUUGUAUUUCCCAAUAGAUCGCAAUAUAAUCACAUUCAAAUUGUAUUAAUUGGAUUUCGAUACUGACACAACUAUAACUAUAUUUUAGUUGACAUAAUUCUAGAUUAGGAAAUUGAAAAAUCUAACAAUCUCUCUAUAUAUACUCCUUCAAUUCCUAAAAAUCCAUAUUUUAGAAUUCUUACACUUUUUAAUAAAACAUAUUAAAACUUAGCUAUAAAUGCAUAGUUUUCUGUAAUUUUAUAUUCUUAAAUUUUUAAACUAAUAAAAUUUUAAGAAAUGCAAUUAAUGUUUUUGAACUUCACAACUUUUCAUUAUUAGUGGACAAAAAUUAUAUUGAAAAUAUAAAAUAUGUACUUCCUCUGUUUCUAAAUAUAAGAUGUUUAGAUAGAAAAACACAUUUUAAGAAAACUACUUUUUGUUUUGUCCAAAAAAAAAAUUUGUCCAAAAAAAAAAAGAAGAAAACUAUUUUUUGUCUACUAAAUAUAAUUAAAACUAUAAAUUAAUAGUAUUCAACCAAUUACAAAAUAUAUUAUUAAAAUAUAAUUAGUUACAUAGUUUUUAACAAAGUAAAAGUUAUUUAAAAAAAUGAAAACAUCUUAUAUAUUAGAACAUCAAAAUUUUGUAAAAUAUUCUAUAUUUAAAAACAAAUGGAGUAUGUUUUUGAAAUAAUUUUUUUUAUGAAUCUUUUAGAAACGGAUGAAAGAAUUAAAUAUUCUAGUAUUUGUUAGUAGGUGCCCUGAAGGUGGCCUCUAGUUUCCACGUCGGGUAGAGGCGAAGGAGCAUGCAUUUGUGCGAAAGUGAAUUUUUCUUUUUUUUUGAAACUAACGAAAGUGAAAUUAAAAGAUUAAAAUAUCAACUAUACUACUACUAAGAUGGGUCAAUGUUCCACAUGCAAACAAUAAUUCUCAAAAUAACAAUAAUAUAUAUGCGGUAGGGCCUUUAUUCAUUCGUACAUCACCAAUGUAUUCGUACAUUGAUUAUAAAUUCGUACUUUAUGGUUAAUAAGACGUAUAUAAUUCAUAUGAGGGUACACUUUUUAACGAAGAAAUUACUUAAAACGAGUUUCAUUAGUGAGAUAACACAUCCAAAAAUAUGGCUUACUUAAGAUAAACACUGAGUUACUAUUUCCUAGAUUUACAACAUUAGUCAUCGGUGACCCUUUCGAUAUGAAAAUGUCAUGAUUCUCGUUAAAGCAAACUUUGGUUUUUAUUGAAAAAAGGGAAAGUGGCCUCAACCAUGAUCUGUUUUAUAUAAUAUAUUUUUGUUCUAUCAGUGAAGAUCUCUCUCUUUAAUUUGCUAAUAACGAGAUCUAUUUUUCCACUGUUGUGUAUGAAUCAGAAUAUAAUAUUCCUCAGCAAUCAUACCGUUCAAAAAUUAAAACUGAAAGACAUUCUUGAUCGCAAAGUUGGGGACCACGGUACCAAAAUCACGAAUAAAAGUUUACUUAAGAAUAUUUGACAUAAGAUAGCUAGAUGCCGACAAAUUCAUAAUGAUCACUUUGGAUUUGUUUUAAAAGAAAUUAAUAAGUGAAGAAGUAAUUAUUUCUUAGAAAGGAGUCAAUGACAAACAAAAGCAACAUAUACAUAGAUUUUUGAAAAAAAUUCAAAAAAUUUGAUAAUAUUAUUUUAAUUUAUAAUUGCAUCAUUCACUAAAAUAUGAUGAUGUUCAAAAAAGUUUAGAAUCUUUGUUGUUCCUGUUUUUAAAGAAAAUAACGAUUCUACAGUAGUUAUUCCACCUAUUUAAGGAGUAUUAUGAAGUUAUACUAAAUAAAUUGAUAAACAAAAUUAUAACGAUUCUCAUAUACCAUGAAAAAGAGUUUUACAUACAUUAAUACAAAUGUAUAAUGUGGUUAGAAAUUUUAAAACAACACUAAAAAGUUUCGGCUUCACUAUAUAGAGCGUUUAACGUAAAACUCAAUAUUUCGUAUGAGUUUAUUCAUAGAUUUUAAAAAAUUAAAAAUACUACAAUAUUGUUUUAAUGCAUAGUUGCAUCCUAAACUAACAUAUGAUGAUGAUCAAAAAUCCUUGAAACCUUUGUUAUCUAUGUUUCUCUAGAAAAUAACGAUUCUAUAAUGGUUAGUCCACUAAUUUAGGGAUUACAUGAAGUUUUACAAAAUUAAUUGAUAUAAAAUUAGAAAGAUGUCCAUGUACGAUGAAAAAAGAGUUUAAAUAACAUUGAUACAAAUUUAGAAUGUGGUUACAAAUUCUCAAAUAACCCUAAAGAUUAUAGGCUUCAGUAUAUAAAGCAUUUACCAAAAACUCAAUAUUUUCGUAGGGGUUAAUACAUAGAUUUUGAGAAAAAUUUCAAAAAAUUUAAUAAAAUAUUUAUAAUGCAUAGUUGUUGUCUCUGUUUUUCAAGAAAAAUGAUGAUUCUAAAGUGGUUAUUCCACCUAUUUAGGGAGUAUUAUGAAGUUUUACUAAAUAAAUUGAUAAAAAAUUAUAACAAUUCUCAUAUACCAUGAAAGAGGGUUUAACAUACGUUAAUACAAAUUUAUACUGUGUUUUGAAUUUAUAAAACAACACUAAAAAUUUUAGGUUUCAGUAUAUAGAUCGUUUAACGUAAAACUUAAUAUUUCGUAUGGCUUUAUAUAUAGAUUAUGAAAAAAAUUCAAAAUAUAAAAAUAUUAUUUUAAUGCAUAGUUGCAUCCUAAACUAACAUAUGAUUAUGGUCAAAGAGACUUGUAACCUUUGUUGUCUAUGUUUCUCUAGAAAAUAACGAUUUUAUAAUGGUUAGUCCACUAAUUUAGGGAUUACAUUAAGUUUUACAAAAUUAAUUGAUAUAAAAUUAGAAAUAUGUCCAUGUACAAUGAAAGAGAGUUUAAAUAACAUUGAUACAAAUUUAGAAUGUGGCUACAAAUUUUAAAAUAACCCUAAAGAUUAUAGGCUUCAGUAUAUAAAACAUUUACCAAAAACUCAAUAUUUUCGUAGUGGACAUAUAGAUUUUGGGAAAAUUUCAAAAAAAUUGACAAUAUUGUUUUAAUGCAUAGUUGCAUCUUUCACUAACAUAUAAUGAUGUUCAAAGAGGUUUGGAGCCUUUGUUGUCUCUGUUUUCCAAGAAAAUGGCGAUUCUACAGUGGUUAUUCCACCUAUUUAGGGAAUAUUAUGAAAAAAAAUCAAAAAUAUAACAAUUUUUUAAUGCAUAGUUGCAUCCUAAACUAACAUAUGAUGAUGGUAAAAGAGGCUUGGAAAAUUUGUUGUCUAUGUUUCUCUAGAAAAUAACGAUUUUAUAAUGGUUAGUCCACUAAUUUAGGGAAUAUUAUGAAAAAAAAAUCAAAAAUAUAACAAUUUUUUAAUGCAUAGUUGCAUCCUAAACUAACAUAUGAUGAUGGUAAAAGAGGCUUGGAAAAUUUGUUGUCUAUGUUUCUCUAGAAAAUAACGAUUUUAUAAUGGUUAGUCCACUAAUUUAGGGAUUACAUGAAGUUUUAAAAAAUUAAUUGAUAUAAAAUUAAAAANNNNNNNNNNNNNNNNNNNNNNNNNNNNNNNNNNNNNNNNNNNNNNNNNNNNNNNNNNNNNNNNNNNNNNNNNNNNNNNNNNNNNNNNNNNNNNNNNNNNNNNNNNNNNNNNNNNNNNNNNNNNNNNNNNNNNNNNNNNNNNNNNNNNNNNNNNNNNNNNNNNNNNNNNNNNNNNNNNNNNNNNNNNNNNNNNNNNNNNNNNNNNNNNNNNNNNNNNNNNNNNNNNNNNNNNNNNNNNNNNNNNNNNNNNNNNNNNNNNNNNNNNNNNNNNNNNNNNNNNNNNNNNNNNNNNNNNNNNNNNNNNNNNNNNNNNNNNNNNNNNNNNNNNNNNNNNNNNNNNNNNNNNNNNNNNNNNNNNNNNNNNNNNNNNNNNNNNNNNNNNNNNNNNNNNNNNNNNNNNNNNNNNNNNNNNNNNNNNNNNNNNNNNNNNNNNNNNNNNNNNNNNNNNNNNNNNNNNNNNNNNNNNNNNNNNNNNNNNNNNNNNNNNNNNNNNNNNNNNNNNNNNNNNNNNNNNNNNNNNNNNNNNNNNNNNNNNNNNNNNNNNNNNNNNNNNNNNNNNNNNNNNNNNNNNNNNNNNNNNNNNNNNNNNNNNNNNNNNNNNNNNNNNNNNNNNNNNNNNNNNNNNNNNNNNNNNNNNNNNNNNNNNNNNNNNNNNNNNNNNNNNNNNNNNNNNNNNNNNNNNNNNNNNNNNNNNNNNNNNNNNNNNNNNNNNNNNNNNNNNNNNNNNNNNNNNNNNNNNNNNNNNNNNNNNNNNNNNNNNNNNNNNNNNNNNNNNNNNNNNNNNNNNNNNNNNNNNNNNNNNNNNNNNNNNNNNNNNNNNNNNNNNNNNNNNNNNNNNNNNNNNNNNNNNNNNNNNNNNNNNNNNNNNNNNNNNNNNNNNNNNNNNNNNNNNNNNNNNNNNNNNNNNNNNNNNNNNNNNNNNNNNNNNNNNNNNNNNNNNNNNNNNNNNNNNNNNNNNNNNNNNNNNNNNNNNNNNNNNNNNNNNNNNNNNNNNNNNNNNNNNNNNNNNNNNNNNNNNNNNNNNNNNNNNNNNNNNNNNNNNNNNNNNNNNNNNNNNNNNNNNNNNNNNNNNNNNNNNNNNNNNNNNNNNNNNNNNNNNNNNNNNNNNNNNNNNNNNNNNNNNNNNNNNNNNNNNNNNNNNNNNNNNNNNNNNNNNNNNNNNNNNNNNNNNNNNNNNNNNNNNNNNNNNNNNNNNNNNNNNNNNNNNNNNNNNNNNNNNNNNNNNNNNNNNNNNNNNNNNNNNNNNNNNNNNNNNNNNNNNNNNNNNNNNNNNNNNNNNNNNNNNNNNNNNNNNNNNNNNNNNNNNNNNNNNNNNNNNNNNNNNNNNNNNNNNNNNNNNNNNNNNNNNNNNNNNNNNNNNNNNNNNNNNNNNNNNNNNNNNNNNNNNNNNNNNNNNNNNNNNNNNNNNNNNNNNNNNNNNNNNNNNNNNNNNNNNNNNNNNNNNNNNNNNNNNNNNNNNNNNNNNNNNNNNNNNNNNNAAGAACACUGAGGUGAUAGGAUACUGUGAUGCAGAUUGGGCUGGAGAUAGAGUAGACAGAAGGUCAACCACCGGUUAUUGUACAUUCAUUGGAGGGAAUCUUGUCACUUGGAAGAGCAAGAAACAGAAAGUAGUAUCUUGUUCAAGCGCAGAAGCAGAGUACAGAUCAAUGAGGAAGCUAACCAGUGAGCUUAUCUGGAUAAAGGGGCUUUUAGGCGACUUGGGAAUUGAGAUCACCUCUCCCAUGACCAUGCACUGUGACAACCAAGCCGCAAUACACAUUGCAUCCAACUCAGUCUUUCAUGAAAGGACAAAGCACAUAGAAGUAGACUGCCACAAGGUCAGACAAGCAGUGGAGCAGCAAGUGAUUCUCCCAUGUUAUACAAGAAGUGCGGAUCAGCUGGCUGACAUCUUCACCAAGGCGGCCAGUAGCAAAGUUUGUGAGUCCAUUCUUCCAAGACUUGGACUCAUAAACCUUCCAUGUCAAUGAUCUCCUCACCGUGGAGUAUUCUACUCUUUUUCCUUUGCUUGGUUUUUAUCCCAAGUGGUUUUUCCAAGAAAAGGUUUUAAUGAGGGAAUACUUCAUGGCUUUCCAAGCUUGACACUCACUACUGUCAAGCUUGAGGGGGAGUGUUGACAUGAAGAAUUAAACAAAGGGAAGUAGUGGAGGAAGUGGGAGAAGUGGCCAUAUCACUUACCAAAUGGGGAGGAAUGGCUAGUCCACUACUAGUUAGUGGAGGAAGUGGGAGGAGUGGCCAUAUCACUUACCAAAUGGGGAGGAGUGGCUAGUCCACUACUAGUUAUUUAUUCUUCCACCAUUGAGUGCUUAUUGCUUUUGUUUCCUUUAAAUACACCAUGUAUGUUACACAAUUAAACACACAAUUCAAUACAAACAUUUCUUUCAUUCUCUCAAUCUCACAAAUCCUCUCAUUCUCUUAAAUUCUCAAAUUUCUCUUCUCUCUCAAAUACUUACGGUUACUUCACUCCUUUUUACUUUGUUCGUGUGCUUCAUCACGGUUAAAACACUUAGAAGCUCUCAUAAUCCCACAAAUUAUAAAAACUGGGACAUUAUUAAAAAAAAAAAAAAACUAAAUCAAGUGUCGAAUAGGACAAAAUAGGACAAAACGAAAUGAUAGAAUCCACAGAUUCACCGCUCUAUCAAGCGCAAAACCAUCCAGGAAAAUUUCAACAAAAAGAAACAAAAAGCAAAUAAUCUUGAGUUUCACCAUCCAUCAUAGAAGGACUUCAAACCUGCCCCUGCAUUAAUAAGCAGAAGCAAGAAUACAUCUCAUUAGAGAACUGGUACGUAUCAACAGAGAGCUAAUAUUAAAGCAAGCUAAGUAAAAAAAAUGAUCGAUGUAAUGUGCGGUGAUACUGAACUACCCAAAAGCCUCUAAACAGAUAAAGCUAAACAGUACACAUAUCAAAUAUUUACCUCUAGCUCUCGGCGUCGCUUCCAAUACUCAUUCUUCGAUAUAGACAUUGGUAUUGGCUCCAAACAAGCAGGUAUGUCCUUCAGAAGAGUGAAUCCAUCUAGACAAUCCGACUCCAGCUCGUUUGUUAACCACUGGUCACCCGUAAUCAGCAUCACUGUGUCUCUGAACGGUUUUGGUACCUUCCCAUCUUUUGCCUCAUACAAAUUCUUAUUCAGCUCAAAUCGAUGAUCUUCGAGGUCUAAGACGUGCCACAGGAGGUCGCAUACCAUUUCUAUCUCAAGAAGUUGUGGUUUCUGUCCAGGUAGUAGAUUUCCUUCACACAGCACAAACAAAUAAAAUGGUUAGAUUUUUUUUUUUUUUUUUGCAAGAAAAAUAAAAACAAACAGAAAAAAAUUAGGUACUAAAUGUUUUUACCUGGACGAGGAGGAGUAAUCUGAGAACCUCUACAAUUUCUACAAAACAUCUUUCUUAAGGCAAACCGCUUCACUUUCACUUUAAGCCUCUCUAGAACAUUCCUAGUUUCUCGUUCGUGAGGAUCCGUAGGGAGAUAAGGAUCCGUAGAGAGAUAACAAGUUAUCUUGUUGGUCAUGUACUUACUACCAUCUGCUGCAGGUGGAAGACCCCCUACUAUGCUUUUGAUCUCCUCCACAAGCCCUUUUGCAGUCUCAAAAUCCCUAAAUUUGGUGGUUUGCAUGUCAACAUAUACGUUGACAGCAUUCAAGUUGAAGUUGACUUAUUGAUCCAUAGUGGAACACCUUAGCAGAUCUGAUGAGAUCAAAGUUAAGCUCACCAGGAUGGAGUAUCAUGUGGGCGCUAGGGUUCCGGUAAAACAUGAACUCACGUUCUCCAUCGGAUCUAGUGUCACGAAGGCGAGUGUCGCUCCAGUGUCAAAGUUGAUUCCCUUAGGAGAGACACUGUUUUGGGUUUCAAAUGGGAGAACGUAGAUAUUUUUUUCACAUUUCUUCAAAUACCAACUCAUAAGGUGGUAUUUGUAUCUGUUCAAUUUUAACUUUAAAUAUUUUUUUGGUAUAACUCAAAAUAACUACGAGAGAUUUUACUAGUGAAAUCCUCAUUUUUCAAUAAGGGGAAAUUUUAAAGAGUUUUUAUAAAUGGCUAGUCCAAUAAGGGUGAAUUUGAUAGAGUUUUGAAAAAUCCUACAGCCAAUGAGAAGAUAUUUGGAUAAAACUAGAAUUUUCUCAAAUCAUCAAUUCAAUAAGCCCCCCCCUAGGCGUUAAAAGGGAAGCUUUUAAGCGGUAGGAAAGAGGAAGGAUUGGUUAUGUAGGCUAGAAACGAAGAACAUGGUGGAAGGAAAAGAGAUUUAGUUUAGGGCUAUGAAAAAUCUAAUUAAGUUGUUAUUCCUGAAAAGCUAGUUAUGCAAUAAAGCAAAAAAAAAACUUGAAAAUUUAAAAUUGCGACUCAACUCAACUUUAUUAGUAUAGAUAGAUAGAUAGAUGGUCUAAUUAUAUAAUAAAUACAAAGAAAACAUAAUUGUAUAGAUAUAUAAAAAAAAAUGGAUCAAAUAUAUAAAUUUAUUUAAAUCAAUACUAUAUGUUUUAAAUUUUAAUUUUAUAAAUUCACACCUAGCAAAAUAUUAAUCUGCUUGUAGGUUCUUUGUACAACAAAUAAUGAUACGAGGCCCUUUGACGGGGCCCAUUGGGCUAUUACGAUCGAUGGAGGUUUUGGCAAUGGAUAUCGAAACACUCGUUAGGGUUUUUACAGAAGAAAAAAAGAAUGCACAGAUCUGACGGUUGAGAGUAUGCUUAUCUGAGAUCCAAGGGUUAGAAAACAGGCGAGGCACAGCGUAAUAGAUCUCUCUGCGAGGGGGGACGCAGUCACAAGAAGUAGAAAAAAAAAACCCUCUCUCUCUCAUUCAAAGGCUCUCAUCUAACCCUAAUUAUAGAGAGAGAAAGUCUCCAAUCCUCAUCGGUGGAACCAUGGACGAAGAAGGCGAGACCAUCUUAUUUUAUUCCGGUAAGAUCUCUUUCUUAACAGGAAUUUGUUUGUUAGAUUUCGAUCUGUAGUAAAUUCGUUUACGCCUUGUCCUUUUUUUUUGUGUGUGUGAAAGUGAAUGAUACAUUCGUUUGCUGGAACAUUGAUGAUUGCCCAGUCCCUGUGGAUACCGAUCUUGGUUCUAUUGUUAAUAAUUUCGAACAUGCUCUUCACCAAAUGGGCUUUGCGGGGAGAAUGAGCAUCAAUGUGGAUUGUAAGAAACUCAACUCCAACGAAGAAGCCUUGUUUAAGGCCGGAAGAAUUUUCUACUUACCCUAUGGUAAAUUCCUCAGUCGCUUCUAUUUAAUUAUACGCCUAAGUUAUUAUUUAACUAAACUAAAAAAUGUUUGAUUUAUUAUGUAGGCGAAACAAUGUACGGCAAUUUUGGUACUAGGCCUACUCUGGAUAUGACUUUUUAUAUGCUCUCUGUAUUAGAAGAGACUGCACCAAUACUUGCAAAUUUAGCCGUAGUCGUCAAACCAAAUAUUGAUCCAGGUAGUGAGUUACAUAGGGUUCUGCACUGUUUGAAAUCGAGGGGUCACAAUGUUCUCCUAGUAGAGCUGCCACCUGAUGAAAAGUGUCUCUUUAGUGUUGACUCUCUACUUAAGAAUUCACGAUUUUUGGGUGGAGGAAAGCCUAGAGCCAAAAAAGAGUUAACUCCUGAAGAGAUGCGGGAGAUGCAGCGUCCGUAUGACUCGGAGGAGGAGGAGGAGGAGGAUGGUAGUUAUGAUGUUAGCGAUCUCUCCAACCAGAAAAUGUUAGAUUUCUCAGGUAAGACCAUCUCAAAUUGUUUGUUUGUUUUAGAUUUCAUCUGUCAUUUUUAAAAAUUAUAAAUGGUAUUUAGCCUCCCUCCCUCUUUUGCAUCGCUCAGAGCGUAUCAAACACGUCAAAGGGCCUAGGACAGUCAUCUUCUGGGACGCCAUUGAUUGCCCAUUCCCUCUUUGUUUCUCUCCUGAACAGAUCUUCCAGAAAAUCAAAUCAGUUCUUAUGAAAAAAGGUACGAAUGAUAAUAUUACAAUCUGGGCUUAUGUCGAUGAACGGUCUUGGAGGGAUAAGUGUUUGUGUAACAAGACUUGGGAUUCAAGAAUCUACUUUCUUCCCGCAGGUGAAUUCCAACCUUUUUCUUUGUGUGUAUGUAAUCUAUAUAUGUCUCACUUCCGUUGAUGUUUUCUCUUUUUUUUAUCCAGGGGAUAGACGUGUCAGAAUGUUAAACGACAUGUAUCUACAGUCUAGAGACGCUCCUCUGCACCAUUGUCCAGGACUUUUGAUCCUAGUCUCGAAUCAUUUCUCAGGUGACCCCUUCUACAUGGAGUUGUUUCAGGACAUGAAGCACCGAAAUUACCAUCCUUUCUUGAUAACUCCGAGGGAGCACAGCAACAUAUCAGAAAGCCCUGAUGAAUGGCCACAGUCUCUAUUUAAUAGACCUCGCAAAAGCUCACAAGGACCUCUUCCCAAAAAGCCUAAACUGGAUGCUGCUUAAAGUAGCACAUGCCCAGGGCUGAUGAUACUCUGGUUAUUAUGAUGUUGGAUCUUGCUUGCUUCACAAGAUCUAUUGUUGCAUCCUGAUAUUUAUAUCAAAAACUCUUGUUCUUAUUUUGGGUUUACGCUUUUGUUUAUUUUAAACUGCAAACUCUGUUGUGACAAAUUUUAUUGGCUACACUAUCCUUGCUGCUGGCCAAGGAGUUGAACAUGCAAGGAAAAGAUAAGAUUUUUCUUUAAAGAGAAAGUGCUAAUGAUGAAAUUGGCUUGUGGCAAAGCAUAAUCAAGCAUCCAUUCCUUAUUCACAUUGUUCCAUCCCUUCACUCUUUUCUCCUUAGUCUAUAGGCUCUUCACUGACUUGAGAGCUUCUUUCUAAUAGUUCUCUAGAACAGAGGAGUUUCAAGCAUAACCAAGGAAGUCUGGCUCCAAUACAAUGGCAAGAUCAAGGAAAAGGUCAAUUGUCAAAAACUCACAAAAGGUAAUCAGAUACCUUCGUUUCAAGGUAGUUUCAAGCAAAGGUCAAGGAACUCCGGUAGUAGGACAAAUGCAAGGUCAUGAAAGUUAAGUGCCUUCAUCUCAAAAGAGUUACAACCAAGGCCAGGGGACACCAAAUCCAUGUACAAAGCCAAGGUCAAGGAAGUCAAACACCCUUCUAUCAUAUUGGUUAUAGCCAAGUACAGGGGGCUCAUCUCAAGGAUCACCAAGCAGUUACUCCCAAGGAGGGAGCAGUACCCAAGGGCCAUCAGCUUUUCGAAGUUAAUUAUACCACAUUUAUUAACUUUAUUUUGCUAACAAAAGUUUGUGUGAUGUAAUUAAUACCUAAAUUUAUAUUUUCGCGACAAUAUGCCAAUCAAAUAUAUAACUGACGAUUAAAACCAUUUAAUAGAAAAAUAAAUCCAAAUUCUAUUUUGAAAAUAUAAUAAUUAGAUUUUAAAGUAAUUCCAAGUCAAUACUCCCAAAAAAAAACUAAUAUUUUCACGAAAAUACGGCAAUCAAACAUAUAACUUUUUAUGGGUAAAUUUGUGAAGUUUUAUUAUCAAUGUAUAAUUCAUAAUUUAAAUAAAUUAGUUACAAAAAGAAGUCAAAAUUAUAUUUGGAAAAUACAUAUUGCUUAGAUUGUAAAGUUAUUUAUCUUCUAUACUAUUAUUUAUGAAGUGAAUUUGAUUACUUGUCAUAUUUUUCAUGAUUGUAUAUAUACUUUUCAUGAACUUUAGAAAAUUUAACUAAUAAAUCGAUAUUAACAAUUGAUAUUAAUCAUAUCUACUGAUAGUAUCAUAAUUACGUUUAUCUUAAAUUUUGUUUAUGUAAUGACUACUAUUAUUGUCAGUUUCUUUGAUUCUUAUUGAAAAUAUGAUCCAAAUAAUUAUUGCAAUAUUAAAGUAAGAUUAAAGAUAAAGCAUUAUGAAAAAUAUGUCGCAAAAUAUAAAUUAUAUACUUAUGGUAAAUACCAUGUAUAUAAUAGGACAAUUCUCUCAAAUAGACAUUUUUAAGUUUUUGUCACAAAUAUAGCCCUCGAACACUAAAAUGACCAAAGUGAUAUUUUUAUUUUGAAAAUUUUAUUAUUUUAUUAUUUUAUUAUUUUUUAAAUUUUUAAAUCAUAUCCCCAAAACCCACUCCUCAACUAUAAAUCCUAAACCCUAAACUCUAAACUCUAAACUCUAAACCCUAAACCUUAAACCCUAAACCUCACUCCUUAACUAUAAACCCUAAUGUCUAGAUUAAUUAACUCUAGAGGUAUAAAUGUAUAUUUACUUCUUUUGAUAAAACAUUUAAGCCUAUUUUAGUUAUUUUAUUUUUAAGGUCUAUAUUUGUGACAAAAAAAGAUUUUAGGUCUAUCCUAAAGAAUUUCUCUAUAUAAUAUUAAACAUUCUUAUUCCUAACCUUAAAUAUAUUACUAUGUAUUUGUACAUGACAAGCAUCAAAAUGACAAAUGAGUUCAGGCUAAUAAUGAAUUUAUCUAUAAAAUUUCAAAUUUUAUCAAAAUAAUAUAUGUAAAACCAAAAUAUUAAAUAUUUUAUAAACUACAAAAUUAACUUAAAAUAUUAAAAAUAUAUAGAAGCAUGAAAAACUAGGGUUAAAACAUUAAAUAACACUUAAAAUUUGACAAAUAAUAAACAUAAUAUAAAUAUAAUCUAAGAGAAUACAUAGGUAAUAUUUUGUAAUUCAAUAUUUCUUUUUUUGUGUUUUUGUCUCACUGAUUUUAAAAUCUAAAUCAUAAAGAAUAUAUAAUGUUUGUUGACUGUAGUCUUAAGUAAAAAAAUGCUAAUAAGUACUUAUGCACUAUUUGAUUACUGCAACAUAAAUACCAAUCAAACUUCCAUGAAACAACAAAAAACAAAUUUCUAUUCCUUAAAUAAGUUUCAAUCAAUAUAUAAAAAAUUCUACAGUUGCCCUAAUUAUUUUUACUUUUAUGUGUUUCAUUAAAUUAAAACAUCAAUCAAAAUCUAUGCAACGCACGGAUCUAUACUUAGUAAAUACUAAUAAAGUUGAGUUGAGUCUCUUGUAUGAACAAUUAGUGAUACCUGACAAUUCUAAAUUCUCAAGUUUUUUUCUUAUUGUAUAACUAAUUUUUAGAAAACCAGGCCUUAAUUACAUUUUUCAUAGCCCUCAACUAAGCUCUUUUCCUCCCACCAUGUUCUUCGUCUCUAGCAACAGAACCAACCCUUCUUCUUUUCCACAACUUAAAAGCUUCCCCUUUAAUGCCUAAGAACAUGAUUAUUUGGGAGUUCUUAGGGUGAGGUUCUUAACAGAAUAUAAGAACCCGUCUCUUAAUUUUUAACUAAAAAAGCUAAGAACCGGCUCUUAAAUAAGUUUUAAGAGCCGGUUCUUAGCUUUUUUAGUUAAAAGUUAAGAGACGGAUUUUUAUAUUCCGAUAAGAACUCCACCCUAAGAACCCUCCAAUAAUCAUGCUUUAAGAUCCAAAUUUAACACUUUUUAAACAAAUAUCAUUAUGUAUUAACGCCUAAGACCCAAAUAUAGAUACAUAUAAUAUUAUCCUUUUUAGACUACUUAAUAUUAUUUCAUCUAAUUAAUAAUGCUCUAUUAUUUAAAGAAGGUGAAUUCACGUAAGAUAGUCUAUGCAUUUAUGUUUUAUAAUUAUCAAUGAUAUUUAACUUUUUAAUAUAUUAGGGGCAGGCCCGCCCUACGGUCGGGUAUGUCUACGUAAAAUUAUUUUAUAUAAAAUGUAUUUUAAUUUUAUAAUAUUUUUGAAAAUUAUCUUUAAAUUAAAUAUAGUAAAUAUUGUUUUUUUCUAAGAUCAUAUUGUAGAUUUGUUAAUUUUGUUCCAAUAACUCAUAAAGAAUACUUUUUUCAGACCACUUAUCAAACCAAAAGGAAGUGUUGCAACUAUUUCCCACUUCAAUCUUAUAAAACAUCUUCGCAACAUCUCUAAGCUUCGACAUUUUCCUCCGAACUCUUUCUCUUGAGUAGAUUGUUUUUUAUCCAUUUCCUCCGUAGAGAUUCCCCAGUCAACAUCCUCCAGAUUAGCUUCAGUCCAUUCACCACAUUCACUUCUUUUAAAGCUCCAGAAAUAAAAAUUUAACGUUCGGUCUUCAGUUCGUGGUACCAAGUCGUCUUCUUCUCUGCAUCAUCCUCUUAUCUCCGCCGUGCUUUGCUCUCCGCGUGGCCUCAAGCUUCGCCGAGAUUCUCCUCCAUCGCCACGAUGUCACCAGACCAAGCACAGCGAGCUCCUCCACCGCCGCAGCCAUUGUCGUUCUGUCCAAGCACGGCGAGCUCCUCCACCGCUGCAGCCAUCGUCGUUCUAUCCAAGCUUCCGGUGUCGUGAAUAAAUCUCCAAGCCGCAGCCAUCGUCGUCCAGCUCCGGAGGCGACAUCGCAUCAAGCGGAGCUUUCACGAAGAGCAACAAUGGUGAAUUGUAGAGUAUUUUCACAAUUGGUCCUUCAACCGUUUGGUUCUUCUCUUCAUGGCCCAAGUUAUCAAAAUAGAAUAUACAUCCUACGAAUCAACUCCUGAACUUCUGAUUUUACAAUCUAACCCAAACGAAUAUUCUGAUUUUUGCAGCAUUGGUCCCUGAAUCUUGAUAACUUCAUAUUUGACCCCAGACUUCCAUAAUGUACAAUUUAACCCAUGAUUAUCGUCCCAAACUUCCAAUUGUGCACUCCAAACCCUAAUGCACAUGAAUGAACAAAUAUAUACGAUGUAGACACCUAUAUGCAAUCUAAAGUGAUCAUAACAAGCUAAAGUAUGAACCUAAAACUCAUCAAAAUCACUAGAUAUCAACAUGCAAUCGCGGCAUUGUUUUUUUUUUUUUUUUUUUUUCCGUGGGGGAUCCCAGGCGGUAAGCCCAGACUAAUCCCCACGAGGCCUUCCAUCCGGGCACGCAUGGUUAUAGGCGGGAAGGUGGCCAAGGCGACUCGAACCCAGGGCGGGCACUCCAGCUGGAGUUCCAUUACCACUAGGCCAAGAGCUCUUGGUUAAUCGCGGCAUUGUUAGCCAUUGCAUAUUAAUCUUUGCACGAUCUGCUUGAGGCGGUUCAAACACUUUCUCACAACAGCAGCAAGGUCUCAAUUGUGCCCAAAAUGAUUUCUAGCAACACUGGUUCGAACCAAGAAUACUCACUCUGUCUCUAAGAACCAUAGCAUUGAUUCUCUCAUUUGUUAUGUAAUAUUUCACCGUUCUGCAACAGUGAGUCCUGGAUUAGUUGUUGCAGUAGCAGCUGCUUGCAUGUUGUAGCUUUUGGUCACAUACUUAAGACUAGUGUUCUUAAUGUUUUCUGAAGUCAUACCAUAUUUGCUAACUUUCGGUUGCUAUCAAAAGAAUCUGUGUGAUGGAAUUUUACCUUGUAAGUACCUAAUUAUAUAUUUCACGAGAAUAUGCCAAUCAAAUAUAUAACUGAUGAUUACAACCAUUUUUUACAAAAAAUCCCAAUGUUAUAUUUUUAAAAUAAAAUAAUUAUAUUUUAGAGUUAUUUGAAGUCAAUACUCCCACAAAACCCCUAAAAAUUCAAAUACUUUUUGGGAAAUACCAUAGGAUAGCAGUAAAAAAGUUUAUGUCACAAAUAUAGACUCUAAGAAUCAAAAUGACCAAAAUGUUUCAUUAAAGAGGUAAAUAUACACUUAUACCCCUAGGGUUAACUAAUUCAAACCUUAAGGUUUAGAGUUAAGGGGUGGAGAUUUGAGAUUGAAGUUUAAAAUUUUAUAAAAUAAAAAAUAAAUAUUAAAAAUUUGAAAAUAAAAAAUUUAAAAAUAGUUUCAAAAAUUAUUUUCGAAUUACAAAAAGAAAAUUUGAAAAGAAAAUAAAACAAAUUUCGAAAAAAAAAUUCAAAAUCUUUUGUUUUUUAAAAAGUUCAAAUUUGAAAAUAUAUAAUCUAAAACUAUAUUAAAAAGUAUUUUUUUUUAUUUUUUUUAUUUUUUAUUUUUUUUAUAUAUCUAGGGUAUUAGUGUCCUUUUACCUAUUAAAUGAAACAUUUUGGUCAUUUUUCUCCUUGUGAUCUAUUUUUGUGAUCAAAACUUGAAAAUUGUCUAUUUAGGAGAAUUACCCAUACUUUUUGGUAAAUAUGUUAAUAUUUAUUGUCAAUUUAUAUUAGAUAACUUAAACCAACUAUUUACACAAAAUAAGUCAAAAUUAUUUUUGAAACAUACAUAUUGCUUUGAUUUGAUUUUAGAGUUAUUUGUAGUCAAUAGCCCACAGGAACCUUUUAUUUACAAAACAAAGACACAUACUUUAUGAGACUUAACUCGGCCCAGUAAUUUAGUCUUAAGACUUCAGGCCCAUUAUUUGAACUGUGCCACGUGGCCUUUCGCUAAUAAAAACCCUGAACCCUCGUUUCAUUUCAGGAGACAUCUUCACUCUCAUCGUCGGAGAACUGUCACCUUCAGCGUCAGCGGAGGUCUGCUCGCUUUUAGUUUUUUUCACUCUCUCUCCACUCUUCUUCUGUUUAUUUUCUUCCCCUCUUGUAUGAGUUAGUGCUUACUGAAUCAAAUUUCUGCUGACUUCCUCUCUGUUUCCUAGGGUUAAUUUUAGGGUUACUCGUUAUGUCAACGGACUCGGAAGCUGAUUUUGCCGUCAAUGCGUCGACUUUCGAGAGCGGAGAGUCUGAUUCCGAGAGUGAGGGCACAGGUUUAGAUGCAGAGUCUGAGGAAUGCUCGCAAAGAUCGAAACUUGAGAGUCUGAAGAAGCUAUCUGAUUCAGAUUUGGUUUGGGGCAAAGUAAGCAGCUUUCCAUGGUGGCCUGGCCAAGUCUUUCUCAACUCAUCAGUUGCCUCCAAAAAGGCCAAGAAGCACUUCAAGAAAGGAGCUUUCUUGGUCGCCUACUUCGGAGAUUGCAGUUUCGCUUGGACCGAUGUAUCAAAGAUUAAGCCUUUCCGUCAGCACUUCUCGCAGAUGGUGGAGCAGAGCGACUCCCCUGAGUUUCGUAACGCUGUUGGUUGUGCUUUGGAAGAGGUUUCGAGGAGAGUGGAGUUCGGUUUGUCUUGCGGUUGUGUCUACCAGGAAGCUUAUGAUAGAGUCAAGACUCAGAGCGUGAUGAACGCUGGGAUUAGAGAGGAGUCAAGGGUGAGAUACGGUGGAGAUGAGGCGUCGAGCGCUGGCCUUUUCGAACCUGCGAAGCUUGUGGAGUAUAUGAAGCGUUUAGCUUGUUGUCCAAGGUAUGAUGAGAGUGAUGAUAAGCUGUUGUUUGUGAGUAACCGAGCUCGGUUAUUUGCGUUUCAGCAGUGGACAAGCUGUAUUAACUUUCCUAGAUACGAAACGGUUCUUAAGGAUGUGUCUGAUGCAAAGAGAGAAGAGGAGACUUUGUCAGAUUGUAUUGCAGAGAGAAGCAAAUCAGUUGGGAAGAAGCGUAAGGUUGAGUCUUUGGAAUCAGGUAAGCCUGAGAAAAAGAUCAAGACGGUGGCUGAACCAUCAUGUUUUUUAAUGGGAGCUAUCCCUUUGAGGAUGGAAAGCGAGGUGAUGACUCAUACACUGAACCCUUUGGGUGGUGAUUCUAACUCUAUUUCAAAGCCUGAUGAGAUGAUCUCAAGCCUAAAGGGAACACCUAAACCUCUCAACUUAGAGCACUCCAAUUAUGAAGAUUUUGAGAAGUUUAUAGAGGAAACGUCUUGUGGUAAUCUCAGCCACGACUCGGAGAAGGCGAGUGUACCUAGUGAUGUGAAAGAAUCUUCAGACCAGCCUGAGUCAGGCUCCAAAGUGGUGCAAACCGGUGUCAAAGACUGUUCAGCAGAUUCAUUGGCAGCACCCAAUGCAUUGAUCCUCAAGUUUGCUAGUUCAGGUUCCGUUCCAUCCGCAGAAAAGCUGAACAGCAUAUUCAACCGUUAUGGUCCCCUCAGAGAAGCGGAGACUAGGGUCAUGAAGAAAGGCAAGAAAGCUAGAGUGAUUUUCAGAAGAGGUGAAGAUGCAAAGACUGCCUUCAGCAGCUCCGGGAAGUACAGCAUCUUUGGACCUUCUCUUCUAAGCUACAGCCUCAAGUAUGUUGCCCCCCCCCAAGCCAAAGAGAACAACGACAUGUACCAAUCAAGUGGAGCUGCUCAAGUGGAAUCUCAUAACAAGCUCGCUAUUGGAAUGAACAGCACCGCUUCAGCUCAACUCUUUGAAGAGCAUGUGGACGACGGUUCUUACCCAUCUAGUCUUGAACCAGUAGUAGCAGAAGACGUUGCCUGGGAUAAUCCUACUGAUAGUGGUAGUGGUGAUCAAACCACGAUUACGUUUGGGAGUUUUACCGUUCCGGUAAACACCAGGGGAAGGUCCGGUUUUGAUAAAAGCAUGUCUGAGGCAGGAAGCUCCAGCAAUGAGGAGUAUGAAAAAAAAAAUGACAACGAAGGAUUUCAGGUUGUAGGUUGUCCCUACGAGUUCAACAACUUCAACUUGAAUGCUGUCAACGUAUAUGUUGACAUGCAAACCACCAAAUUUAGGGAUUUUGAGACUGCAAGAGGGCUUGUGGAGGAGAUCAAAAGCAUAGUAGGGGGUCUUCCACCUGCAGCAGAUGGUAGUAAGUACAUGGCCAACAUGAUAACUUGUUAUCUCUCUACGGAUCCUUAUCUCCCUACGGAUCCUCACGAACGAAAAACUGAGAAGGUUCUAGCGAGGCUUCGAGUGAAAGUGAAGCGGUUUGCCUUAAGAAAGAUGUUUUGUAGAAAUUGUAGAGGUUCUCAGAUUACUCCUCCUCGUCCAGGUAAAAACAUUUAGUACCUAAUUUUUUUCUGUUUGUUUUUAUUUUUCUUGCAAAAAAAAAAAAAAAAAUCUAACCAUUUUAUUUGUUUGUGCUGUGUGAAGGAAAUCUACUACCUGGACAGAAACCACAACUUCUUGAGAUAGAAAUGGUAUGCGACCUCCUGUGGCACGUCUUAGACCUCGAAGAUCAUCGAUUUGAGCUGAAUAAGAAUUUGUAUGAGGCAAAAGAUGGGAAGGUACCAAAACCGUUCAGAGACACAGUGAUGCUGAUUACGGGUGACCAGUGGUUAACAAACGAGCUGGAGUCGGAUUGUCUAGAUGGAUUCACUCUUCUGAAGGACAUACCUGCUUGUUUGGAGCCAAUGCCAAUGUCUAUAUCGAAGAAUGAGUAUUGGAAGCGACGCCGAGAGCUAGAGGUAAAUAUUUGAUAUGUGUACUGUUUAGCUUUAUCUGUUUAGAGGCUUUUGGGUAGUUCAGUAUCACCGCACAUUACAUCGAUCAUUUUUUUUACUUAGCUUGCUUUAAUAUUAGCUCUCUGUUGAUACGUACCAGUUCUCUAAUGAGAUGUAUUCUUGCUUCUGCUUAUUAAUGCAGGGGCAGGUUUGAAGUCCUUCUAUGAUGGAUGGUGAAACUCAAGAUUAUUUGCUUUUUGUUUCUUUUUGUUGAAAUUUUCCUGGAUGGUUUUGCGCUUGAUAGAGCGGUGAAUCUGUGGAUUCUAUCAUUUCGUUUUGUCCUAUUUUGUCCUAUUCGACACUUGAUUUAGUUUUUUUUUUUUUUUAAUAAUGUCCCAGCUAGUCUUGAAGAUACCGUAACCAAGCUAAAUUAAAAAAAAAGGCAUCACAAAUCCUUUCCCUAGUAUAUUAAGUUUAAAAAAUAGAUAUAUAUAUACUUCUAUCGAAAAUACAAUAUAGAACAUAUUUUCGGUCUCAACUACUCUCGAUCGACAUUACAUGUGAUAUAAUGAAUCCAAUGGACAAGCAUUGUUUGGUUCUAUAUGUUAUUGUUCUCGACUAUAUUCGUAGUCUUCCAUCGAAAAGCAUUGAUGUAUAUAGGCUCUGUCAAUUCCUUCAUAUAACUCAUUAAAAAAUUUGUUAUUUCAAUCCCACGGAAAUUUGGUUAAGUUUGUGGGGAUGUCUUGUUGAUAUAAGAAUACGGAUAUACUUAUUAUGGAAUACAAUUUUUAAUGGUCAGGAAGAAUUACGCUUAAAUGUCGAGUGGUUUUGAGACAUGCAUGAUUUGUUUUUCUUUUUCUAGUUAGGCCAUCGUCGUUUACUUGUCGCGCGACCUUUCACCUGUGAUCGCAUGUCGCAUGUUGUUGUUCGUUUUGCUGUCGCGUAACAUGCGACUUGCGAUUGGUCGCAAGUCGCAGGUUGUUGUUCGUUUUGAUGUUGCACGACUGAUCGCGCGACCAGUCGCGGGUUCCAAUUCAAGUCGUCCGAAAAAACAACGACUAAAAAUUAAGAAAAUUUUGAUCGAACGAGUGGUCGCAGGUCGCAUAUCGCAGGUCGCGCGACACGUAAACGAACAUAGUUUUAGUCGCAGGUCGCAGGUUUAGUCGCAGGUCGCGCGACACGUAAACGAACAUAAUCUCAGGUUGGGUAAACGGCCUUACCUAUUCCUAUGAUAUGUCUUGUCUACUGUUGCGUGUCUAUGCCUUUAGAUAUGAAAACAUAAAUUUAUCUUUAUGAAAUUUUAUUUUACGAGAUGCGAUCUUUGUAGUAGCAUAUAUCAGGUAUAUAGAUGCAUCUGUUUACUACUAGAAUCAAGGUUCAGUACUAGAGAAAUAUAUAAGAAGUCUUACAAAAUGACUAAAUGAAAACAUAAUAAGAAUUGGUUAUAUAUAGCCAACUUUAAUUUGACUUUCAUCUUAUAAUUUGGUCGGUAUGCCCCAACCAAAUCUAUCCCUUUCAUUCUAAGCAUCGUGUGACAUAUAUAAUAGUUAAGUCAAGGUUUAUCUCUCAUAAAACUAACUCAAAAGAAUUAGCUAACCUCAUGAUUACCUUCUUCGUUGGAAAUUAAUUACUCACUCAUGAUUCUCUCCUUUAUUUAGCCUCAAACCAUAACUCUCCCACAGAUUCUGAUCUCCGUCUCCCAUGAAGAACGGGAAGCAGUUUGUAUUAGCGGCCAUUGCACCGCUCGGGUUUCCAGCGGCUGCGUUUACAUUUGAUGUUGAAGAACCCACAUUGCCUUGUUCAUUCAUCUGAUGACGCUGAUCAUUAUCAUUAUAUCCACUUUCUUGAUUGUUGUAGAUCGUAUUUUCUUCGGUUGUUGGAUAGUAAACGCCGCAGCUCGACGAAUUGUCCUUCCUUUUCUUGUUCAUUUUCUUCUUUCCAUUGCUUAUCCACUCCCAAUUUUCCUUGCAUAACAAGGCACUUUUCUGAUCGAACCCUAACUGAGCCAUUUUCCCUGCGACUUCCUCCCAUAAAGAAUCAUCCGAGCAUCCUCCCAAUAUCUCUUGAAACGCCGAGUCCAUACUAGUUCUUAUCUCCAUAAGCUUUGUGAUCUCUUGCUCAUUCCAGCAGCUACCACUUCCUUCAAUAGAAACAUUGUUAGUCAUUGUUUGGUCGCUUUCAUUGUCAUUCUGAUUCUCACUGUUCUUUUGGAUCUCAUUAUUACCAUUAAUCCUCUCCUCUGGGGAUGAACAUAACGGCUUUAUUAACGUCUUUCCGGUCAAAAACUGCAAAGCCUCAAUCACCGCCACAUCCCUAGCUUCCAUCCUCUCCCUCUCUUUAGACAAAAAAAAAGCUCUUUAUCGAUCCUCGCAGCCUCACUCUUUCUCCAUUCCUCUUCUUUCAUCAUCCUUCGUUCCUCUUUGUCUUCAAUAACCUUUGUCAACUUCUCAAGCCAAACAUCUUGCCUCUCCAUCAACCUUUUCAUGUUCACAUCAAUGAACUCCUUAAUCUUAUUUUUCCAACUCCUCUUUUUCCUUCUACUACUAGAAUCAUUCCCCUCAGAAGACGAAGUCACCAACUCCAGCUCGGAGGAAUUGUAGUUGUUAGAAAGGCUUAGGCUUUGACGAUGGAAACCAUGAACACUAUCAACGUUAUGGAUGUUAGACGUUGUUGUAGUAACGUCGUUCAUGGCGUUUUGAGUGUGGAAACCAUGAAGAGCAUUGCUCAUGAACUGUGUGUUAUGACUGGGACAAGGAACCAAGUUGUUGGAAUCACCGUAGAGCGCCUCGAGCUGCCGGAAAAAUCUAUAGUGUUUACCGUCUUGUCUUCCGGCUUUGCCUUCUCUAGUCUUCUUAUAGUAUUUGUAAAGGUUCUCAAACUUCUCUCUGCAUUUUUUCCCACUCCUUUGGUAUCCAUGUUCCUCAGACAUAAUCCUAAAUGUUAAAGCAAAAUAAGACUACAUGUACAAUACUUCAUGUUUCGAUUAAAAUUUAAAGCAGUACCCUAAUCUUGAAACUAGGUUUGAAUCAUGACUGUUCAUAAGAUAUUCAUAUAUUCAUCGUUUUCAUGCAUAAACGUAUACAGAAUAACAUUGUAUGGUCUAUUCGCUUAAGUUUAGAUAAUAACUUAAAAGUUUGUUUUUCUUACAUAACCAAGAUUAUUUUGGAGACUUACUAGUGGACUAAUAGUUUAGCACAAGAACGUGUUUCUAUGCAUAGUUACACAAAAGAAGAGGGUACAUAUCUCCUGAAACUAAGAAAGAUGAAUCAGAAGUUAUCAGUAAAAAGGGAGAAAACUAAAAUCAAAGUCAAAGAUGAUAAUAGAACUCUUUAUUUUACUAUUUUCUAUGUUUAACCUUUUGGGGUCUUAAAGCACUUGCUAAUGUCUUAACUGAAACUGCCAAGGUCUGGUCAUUCUCUCGACCAAACCAAAACGACUCCUAGAGAAAUUGUUUUAAACUGACCACUCUGCAGAUACACAUUAAUAUGUGUGUGUGUAUAUUUACAUAUAUACGCGCGAAUGUAAUAUUUAUAUGUGUCCCUAUAUUGAUCAGCUCAAAAAGUAUGUUGAAAUUGAGGAGCCCAAGGGAAGUGUUGAGAUCACAUUCUUUCUAGUCAUUAAUGCAGAAAAAGGUUUAACUUGUCUUCGGGAUUAUCACUUGAAAGGUCUAAUUUUUAACAAGAAAGCGUAUGAAAGGUCAAAUCUUUUCAAAUCUGAAAAAAACUCCGGAAAACAAAAUGCUUAAAUUUUAUUAAUAGUUUUUUGAAGAUGUAGCUGUUUAGUGUUUAGAAAUGAAUGUUUUCUUCCAUUGGAAAUUUAUUAAUUUUCGCCUAAUUGACUAACUUUUUUAAAUAGGAUACAGUGUCGUCGAUGAAUCAAAAGACUCUUAUGGUAUGAAUUGGUUUGAGAAAUGUGCUUAAUAUUUUUUAAUAUUUUUAUGAAAAAUAGCGGAAAAUAAAAAGAGAGAGAGAGAGAUUAGGGUUAAGUGAAGCAAACCUAGAAACUUCAUCCCAUAGAGGUCCCUUUUGAUUAGCUUCUUUGAACUUAUGAUCAAGACGAGAUCUAAUCUCCAGCAGAGUUAGGGUUUCUUGUCUCGGCCAUCUCCCCGUUCCUCCACCAUCUCCUCCUCCACCGCCGCCGAUACCUCCUCCGCCACCGCCUCCCCGCCAAACCCAACUGCUCCACCACUGCUGCUAGCGUUUAAGUUACUGUUAUUUCCAGCCGUCGAAGAACUCCCACCCAGUCCAUGUAUGCCACGUGGUAAGAAACCCAUCUCCUGAUCUGUAGUGAACUGAUGUAGCCGGUGGUGUUGCUGCGGCGGAGGGGGCGCAGCCGGAGCUAGGUUGAAGCCAAAGAAAUCAGAGGGAAAAUGAGAAGAGGUCGACGGUGAUUCCGUCGUAGUCACCCUCCCUCCGCCUUGCAUGAGCUGGCGGAGCUCCGGUACACCGUACUGAGGAUGAUGAUCGUCCAUUUUUACAUUUAUAUUCAGCUUAAAGAGAAGGAAAAAGUAAAGGCUCUCUACCUUUUAAUUCCAAAGAAAGAGAGAAAAGAUUGAAGCUUUUUUAGAGAGAGAGACUGAUCGUGUAGUUCAUGAAAAAGGUCGAAUGUAAGCUACAGAUAUGGUCCCAUGACUUAUAACAUUUUUUUAUUUUUCUUGUUGAAUGAGUGUGGGCGAGAGAGAGGGAAGAAAGCGAUCACUACAAGAAAGAGUAGCUGACUCCGAGAAAAACUUCCGACAAUUCAAGUUGUGGGUAAGUUAGCGACUGCGAGAUUUCCGACAAAUGAGCUUUCCGACAAAUGAGCUUCUAGGUAGUUUCCGACAGUUGACCGAUGACUACUCAUUUCCGAGACCCAAACUCCGACGUCUUGCGGUUUCUCGGCAACACAUCGGACUUAACUAAUUCCGACGAGAUACCCGUAAAUGUUACCGUCGCUAUUUGCUACUCUUUCUUGUAGUGGAUGUAUGGUACGUAUGGAUACUACAUACAGAUCUUUUUGUAUGAGAAUUUGUAUGUAUAUGUCUUUAAGUUUUUGUACCAUGUCCAUGUGUCUUAGUUCUCAUUAUCUCUAUCAAAUAAUUUGAAUACAUGCAUUGAUGUAUAUAUAUUCAUUUCAAUGUAAGGUUAGAUACAAUAAUAGUUCGAGCCAUCGAGGUAUUCUUCUUUAAAUCUUGGCUGUAGGAUUGGUUUUCAAAUUAUGAUCUGAAGACACUUUUCCAUUUCCUCUGUAGAUUUUUUACUACCGAGUUUAAUUAUUAUUCAAUAAAAAUAAUAUUAUUUAUAUAGCUCAUGAUAAAACUGUAGUUGCUGGGUGGAUAUUUUUACUUUUCUAUUAUAUGUUUCUAAAAGAAUGAUGUAUGUGACACUUUAACAGCUCCCCUCCCAUGUUGGCCUUUGGCGGUGGAGAUGCUGGUGCUUGGAGAGAAGAAGAAGAUCGAUCAUAUGUGUUCUUAAAUAGAAUGUUAUGUCAGAAGUUCCGUUUGUUCCAUAUAGAUGACCGCACAAACUUGUUGAACUCUAUCUAACUUUUUUAAUCCCUCCAAUUGCUCAACUUUCAAUUGUUUCACGAUUAUUCAAUCACCAUAGUUUUUUUUUUUUUAUGACCAUAGCGCUCGUGCCACAGUCUUGCUAUGUCAUCAGUUGUUGUCUGCAGGCAUCGACGUUCACUGGAUUCUGCAACAUCUUUACCUUGAUCAAUCAGCAUGAACAUGCGAUUUGCACUCAUCUUACUUUCUGCUAUCAAGCCCUUCUCUUCAUGAUAGAUUUUGCAGACUCCACUCUGAAUGAUGAUCGUGAUUUUCUUCUCCUGCAGCUGUCCCAAGCUCAGAAGGUUGUUCUUUAGUUCUGGUACGUAGUACACAUCACUUAUCAUGUAGCUUGCACCAUUGAACAUCAGCUUCAGGUUCCCUUUUCCAACAACCUCCAUCCUCUUGUUGUUGCCUAGCUUGACUGAAUGACUGAAUUUCUCAUCAAGCGUGGAGAACAAGCUCUUGUCUCCGCUCAUAUGAUUUGAGCAACCUGAGUCAAGAAACCAUACUUUCUUCCUUAAGCUCUCUUGUCUCUCAGAACCAACCAUUAGUGAGUGCACAACGACUUGGUUGCCUGCCUCCUCUUGAUGCACUUCAUCAAUCUCCAGUUCCUCAACAAACGCCAUUAGUAGCAUCUCUUCAUCUUCAAGAUCUGCAUAAUUUGCCUCUUCUUCCCACUUUGGACAUUCAUUCUGGAAAUGACCAAGCUUGUGGCACUUGUAGCACUCCACUGUGCUCUUGUUGAAUGCAGUCCUGCCACGACCUCGUCCUCUACCUCUUGCGAAAGACCCUCUGCCUCUGGAUCCCAUUCCUCUCCCAUGUGUGAUCUUUAGUACUUGAUCAUCACCUUUCUCACUCUUCUUAAACUUCUGCUCGUGAACCACCAAAGAACUCUGCAGUUCAUCUAAUGUGACGGUCUCAAUGUCUUUGGAUUCUUCAAUUGAUACCACCACAUACAUGAACUUCUCACUGAGAGUUCUGAGAAUCUUCUCAACCACCUUUGAGUCUGUCAUGACCUCACCAUUGCUCCUCAUUUGAUUGGUAAUUCCCAACACACGCUUGAAGUAUUCCUCAAUACUUUCACUCUCCUUCAUCUCCAAGACUUCAAAAUCUCUUCUCAACUUCUGCAGUAGCGAUCUCUUCACUCGAGCAUUGCCACCAUACUUCGAUUUCAUCGAAUCCCAGAUGAUCUUAGACGUUCUUCUGUCCAAGAUCUGCUCAAACGUCACCCUGUCAAUGCUCUGGUACAAGUAGUGCUUGACCUUGUGAUCGUCAGUCCUGCUGUUCUCCAGUUGCAGGCUCUGUUCUGCAGUCAGCACUGUUGCAUCUGCAGGUUCUUCAACACCGGUUUCAAUCGUACUCCAUAGUCCCUUGGCUCGGAAGAAGUUCUCCAUAACUUCACUCCAGUGAUCCCAAUGUCCAUCGAACUGCGGCAGUUUCAUCUUGUCGUUUCCCAUCUCUUUUUUUCUAAGCACAGAGCUCUGAUACCAAUUUGUAAUAAUAUCAAGUACUCUGUUUUUGUAUAUGAAAACUGUAAUUCAUUCGAUGAAACAAAUGGCUGUUAAAAUAGUCUUACAGAGAAAACAAUGAACUCCUAAAAAUAAGCAACUAAGGAACCAACUACUUGAACAAGCUUGGACCUAAAGACUCGGUACUGACUUCGUGCUAAACGCACUACUAUUAUUGACUUAAACAAAUAAACAUGACAAAGACCAAUUCAAACUUCAAUGACUUCAAACUUCCAACGGCUCUCAUCUCUUUGAAUUGCUCCAACACUUUAUGAUACGUUGAGCAUGUGGCUAUAAAAAAUCUUCGUUUUUUUCUCAUAGAAUAUGAUUCAUACGAAUAACAAAACAAAAGAUCCUUCGCUUGAAUGUUUUUUUAUUUAUUGUUAGUUUCUUGUGUCUCGAAUGAAACAUCAAGAUAGGUGACAGGUUAUGUUCUCUGUUAACGUGAGAUAGAAGCAUACGCAAUUGUAUAUUGAAAAUCUAAGUGAUAUACAUCUAAAAAUUUACGGAAAAAUUUUAUCAUCUCGACUCUAAAAUUCUUUUUUAUUGGUUUAUUUUAGUAUUGUAACUUUAAUUUAUAUUCUUAUUACUUUUGAAAAAUAUCAGUUGCUGUAUAAUAAUAAGAUAAGAUUCCUACAUUCUCAAAUAUUUAAAUAUUAUUUAUUGUUUUAUACUAACAAUUAGGUACUUUUGAAGUUUGCACAAUUUUCUUAAUACUCUUCUUAUUUCACUGUGUUUUUUUUAGUAAAAAUCUUUGUUUCAUAUAUAUACUAAAAUCUUAAAGAAAAAUAUUAUCAGUAUUUCUAAUAUUUCCAUAUUUUUGCUACGAAUAAAUAUAUGAUCUUCCACUAACCAUAGUUAUUUUAUAAAUAUUAUGAUGUAAAUAUUUUUGGCUAACAUAAUAUAGAAUCUUUUUAGAUAAUGAUGAUUAUCAAAUUAAUGAAAUUUGUUUAUAAUUUAUGGGUAAUUAUAUAUUAACAAAAAUAAUCUAAUUAUUUUUAUGUAAGGGUAAUGAAGACUUUAAAUGUUCUAACUUUUAACGUGAUAGCAAAAAAAAAAAAUUACAAAUAAUAAUAUAAAUAUUUUUGAAUUCUUUGCUAACCUUUUUCAGAAAUUAUUACAAUAAAUGAUUUUAACUGUCUUAAAAAAUUUAUCUUAAAAGAUAGAUGAUUUAUUCUAUCUUAUGUAACAUAUAUAUAUUAAAACAAAACCGGUUUAAUAUUAUUGAACCAAGUAAUAAAAACAUAUAUAUAUAUACUCAUGAUUUGAGAGUUUUGAAGGGAUUUAAAUACCCCUCUAAUUUAGAAGGGAUUUGGGAUUUGAACAAAUUUUUAGAAAGGAAUUAGAAGAGAUUUCAGGAAAUUUGAGGAUUUUUAUUUUUGGUUUUCUUUAAGCAAUUGUUCUUUAAAGCUUUCACUACUUACAACUGUCGUUCACUAAACUUGGUAAUAAGUUUCAUUCAUAAGGUAAUAGAAUCAAACAGUUCUAUCCACACAGAACCAAAACACAAUACCAACCAAAAAAAGAGAGGAUAAAAUGUGAAAUCUUGAACAUCCAGACUUCUUGUAGAUCAGUUUGCAUUCAGGAGAGUUUCAACCUCUAGCAUUGUAGGAAGAGCUGGAAUUGCUCCUUUCUUGGUAGCUGUAAUGGCUCCACAUGCAUUAGCAAACCUAAUUCUAGAAGACGAGCUUCCUCCUCGAGAACAGAGCGGUCACCAACAAUGGUGCAAAGCAAGGCACCAACAUAUGAAUCACUAGUACUAGUUGUAUCCACAACGUUCACAUGGAAAGGAUCAACAUAUCCACGGAAGCUCUUGGUGUAAUAAUUACAACCCUUUUCACCUAAAGUGACCAAGAGAAGAUUUAAGUUAGAGUGCCACUGAGACAAAGCAGUCUCAUCAUCAACAUUAUCAGAUCUAGUUAAGAACAUAAGCUCUUCAUCGUUUACUUUGAUCACUUCAGCUUUUUUCCAGCUGCUAAGAAUCUGCUUUUUAGCCUCCUCCUUAGAGGGUGGGUAACCUCAAGUUGGGUCGUAAGAGAGAAACGCACCGGGUUCUUUAGCCACCUCCAUUGCCUUCAGGUGACGAGAUCUACAAGGGUUGGUUAUGUAGGCUAGAAUCGAAGAACAUUGUGGGAGGAAAAGAGAUUUAGUUUAGGGCUAUGAAAAAUGUAAUUAAGGCGUGAUUCCUUAAAAGUUAGUUAUGCAAUAAAGCCAAAAAAAACUUGAGAAUUUAAAAUUGCAAGAUGUCACUAAUUGUCAUAUAAGAAACUCAACUCAACUUUAUUAGCAUAGAUAGAUAGAUAGAUAGAUGGUCUAAUUGUAUAAUAAAUACAAAGAAAACAUAAUUGUAUAGAUAUAUAAAAAAAAUGGAUCAAAUAUAUAAAUUUAUUUAAAUCAAUACUAUAUGUUUUAAAUUUUAAUUUUAUAAAUUCACUCCUAGCAAAAUAUUAAUCUGCUUGUAGGUUCUUUGUACAACAAAUAAUGAUACGAGGCCCUUUGACGGGGCCCAUUGGGCUAUUACGAUCGAUGGAGGUUUUGGCAAUGGAUAUCGAAACACUCGUUAGGGUUUUUACAGAAGAAAAAAAGAAUGCACAGAUCUGACGGUUGAGAGUAUGCUUAUCUGAGAUCCAAGGGUUAGAAAACAGGCGAGGCACAGCGUAAUAGAUCUCUCUGCGAGGGGGGACGCAGUCACAAGAAGUAGAAAAAAAAAACCCUCUCUCUCUCAUUCAAAGGCUCUCAUCUAACCCUAAUUAUAGAGAGAGAAAGUCUCCAAUCCUCAUCGGUGGAACCAUGGACGAAGAAGGCGAGACCAUCUUAUUUUAUUCCGGUAAGAUCUCUUUCUUAACAGGAAUUUGUUUGUUAGAUUUCGAUCUGUAGUAAAUUCGUUUACGCCUUGUCCUUUUUUUUUGUGUGUGUGAAAGUGAAUGAUACAUUCGUUUGCUGGAACAUUGAUGAUUGCCCAGUCCCUGUGGAUACCGAUCUUGGUUCUAUUGUUAAUAAUUUCGAACAUGCUCUUCACCAAAUGGGCUUUGCGGGGAGAAUGAGCAUCAAUGUGGAUUGUAAGAAACUCAACUCCAACGAAGAAGCCUUGUUUAAGGCCGGAAGAAUUUUCUACUUACCCUAUGGUAAAUUCCUCAGUCGCUUCUAUUUAAUUAUAUGCCUGAGUUAUUAUUUAACUAAACUAAAAAAUGUUUGAUUUAUUAUGUAGGCGAAACAAUGUGCCGCAAUUUUGUUACUAGGCCUACUCUGGAUAUGACUUUUUAUAUGCUCUCUGUAUUACAAGAGACUGCACCAAUACUUGCAAAUUUAGCCGUAGUCGUCAAACCAAAUAUUGAUCCAGGUAGUGAGUUACAUAGGGUUCUGCACUGUUUGAAAUCGAGGGGUCACAAUGUUCUCCUAGUAGAGCUGCCACCUGAUGAAAAGUGUCUCUUUAGUGUUGACUCUCUACUUAAGAAUUCACGAUUUUUGGGUGGAGGAAAGCCUAGAGCCAAAAAAGAGUUAACUCCUGAAGAGAUGCGGGAGAUGCAGCGUCUGUAUGACUCGGAGGAGGAGGAGGAGGAGGAUGGUAGUUAUGAUGUUAGCGAUCUCUCCAACCAGAAAAUGUUAGAUUUCUCAGGUAAGACCCUCUCAAAUUGUUUGUUUGUUUUAGAUUUCAUCUGUCAUUUUUAAAAAUUAUAAAUGGUAUUUAGCCUCCCUCCCUCUUUUGCAUCGCUCAGAGCGUAUCAAACACGUCAAAGGGCCUAGGACAGUCAUCUUCUGGGACGCCAUUGAUUGCCCAUUCCCUCUUUGUUUCUCUCCUGAACAGAUCUUCCAGAAAAUCAAAUCAGUUCUUAUGAAAAAAGGUACGAAUGAUAAUAUUACAAUCUGGGCUUAUGUCGAUGAACGGUCUUGGAGGGAUAAGUGUCUGGGUAACAAGACUUGGGAUUCAAGAAUCUACUUUCUUCCCGCAGGUGAAUUCCAACCUUUUUCUUUGUGUGUAUGUAAUCUAUAUAUGUUGAUGUUUUUUCUCAUUUUUUUUUAUCCAGGGGAUAGACGUGUCAGAAUGUUAAACGACAUGUAUCUACAGUGUAGAGACGCUCCUCUGCACCAUUGUCCAGGACUUUUGAUCCUAGUCUCGAAUCAUUUCUCAGGUGACCCCUUCUACAUGGAGUUGUUUCAGGACAUGGAGCACCAAAAUUACCAUCCUUUCUUGAUAAUUCCGAGGGAGCACAGCAACAUAUCAGAAAGCCCUGAUGAAUGGCCACAGUCUCUAUUUAAUAGACCUCGCAAAAGCUCACAAGGACCUCUUCCCAAAAAGCCUAAACUGGAUGCUGCUUAAAGUAGCACAUGCCCAGGGCUGAUGAUACUCUGGUUAUUAUGAUGUUGGAUCUUGCUUGCUUCACAAGAUCUAUUGUUGCAUCCUGAUAUUUAUAUCAAAAACUCUUGUUCUUAUUUUGGGUUUACGCUUUUGUUUAUUUUAAACUGCAAACUCUGUUGUGACAAAUUUUAU